GGGAACUUGUGGAGAAGUGUGAAGGUCUACCUCUAGCGAUCGUAGCCUUGAGUGGUCUCAUGUCUUCUAAGAAGUCACUUACAGAGUGGAGCACAGUCUACAACAGCUUAAAUUGGCAUUUAACAAACAGUCCUUUGCUAGAACCUAUGAAGAUGCGCAUCUUGUUGUUUAGUUUUAAUGAUUUGCCAUACCGAUUGAAGCAAUGCUUUCUAUAUUGUUCACUUUUCCCUGAAGAUCAUGUGAUCUUAAAUCUUAGGCUCAUCACAUUGUGGAUCGCUGAAGGAUUUGUUGAACAUGUCGAAGGGCUCACGCCAGAAGAAGUUGCAAAUAGCUAUCUUAUGGAACUCUUUUUUCGUAACAUGCUACAGCAAAGGUUUCGAGGACCCCUCCCAGCAUGUAAGAUGCAUGAUCUUUUGCGGGAGAUUGCCUUGUCUAUAGCAAAAGAAGAAAAGUUUUGCACUGUACAUGAUGGGAGUGAAACAGUAGAAGAAACUGGAGCACUCCGUUUGUCAAUUCAAACAACUAAUGGAGAAAUUGGAUCAUGCACAGGUAUAUCACGGCUUUGUUCGUUUCUCGUCUUUGCCACUGACUUAUCCUCAUUCUCUUUACCAAAUAAAUUUACUUCUGACCUUAAAUUGUUGAAGGUUCUAGAUUUGGAGGAUGUCCCAAUUGAUAAUCUGCCAGACAAUCUAACAUCCUUAUUUAAUUUAAAAUACUUAAAUUUGAGUCGAACUCCAAUUACGGAGCUUCCGGAAUCCAUUAGGCAGCUCCACAACCUUCAGACCUUGAACAUCACGGGGACAAAAAUAGAGGCACUUCCAAGAGGGAUUUCCAAGUUGCUAAAGUUACGCCAUUUACUUAUGGGUAGGUUCAUUUCCAGAAAGAUAAUUGGGGUAAGAAUACCAUCAAGUAUUAGUAAGAUGAAGAAAUUGCAAACUUUGGAAAAUAUUGAAUCAAAAGGAAACAUUAUUAGACUUAUUGGAAGUAUGACCCAGCUUAAGUUCCUCGGCAUUACAAAUGUGAAAGAAAGAGACGAGGAGGACCUAUGUGCCUCAAUUCAAGAGAUGAAGGUCCUUUCCCGCUUGCUUUUAUUUGUAGCUGAUGGAGAGGAAUUUCUUCGAGUUGACGCAUUGUCUUCACCGCCUCCCUACCUUGAUAGACUUAGAUUGGUCGGCAAACUGGAAAAGGUACCACAACGGUUUUGUUCACUCCACUCUCUCGCAUAUUUGAAUCUGCGUGGGUCUAGACUUGAAGAAGAUUUUCUACCUCAUAUUGAAGCAUUGCCCUCUCUACGUUCUCUUUGGCUUGAUAAUACCUCUGUUAAGAAAGAGUUAUGUUUCAACAGAGGCUUUGUGAAGCUUUGGUAUUUGCAGUUUCAGAAUUUCGCAUUAUUAAAUAAGAUAACUAUAGAAAAAGGGACGAUGCCAAAUCUUGAGUUCUUAGACAUUCGUAGUUGCAUGACGUUAGAAACAUUGCCACAGGGUAUUGAGCACCUUAUUAAACUACGAGGAUACAGAUUUGAUAAUGUUUCAGAGAAGUUUAGAGAGUCCAUAAAAGGAGGAGGUGUGGAUCAUCCAAGGAUGCUACUCGUCGACGAGAAAUGUAAGAAACAUAUGUAAGUGUCUUUUAUCCUUUCAUUGACUUUCCUAAACCUAAUGAUUUGGAAUAUUUCCAAAAUUAAUGAUUUGGAUGUAAAGCCUUAUAAAUUGUUUGUUAUUAUAAUAUCGCUUUUGUCUUUUUAUGUAUUUUGCAGAAACAAGUCCACCCUGAUUGAAGAAUUUACCCAUGAGUACUCUUUUUACUCUUUUUGAAAAUCAAAUAAUACCAAAGUUGAUGUUCAUAAAAUUUCAUAUGUCGCUUCAACAAUGGGCAGGCGUAUGUCGACGAUUAGCUUUUAAGAUUUGGAUCAUGGAUUCAUUUAUAUUCGGUGUGUUUGUACUUUCUUCUAUGUUAAUUGUGUUUGUAAGAAUACCAUCAAGUAUUAGUAAGAUGAAGAAAUUGCAAACUUUGGCAUAUAUUGAAUCAGAAGGAAACAUUAUUAGAUUUAUUGGAAAUAUGACCCAGCUUACGUUCCUUGGCAUUACAAUGUGAAAGAAAGAGACGAGGAGGACCUAUGUGCAAUGGCAGAUCCACAUAGGGAUAAGAGGGGUCGAUUGACCCCUGCAAACCUAGAAUCUACCAUAGGAGGCCAAGAACUUAACCCUUGAAAAUUCCCUAGAAGGUGUUUGAUGAAAUGCCACAAAGAGGAAGUAGCCGUAGCACACACUGGUAGCAAGAAGCUAGCUGCGCGCCUGUGAAGCGCUCACAGCGUCUUUUUUUUUCCUCUACGUCAAAACGACAUCAUUCCACUUAAGAUUUUUUAUUUUUUAUUUAAAAAAAACCUGGCCAAAAACGACAUCAUUUUGGCUUAGGUGUUUAAAAAAAAAAAUUACAACUUAGGCAGCAACUCUGCUGCCUAAUAAAACCUACGAGUGCAUCUUGGACGCAAAUGUUUCUCUUUCCUCUCUCCUCCCAUACAAGAGCAAGUAUUUGCUCUUAGAUCUAUAGCAAAUUCUCCUCCAUACAUAUGACUUAUUUGAUAUUUCUUCUCCCUAGCCAACCUUGGUAUGAAUUGACUUGAUGCCAACUUAUUUUUCUCUAUUACGUUGAAGAUUCUAGGAUCAACAGUAUACCUCCAAUGUUGACAAUGCCCUUCUAUUAGCCAUCCUAAUCAUAAUAUACAUCCUUAUUCUCUCAAGGCAUGUUAGGAUUGGCUUAUCCCUUGCAUCCAUAAUGACUGCAUUGAAGCUUUCACAUAGGUUAUUUAACAACAAAUCACACUUAUAGUGUGUUGCAAAAUGAGAUCUUGACCAAUUUCUUGCUGGCCUCUCAAUUAGCCACCCCCAAGCAUCUGCAUCCUCCUUCUUCAUAUUAUCCAUCUCUGCUUCCCACCAAGGAAAUGUGGUUGGCCUCGCAGCAGCCCAUAGCAAAUGUUUCAGAGCAAGUCCUGUGUGUUGGCCUUUGAAGUUGUUAUACAAAUGUCUCACGCACAUUCUGUGUUUAGCAUUUGGUAGAGCUGUUUGCAUAGUGGGAAUUAGCCCCUUCUGUUUAUUACUUUUAAAUUCCCAUGCCAAAUCAUUUUAAAUCCCCAAGUCUGCAAUUAAGAGUUAUAGAAACCAUAUCCAACUACUUUUGCUUUCUAUUUCAACUAUAGCAUAGGCCAAUGGGAACAAAGGUAUGUUCCCAUCAAUACCAACUGUAGUUAAGAUCUGCCCUGAGGAGGGUCCUUUUAAGAGGUAGCCAUCAACACCUACAACAGGCCUACACCCUUCUAAGAAACCAUUUUUAGAAGCAGCUAAACAAAUAUAAAUCCGUUCAAACAAUGCAUCAUCACCUGCUAGUUCAGUUUUAAUUACCACAGUACUUCCAAGGUUGAUCUUCUUAAUUUGCUCUACAUAAUCCCUUAAUCUCUCGUAUUGUUCCUUGUACGAACCUUCAAUGACCUUCUUAGCCAAUUUUUUUGCCCUAUACACUUGGUUAUGUAUAACAUUCAUUACAUAUGUUCCCUCACCUCAUCUUGAAGUUGCCCUACAUUCCAAUUGGGAUUUCUUCUCAUCUUAUCACAAAAUCUUUGUAAAAUCCAUGUUGAAGUAGCAUAUCUUAACCUGUCUACUCUGCCACAUGUAUGAUUAGCAUGUAUAGCCUUUACUUUAAAAAUGGAUUCUCUUUAUCAAUCCUAGAUGCAUAAAGAACAAAUGUACAGUUCCUAGAUCCACGACACAGGACCUUCACUCUUCUCUUGCCAUUUUUAUCAAAUUUCAACAACUUGCCGUUUACAAUUGCAUACUCCUUUAUUGCUUCCUUCAAGUGCUCCCGAUUUGCAAAUUGCAUCUCCAAAUGAAAUUAUGGAUUUUUAAGGUCAGUAGCUCUCCUAUAUUGCUUGAACUUUGGUAGGAGAAUCCUCUAUUUUUUGUCACAUGUCGACUGCUAUUCUCAUCAUCUGAGGUGUUCCUAUCAGAAUAUAAAGUAUCAGAAUCUGCCCCAUCAUCUGAUAUCUCUCCUGGCCCUUGUGUUUCACUCUCAACAUUUACUUCUUCAUCACAAGGCAUAUUUAUGUCUACAUUACAACCUUUCUUUGCCUCCUCAUCUUCACUAAAAGCAUUAUCACUAUCCACAAACUCUGAAUCUUCUUCUUCUUCAUCAAUUGCAGCUUCACAAUCUCCAAGAGAAAUAACAUGCUCAUCAGUAUCUAAAGCUUCAUAACCUCCAUCAUUUGGUCUUCAUUAAAUCUCCCAUAGUUGUAUUCUUCACUUUGCAAACUAAGCCAUUCUACAGAUGUUUGAGUCUAUGUCUUAUCACUUAUUUUUUUGUCAGUAUAGUAUAACACUAACACUCUGUUACUUGUUAUGCAGUCAACCAUGUCACAUAUAACACUGUCAUUGUCAAUGAGCUUUACAUUAGUUUCACCUUUACUAUAAUACAUCUGACAAUAUAUUUGCAAACAUAUCUCCUUCUUAGUUAGGUCCACUUUAUAUCCUAACGCUAUACCUAUUUUCCUUAAAUCCAAGAGUGAUAGAUAAUCAUCCACACAGUAUAUUCAACAUCAAUUUUUAAAAUCUCUACUCACCUAAAUAAGGAUAAAUCACACUUCAAUUAAAGCAAGGAUAGUACAUACCAAGUGUGCUAGUGUGUGUAACUAUACAAUCAAUUGACACAAAUCAUACCAGUAGGACCACAAACCCUUAAAUUCAACCAAGGAUAGUAGGACCAAGUAUGCACUCAAUGUCUGACCAAAACACAAGGUAUGCAUUCAAUGUUGACAUAAAGACAAAAGAAAACAGUUUUUUGUUUGCCCAAAAGAGAGACAAUAACAAAACCCUCAAUUGCUACAUAGUUGGAGCAGACACAGACAGAAUUCCAAAACAACAUAAAGCAAUUAACAUAUAAAAAUGUGCUUCCAUUAGCAUCGCAUAUUGUAUAUUAAGGGGGGGGGGGGGGGGGGGGGGGGUCCUAACCACCCGGAUUUCAAACCCCUCAAAAUUUUCAACAACCCCCUUUGGCCCCCCCAAGGGAAAACCCAAACAUUUUGGCCCUAAAGAACCUUAAACCCCAUGGCCCCCAAAAAAANNNNNNNNNNNNNNNNNNNNNNNNNNNNNNNNNNNNNNNNNNNNNNNNNNNNNNNNNNNNNNNNNNNNNNNNNNNNNNNNNNNNNNNNNNNNNNNNNNNNNNNNNNNNNNNNNNNNNNNNNNNNNNNNNNNNNNNNNNNNNNNNNNNNNNNNNNNNNNNNNNNNNNNNNNNNNNNNNNNNNNNNNNNNNNNNNNNNNNNNNNNNNNNNNNNNNNNNNNNNNNNNNNNNNNNNNNNNNNNNNNNNNNGACAAAAUCGACUCAAAUGUAGUCCAAUUCCUAGCUUUUGCUAUAUCUGAAACCUUCAGCAGAAACCCUUUUGUCUGAAAGCUUCAUCUUGUUGACUCUUCAGCUUUUUCUUUUCUUGUUUGGUUCAUACCUCUAGUCAAAGUUCUGAUGUGUCAUAACUCGUAUAAGAGAAUCUAAAAGAGUAAAAGUCUUUUUUGUCACUCAACUACUCCCUACAUGCCCUAAAUUUAACGAAAAAAUUGACAGAAGUAACGGUGGGACUAGCUGUUCAAACAAAACUAAAGUUAAAGGACCAUGGGUACCAUUUUGGAAAUUGAGGUACUCAAAUGCAAAUCGGGUCAAAGGGGUGACUAAUAAUACUAUUAACCCUAUUGGUAUUGAUUACUCUGGCUUCUCCAAUAAUACGUAUAAUUAGUAGUUUAAACAUUUCACUCAAACAAACCCUAACUAUUAUAAUUCAAAACUUUAAAAUAAAGAAAAAUAAAUCAGUUUUCCAAUCUCUGCACUCACAGCCGUCAGCCAAAAGAAACUAAUGGAAACCCAAGAGGGAUUAGCUUAUUGCACAAAUGCAAAGCAACUAAGCCAAACUUCGACAAUAAGAAAAGCCACUCAGAUGCAUAGAUUGUUUUCGAUUUAGCUACUAUCUGUUUGCCCGUUUUGUGUUUACUCCUGUGAUGGAAGGGCAAAAUUCUCUAUCGCCUUGAAAACCAUUGACUGGUCAACAAGCCAACUUUCUUUGGCGUGCGAGUGUGCCACUGCUAGCAAUGAAAAAUCCUAGUAGACUUCUUUGAAACAGAUAACUUGCGCCCCAAGUUACUGAUUUCUAAAUAAGCGAUCGUGAAUUUAGGUGAGGAAUAUCUCCCAAGUAAGUUCUUUUCUUGCCUCAGACUGGUGAGGACUUCACAAUUUAUCUCAGUACAAGAUUGGUAGUUUUGGCCAAAAUAAAUGAUAAUAAAGUGGAUUUUUUAGACAGAACUGCCUGUUACAAAACUAGAAAGGAAAAGAUCAACUCUAGAAAGACAAAAAGAAGGCUAAAAUUCUAUUUCUGCCUGGAUAGAAGCUUCUAAUCCGGGCUGGACUGAGUAUGUCUGUGCUGGACUGAACUGUCAACAACUUCAACUGCUAAGCUUCAGUUGUAAAUCGAUACCAAAGUUUGAGUUUGACAGAGUUUUAAUAUAUUUCAAGCCUUGGAAGGCUUUUCAAACGGGCAGAACUGCAACUUCUUUGGUCUGAACAGGGCAGAAGUGGCUGGACUUGAGAAUUAACUUUGCGCGACGAAAAACAAUUCGUCGCACAAAGUCACUUUGCGCAACAAACUUUUGCGCGACGAGAAUACUUCGUCGCUCAAAGUCUUGCGAAACAAUUCGUCACGCAAAGUGACUUUGCAGGACGAACGUUUGCUCAACGACAAUACAUCGUCGCUCAAAGUGACUUGCACGACGAAACAAUAAACUUCGUUGCACAAAGUCUUUAGCGGCGAAGUGUGUUUCGUCACGCAAAGUCUUUACAAAAAUAAAUAAAAUAAUUUUUUAAAUCUUUGCAUGACGUAAUCUAAACAUUUUGUCGCCUAAACCAAUUUAUUUUUGUCUUUUAUUUUGUAUGCAUAACACUUAAGAAAUUAAACGGUAUAUAUAUUUAUUAAGCAGCUUUAAAUUUAUUAUUUUAGUUCGGAUAGGAUUUUUGUUAUAAAAAUAUAUUAUUGUAGUUCAUAUUGGGCUUUUGUUAGAAAAUAUAUAUUUUAAAUUGAUGAUCGAAUUAGUUCAUUGUAUUCAUAUAGGGUCAAGGAGUGUAGCUAUAAAAAAUCAUCAAAAUUGGAGUUAAAAUAACCGUUAAAUCGUGAUUUUUCAUUUAUAACCGUCAAAAAUUUUGUCCCAUUACUUGAUCUCUGAAUGUUUAUCUUUUUCGAUUUUUGGCGUAUAUGAUCUCAAAGUAUAAACAAACAAGUUUGACUGUUGGAUCGUUGAAACUAGUUUCGUUGAAUGCAUAUGCCAUCAAAACAAUAUAUUAACUAAAAAUCAAGAGUUUAUUUAUACUUUCGUUAAAUAUAACAUAAGAUUUUGUGGUAUCCACUAGUGUAAAUAUUUUAAAUUGAAGAUCUAAUUCAGUCAUUGUAUUCAUAUAGGGUCAAGGAGUGUAGCUGAAAAAAUCAUCAAAAUUGGAGUUAAAAUAUCCGUUAAAUCGUGAUUUUUCAUUUAUAACCGUCGAAAAGUUUUUUCCCAUUACUUGAUCUCUGAAUGUUUAUUUUUUCUGAUUUUUGGCGUAUACAAUCUCGAAGUAUAAACAAACAAGUUUGACGGUUGGAUCAUUGAAACUAGUUUCGUAGGAUGCGUAUACCAUCAAAACAAUAUAUUCACUAACAAUUAAGAGUUUAUUUAUACUUUCAUUAAAUAUAACAUAAGAUUUUGUGGUAUUCACUAGUGAAAAUAUUUUAAAUUGAAGAUCAAAUUCAAUCAUUGUAUUCAUAUAGGGUCAAGGAGUGUAGUUGUAAAAAAUCAUCAAAAUCGGAGUUAAAAUAACCGUUAAAUCGUGAUUUUUCAUUUAUAACCAUCGAAAAAUUUUGUCCCGUUACUAGAUAUCUAAAUGUUUGUUGUUUGUGAUUUUUUGGGGUAUACGAUCUUGAAGUAUAUGAAAACAAGUUUGACGAUUGGAUCGUUGAAUGGUGUGUGUGUGUAUAAUAUAUAUACACAAAACUUUAACAUUUUUUUUAGACUUUUCUCGACCAAUUUUUUUCGUCACGCGAAACUUUGCGCGACCAAUUUUCGAAUAUUUUUCGUCGCACAAAACUUAAAAAAUUUGAGCGGUUACCAAAAAUGAGACGUGGAAAUUUUUUUUUUAGACUUCGUGCAACCAAUAUUUUUGCGCGCAAAACUUUAAAAAUUUGGGAGGGUACAAAAAAUGAGACGUGGGAAAACUGUUAUUUUUUAAUUUUUUUUGGGACUUUGCGCGACCAAUAUUUUUUGUCGAGCAAAACUUUGCACGACCAAUAAUCCAAUAUUUUUCGUCCCUCAAAACUUUGCGCGACCAAUAUAUAUUUUUUGUCGUGCAAAGUGAUACGGUUUUUAAAACCAAAAUAACUCCUUCACUAUUUUCUCAAUGUCUUUCUCUACUCUUACCUCUCCUCUCUCUUUCCCUCUCCCUAAAUCCCACCCUUUCUCUCACACUCACUCCUCUCUCUCUUCUCUAUCUCUCACUCUCUCAUAUCUCUUUUCACUAUCUCUCACUCUCACUCACUCUCUCAUCUCUCUUUUCACUAUCUCUCACUCUCACUCUCACUCACUCACUCAUCUCUCUCUCUCUCUCUCUCUCUCUCUCUCACUCACUUCUCCCUCUCAUUCUCACUCACUCUCAAUCUUGCCAAAAGGUAUAUUCUUUCCAAAUUUAAAAAAAAUUUCAUUAAUAUGUGUUUUUGGAGUUAGUUUUGAGUUUGUGUGGGGUUUGGAGUUGAGUAUAUGGUGAGGAUUGGAGCUUGGGUUGGAUUUGUGGUAUAACAAUUUUAGGGGAGAUUAUGCCAAUUUUUUUAUUUUUUAUUUUUUGGUUAUUUGACCAUAUUUGUUUUUUUUAGGGAAUUGUCAACACUUUGACGGCUAAAGUUGAGAAUUAGGACGCUAUCGAAACAUAUCCUCCGCCACUUCCACCACAAUAGGCUUGUAUUAGUAUUUUAUUAUUGUACUUUGUUAAUUUAUGUGUACAUUUUGAAUAUUAUAUAUUUAUUGGAUAAUUUGAUCACUAUUUUUCAUAUGUAAUUUUAUUUUGAAUAUGUCAAUUUAAAUUAUUAAAAAAAAUCAUACAAUUAAAUUAAAUUCAAAAAGUCAAAAUUCGAAAAAAUUAAUAUUAAAACAAAGAGUCAAAAACCUUGCGCGACAAAAUAUUUCGUCGAGCAAACUAUUAAAUUAGUUUAUUUUAAAACACAAAAAAUAUUUAAUUGCUCAAAUAUUUGCGCAACAUUAUUAUUCAUCGCGCAAAACUUUAAAAAUUUGGGCAGGUAUCAAAAAUGGGGCGAGAGAUUUUAUUUUAUUUUUUUUGCCUUUGCGCGACCAAUAAUUUUCGUCGCGCAAAACUUUGUUCGACUAAUACUUUUUGUCGCGCAAAAUUUUUCGCGACCAAUACUUUUUCAUUUCGCAAAGUUUUGCGCGACAAAUACUUUUUCGUUGCCUGAAAAAUGAGCAUGUUGCCUGCAACACACACAUCCAAAAUCAAACCAGCAGCAUGAUCAAUUCUAAGAUUUAAAACACCAAUACAUUACCAAACUUUAGAGCAACAGGUCACUUGCCUCUAACUUUGCAAGGUCUUAAGGAUCCAAAUUGCAUGCAGUAAGGACAUGAAGGACAAUGGAGGGGUUGGCAGCUAAAAGGAGUUCUCUGGGGAUAAAGGUCCCAAAGCGAUGGCAUUGCCUCCUUUUGAAUGUUGGUACAGGAGUGGCAACAACAAUAGUGGUAAUUAGCUGGUCAGGAAUGUUAUGGUAUUGUAUAGUUGGGGUUCCACUAGUUUUGGCAUCCACUGGCACUACCAAAAUUCGCAGUGGCCAAGCUUUGGAAAGGAGAAGUUCUAAAUUGCUGAAAAUUAUGAAAUAUUGGUACAACACUUGUCACAUUACUCCUCUCCAUUAUCCAACAUUAGCAUCUAAAGUUUUAAAACGAACACAUUCUUGCUAAUUUUAUUCAUGGAUAAUCUAUGCAGGGGUAUCAACCUUGACAAAUAUGUUAUUGAUCAACAAACUUCAAGUCUCAAACCUACAAAUAAAAAAACAUACCUAAAAAAAACUCUUUAUAUAACAGCAACUACAAGAACCAAUAAUGCAACAAUUUAUGUCCAAUCAACAUGUCAUAAGAAAUGGUGUCAAAGCAACAGAACAUAAGGCAUGUACUGGAAUUGAGAUUUCAAAAUCGUUUACAACAAAAGACCAAACAUCUGCAAAAUUAGACACCAGAGAAAUUCACAACCCGACCAUUUUGAUCAUAGUUCAACCAAAGCCAAAACUGUAGAUUUUCAGGCUAUCCAAAUGAAAAGGGGUUAACAAAGAAACACAAAACUUUAAAACAAUUAUAAUAAAAAAAAAAAAAAAAACUUGAGGUAGACAAAAAGAUGGAAAACUUUGAGAAGUAGAAUACUAGUAAUAACAAGAUACCUCUACAAGAAAAAAGAAAAAAGAAAAAAAAGGUACACUGUUAAUACUACGUCAUAGAAGUACACUGUUAAUACUAUGUCAUAGAACCAUCUUCCAAGUAAAAAUCACAUUUUGCAUAUCAUAAACUUCAAGUGCACAACUAUAUAUAGAACAAAAUAUAGAGCAUGCUUUAUUACUGAAAAUAUGUUAAUACUAUAUCAUAGAAGUACACUGUUAAUACUAUGUCAUAGAAAUAAACUCAAUUGCAGAGUAUAAACAGUAUAACAAUUAUUCAUAUACUACUACAAAAAAGCAAAAAGACGACGGUAAAUCACCGUCGUGUAUUUGGUUUUUCAAUGGUCGUGGAAUCCACCGUCAUCUUUUCCCUCAUAAACCACGACGCUAAAUAACCGUCGUUGUUAAACAAUACAACGUCAUCAAAAAAUACAAAACGACGUCUUUGUACUGCAAAAAGAUCUAAAAAAAGCAAUCGAGGAUGAUAAUAGACGACCAAUUCUCUAAAAACACCGUCGUUAAAAAGGGAAAAUAUGACACAUAUUAAGAGAACAAAGCCGCAAGAUAGACAUACAACGACGACAAUAAAAAUACGCCGACGUUAAAUAUAAUUUUCACGACAAUAAAAAAUAUGACGUCUUUAAAUACAUUAGAAGACGACGUUAUUGAUACCUACUACGUCGCACAUAUAAACACAACCGUCGUACAAUUAAUUUUCCACUUCGAUUUUUCGAUAAAAGAUGACGUGAAAAUAGUUGUCAGUGUCAUUAUUUACGACGUAUGUGUUUCUAUAGUAGACGUUGAAAAACUAAACAACGUCAGUUACAAAUAUAUGAGAGUCGUAUUAAAAAAUUUAUACGUCCUAUUUUCAGAAACAAACAACGACCAUAAAUAUUAGACGUUGUUAAAUACAACAACGUCGGAAAACAAUAAAAACAGACGUGUUUAGUCUGCUAAAGUUCUACAACGUCUCUUAUUUACAAAAAACCGUCGUGAAAUAAAUUUUCCACUUCGAUUUUUCUAAAAAAGAUGACGUGGAAAUAGUUGUCAGUGUCAUUAUUUACGACGUAUACAUUUAUAUAGUCGACGUUGUAUUUAUAUGUAUUCAUUACUCACGACGCACUUAAUAAUAUAGACGACGUUGAACGUCUAAACAACGUCGGUUCCAAAUAAAUGAGAGCCGUAUUACAGAACAUAUAGACGGCGUAGAUUAUGAUGGGAGCCGUAUUACAAAUAACGUCGUUUAAUUGUUAUUAGACGGCGGUUAUAAUGAAUUUCCGUCGGAAUUAAUUUCGUUCCUCUUCGUUUAUAAAAGAACUUGCGACGUGGAAAAUGUAUGAUGACGUCGUAUUUUUUAACGUUCAGAUUAUAUAUCUCGUUUUUUAGACGUCGGUAUUAUGGGAUUGGAGUCGUGUUAUUUUGAAUUACAUGGCGGUUCUUUAUCCUUCACCGACGUGAUAUCCUGAAUAAUUGCUUCACAAUAGCGUCGUGGUUCUUCAUUGUUACGUUGCUUUAAGACGUCGGUAAAUAUGCUGAAUAACUGAUUCACAAUAACGUCGUGUUUUAUUUGAACGUAGAAAGUGAAGAAAUCACAUUACAAUAUAUUACAAAAUUAAUGUCAUACACUGCCAAUUACAUAAGCAUCAUUCAAUCCAUAUAUCUUCACACCCAUCUCGAAUAUUUUGACCGCCUAACUCACCUACCAGUUCAUCAAAUGUGUCAACAUUUGGCAUCCCUCUAGUAAAUGGCUCACACUCAAUUAUCACAUCACCUAAUACUUCAUCACCAAUAACAUCAUUAUAUUCUCUACUAGGCAUUGAUAACACUACCGACCAACCACGAUGCAUCGGGUCGUCAACAAAAAAUAUUUGUUUGACUUGAGAAGCCAAAACAAAUUGGUCAUUCCUAUGUCCAAUUUUACUCAAAUCUACAAGGGUAAAUCCAAGUUCGUCGACUACAAGACCAGAACUAUCUAUCCAAUCACACCUAAAGACUGGGAUUGUAAACUUUUGGUAGUCAAGGUCCCAAAUUUCUUGAAUGACACCAUAGAAACCCAUAUUUGAGAGAAUUGGGUUUUUAUCCUUGGCACUAGCAACUUGCAUGGUAUGUGCAAGUAAAUAAACUCCACUAUUUUGAGUUGUCCGCACAUCAUCUUGUGCCUUGAUAUUGAAUUUAAUACCUUUAAUAAGAUAGCUCCUAUAUAAUGGCACUGACAUGUUUGGACCAGCUGCUAGCCACCUUAAAUUUUCUGAUACGCCAUGAUUGUCUUCCUCAACUUCACUUUGAACCUGCAAAUUAAUCAUAUCUUAAUUCAUCCUAACAUAUAAAUAAGAAGAAAAUUAAAAGAGAAAUACGUUAUUCAACAACAUAUACCUUGAAGCGUAGCCAUUGAAUGAAAGUGCUAUUGUGCUUAUCCUGCAGCCACUUUGUUCUCUUUCUAAAUUUUGGAUAAGCAGUCUUGAUGUGGAUCAUAUGUUGCCUACAUGACACGAAAAAUUCAAGCAUUACGGUCCCAAAUAUAUAAGAUAAACAUAAGAAAUAAUUUUAAAUGGAAACUUAAAGAAUAAAACUCAUACGUACUCGAUAUAAGGUAGGACUUCCUCCGUAUUCUCCAAGACAUAUAGAUGUGCUUGAUUCAACAGGUCCUGAUCAACUACGCUCACUGUGCAACCUGAUAAUGGCUUUGAAACUCCCAUCUUUUGGCUUGAAGGCACUCCAACUGUACUAACAUCAGAUAAAUGCUGAGUACAAAACUCUACCGCUUCUUCAGCUAUAUACCGCUCAGCAAUGCAACCUUCGGGACGAGUACGAUUCUGAACAUACCCCUUCAGCACUUUCAUAUAUCUUUCAAACGGAUACAUCCACCUAAAAUAUACUGGCCCACAUAGACGAACUUCUCUGACAAGAUGUACUACUAGAUGAACCAUGAUAUCAAAGAAUGAAGGGGGAAAGUACUUCUCAAGCAAACACAGAGUAACUACUACAUCUUCUUCCAACUUAUCUAGCUUGGAAACAUCAACAGUCUUUGCACAUAUAGCAUUGAAGAAGAAGCACAAACGAGUUAUUGCAUACCUUGCAGGCUUCUCCAAAACAGAACGAAUUGCCACAGGGAGCAAUUGUUGCAUUAAGGUAUGACAAUCAUGUGAUUUAAGGCCAAGAAGUCUUGAAUCUUGUACAGAUACAAGAUUUUUAAUAUUUGAAGAAUAACCUUCAGGGACCUUCAUACCAUAGAAAGAAUUGCAAACCUCUCUCUUCUCUGCUCUUGACAAAUUCCAAGGCCCAGGAGGCAAACGAGUACGUCUUUCUCCAUACUCGGGUUGCAAAUCAGUUUUGACCCCCAUGUUCAAUAAAUCUAAUCGAGCAGCAAUCCCAUCUUUAUUUUUUCCAGGGAUCUCCAGCAAUGUACCAAUGAUACUAUCGCAAACAUUCUUCUCAAUGUGCAUAACAUCUAGGGCAUGCCUCACAGGAAGGUAUUUCCAAUACUCGAGAUCAAAGAAUAUUGAUUUCUUCUUCCAACAAACUCUGUCACCAUUUUCAACCAUAUGCAGCACUUCUUCUCCGGUUAAUGGCUCUGGAGGUAUGCCAUAUUCAGGUUUCCCAUUAAAAGCUGCACGUUGCCUCCUAUAUGGAUGAUUGAUUGGUAACCAUUUUCUAUGCCCAAUGUAACAAAUUUUGUGGCCAUUUUUCAACCUGUGACUAGGUGUAUCAUCGCCGCAUAUUGGACAAGCUUUAUAUCCUUUAACAACACAACCAGAUAAGUUUCCAUAGGCGGGGAAAUCAUUAAUUGUCCACAUUAAUGCAGCUCUGAGUGUAAAGUAUUCUCCAUUAUGUGCAUCAUACACUCCUCUAAUCCCAACCCACAAGGAUUUUAAAUCAUCAAUCAAAGGCUCCAAGUAGACGUCUAUAUCAUUUCCGGGUUGUUUAGGACCGGAAAUCAAUAAGGUUAACAUCAUGAACUUUCGUUUCAUGCACAGCCAUGGAGGGAGAUUAUAUGUAACUAAGAUAACCGGCCAACAACUAUAUCUGCUACUUAGAGAACUGUGGGGAUUGAAUCCAUCAGAUGAAAGAGCCAAUCUCAAGUUUCUCGGCUCAUUACCAAACUCAGGCCAUUUAUCAUCAAGAAGUUUCCAAGACGGGGAAUCCGCCGGAUGAGACAUCUGACCGUCAAUUGAUUUUCUAGCAACAUGCCACCAAGUCAAACUCUUAGCUGUCUCAUGUGAUUGAAACAUCCUUUUAAACCUUGGAAUUGGGGGAAAAUACCACACCACCUUCGCUGGCACACCCUCUUUCAAGAUUGCAUCUUUGCCUUCCUUCCACCUUGAGAUACCACAAGUAGGACAAUUAGUUGAAUCCUCAUACUCCUUCCUAUACAAGAUGCAAUCAUUGGGGCAUGCGUGCAUUUUCUCAUAACUCAGCCCCAAUGCACACAAAGUCUUUUUAGCCUCAUACAUGGAGGUUGGUAUUGUAUUUCCUUCUGGAAGCAAAUCGCCUUGAAGUAUCAAUAAUUCUGUAAAACAGACAUCACUCAUCCCAUGUUUUGCCUUCAAAUUAUACAACUUCACUAAUGCCGAUAACUUCGUGUACUUUCUACAACCAGGGUACACUGGUUGAUCUCCAUCCCCAAUCACAUUGGCAAACUCAUACGGAUCCGAACCAAAAUCACCAAAAUCAUUAUCAUCCAUAUCAAUUUCUUCAGACACAAAACUGUACCUACUAUGGCCAUCAUCUUCUUCAACAUUUCUGCUAGCAUUAGUAGUUGCUUCCCAAGGUUCUCCGUGAAAUGUCCAAUUCUUAUAGCUUUGGUCAAUUCCAUUAAAGUAUAAGUGAUCCCUUAUAAUUCCAACCCCAAACAACUUCAAAUUAACACAUUUAACACAUGGACAACGGAUAUGUGUUGUAGUUAGAAGAUUUUCUACAGCAAAGUUCAAAAAUGCUUCCACCCCAAACUCAUAUGCCUUCGAUCUUCUAUCCGAGUGCAUCCAUGACUUAUCCAUCUCCGACACUAUAACCUAUUAUCUAUAAUAAAGUGAAAAUACAGGCAAUGACCAUCACUAUAGCAGAUUAUACAAUGAUCUAAUCGCAAGUAAUAAACAACAGAGACGACGGGUUUUAAUCAAAAACAGACGUAUUUGGCAUAUAUAGACGACGGAUUUUCAACAGACGUCGUCUAUUAUACGUAAUACAAACGACGGUUUAUGAAAAAACCGUCGUGUAUAAGUAAUACAACGACGGUAGUUUAAAAACACCGUCGUGUAAUCGUCGUCGUACGCCUUAAAAUUCGUCGUGUCUCAGUUUAUUUUCAAGAACACAAAACCCAUUAAGAACACAACAUAUAUAUGAAACCAAGCAAGAAACCAACAUAUACAUGAAACCAAGCAUGAAAACAAUAAAUCCAUUCCCAAUUCAACAUAACAUAGGGUGAUUAAAAGAUACGACAAAAUUAAAUCCAUUCCCAAUUCAACAUAACAGAUAAUGUAAUCCAUGAACCCAUUAAACAGAAAAUCCAUGAACCCAUACCUAUAAGCAUUGGUGCACUUUGCACCUUCUCCAGAGCGGAAAAUGACAAGAUCAAAUAAAGGUGUCCUUUUGCUGGAAAUCAUUUGGAAGUUGGUGAUGUGUCUUUUUGUGUUGAUUUCCAGCAAAAGUACACCUUUAUUUGAUCUUGUCAUGAACCCAUUAAACAGAAAAUCCAUGAACCCAUACCUAUAAGCACAUUAUUAACAGAUCGCAAAGCAUAUACCUAAAACCCUUUAACAAAACAACCUAAUAUCAUUCAAUGAAUUUACAAGGGGAAGAUAGGGUUUGUACUUACAGGUUGGACGAGCUCACAGAUUCGACGAGCCUGGAGAGUGCAACUUUUAAUUAGAGCAGAAGUGAGAGAGCGAAAUGUUAUGUCGCGUGAAAUCUGAAAUUUUAGGUUUCAGGGAUCAAAGUAUAAGAAUAAGAGCCAAAUCUAAAAAAAUUUAGGUCGCGCGAAAAUUUUUAGAGCGCGCGCGUUAUAAAACGUCGAAAGAAAAACCAAGGCGAAAGUUCUACAAGUACCGACGUAAAUUUAAUAUUCCACGACGGAAACUUCAUUUUUCGGAUUAAGAACGUAAGGCCGUUCAUUUUUCGGAUUAAUUUUAAAUUUAUUUUGAAUUUUUUAUAUAACGACGACUGAAAAACCACGUCGGUGUUAAGAAAUUAAAGACGUUGUAAAUUAUAUAAACCGACUUACAUAUUAAAAUAACGUCGUUUAAAGCGUAAACCAUGUCGUAUGUUUUACUGUACGACGUAAAAUAUGUAUUCCACGACCCAACCACCGUCGUUAAAAAUUAAUACACUAAACCCAUAAAAUUAAAUUAUACAAUUUAAAAAAUUAAGUUUAUAAAAGGUUUUAUGGUUUUAAAGCCUAACAUAUACCCUAGACUACCCAAAAAUUAUACUUUAAAAAUAAACCCCAAUAAAUAACAACCCUAAUCUCUAAACCCUAGACUCUAAACCCUAAACCAUAAAACUAGAAGUGAUUUUAUGACUCAUCAAAACAAUUUUGUUUUGGAUGGUCAUUUUAAAUUUUUGUUAUUCAAAAUGAAUUUUUUCAAGGUUUAUGUGGAAGAAAAUAUAUCAAUGACUUCAUAGGAGUUGACUUUUCAAUUUUCUGAUUUAUUUUAUAUUUAUUUUGAAUAUUUUGAUAUAAAAAUAAUAAAAUAUUCUUACCAUACAACAAACCACGUCGGUGUUAAAUAAAUUGUAGACGUUGUAAAUUGUAAUAGACUACUAAGUCGUUAAAAUGACGUCGUUAAAAUGAGAAACCAUGGCGGCUAUUUAACUAUACGACGUAAAAUAUAUAUUUUACGACUUAACCGCAGUCGUUACAUAAACGUCGUCGAUUAUACCCUGAACCCUUAAGAAAUUGAAGAUAUUGUAAACCAUUAACGACUCAAUUGUUCAAAGAACGUCGUCUAACUAUUUUUUUACGUUGUAUUUGUUUAAAACACGCAACAACAAAAUACGACGGUUAUUGACUUUAUUAGGUCGUUGGAAAAGUAUUACACGUCGGUUAAGCAAUUUCUAUGUUUGUUUUUUUUUUUAAUUUAAGAAAACCUCAACAAAUUUUUACAUUACAUAUUAUAGAGAAAAUUGGUACAUUAUACAUAAAUAUCAAGUGUUCAAUAAUUGCCCUGUUUAAUAAUUUGGAAAACAAACUCUGCCCAUUUAUUCCGGACUUCAUCAAUGGCUUCUUGGGGGUAUGAAGCUUCCUGGUUUCCCUUGGCAUACUGCAUAAACAAUGACUAUUAGGGUUUAUAAAUAAAAAGAAAUUCAAUCACAGACGACGAUAUUUUUCAUAACCGACGUAGUAUAUCCAUUCAACGACGUUAAUUUUACACGACCGUCGUUGAUAAUACAAAAAACGACGUGAAAUGUAUGAAGGUAAUUUCUUCUUACCUUAUUCUCAAACCCCAAGGAAGGAUCCAUGAUGAUGUCCCUCAUGAAGCGCAUUACAUAAUACCCGCAUUCGACAUUGCUGGGUUGCUUUGGUGUGCCUGAGAGAGUUUUCCAAAUUACAUUUUUACGUCCUGCUCGGGCUAUGUGGGUAUUAUAUAUUUUUAAAGCACUGUUCACGAUGUUUUUGGCCUCUUCAUCGACCACACGAUUUCCUGGCAGAGGAUCCAGAAAAUAGACGGUUUCUCUCUUUGCUCUUACAAUCAGCAAAAUCCAAUGACGGCUGCACAAAAUUAAUAUAAAAACGACGGUUAUUUACAAAAACGACGUAUUAUAGUAUUUCACACGACGAAGUAAAGUAGCUAACGACGACAUUAUAUAUUUAUCACGACGAUAAAUAAAUACCGACGUGGUUAGUAGUUUCAAACGACUAAAUAAAAUAAAACACCGACGUGGUUAGUUUAUAAGCUGUCAUUUAUUGAAAAUCAUAAAAACAAAAUCCUAAGGAGACUAACCCUGGAUUGUAAGGCAUCAUGAAAAUCUGUUCACCGUCUGUCUUCUGAAGUCGAGCUGCUACCAGUCGUGAUCUUGCAGUUAUUGUGCCAGAGUUGGCACUAACUGUAGCAGGGUCGAUAAAGCCAACCAUACUGCACAUAAAGCCAACCAUACUGCACAUAUUGGCUUUUUUCAAAACAUCGUGUAAGUACCUAAACAAAUAAAAUAAUAUAAACAAGUCAGUAUAAAAAAACGACGUAUUAUAAUAUUUCACACGACGUACUGAAAUAGAUGAGGACGUUAUAAUAUAUUUAUCACGACGGUUGUUAGUUAAGACGACGUGGUUAGUUAGUUAAGACGACGCAAUAUAUAAACCAACGAGUUAUUAUUUUAGAAGUACAAACCUCAUAUAUACAGCCAAUACAGUAGCUCCAAUUUCUUCCAUGCCUGCAAAUUGUGUAAUAUCUUCAGGCAGGAGGAAGGUAUCGCGCUCACCACCAAACACCUCCUUAUCAAUUGUAAAUUGGACUGUCUUAUCCUCAGGCAGGAGUGUCGUUUCCACAAAACGACAAAGGGUUUUUAAAGAAGAUGGCGCCUCCAUUUUUGAAUAAGCACCAACUUCAAUAACCUGUUUAAAGAAAUAAAAAAAAUGACGUGGUAAUUCAAUAAAGACGACGGUUUAAGUAAUAAAACGUCGUCUUAAAAGUAUUUAAACGACGGUGAAAAAACUGUCGUGGUAAUUCAAUAAAGACGACGGUUUUAUGAAUAAAGCGUCGUCUGAAACCAUUUAAACGACGGUGAAAAAACCGUCGUUUAAAUAUUUUAUUACGUCUUAAAAAAAUUCCGCCGUCUAAGUUGUAAACAAACGACGGAUUAAAUAAAAAUAUCGACGUCUGAAAUUUUGAAAAACAAAUAAAAAAGGCAAAGUUAUGUUAACAUACCUUGUCGUCAUGCUUUUCUUCAUCUUCUUUCUCCUUUUCUUCUUCCUUCUCUUCAUCUCUUUUUUCUUCUUCCUUCUCUUCAUAUCUUUUUUCUUCUUCCUUCUCUUCAUCUCUCUUUUCUUCUUCAUUCUCUUCAUCUGGCUGAUGUUUCCCCAUUUUGGCAGUAUCAUCCUCCAAAUGUAGGGAUCUCACAUCACCUCCAGAGCAGCUAGCUUUGUCAGACAUUGGAUUUUUGGGGCUUUGGCUAAUUCUUGCUUUAAGCAUGCUUGGAUCAAAAUUGGGAAUUAAUUGGGAAAGCUGACUCAGGAAAUGCUCCCUCUCAGCCUCUACCAAUUGUUUUGUCCUAGCCUCCAUCCUUAAGGCCUCUUCCCUUGCCUUAGCCUCCAUCUUUUUAGUCUCUUCUUGAAGGAGAACUCUUAAACUGUCCUUCAAACGGUCGUCAAAGCUCACCCUCUGUGGUUUGGGCAAAUUGAAAUAUUGCCUUGGGGAAACACCAGCACCAACUCCCCUCACCCUGCCUGGAUGCUCGGGGCCCAAAGCCAUGGUCAGCACAUCAUUGCUGCCAUCUACUCUGACUUUGCCUUCCGAGACUUGUUUCUGCAAUUCAUCCUAAAAAAAGAUAAACAAAAAAACACACGACGGUUAUUUAUGUACAAACGACGUAUUAUAUAAUUUCACACGACGCAAUAACAUAUAAAACGACGUUAUUAUAACUUAUCACGACGGUAGUUAUACCGACGUGGUUAUUUAUUUAAAACGACGAAAUGAAUAAACAACCGACGUCUUAUGCUAUAAUUAAAGAUAACAGAGUAGUGAUUCCUAUUUAGACCGUUAACGACGUUUUUAAAAAAUUUUCGACGUGGUAAUAUCAUUCACACGACGCGAAAAUGAACCACCGACGUCUUAUGCUGUAAUUACAGAAAACAUAGUAGUGAUUCCUAUUUAGACCUUUAACGACGUUUUUAAAAACUUUUCGACGUGGUAAUAUCAUUCACACGACGAAAAAUAUAACAUACGACGUAAUAAGAAUAAUUCACAGUUUAAUAAAAAUUUAAAACAGAGUGAUAGUAGGCUUACAAUUAAUUUUGCUUUCUCUGCCACCUUUGGAUCAGGGAUGUUACCAUGUUUGUCCUGUCUAGCUCUCUUCCAUAAGGUAGAUCGAUCAAUUUCUACCCCAGGCAUGGUUUCCUCCAAUUGAUCCUCCAAUCCAGCAUAUCCUUUUCGAGACAAUCGAUGAUUGUACUCGAGUUUCUCCCUAAUCUGUGAAUGUUGAGAAUGCACAGACUGAAAAUCUUUGGAUAGCCUUGAAGCUACAAAGGCAUCCCAUUGUGCUUUCUCUAUGAAUUUAUAUGUUUCAGGGGGUUGGCUUAAUUUCUCCCUGUCAUUGGUGUAUGGAAGGAUAUAAUGCCUCGUUAGUGUAGACUUGAAAUCCUUCCAUUUCUUGGAAGCAGAAGCUAAAACAGAGGUCUUGCCCCCUUGGCCUACGACAAAAGCCAUGUCAACUGCUUCCCAAAUCUGCUCCUUUAUAUCCUUUGGGAUUUGGGACCAUUUCUUGUCCACAAGUGGGAUCCUGGAGCGUGCCAAGACACCAAUAUACGACUGCAUCUCAAUAUGUGCUUGGCCAACACCUUUCCCCCUUUUAUUGUACUCAACAAUUGGCCUCAGUUUCUGAAGCUUUCUCUUCACAACACGAGGCAUUGUGCUCAUACCUCGACCAGUCUUUGAAUCAUCUGAGAUUGUUGUCUGGCUGGUUUGUUCUGUCUCAGCAGAUGAUGCAGCAAACUUCAUCUUCUUCGAAGACUUCAUCUCCUUCGAAGACUUAUCUUGAGGAGCUACCAUUCCAAGCUUCUUGGAGCCAGAAUCCUUAGUUUGUUGUUGAGAAACCAUUUUAACAGACAAAACUGCAAGUGAAAAUAUUUCAGGAAAACAUUAAGAACACAAACGACGGUAUUAAAAAAAUACGACGUAUGAUAUGAUUUUAGACGACGCAAUGAAAUAAUCUCAGACGUAAUAAAUGUUUAAAACCAUUAUUUAUAUAACGUCGUGGUAUAUAUGUUCACACGACGUCAAUAGUAAUACACCGUCGUGGUAAACUAUUAUUUAUAUAACGUCGUGGUAUUUAUGUUCAUACGACGUCAAUAGUAAUACACCGUCGUGGUAUUAACAUUCACACGACGUAAAACAAUAAGAUAUUUUGUCGUCUAUAUUAGAUACCAACCCUAGUUUCUUUUUCUUUAUAUUUUAUCAAAUAAGGGAAAAACAAAAACCAUUGUUCAGCGAAAUCAAACCUGCAAUUAAACAAGCAUAUAAAAAAAGACUAUUAUUUUAAAAACAACUUUGUCAAUUUUCAGACGACGCUAGAACAACUGACGAACCGUCGUGGUCUACCGUCGUCUUAUUUAGUUGAUGUAGUUGUCUUCAAAGUUGGAAACUUUCUCUCUUUGUCUGUAUAUUUUAUCAAACUUGGAAAGAAGUAAAAUGAUUUUGGCCAGAAAAAAGGUAAAAAGAUUUUUCAAACAAAAAACGUAUGAGCAUGCAAAACAGUAACCAAAAUAGUGAAAAUGAAAGCUUACCUUUUGCGUGCAAUGAAAGCAAGAGGAAGAUGAUCGAUGUUUAAGUUCAGAGACGACGAAGAAGACGAGAGGAAGACGAUGAGAAACUCUGACAAUGCUCUGACAAGGAAAAAAGACGAAAAGGUUUCUCUGGGAGAUUGAAAUUUUUAAUCGGGUUUGGAAACAGUGCAUGUGUAAGUCGAAAAGUUGCUUACAUAUAAAACCAUUUCAAAAAAAUAAUACGGCGGUUACAUUUAACUACGUCGUUUUUAACUAAAACGACGCAAUAUUUUUCAUUCGACGUGGAAUCAUUUCAUUUAACGUCGUUAGGUUUAAUAUAACCGACGUGGAUUUUAAUUUUUAAAUUAUGAAUAGAAUUUUUUUUCCCGUGACCUUUCAGUUUAUUUUUCAAUUACAGUGCGUUAUAAAUAGAGUUUUUUUUCCGGAGGAAAUUUAAAACGAAGGAAAUUAAUAUUCUGCAAUAUGUAAAGUUUCUUUUUUGGAUGACAGAUUUAAAUAAAAUAAGAAUAUAAAAACAACAAAUGUGUAAGUCAAGUAGACGAAAAGUUGCUUACAUAUAAAACCAUUUCAAAAAAAUAAUAUGGCGGUUACAUAUAACUACGACGUAUAAAUUACAAAAUACGACGGUACAUUUAACUUCGGACGUGGUAAAUAAAUACGACAGUAGUUUGUAGGUACCGUCGUAGUAAACUCAAAAAUUAAAGUACAUAAGUAAUAACUCGCGUCAUGGUAUAUUAUUUAACACGUCGUUUUUAUUAAUUUACCGACGUGGAUUUCUGUAAUAUACGUCGAUCAUACCGACGUUGAUUUUACAAUUUAAACGGCGGUUUUUUUGUAAGGACCGCCGUUGGUUUUAAAAAUUUAUUCUAUAAAUUUGUCGCUUUCAUUCAUUUUCGGUUUACAUUUAAGGUUCCAAGUUCUUCCUCUCUCAGUCUCUCAUGUCUCAAAGAUAAUAAUUUGGAUGUUUUCUCAAAGAGAAAUUGAGCUUACUCGCAUCAAAUAUAUGUCCACAAGAAGAAGCUUGUCAACUAGCCUUCUCACUUCCUUGAUCAAGCCUGAUAGGACACUUAGUGCUUCUGAAUACUCCUUGCUUUCCAUCAAAAGAGAUGCAAGUCUGGCCUCCACUCGCUGUCGAAGGAAAGUUCGCUUCUCAGGGAAAUCUGAAGAUCAGAUGUGCCUGAUCCUCUGCUUGAUUUUCUUGCCUAAGAAGAUCCGUCGGAUUUAUUGUGAUAGCCUCUUCCUUUAUCCGUAGAGCUUCAGAAGAAGAAGAUGGGUUUCAAGAAUGCGAUAAAGAAUAGAAAUGGCUUCAGAUGGCCUCUAAAGCAUGAGCAAUUGAAUCAGUAGUUUCUGGGAGAUAUGAUGAAGACAUUGUCAAUGCUUUGAACUACACAAGUCCUGCAGAAAGAUAUGUUAAAGAAACUGAAACAACGGCGGUUUUCUGUUCUACCGUCGUCUUUUCUCGUCGUCUAUAUUAAGUUACGAUGGCGGUAGAUUUAUAAUUACCGACGUAGAUUAUUUUGUUAAACGUCGUUAAGUGUACUACAACCGACGUGGAUUUUAAUUUUAAAUUAUAAAUGGAGUUUUUUUUCCCGUAUUCUUUCAGUUUUAGUUUUCAAUUCCAAAGCGUGAUAAAUAGAUUUUUCUUUCCCGAGGAAAUUUAAAAUGAGGGAAAUUAAUGUUCUAGAAUUUGUAAACUAACACGACGCAAUAUUUGCAAAUCUGUGUCAUCUGUUAAGAUUAUGAUGUGGAACAGAGUUCCAUCUGGUAAGAUUUCGUAACCCUUGGGAUCUCAGACAAAACUGAUUAUGUCGGCGGUGUUCUAUAUAAACCGUCGUGGUUAUUUCAAUUCUUGUCAUUAAGUAGAUCUACCGACGUAGGAUAAGAAAAUCAAAGAAAAAAAUUGUUAACAAAAAUUCUUAUUAAGACGACCGUUAAAAUUAAAGGUACGACGUAUAAAAUGAAUAAAUACGACGAUAAAUUUUAUUGUACGAUUUAAAGAUAACGUAGUAGAACUAUACGAGAAUGACGUCGAUAUAUUUAUAUUUUCCGUCGUUGUAAAUUAAUUUAAUACGGCGAUAUUUUGUAUUUUAAAGCCGUGGAUUUGUUUGUAAUUAUACGGCGUCUUAUACGAAAACCUCGUCGUCUUAUUUUAUGAGUAAAAACGGCAGUUUUUAUUGAAAUCGUCGUCUUUACUUUCUACGUCGGUCGAUUCAUAACUUCUGCCGUUCUUUGUUGGCAUUGAUUUUACACUGCGGAAAUCUGUUUCAAAUAGACGUCGGUUGUUUAAUUAUGUACGUCGUUGUUUUUGAACAGCCAUUUGAAACUCCAUUUUUUAGUUGUCUAAGGUUGUAUUACACGACGGUGUUUUUAGAACCGUCGUCUUUUUAUAAACCACGACGGUUUUCACUUAGACCGUCGUUGUUUUCUGGUCGUCUUUUUCACUUUUUGUAGUAGUGAUACCACUUACUAGAAGUUAACAACUACAUCAUUUCAUUUACAUAAUAGGUAGGAUAAAAGUGUACAACUCCAUACCAUUCAAAAUCAAUACACAAACAAGAAGAAGAAGUUGCAUUUGAAUCAACAAACAAACCCUAAAUGGAUAAUACUAGAAAAAACCGUGAAUAUGGAGCUCAAACCUGAUUAAACUUUAAAAGCUGAUAAACAACAUCAUCUCUAACCAGUGCCUCUCCAACAAACAAGACAAGAUUUGAAUUGUUAAGAUUGACUAGCUUUGACAGUGCCCUCAUUAACAAUUCAUUAUCAUGAAAGGCAUAAUAUAAUAUAUUUUCACAUUAUAUAUAUAACUAACAGUAGCUUAGCAUGUACACUGAAAAAGGAAUUUUAACUUAUAGGUCUCAACCCUCAUUAAUGGCAAAACCAAGCUAGAUAACUUAUAGGUCUCAACCCACUGAAACAGGAAUUUUAACAAGUAAACAACAUUAUUAUCCUUCUGUAAUAGCAAAAGCAGUGGUAAGAUUGAAACAAAAAUUGCUAACUAACAGUAGCUUAGCAUGUACAUCAUACAAACUGUAAACGUUUGUGCAAAUGCUCAACCAUUCUACUAAAUACUAAAAACACAUUACCAUCAUUACAAAUCAUAUUAGAACUAACACAAAUAAGCAAGCAAGUAAUUUCAGGUUUUUUUUAUAUCAAUUUAUUUAUCGCAAUUUGUAAACAAAAUGCAAAACUAAGGAAAAAAAAACCGUAGACAUAUUCAAAUUAAUCACAAAAUCGCAAAGAAACUGCUCAACAAGCUUCGAAUUUCAGCGAUAAUCAAACCGGAUCAUACCAAUAUGAUUCGGCUGACCUUGAAAUGGUAUCUUCGUUCUUCUUAAGCUCAUCCUUGUGAGCGAUCUCUCAGAUCUGGUGCAGUAUGUGGCCAUGAGCGUUUGGACAAAAUUACGACUCAGAAGUUGUGGGCGUGGAUGAUGUAUCUCCUUCAAAGUGAAAGAAGCGACAAGGAAGAUGACGAACCUAAGUCUUGGAAGAAGAACCGAUAAGAGCAUUGCCUAGAGCACCGAAAGGAUUGGCGGAAGAAGAUGAGCCUGGAGUCGGACAAGCUGCUCCAUGAGUCAUAAGCUUAUGCAUCGCCAUGGUCAAUACUCUUCUUCUUCUUAUUCCUCUUCAAUCUACAACAUAAUUGUUAUUAAAUAAAAGAUUAUAAAAUAAUAAUAAAAAAUAAGUCGUCUGUUUCUCAAAAUUGCACCCAAAAGGGCAAAAUUGUAAUAUAAUAUAAAUGUUGAAUUGAAAAAAUCAACAGCUGUUGAUUUUUAGGUUUAUUUUGGGUGUAUUUAUAAACAUUAAAUACUAUAGAGUUUAUUUAUAGUUUUAUGUUUAGGAGAAUGGGUAUUUAACUAAUUUUCUUUAAAAAUAAGAUUAAUUGAUAAAUCCCAUCGAUUGGAAAAGUUCAUUGAAACUAAAAUUAUUUCGAGAAUCUUAUUUGAAAACUUAAUAAAACGUUUGGGAUUACCUACCCAACCAUUGAGGAAUUGGGUUUUUAAUAUAUAUAUUUUUCCUUUUAUCAAUUAAGAAAUAAUUAAAACAGUUGAAAAUGGAGUGCAAGUUAGAAAAUUAAGUAUAAAAAAAAAAAAUAUAUAAAAGUAAAGUAAAAAGAAAUUAAUAUAAAGUAAGAGUAGAAUAGGAAAGAGAAAGAAUAAAAAAGAACAAAAUUGAUUAAAAAAUAUUAAAAAAUAAAAAAGAGUGUAAAUGGACAAAAGAUAAGUAGGAAAAAAAAAAAAAACCUCUAGAAACUAUAUUUGGAGUAACAUACGAAAAAUUGUGUAAAAUAGGACUAUUAAUAUUAUAUAUUCAAAAAUAAAAUAAAAUAUAACAUACAAAAUCCAAAAAAAAUAAAUUAAAAAAAGAAAGGAAACACAUGCACUAAUAUCAUUAGUGUGGGUACAAUGUAUGCGUGGAUAAGGUUUGUGUAUGAGAGAGGUAGCAAAAUUGUGUAUUGUAGAGAAACAAAAAAAAAAAGUCGUGUCAUAAUUACAACUAUCCAUAUUACACUUCAAUUUCAACUUAAAUUAUCAUUCAACUUAAUUAAAUUCAAUAGAAAUUUAGUUAUAUACCCAAUCUUAGACAUGGUUUUAUAAAGAAACCCUACACCGUUUAAAAACUAUAAACACACCCAAAAAAAAUCCAAAAAUUGACAGCUAUCAAUUUUUUUUAAUUUAAUAGUUGUUUUUUAGUUUAUUUGUGUGUGUUAAAUACCUAUAUUGUCCUUGUACUAUGGAUUUAAGAGAGGAAAAUUAGAUCUGCCCAAAUCUGCCAUAAAACCAAAUAUUUCCAUGUCUGCCAAAAAACCAAAUCUGCCAAAAAAACCAAAUCUGCCAAAAAAUCAAAUCAUAUUUAUUUUCUCCUUUCUCGCUGGUGUUUUCUCUGGUGUUGGAGCAAGAGGAGCUUCCAUUGAAGCUUAGUCUCAGGUCCACUAUAUUAUUCAUCUUUAAUCUACAAUUUUCAAUAUUUCACCUUCAAUUUCUUGUUCUAAAAUCGUGCUUCUAUUGAUUUUUUCUUUUUUCGGAUUGUUCAAGACCUUGAAAAAACCUCGAUCAGAUGCUUUUAGCUCUGCUCCUCAUCUUCGAGCUCUACUCCUCUUUCGCCACAUCAUUGUCGUUGUUAUCGUCGUCGCCGUCGUCGUCGUCGUUUGGUUUGUACUUGAGAUUUUUGAUCUUUUGCUUCAAUUAUGUGUUUCUCUUCGGAUUUUAGUUGAUUUUCGAAAUGUAUUUGAAGCUUUGAUGAUCGAUUCAACUAUUGUUACUAUUUCAGUUAUGAAUCUCAUUUUUGUUUAACAAUGUACUUCUGUGAUAGGGUAUUAACAAUGUACUUCUAUGACAGAGUAUUAACAAUAUACUUCUAUGACAUAAUAGUAUUAACAAUCUGGGCUCAGCUUGUUUUGAGUUGGUCUGGUUUGUUCUUUCUUCAUCUUUUCUUUGGUGGACAUGUAUUAGAAAUAGCAACAUGAUAAACAUUAAUCAACAUGACAGUAAACUAGCAGUGUUAUUACCCUAGACUAGAACAUUACAGGGGUAAACAUGCAUUAGAAAUAGGAUGUCAUAGGAAAUAGCAGUGCUAUUACCCUAGACUAGAACAUUAUAGGGGUAGAUAUGCAUUAGAAAUAGAAUAUCAUAGGAAACAAGCAGUGUUAUUACCCUAGACUGGAACAUUACAAGAGUAAACAUGCAUUAGAGAUAGGAUGUCAUAUGAAACUAGUAUUGUUAUUACCCUAAACUAGAACAUUACAACCAUUAAUCAGCAUGACAAUAAACUAGCAAUAUUAUUACCCUAGAUUGGAACAUCAGCCAUUAAUCAACAUGACAAUAAACUAGCAAUGUUAUUACCUUAGACUGAAACAUUACAUGGGUAGACAUGCAUUAGAAAUAGGAUAUCAUAGGAAACUAGCAGUGUUAUUACCCUACACUGGAACAGUACAGGGGUAAACAUGCAUUAGAAAUAGGAUGUUAUAGGAAAUUAGCAGUGUUAUUACUCUACACUGGAACAUUACAACCAUUAAUCAACAUGACAUAGCAGUGUUAUUACCCUAAACUGGAACAUUACAACAAUUAAUCAACAUGACAAUAAAGGUGUAGAACAUUACAAUGAUUAAUUAACAUGACACGUUAAUGAAACUACGGUUUUCAAGACCUUUUGUUUGUAAUGAAUUGUUUGGGUUUUUUUAUAAAAUUGGGUUGGGCUUGUUUUGGGUGCUAUUUAAGUUUUUUGUGUUGGUCUUCUUUUUUAAAUUGAUCAAUGACAGUCAUGUAAUUUAUAAGAACUUAAACACUAAUUUUUUAUGUAGUAAAUGAGUUUUGGGUGUGUUUCUAAAGUGCAAUCCAUGUGGGGUUUUUUUUUAUAAUUUCACUCAAAUUCAUUUCAAUUUAAUUUGAGAAAAAUAAUAAAAUAAUAUAUUUUUCUUAGAGAAAAUGGGGUAAAAAUUAAUGAAACUAAUACAGCAUAGUGUUUUCAUCAACAAUUCAUCAUCAAGAUAAAUGUCCACACUCAAUUGGAAAACGAAAAAAACUUGUGCAAGAAAGGGAUAUGUGGCUGUACAUACAUACAGCUGCUAAAUUACAACUGCCAUGCUACUUUAAUAGACUAAUCUAACUUAACUUAAUAUUAUUUAAUUAGUUAUUUGUACAUUAAAACUUUUUAAUUGUUAUAUUAUAUUAUGUUAUAAAUAUUUAUUAAUUUAAAAUAAAUAUAUCAUUUAUCGAGCCGAAUUCAAAAAUGAGGAUAACAAUACUAUCCUAUCCUAAUCAGAUUAUUUUAAAAUUGAGAUCCCCAUGCCCGCUCCCAUUUUCCCCGUGCCCACUUUUUCAGCAAUAAUAGACCCAUACAAGAUGGUAUCUACUUUUCCGAAUUUUCAGAGCAAUCAUAGAACCAUAGCAAGAUUUCUAAGCAAUAGUUGAUCAUCUCUCUCUUCUAGUAUAUCUGAGCUGAGCCCCAAUCCACCACCACACAAUCGAAUCUUAUCUUCUCACAUGUAUUUUGAUUUUUAAAUUUUGUGUUUCAUCUGGUUGAUUGCUCCCCAGAAUUAAUCCUAGAUGUGUUGUUUUGAUUAAGCUAGCAUAUACCAAAAUAAGGCCAUUACGGCGUCAGUUUCCGCAGACCUUUUCAUUGGCAAAUUUGUAGCAAUUCUCGAGAGUGAAGCAGCCUCCAUAGCGGGUGUUGCUGAUCAAGUUGAUGAGAUUAAGCGGGAGCUGGAAUUCAUGAAGGCCUUCUUAGCGGAUGCUGACGAGGGCAACAAAGCACACACACAAGUAAACGAGGUGUGGAUCAGAAGCGUUCUAGACUCGGCCAAAGAUGUUGAAAACAUCAUGGAUGAAUUCAUGUAUCACGUGUACGAGCAGCAAAUUGGCCGUCGAUUUGCCAAGUGGAUACACAAAACCAUUCACUUUCCAAAGCACCUUUUGUAUAAGCGUAAAAUAGCCAACAAGUUACAGAAAAUCGCGAUGGCAAUUAGAGCUAUUACAGAGCGAAAUCAGAGAUAUGGUUGUGGUGCAGCUGUAGAAGGAAAAAGUACUUCUUCUGAGGAUAUUCGCAGAUGGGUGCAGAAUCAAGCAGAGUCUUCUCUUUAUCAUAAGGAGGAUUGAAGUGUUGGCGUGACUUGUGGAUAUUGACUUACUUUCCUUACACACCAAGAAUUCCUAUUAUAAUUGUAAUUGAUUUACUUUAAUUCAUGAUUUCCUACUGUAAAUGGAUUUAGGAAUUUAUUAUUUACUUGCCCAUUCAGGUUUUGUUGUAUUAUAAAUAUAAUCUCCUACAAGGAGAAGAAUACACAGAAAAUUCCCACAAACAAAUAUUCUCUCAUAGUUUUCAUAUUUUAGCAUGAAGGUGAUAAGAACUUGUUAAUGGGAUCGCUGACGAACGAAGAGCAAUGCCAAACUGUUGUGUCUGUGGUCGGGAUGGGAGGAUCGGGGAAGACAACUCUAGUUGCAAGGACUUUCAAAGAUGAAAUUGUAAAGAGACAUUUCGAAUGCUAUGCGUGGAUUACUGUUUCCCAGUCUUAUGUGAUUGAAGACUUACUUAGAAGAUUGAUCAAAGAAUUCCACAAAGCAAAGAAGGAAGAGGUCCCUGCAGACAUGAAUGCCAUGAGUUAUAACGAAUUGCUGGAGAUUUUGGUGAACUACUUGGAGACUAAAACGUACCUAGUUGUAUUGGAUAAUGUGUGGGAUGUCCACCUUUGGGAGAAAAUAAGGUUUUCAUUUCUAGAUAAACAACUUGGAAGUCGAGUCAUGCUUACAACUCGAAGAGAAGACAUAGCAUCCUCUUCUUUUGGAGUUGAAAGCCGUGUUCACAAGAUUCAACCGCUGGAAAAAGGUGAUGCUUGGGAGCUCUUCAGGAUGAAAGCAUUCUCUGUUAGUGUUUGAAUUCUUAGCUGGGUUUCUAUGGAAGGUUUGAGUAGAGAGGAAAACACAGAGAGAAUAGAGGAAGAUUCAAGCUAUAUGUGUAAUGCUCUGUUACUCUCAAAGUCUGAGAGUGAGUGUAUAUAUUUUUAUCAAAAUUCACGCACAAAGGCAUGAGUACACAACCGUUAGCUUUAGCUGUACACACACAAUCAACAAUACAAUCUCAGCCUUACACUUGUCAUAAUCUAGACUAAGUGAAUACACAAUUUAAAACAAGGCUUAUUUACUCUAACUUUACUUAGCUCACAGCUUAUACACUAAUACUCCCCUUUAAGCUUUGAGCUGAUACAACUCCAAGCUUAUCUCUGAGAUAGUUGAAUCUAUCUUUUGGUAAGGCCUUUGUAAAAAUGUCUGCUACUUGUUCUUUGGUUGGGCAGUAUACCAAAUCAACAAUUCCUUGCUGCAAGGCAUCUUUUGUGAAAUGAUAUCUUCUGUCAAUGUGUUUAGUCCUCUGGUGAAACACAGGAUUUUUAGAUAUGGAGAUUGCAGAUGUAUUGUCACACUGCAAAGGGGUUGCUUCAGCUGGUAACUCUCCAAAAUCUUCAAGAACAAACCUGAGCCAUAUUGCUUGAGUUGUUGCUUCAGCAGCACUUAUAUACUCAGCCUCUGCAGUGGAAAGUGCAACACAAUUCUGUUUCACAGAAGCCCAUGAGAACACUCCACUACCAAAGGAAAACGCAUAGCCUGAGGUACUCUUGCUGUCAUCUACUGAUCCCCCCCAGUCACUAUCACAAAAGCCAACUAAAACUGCCUUCUUGCCUUUCAUAUAAUGUAAACCAUAGUCCAAUGUUCCUUUGACAUAUCUGAGCACUCUCUUAGCUGCUCCAUAGUGCUUGUUUGACGGUCCAUGCAUAUAUCUAGCUAACAGACUAGCUGCAUACAUCACAUCUGGCCUUGUAGCAGUAAGAUACAGUAAACUGCCUACAAGUUUUCUGUACUGCUCUUCAUCUGCAGCACCACUUCCAUCUUCUUUACUUAACUUUUCAGUAGCCACAAGAGGAAUAGAAACAGAUUUGCAUUCUUUCAAUCCAAACUUAUCCAACAAAGCAGAAGCAUACUUCUUUUGAUGAAUGAAAAUGCUAGAUUCUGUUUGAAUCACCCCCAUUCCCAGAAAAUGAUGAAGAAGACCCAAGUCUGACAUCUCAUACUUCUCCUUCAUAUCUUCUUUAAACUCCUCUAGCAUCUCUUGAUUGUUUCCAGUAUACACAAUGUCAUCCACAUAAAUGGAGACAAUUAGUAUAUCAUGUUCUCCCCUUGUUUUAGUGUAGAGAGUUGCUUCACUUAAGCUUUUCUCAAACCCACACUUAGCAAAAUAGCUAUCAAUCUCUCCAUACCAGGCCCUAGGUGCCUGUUUCAAGCCAUAAAGAGCCUUGUACAGUUUGUACACCUUAUCUUCCUUGCCAUUAAUCACAAACCCUUCAGGUUGAUCAACAUACACUUCUUCCUGCAAUAUUCCAUUUAAGAAAGCAGACUUAACAUCUAAUUGAAAUAGCUUCCAGCUUCUUUGUGCAGCAAGAGCAAUCAGUGUUCUGAUUGUAUCUAGUCUAGCAACUGGAGCAAAUGUUUCAUUAUAAUCAAUGCCUGGUUUCUGCACAUACCCUUUAGCAACCAGCCUUGCCUUGUUCUUCUGUACAGAGCCAUCUAAGUUCAACUUGGUUUUGAACACCCAUUUCACACCAAUAACCUGCUUAUCACUUGGUCUGUCUACAAGCUCCCAAGUCUUAUUUUUUUCAAUCAUGGACAGCUCUUCUUCCAUUGCUUUUAUCCAAGCCUUAUCCUGUGCAGCCUCUUCAUAUUUUUCAGGUUCCACAAUACAGAGAUUGCAUUGUGCUAGAAUGUCAUUUAUGUUUCUCCACUUUAAUGGAGUAUGAUCAUAGGGCUGAGAGAUAUCAGCAUGCUCAGGAAUGGCAUUCUCUUGUUCUUCAGCUUGAGAGAAAAUGCAAGGACUAGAAGGACUUCUCUCGACUUCAGUCAACUCAUGUGGAAUCACUUCAAUUCCAUUUUCAGGUUGCUUUGGAACAUAGGUCAUAGCAACAGAAUUUUCUGAAGUUUCCUUCCAGUUCCAAGACUUGGUUUCAUCAAAAACUACAUCCCUUGACAGAAUCAGCUUCUUAGUGCUUGGAUCAAAUACUCUGUACCCUUUCUCACAGGUUGCAUAACCCACAAACACACCUUGGACAGACUUUGCAUCAAGCUUUUGUCUUCUUUCAGUUGGUACAUGCACAUAACAGAGUGAUCCAAACACCUUUAAGUGACCAAUUCCUGGUUUUCUUCCACUAUAAGCUUCAAAAGGAGUCAUGUUAUCAAGGGCUUUUGUAGGUGUUCUGUUUAAAAUAUAGACAGCUGUAAGUACAGCUUCUGCCCAGAGAAAGUAUGGCAUGCCUUUAUCAUGAAGCAUUGCCUUUGCCAUCUCUACAACUGUUCUAUUCUUUCUCUCCACUACUCCAUUUUGUUGUGGAGUAUAAGCAAUAGAUAACUGUCUUUGUAUGCCUUCAGAUUCCAGCAAUUUGCUGAAUUCAGUUGAGAGAAAUUCUCCCCCUCUGUCACUCCUUAGGCAUUUCACUUUGAAUCCACAUUGUAACUCCACCAUUGCCUUGAACUUUCUGAAACAGAUUAGUGCCUCAGACUUGUGUCUUAGCAAAUAAACCCAUGACAUCCUUGUGUGAUCAUCAAUAAGCAACAUGAAAUAUUUAUUCCCAGCAAUUGAUUCAUUUUGCAUGGGACCACACAAAUCUGUGUGUAUCAAUUCUAGGGGAUUCUUAGCUCUCCAAGCUUGUUCUUUUGGAAACCAAUCUCUGUGUUGUUUUCCCAUUUGACAUCCUGCACAUACACCAUUUACAUCUUCAAGAUGUGGAAGACCAUGCACCAUUUCCUUUUCUCUAAGCUGCUUGAGACUUCUAAGGUUUAGAUGUCCUAGUCUCUUAUGCCAAAUCCAGGUACAUUCAGUCACACUAGCCUUCAAUGCAAUGUGAUCAGCUUGCAUUAGAGACAGAGGAUAGCAUCUGUUAUUUUUCAUCUUAACCUUGAUAACUAGACAGUCAAGUGAAGGACCAUCAAAGAUACAACACUCUCUUCCACCAAAUAGCAAGUAAUAUCCAUGUUCAUCCAUCUGUCCCACACUCAGCAAGUUUUCCUUCAAACCAGGUAGAAACAUGACUUCCUUGAUGCACUUUCUGCCAGAAUUUGUAUCAAUCAUAAGUGAACCUAUUCCAGCAACAUCUACCAGAUUUCCAGUGGGCAUUUGGACUUUUCCAGUGACAUUUGUCCUUACAUCCACAAGGAGCUCAGCAUUUCCAGUCAUGUGGUUGCUACAACCACUAUCAAUGUACCAAUUCCCACUCACUUUGAUCUCAGUAAUUGCACUGUUAGCAUAGAACAGAUUUCCUGUUACAUCUGCCUGAUUAGCACAGUUUGCCUUUUGAACAACCUUGUCUGCUGUGCAUUCUCUAGCCCAAUGUCCAAAUCUAUCACAGUUGUGACAUUUGGAUUGUCCCUUGUAUCGACAUUCUCCAAAAUGAAACUUAGAACACACCUUGCAUUGUGGCUUAACUGUAUCUUGUUUCAUAAAUCCUGCAGAGGUUGAAUUCUGUGCAGGAUUAGCAAAUGACUUUUGCUGAGACUGAGGCUUUGAAUCCCACUUCUUGCCCUUUCCAUUCCAGUUUUUCUUAGUUCCACUUGACUGAGAAUUACUCUUCUGUUGCUGACUUUUUGGAUUCACAGAAAAAGAACCAAAAGCUUUAUCAGUGGCAUCAACAGUGUGCAUAUCAAACCGUUGUUCCUGGCUCUUAAGAAUUGCCAGAACCUCCUGUAAUUCAACUUUGUCUAUACACUUCGUAUUCUCAAUCACAAGACAGAUGGGAUCAUAAGGUUUGCUAAGACUUAUUAAAACCUUUUGCACAAGCCUUUCAUUAGGCAAUACCUCACCAAACGUCUUCAUUUGAUUAAUUAGUUCAUUCAACCGUGUAAGAUACUCAGAUAACGUUUCAUCAUCACGCAUCCUAGUAUACUCAAAUUCACGUCGAAGAUUUUGGAGUUUAACUGAUCGUACCUGAUCACCACCGUGAUAUUCACCAUAUAGCAGAUCCCAUGCCAUCUUUGCUGUAUCAGCAUUGGCAAUUCGAGGGAAUAUUUGAUCCGAGACUGCAUUCUGGAUAAUACCCAGAGCUUUCGCAUCUCGCAUGUGUUCUGCCACAGUUUUCUCAUCAUCUUCCUCUUUUUCACUUCCUUCAGCCAUCAUCUUCUUUGAAUCAGAGAUCGUAACCCCCUUUUCAACUAAUUUCCAUAACCCAUGAGAUUUAAAGAUUGUCACCAUCUUGAUUCUCCAGAACUCGUAGUUCUCACCGGAGAAGAUCGGAGUUCUCACCUCAGAACCUCCAGAUCCAGCCAUCUCUAGGCUUAGAUGAUACGAAUCUCAAAAUCAAAAACGAUGGGGUUCAGCAAUUUCACCUGAACUAGAACGAGCUUGAGUGCAGCUCGAUUGCAGCAACGUCGCACAGUCUACGCCCAGAUCUCAGAUCGAACCUGGCUCUGAGGCCAUGUUAGUGUUUGAAUUCUUAGCUGGGUUUCUAUGGAAGGUUUGAGUAGAGAGGAAAACACAGAGAGAAUAGAGGAAGAUUCAAGCUAUAUGUGUAAUGCUCUGUUACUCUCAAAGUCUGAGAGUGAGUGUAUAUAUUUUUAUCAAAAUUCACACACAAAGGCAUGAGUACACAACCGUUAGCUUUAGCUGUACACACACAAUCAACAAUACAAUCUCAGCCUUACACUUGUCAUAAUCUAGACUAAGUGAAUACACAAUUUAAAACAAGGCUUAUUUACUCUAACUUUACUUAGCUCACAGCUUAUACACUAAUAUUCUCAAGUUAUCCAAACAAAUCUUGUUCAACAGAAAUUCUGCCGUUAGCUCGGGAACUUGUGGAGAAGUGUGAAGGCCUACCUCUUGCGAUCGUAGGCUUGAGUGGGCUUAUGUCUUCUAAGAAGUCACUUACAGAGUGGAGCACAGUCUACAGCAGCUUAAAUUGGCAUUUAACAAACAAUCCCUUACGCUUAAUGAUUUGGAAUAUUGCACUUGUGUUCAAGAAAUUAUCCUUUCAUGGAUGUAAAGCCAUAUAAAUUGUUUGUUAAUUACAAUAUUGCUUGUCUUUUUAUAUAUUUUGCAUAAACAAGUCCAGGUAUGUCGAUGUUGAGAAUUCACAGUAUCCCAUACAAUCUGGGAUUAGUUGGGAAACUAUUUCAUUGUUGUAAUUUGUAAUUGAUUCUGUACUCUUAGCUAAAGAUAAAUGAUAAUUUUCUUCUGUUGCCUAUGUUUACUUCUAUAAACUUUUUCAUUUGUAUGAUUCAAACUCUAAAGAGGGGGGAUUAAAAUGAAUAUCUACAAGCUCUAAUAUGAGGUUUUAUAAUUUUGCUUCACAAGUGGAAUGCAUUCACAAAUUUUUAAGAAGCUCACACAAAGCAUGGUUUGAUUGGCAGAUUGAAAAGCUUCACAAGUGGAGAUGUUGUCACGUCUCAGAUAUCCUCGGAUCUAUAUAAUUUAGAAUUAUGGUGGAGGUAUGGGUGCAAAGGAAGUCUGGGACCAUUUGUUAGAUAGGGACUGUGUAUAAGUUUUGGUCCUAUUUUCUGUAGGAUUUUUACAGAUAGUUGAGGGUGUUCUGUUGUAAGAUUGUACUGUUUUGAUGAAUAAUCUUUUUUAUCUGUUUCUUAUUCAGGAGUAGUAGAUCAUGAUUUUUGACAUGUUCGUUUAUUAAAACUUUGAAGGGUUGUGAAGAUAAGCAAACAAUUUAUUUCUAUUUUUACUGAAAUUAUCUGUUUGGUGAUUGAUUGUUGACUGAUACAAGUGUAUUUUUGGGUCAGCUCAUUUUUGGCUUUGAGUUUAGACCUGACCUGACACGAGAAUUGAUGCCAACUCAAUUUGGCCCAAGGGUCGCACAAAAUUAGACCUGACCCAAACCGUGCCCAGACUUAUAUUUUGUAAUAAAAACCUAGUCAUUUAUUAAUGACAAUUAUGAAAUGAACAAGUUUUAUUUAUUUCCGCCAAUUUUUCAUUUCACAUUUCAUUCAAUUAUCAUAGAUGGGAAGAAUAGACAAAAAUGAACCAACAUAUUUACAUCAACUACUCAAAAAGUCAAGUAAAAGUUCUAUCCAUCUCUCCUUUGAUCCCAGGAUAUGUUUGUAUUGCUUGUGAAUACCACAUAGUUGGAUAGAACUUCUUUAAUCAUUUGCCAUUGAUUGGCACAACAUGGGCUUCUCCAUCUUGAUCUUGUAACCUAUACACCCCUAAUCCAGGGAUUUGUUUAAUUACAAAAGGGCCUUUCCAAGUGGGUGACCAAUUUCCAUAACCAGCCACGUGGGCUCCAACGAGCAAAAUUGCUCUCCAGACAAUCUCUCACUCUUCAAAGCUCUUGUUUUUAACUCUUUUAUUAUAAGCUCUUUCCACAACUUCUUUUCUUGCUAAGAGUUUGUUGAGGGUAUCAAUUCUAAUUGUAUUCAAUCCUUCCAAUUCUAGCAGUAUUGCUUGUGAAUAGUCUUCUCCAACUAAGUUAUGCUGCUGGGCAAUUCUGAUGGAUUGGACUGUGGUUUCCAUGGGCAGAAUCGCGUCAUGUCCAUAGGUUAGAGCAUAUGGGGUCAUGCCAAUUGCCUCUCUAUUUGAAGUUCUAUAGGCCCAUAAGGUUUCCGACAAUUUUUCGUGCCAUUGCCUUGGAUUUUCCUCAAGCAUUUUCCUGAUGAUAUUAAUGACCAUCUUGUUGCUUGAUUUUGCCUCUCCAUUUGCCUAAGCAUAGUGAGGAGUGGACUGGAGUAACCUGAUCUUGAGCCUACUUGCCAUAUUUUGCAUCUCUCUGGAUAUGAAAAAAUUCCCUCUAUCAGUUGUGAUUGAUUCUGGUAUGCCAAACUUAUGCACAAUCUGUUCUUCAUUGAAAGUGAUGAUCUCUUGAGAUGUGGUGGAUUUGACCAAUUUAGCCUCCACCCAUUUAGUGAAGUAAUCUAUAGCCACAAUGAUGAAACAGUGAUGUUUGCUGCUGGCUAGAUAGAUUUUGCUAAUGAGGUCCAUUGCCCAUCCCCUGAAUGGUCAUGGCUUAACGACUAGAUUCAUGGGGACUAAGGGAGCUUGCUAGAUUGGUCCAUGUCUUUGGCAAUAUUCUAUGCACUCCUUCAUCAUGGUAGGCCAGAAAUAACCUUACCUUCUGAUCAGCUAGCACAUUUUCCUUCCAUCUUGAUGUGCUCCACAUGUUCCUUCAUGGACUUGUCCUAUGACUUUCAUGUAUUCUUCCUUUCACAAGCAUCUCAAGAGUAGUCCAUCCUUGCUCUUUCAAACCAAAUCUUCAUUCCACAUAAGGUAAUUUAAAGCCAUGAUUCUUAUCUUUUUCUUGGAAGGGAGGGUUGGAUAUUGCAAAUAAUUGAUUAUAGGCAAUCUCUAAUCCUCAUCAGUCUUUAUGGCAUAAUUGACAUCUAUCUCCAUCCCUUUAGCUAGAACAGAUGGUAGACUCUUUUUUCCCAUUUUAAUGAUUCUCUAUACACAGUCUUCAUGUAUUUGCACUCAUGUUGCAAUCUGAGCCAUUUCAUUGGCUGCAAAAUUCUCUUUCCUUAGAAUAUGUUCCCAAGUAGUUUCCCUGAAUUCUGCCAGGAGAUUUUUGGCUGCCACAAAACAAACAGCUAAGGAAGGAUUCAAACACUUGUAUUCUCCAGCAAUCUGCUUUAGAACAAGCAUGGAAUCUCCCAGGAUUUUCGUAGACUGGAUUUCUAGUUCUACCAUCAUCUUAAGACCAACGAUCAAAGCUUCAUACUCUGCUCUGUUGUUGGUGCACUGGAAAUCUAGCUUGUAACAUCUCACAUCGACCAACGAAGAAGGGGUGAUGUGCCUUAUAUGUACAUGCCCAUCUCCAUCUAGCACGAGGCCUUUUGAGAGCUCACUAGCUUCAGAGUCAUGGGAACUCCGAAGUUAAAUGAGUUGGGGCUAGAGCAAUCCCAGGAUGGGUUACCCACUGGGAAGUUACCUGUGAGUUUCCAAAAAAAAAAACAUGAGGACAGAGAUGGUGGCCUAAAGCGGACAAUAUCGUGCUACAACGGAGCUGAUCCCGAGAUGUGACAAUUUGGUAUCAGAGCCACUCUGUCGUGUGGUGCGAGUGUGCCGACGAGGAUGUCAGGCCCUUAAGGGGGAUGAAUUGUAGCAUCUCACAUCAACCAACUGAGAGGGGGUGAUGUGUCUUAUAUGUACAUGCCCACCUCCAUUUAGCACGAGGCCUUUUGGGAGCUCACUGGCUUCGGAGUCAUGGGAACUCCGAAGUUAAGUGAGUUGGGGCUAGAGCAAUCCCAGGAUAGGUGACCUAUUGGGAAGUUGCUCAUGAGUUCUUAGAAAAAAAAAACCGUGAGGCCAUAGAGGAAGGCCCAAAGUAGACAAUAUCGUGCUACGGCAGAGCUGAUCCCCGGAUGUGAUAUAGCUGGGAUGAAUAACAAUAUCUGAUUCCCAAUGGAUCAUCUAAAACAAUUCAUGCUUCAGAAGCCAGGUCGAUUUUAGAUCCAUCAAAAUACAAAUUCCAAGGGGUGAGAUGGACUAAGUAUAUGGGAUUAUUAAGACAGAUAUGAGCUCUACUCAGCAAAUAUGCAUUGGCUAUAUCCAUGGAAUCUAUGUUCUCAAUCUCUUCCCCUGGAUGAUCUGCCAAGAAGUCUGCAAUAGUCUGUCCUUUGAUAGCAGUGAAGUACAAAGUCAGAGUCCAUUUACCAAUUCUGCCUCUCAAUAUUGGCCUCGUUAGCAUGUACUUGAUCAAAUCUGUUUUAGCAAUGAUGUAGAUGGUAAAAGGUAGCAUGUAAUGUCUGAGCUUUAUAGCAGUGAAGUACAAAGCCAAACAUAACCUUUCAAUCGCAGAAUACUUUCUUUCCACUUAUGUUAGAGUUCUGCUCAGGUAAUAGACUACAUGUUCCUUCCAUUCCUUGUUAUCUUGAACCAAAAGGCUCCUAAUAGAUACCUCUGAUGUAGAGACAUAUAAUUUGACUGGUCUGCCACUUUUUGGUGGAGACAGAACUAGUGGACUUGAGAGGUAAUGUUUGAUUUUCUCGAAAGCUGGCUAGUGUUGUUCUUCCCAUCUAAAUGCUUGUUUUUGUUUCAACUUUAGCAAGAAAGAGAAAUGCUGGAUUUUUCAGGGAGAAUUUGAUAUGAAUCUUAUGAGAAAGUUGAUCUUCCCUAACAGACUUUGCAAUUCUUUCUUGUUCCGAGGUGGCAAAGUUUGUAUGAUAGAUUUUGCUUUGUUCUUGUCAAUUUCUAUACCUUUUUGGUGGAUUAAGGACCCUAAGAAAUUGCCAGCUUGAACCCCAAAGAUGCAUUUUUUGGGAUUCAUCUUCAACUUGUGUUGUCUCAUUCUUAGAAAAGCUUUUCUUAAAUUAGAUACAUGAUUUCCCUUUUCUGGCGACUUAAUCACCAUGUCAUCUAUGUACACCUCUAGGGAAUGACCUAUCAUGUCAUGGAAUAUGAAGUUCAUUGCUCUUUGAUAGGUAGCCCCUGCAUUUCUCAAACCAAAAUGCAUCACAACAUAUUCAAAGGCAUCUAUGUAUCCUAGACACAUGAAAGUAGUUUUGUGAAUGUCUUCUUCUGCCACCAUUAUCUGUUUAUAGCCAGCAUUGCCAUCCACAAAUGAUAGCAUUUGGUUAUGAGCUACUCCAUCCACCAACAUAUCUGCCAUUAGCAUGAGGUACUCAACUUUGGGAGAUGCCUCGUUCAAAUUCCUGUAGUCCAUGCAAACUCUGACUGCUCUUGUCUUUCUUUUAAGAACUGGUACAGUGUUGGACAACCAAUCAACAUAACUGGCUGGCUUGAUAAAACCUACUUUAACUAGUCUUUCUAUUUCCUUUUUGACCUUCAAUUGUCUCCAUGGACAUUCUUCUUCUAGCCUGCUUGACUGAUAGGUAUCCUUCUUUUAUUGACAGUUUGUGCUAUACCAAUCCUCUGUCCAGUCUAGGCAUUUCAUGAUAAUGUCAUACGAAACAGUCUCUGAAAUCAUGCAGAAGUGCAAUGAUUUCAUCCUUCAAUGGUUUUGUAGCAAUGCACUGAUAAAAGUAGGCGUAGGAUCCUCUUCUGUCCCUAAGUUUAUUUCCUGUCAAAAGGUCUUCCACUUAUGGCAAGGAGUUAUCCAAUGUUGUUGGUGCAAACUCCAAUUCCUCCUCUUGUAAACUUUCUUCCUUCUCUUAUGCACUCUCAUGCAUGAAUUCUACCAUAUUAACGGCUGGAUUCUGCAUAAAGAGCUUCAUUUCUUCCCAAUAUACCAACAAUCUACUUGUAAUGGAUCAGAUUGUUGUAGCUCGAUCCUUUUCUUGUUAGUUUGAGCUAAACAUCAGAAUUUUGGAGGUUUAGGACAGAAGGCCUUUUCCAAUCCUCUAGAGAACUGGCUAGACCUUCUUCAAUGAGCCUCUGGGCCGUGACACCAUGGGGGCCGCCGUUCUGAUUGACUGCAAGGAAAGUAAAAGCACCAAGAUCAUCAUGAUAGUACCUGGCCUCGAAACACAUUGUAGAUGUAGAAAUGGCCAUGGAUCGGCCUCUACUAUCUCCAUAAAACCCUCUUCGUUCUAGAAGGCUAACUGUUGGUGUAGGGUGGAAGGAACACAUAGGCUCUGGUGGAUCCAGUUCCUGCCGAGCAAUGCAUUGUAAGUGGUAGAAGUGGUGUCUACCAUAAAGAAAGCAAUCUUUAGCUUCUUGGUUCCUUCUAUGACAUCCACAUCCAGUAUCUCAUAUGUCUUAGUGAUGCCCUCAGCAAAAUUUGGGACUGUAAUACGCGUUAGGAUUAGGUCUUUUUCUGUUUUGCCUAUCUUAGCCAAGGGUCUGUGAGGUAGCAGAUUGAUGGAUGCGCCUCCAUCUACCAUUACUUUAGUUAUAGGAAUCCCACCAAAAUUUACAAUGAUGAACAAGGGUUUGAGAUGAUUUGCCAUUUCCUCGGUAGAUUUGGUAAAGCACAACUACUUUGCAGGCAUUUUCAUGGUAGUUUUGCCUAUUUUGACAUCAAUGUUUUGCUGGUAUGGCACUUCUUACACUUCUGCCAACCUGCAUUCAAAACUUUCUUGGGAUAGUACAUCCCCUACCAUGGUCCUUUCUUGUCCUUCUGCUGCUCUAAACUUUUCUGACAAAAUAAACACCAUAUUGAUGCCCAAAUCACCUUGUAACAAACCUUCCAGUUCUGCACUGAAAGUUUGAGUUUCUUCAUGUAGUUCUCCGUCAUAUUUCGCCUGUUCUUCUCCAUAUUCCUUAGUCCAGUUCUCUCGAUCAUCUGUUUCAAGGAUUCCAGUCUGGUUGUUUGCAGAUGGUUCAUAAUCCAUCUGCUCUUCCUAGUAUUCUCCAGCCUAGUUCUCUUGGUCAUUUGCUAGAAGAAGUCCAGAUUGAUCCUGUAACUGUGAAAGCUCAAACUGAUUACUCGCAAAUGAACCUUGGUGGAUAAAGGAUUCAUUUGGAAAUUCUACUUCUGUCAGUUCCUCGGGUUGGUACACUGCCUGCUCUGCUUGAAGAUCCCCUUCUGGAUCAUUCUCAAUUCUGGCAGAACUGAUAUUUGUAAACACCUGUGUGUUUUCCCUGUUCUUAAGGAAAGUGCAAUACUGCCUCUAGAUUCUCCUUCUCUGUUUUUUGGUCAGCUUGAGGGUUGGCCUGCCUUUUUUUUUUUUUUUUUCAACAGAAUAUCAUCUACCUUCUAUGAUAGUUACCAAUGGCCUAUCACUUCUGGGUAUUUUGAUUGGCAUUUCCCUAUUUGGCUACUUAGUCACCUUUCUAAUGUGUUGGGCAGGCUUCUAAUAGGACCUCUGUCUGGCUGUGGCCCUGGAUAGGGCUGAAACUGCGGUCUGCUGGUGUGAUGCUCCGAUUAUGUCAAAAACGCUCACUAUGGGUUGUUUCUGCUCAUCCAGAAUUAUCUCUAGCUCGCAAUCACAUUUGCAUAUGCUGCACAAAACUACUCCAGUUGAAAUAGUAGCCUUUGGCUUUCAAUUUACCUUCUUUGUGACUCUUCUAUCCACGUUGGGAUUGAUUUCCAUUAUCAAUUUGCCUUUCUCCUAUUCUGGCUCGCUUAAGUUGACCAUGUUCACCUAAAGUUGAGGAAAAGGGUAUGUUGUCACUGUGGGGGAUUUCUUAGCUAGCUUGAGCUUUCAUGUUAUUACUCCUUCUUGUAUAAUGUCUCUAAAAACAACAUAAUUAUUGGUGGGGUAAUUCCAAUAUUGUCUACCUUUGAGUUCUUCUGAAGGUGUUCCUAUCGCCUUUUGUAGGAGUAUUUCAUUAAACAAAGCGUCAACUUGGGUUAAAUUGAAAGAAUAGAUCUUGUUCUGUGCUGGUUUGUUUGGGACAAAUCCUCCUGUAAAUUGACAGGACCCGAUCUAAAUUCCACUUUGGAAUCUGAGUCAGACCCUGUGCGUAUCCGACACCUGGCAAAUGUCGGGCACAAAUGACUUAUUUGCCCUUCUAUACAAAACACGAUAAAAUAACAAGGUUGACUUCUACCGAAAAAUCGGCAGAGUUUCCCUUGUAACUGGCUCAAAACCGAAAUAUUUACACCUGUCAAAACAAGUAUAUAUAGACAACCAACUGCCAGCAUACAUAUCUAUACACAUGCCAAGAGUUCAAAGCUCAGUUUAGGGCAAAACAUCAGAGCGACUACUAAGAAUUUACAAAAGAGUGAAUCUUUGUACAAAAUACAAAUCCUAUAUCAGAAGAAAGACGCGGAAGAUGGGAAGUGGCCCGGUGGUGGAUUCCUGUGCACGUCUACUGCCUGGGGGUGCAAAACAACAAUAAAGGUGAGUGGACCCAAAACAAAACUUAGAAAAUAAUAUAUGAACAUACUAACCCCAACAGUUAUACAAACUAACUUAUUUUCUUUAUUUCUGAAAUCAAUGCAUGUAUAUAACUAUACAUUUGAAAACAGUUGAGAACUAUCAUCGAGGUGUACCCUCUUUCCGUCAAUUCCUUGUAUCCGUCAAUUCCUUGCAUCACCAUGGGUGACACAUACUCGUAGGUCUCAGUGACACGAGGUCAGUCCGAGCCGCAACUCGCAGGAUUUAGAGAACCGUAGUCCACCUUUAUCCGCAUUACUCGCUCCACACGAGUUCGAGUACCAAGGAACUCGUGGGGCAACUGUCAAGCAUGCUGACUAAACCGAAGGCAACAAAUAUAAUCCGAAGGCAACAUUUAAUAUCUGGGUACCAGGUGGUUUAAGAAAAUAUAAAUUUUCUGAAGAAAAUCUGUUGAAUAAUUAACUUUCUGUAACCUUUAAAAUUCUGCUGCCAUUUAUCUGAUAAUUAACGAGAAUAUCUGUUCAUAUAAGUUUUAAAGGAAACUUCACUCGGCAGCAUGCAACAUAAAAUAGUUAACAGCAUAAAACAGCUUAUAACUGAAACUGAACUGUUUAAAUUUAUUUAUUAAAACAAAGAGUCCACUCACUGAUAGUCUGAGCUCGCUGGACCUCUUGAAGGUCCCUCCUGCGGGUCAACUGGUGCCCGGGUGCUUGAUUCAAUGACCAUAAUAUUCUAUUAAUACAAUAUAGUAUGAAAUUAAAAACCCUACCCCCGGCUCCUAAAAGUACGUGCAUCAAUUUAAAGUGAUCCCUAUGCCCAUAAAAGCUUUCCUUCUACGUGGGGUAGUUUAGCGGUAUCUUGGGACUCAAAUAGCGCUAAGGUCCAAAAAGUCAAUCCGGAACCCCACGGGUCCAUGACCUCACAAUAUGAUCUGGAUGCCGCUAGAAAGUCCACUAUAUUUAGGACACAUGUCCCGAGGAUAUUGAUGUCAAUCGGACGGUCGGAUUGAUCACAAUCCUGCAAUCGCAUAAUUUCUAAACCCUAGCCCUAGGGUUCGGGAUUUCGGAGUACGAUUCACAAUCCGUCGAAUCCUAUACGUUUCUAAAAUUAUCUAGAAUAAUACAUCCAAAAUUGAUUACGAUCCAACGGCUCAACAGUAUUGAACCCGGUAAUCGCAUAAUAUGGAAAAUCCGUUCGAGGCUCAAACGGUAUCCAAAUUGAGAUCCGCGAAUUCCUAUGCGCUCGUGACGACCUAAGGAUUGCAUCAGAACACAGUUCCAUGGCACCACACUCGCCCACGAGCCGCCGCACACGCCGGCAGCGAUGGGUGUCCAAAGCGAUAACGCAUCGCCAGAAAAUCUCAAAACCAAGGCUCCAAACUCCUAUCCUAGGUAUAACACCAUAUUUGGAACCACUUUUGUUCUUGGACCUACCCCAAAAACUGACCGAAAGUGGCCGAGCACGGAGGCCGAAAGUCGACCGAAUGUCCAAUUUGAAAACUGAGCUAGCUACGGUGAAAGUCAACGCAAACCUACCCAACCAUCAGCUACAGCAUGGAAAAUAGGUAGAAAUUCAUACCUUACUCGACAAAUUUGGAGGAGAACUGAAGGAGAACGAACUGUUUGAAGUUUUGACAAAACCAAUCGAUUUUCUGCAAAUUCCGUCGACGACAACGGCGGAGUGGAGCGGCUGAGGGCUGAGGCGUGUAGAGGAGGACGAGCUGGUUCUUUUGGGACCGGUGCCGAUGGAAUUGAUGGCCGGACGUGGUGGUGGCGAGGAGAAGAAAAAUCGUCUGGGGAGGAGGAGGUUUCGCGCGACGAGAGAGAGAGAGAGAGAGAGAGAGAGAGAAACUGAGGUUUAUAAAAAUUCUGAUUUUUUAAAUUACCAUUUUGCCCCUCGUGAUAUUUUACUCGUAUUUUCUUCGUUAAAGCUCCGAUUUGAGCUCACUUCGUGUCUAUGAACUCGUGUCGUCGUGCUCUACGCAACGGCAUAUGUGGAAUUGUCAAAUUCCUUUUGGGUCAAAAAGUCAACUUUUUCUUAAUAAAAUAUUCGAAGGGCAAAAUCGUCUUUCUACAAAAUAAAUUAUUGAUUAAAUAUGAAUUUUAGGUUUGGGUCAUUACAUAAAUAGUGGUGGCUUUUGAUCCUUUUGUGGUUUAAUCAAAGCCCUACAGUUGAUAGGAUGCUUUAGCUUUGCCUUUUCUGCCACUACCACCUCUAUUUCUUCUGAAAUUUCUUGGCCUUCUUCUUAUUCCACUUCAACCAAAUGGACUGAGGAAGAUGGUGUCUUGUAGUACGUGUCUUUGAAAGAAUUUCUCUUCUGCUACUCUUCCUUUAGCAGUUCUUCAUAUUUGGAGGCCUUAUCUGCCAAUUCUACCAAGUCUCUAAAAACCAUUCCAUCGAAUCUCUUUCUUGGAGAAAUGUGGAGGGCAGUCUGGGCCAUCUGGAUGAAAUGCCUUUCUUCCAUGGGGAUUCUGCACUUCAUUUUGAGCUUCCUAAACCUGGUGAUGAAGUCCUGGGCAGGUUCAUCUUUACUUUGCUUAAGAGCAGCAAGGUCACUAAUGGUUACUUCUAGCUGAAUUCUGAAAUAGUACUCGUGGAAAGCAUUCCCCAUCUACUCCCAUGUCUGGACGGAAUUAGCUGACAAAUUAGUAUACCAGGUAAAAGCUUGUCCGGACAAGGAAUUCCCAAAAGCCUAAGCUUCAAUAGGGGAUUAUUCUCUAUAGCUAUGCACUGGAUAGAAAAUCUAUCUAUAUGUUCUACUGACGACGCGUAAGCGUCCUCUUCAUUGAACAGAGUGAAUUUGGUACUUUGAAACUAGGGGGUAGAGGUAUCUGAUCAAUGUAAGUAGGAUAUGGCUUCUUGUAAGUGGGCCUUUCAUCUCUUCUGGCCUCAGGAUAUAUCAUCUCUCUAAUUAUUUUUUGUAGUGCCCCUAUGUCAUUCAAAGCGUUAAUAUAGGGUAAGUUUCGUCUCUUUUCUAGCUGAUUAUGUUCAGCCCUCUAUUCCAUUCUGUAUGGUCUGGCUAUGACCUCUUCCUUAUGUUCUUUUUCUUCGAAAUCUGGAUGAUUUCUCCAGUUUGCCCCUAUUAUAUUUCUGUCAUUGUUGGCAAAAGGGUUAAUUUCCCCCCUUUGCCUCUUCUCCCUCUUGAUAGUGGGGGAAGUGGAUUGGGAUGACAAAGGCUCUGAUUCUCUGUUCAAGCAUAUAUGCCACUGGUCGGCCAUGUGGGACUUCUGGCCGUGGAAUAGGUGGAAGUUCUGACUGGUUCUGAGGAACCUGUACUACUACUGGAAGAACUGGAGCUUCCUGUUCUUGGAUGACAAAGGCUUCUCCCUUUUGUCCAACCUGGAUCUUUGUCGGUCCAGACACUCCAACUAUUUGUUCAAUAAGGGGAUUUUCCUGGUAUGACCAUGCUAAUCCUGGUGGAGGUCCGAAAGGGAGUUCUAGCUGCUAGAUUAUAGCGUCUGGGUUUGGAAUCCUCGCAAUAGCAGCCUUACGAUCCUUUCUGAAUUGCAUGUUGACUUGCCAUUGCAUCAUGGCUGUCAUGUUGUUCAGAGUGUCCUGGCUUCUUAUCGGAGCACAAGCACCUGUAUCUGGUUUAUCCUUUGAGAGCCUGACUGGGAACGUCUACUCCUGGUACGGCCAUAAAUUGAUUGCCUAGCAUCACUCUCUUCUGACUCAUGCCCUCCGUCCUGGAAGUCUGGUUGAUCUCUUUCCGAGGCAAAGCGUGGGCUUUGGUUAGAACUUCCAAUAUUUAUAUGCUGGAAAGAAGUCUAUAUUAAGAGGUCCACCUGGGUGUGCCAAAUUGUUCACCCGUUUUGAUUUAGCCCUAUGAUGGUAAGGUAAAGCUCCCCACUAACUUGAAAACCAUUGGUGGUCCACAAGUCAACUUUCUUUGGUGUGCGAGCGUGCCACUGUUAGCAGUUAAAAACCCUAAUAGGCUUAUGAAAGAUAGAUAACUUUGCCCCAAGUUACUGACUUUAAACAAGUGAUUGUGAAUUUGGGUGAGGAAUAUCUCCCAAGUAAGUUCUUUUCUUGCCUCAAACUGGUGAGGACUUCACAAUUUCUCAUAGUAAACUAGUAAACGAGGUCGUAUCUUGUUACUUGUAUAUAAUUCAUUCACAUCUGAAGAAUAUUGAGCAUUGGAAUUUUUAGUUCUAUUUUGGAAUUCCCCAGGAUUCAUGUUACUUAUUGUUGUCUUCUUUAGGUAUGAAUCCUAUAGAUUUUUUUUAAAAUUCUGUCAGUGAUUUGAACUACUUUAUUUUGCCCCUAAAUUUAAAAAUUUCUGAAUUCAUCACUGGUUACAGUAAUAAUAAAUAAAUAUGGACUCGCCACUCCACCAACCUGUUUUGGACAAUAAACAACUAAUUAACCAUGAUGUCCUCCUUUUUCCUUCUCAAAUGCACCGACCUUUCCAAAUUAUCUACCACCAUUACUUUAUGCCAGCCAUUAUUACCAAGGCCGGUCUUGAGAUUUUGAAGGCUCCGUGCGAACCUUAAAUUUGGGCCUCACAUAAGCUAACACAAACUUACACCAUUACGUAAUGCCAUACAAUAAAUGUUUUUUUUCUUAAAGUGACCAAAGUACCCAUACUCACAAGGACAAAAUUGAAAUUUCACAAAACAAUUAAAUUGGAUUAGAUUGAUUAAAUUAGGUCAGGGAUGUUAUACCUUUUGAAUAAUCACCAUGAUUAUGACGAUGAGUCUUUGUCAUCAUAGAUCAUAUUCAGAUAUUAAAUAUUUUUUAACACCAAUGUAUUUUGUAUUUUGGUUGAGUUAGUUGGAUGCAUAAAUAUUCUAGGAACAUCAUUAAUUCAAUGCAAUUAUUUUGGUUGAGUUAGUUGGAUGCAUUAUUUUUUCCAAAAUUGAAUAUCUAAGCAUAGGCUUUAGGGUAUUUAUUAUUUCAGUUUGUGGUUGUGAAAGUAGCUGGGAUAUUGAAUGUUGGUGUUGACAUUAGACAAGCCUUUAACACAAGUGGGUUUUGAAGUCGCGCCCAGAAUAAAAGUUGAGGCUCUGCAAACUAACACAACUAGGAACGUCUUUGUGUCAACAAUUUGCUCACUCGAUAUAUAUAUAUAACAUUUGUUAAACAUAUAUUAUACAUAUAAAAAAAAUCGGGUCCCUGUGCGGUGGCACCACUUGCACACCCUCAGAGCCACCCCUGAUCAUUACAUUCGAACCCACUCCAACAUUAUGAUUUAAGAAUUAACAUUAAAUAAUUAUAUUUGACUUCAUCAUAUUUUCUAAUUAUAAUAUAGUAAUUACUCCUUUCGUGAUAACCACUCUUCUAAGAUAUACGAAUUCCUAUCAGUUUUAUUUGGCUGCUUAUGUGUAAGAGCAUCUCAUGUUUAUAUAUUAAAAGACAAGACUCGUGAUGCUAGGAAAAAUGAGUUGAACUACUACCCCAAUAUAUAAUGACUAUCAUGAGGAUUAGGUAACGUGGUUAGCUAAUAUGAUUAGAAAAUAUGAUUUAUCUAAUCACUUCUUAUAAGGUUUUUCUGUGUAGGGAAGGUUGGAUUUUAUUUUAUUUUUUAUCAAAGUCGAAAGAUAACUUUAUUAAAAGUGGAUGGAAACGUGAAUUGAAUUGUUAGACGUUGAUUUCUCUUCUUUAGACAAUUAAUAAAUUUGGUCGUAGUGCCCUUCUGGAAAGCUUGUGGAUAACUUGAUUUACUACAAAAACACCUGCUCCAUCAUUGAUCUUAAAUCAUUACAUAUAGAGUGCUAAUGGAGUUCUUGUGGAGGCUGGGUAGGUUUUUUUAAAAUAUUUUAUUUUUAUAAAUAAAAUUUUUAAUUAUUUCAUUUGUAAAUAUGUAAUAAGUUUUUAAAUUUAUUUAAAUAGGAUGUAUUAUAGGUAUUUCUGGUAAUUAAAUAUGGUGAAAUAGAACGAGUUGUAAAAAUAACAACACUCUCAUUUAUAUAUAUUUUUUGAAAAAUCACCGACUUAUCUUAUUGCUAAUGUAAAUUGUAAUUGACUUAUUGAGGGAGCACUCCCAUUGGUCAUGCUUAGAGCUCCACUCACAUGAAAUCUUGUUGUUGGUUUUUUUUUUUUUUUUUUUUUAAAUUUUUUUAGUAAAGAUGAACUUUCAUUAAUAAAGACCAAAAAGAGAUCAAAGAACCACCGAGACUACACAACCAGUCAAACGGCAUUAACAAGAAAAAGAAACCAAAGCUACAAGAGAGUAAAAUAAAAGAGGAAAACACAGCACAGCCAACGAACAGCAUCACAUAUUUUGUUACUUGGUAACUGGUUCAGGUUGUGGGCUUCAAGGAAAUUGAUCUUAUAAUAUUCAAGAGUAGGCAAGGGGAUUCCAACAAAAAAAGAGACAAGGCAAGCGGAUUCCCCUCCAAACAAACCAAAAAAGAGUAGGCAAGUGGAGCAUCUGGAAUUUGAUCUGAAAAAUUCGCGGACAAUUCUUAUCAGAAAGACUUUUAUGAAAUGAAAGUAGUAUUAUUUUAUUCUCGUGAUCAUUGUGACAUGCGUAAACAUAUUUUCAGUAUUAUUGGUUAUGAAUAAAAUAAUUAACAAAAUAAUAUUAUUCCCCAUUGCAAGUUGCAACUGAUCCUAAUGGAAAGUAAUAGUUAAAGAAACGGAUUCCAUUCUACCUCAAAUCAUUGGAAAUUCGUAUCGAUUUGAGAUUUAAAAAUAAUUUUUUACUUAUUAAUAUAGCUGUCAACAUUUAAUUAGUUGAGUGGGAUCCAUUAGGGACCGGUAUCAUAGAAGAUUGUCUCACACCCCUAAUUUGGUACUAUUUAUGGGAGCUUGAUAACUGUUAUCACUUCCGCUAGAGCAAAAUAGAUAUACAUCUUUUCUUCUUGGCUUUGGGGUAUACAGAUAGAGACAUAAAUUUCUAUUGAAAAGUUGGGUUUAAUUCUCAGAUUUCUAUUUAACCGUUUGUGAUUCAAACCUGUUGUAUAGGUAUAGUUGGAUAUUCUACAUGUCCUAUAGACUUAGGUUGGUUCAUAAUCUUUUUCACUACAACAGCAAGUAAUCUUGAAAAAUAAACCUUAUAAGCCUAAGGUACAGGUACAUCAACCAAUACUAAUAAACGGGAAGAAAAAACGCAAUCAAAUUUUACCUACAAACAACAAAUAUGAAAAAUAAACCUUUCCUUACAUACCUUCACUGUAGCUAUAUGCCAAGUCAACUAUUUUCCUCCCCAUAUUCAACACUCAAACUACCUCUCCAUUAGAGACACAUGAACCUAAUGAAAAAAAAUAGAUAAGUUGAAUACUUCAUAGCAAAUCUAACUGUGACACAAGUAAUUCAAUCCUAAUUUGGAAUUUGUGAAAAUCUUCAUUAAGGAAGUCAAAAAUCAGCAGAGAUUGGGAUAGAAUGACCAUGAUUGUAGGAGACAAGCAGCUUGUUGGGAGGGGUCGGCUUUAUUUGCCUUUUCUAUUUAAUGGCACUAGAAGUAAAUAUCUUAAUAAGGAUGGACAAAGGCAUUGCUUACGUGUCCAUUGGAUUGUUUGGUGGACUGCUAUUGAGGAGCCAAAAUUGAUGUACUUCAUCCAUUGUAUCUUAAUAAAAAUGGAUCUAUAUCUAAGAACCCCUAAAGAUUAUUAAUAAAAAUACACUUACUAAAAAAAAAUGAAAGAAAGAGAGGAGCUCGAUGAGGAGGAAGACGAGAGAGGCUCUAAAUUCUUCAACAAGAAGAGAAGUUUCUUUUAUGAAGUUGAAAGCAUUGCUCAAGAUGUAAUUGAGAGCUUGUGAAUAUAGUAUUUUGUAUAGGAUGUUGAAGGAUUAAGUGUGUAAUUGGUGGAUUUUGGGCUCUAGAUGGCUAUUGUUGAACUCCAUGGAUAUGUUAGUGUACUGCUUUUAAAUUUUUCAGGACCCUAAAUGGAACAAUUUCCAGCAAUUUAUAGAUUUGUUGUAUUGUAGCUAUUAAGUAAUUCGGGUGAACAUCCAAUUAAAAACCAAUUAAUGAUGAGUGAACAGCGUGCAUAUGUUAGCUGUUAAUUUGUUUUUUCUUUUGUUGGCAUUACCUGUUCAACCAAUAUUAUAUGUGGAGUAAUCGAUUCGAGUAACUUAUUAUAUGUUAGAAAAUGGACUUACCCAUCACAGCACAUGGAGUACACAUCCUCACAUGCAUGGGAGAAUGCCCAACAAUUGUUUAAUCAACGAUUGUCCCAACCAUGCUCAUGCAUAACAUCGAUUUCUAAUUAUUAAUUGAUAAUGUCUCUCUCUCUCUCGAGGGCCGAGAACUCGGGGAUUCCUUUUAGAACUUUUUUUAUUUAUUUUUUAUUUUUUAUGAAGUAAUUCCUUUGAGAACUUGUGACCGACAAAAUGAUGAAAAGAGAUGGAAUCUACUUUUUCGAGUUUUCAGAGCAAUAAUAGAACCAUAGCAAGAUCUCUCUCUUCUAGUACAUCUGAGCUGAGCCCCAACCCACCACCACACAAUCGAAUCUUAUCUUCUCACAUGUAUUUUGAUUUUUAAAUUUUGUGUUUCAUCCGGUUGAUUGCUCUUCUAGAACCAUAGCAAGAUCUCUCUCUUCUAGAACUAAUUAUAGAUGUGUAUGUUUUGAUUAAGCUAGUAUAUACCAAAAUAAGGCCAUAAUGGCGUCAGUUACAGCAGACCUCUUCAUUGGCAAAUUUGUAGCAAUUCUCGAGAGUGAAGCAGCCUCCAUAGCCGGUGUUGAUGAUCAAGUUGAUGAGAUUAAGCUGGAGCUGGAAUUCAUGAAAGCCUUCUUAGCGGUUGCUGACGGGGGCAACAAAGCACACACACAAGUAGAGGAAGUGUGGAUCACAAGCAUGAUUUCUAAGCAAUAACUUCUGAUCAUCUCUUUCUUCUAGCAAUAAUAAAUAUAUCAUUUAUUGCCUUACCCACCACCACACAAUCGAAUCUUAUCUUCUCAUGUAUUUUGAUUUUUAAAUUUUGUGUUACAUCCGGUUUAUUGCUCCCCAGAAUCAAUUCUAGAUGUGUUGUUUUGAUUAAGCUAGUAUAUACCAAAAUAAGGCCAUUAUGACGUCUGCUGCAACAGACCUCUUCAUUGGAAAAUUUGUAGCCAUUCUAGAGAGUGAAGCAGCCUCCAUAGCGGGUGUUCGUGAUCAAGUUGAUGAGAUUAAGCAGGAGCUGGUAUUCAUGAAAUCCUUCUUAGAGGAUGCUGACGGUGGAGAGCAGGCACACACACAAGUAGAGAAAGCGUGGGUCGCAAGCGUUCGAGACUUGGCCAAUGAUGUUGAAAACACCAUUGAUGAGUUCAUGUAUCGCGUGUAUGAGCAACGAAAUGGUGGUCGAUUUUCCAGGUGGUUCCACAAAACCAUUCACUUUCCAAAGCAUCUUUGGUAUAAGCGUCGAAUAGCCAACAAGUUACAGAAAAUCGCGGUGGCGAUUAGAGCUAUUCCAGAGAGAAAUCAGAGAUAUCAUGGUGCUGCAGCUGUAGAAGUAAAAAGUACUUCUGAGGAUACUCGAAGAUGGGUACGGAACCAAGCGGAGUCUUCUCUUUAUCAGAAGGAGGAUGAACUUGUCGGGAUUGAAGGCGAUAAGAACAUGUUACUGGGAUGGCUGAUGGAUGAAGCGAAGCACCAAAUUGUUGUGUCCGUGGUCGGGAUGGGAGGAUCAGGGAAGACAACUCUAGUUGCAAGAAUCUUCAAAGAUGACAUUGUAAAGAGAGAUUUCGAAUGCUAUGCAUGGAUUACUGUUUCCCAGUCUUAUGUGAUUGAAGACUUACUUAGAAGAUUGAUAAAAGAAUUCCACAAAGGAAAGAGGGAAGAGGUCCCUGCAGACAUAAAUGCCAUGAGUUAUAACGAAUUGCUGGAGAUUUUGGUGAACUACUUGGAGACUAAAAGGUACCUAAUUGUAUUGGAUGACGUGUGGGAUGUCCACCUUUGGGACAAAAUAAGGUUUUCAUUUCCAGAUAAACAACUUGGAAGUCGAGUCAUGCUUACAACUCGAAGAGAAGACAUAGCAUCCUCUUCUUUUGGAGUUGAAAGCCAUGUUCACAAGAUUCAACCGUUGGAAAGGGGUGAUGCGUGGGAGCUUUUCAGCAUGAAAGCAUUCUCGAGUUAUCAGAACAAAUCUUGUUCACCUGAACUUUUGCCUUUAGCUCGGGAACUUGUGGAAAAGUGUGAAGGUCUACCACUCGCGAUCGUAGCCUUAAGUGGUCUCAUGUCUUCUAAGAAGUCACUUAAAGAGUGGAGCACAGUCUACAACAGCUUAAAUUGGCAUCUAACAAACAAUUCUUUGUUAGAACCUAUGAAGAUGCGCAUCUUGUUGUUUAGUUUUAAUGAUUUGCCAUACCGAUUGAAGCAAUGCUUUCUCUCUUGUUCACUUUUCCCUGAAGAUCAUGUGAUCGUAAAUAAUAGGCUCAUCACAUUGUGGAUCGCUGAAGGAUUUGUUGAACAUGUCGAAGGGCUCACGCCAGAAGAAGUUGCAAAUAGCUAUCUUAUGGAACUCAUUUUUCGUAACAUGCUACAGCAAAGGUUUCUAGGAUCCCUCCCAGCAUGUAAGAUGCAUGAUCUUUUGAGGGAGAUUGCUCUGUCUAUAGCAAAAGAAGAAAAGUUUUGCGUUGUACAUGAUGGGGGUGAAAUAGUAGAAGAAACUGGGGCACUCCGUUUGUCAAUUCAAACAACUAAUGGAGAAAUUAGAUCAUGCACAGGUAUAUCACGGUUUCGUUCGUUUCUUGUCUUUGCCACUAGCGUAUCCUCAUUCUCUUUCCCAAAUAAAUUACCUUUUGACCUUAAAUUGUUGAAGGUUCUGGAUUUGGAGGAUGUCCCAAUUGAUAAUCUACCAGACAAUCUAACGUCCUUAUUCAAUUUAAAAUAUUUAAAUUUGAGUGGAACUCCAAUUACUGAGCUUCCAGAAUCCAUUGGACAGCUCCGCAACCUUCAGACCUUGAACAUCAAUCUGACAAAAAUAGAGGCACUUCCAAGAGGGAUUUCCAAGUUGCUAAACUUACGCCAUUUACUUGUGAGCAGGUCCAUUUAUGGAAAGGCAAUUGGGGUAAGAAUACCAUCAAGUAUUAGUAAGAUGAAGAAAUUGCAAACUUUGGCAUAUAUUGAAUCAGAAGGAAAUAUUAUUAGACUUAUUGGAAGUAUGACCCAACUUACGUUCCUUGGCAUUACAAAUGUGAAAGAAAGAGACGAGGAGGACCUUUGUGCCUCAAUUCAAGAGAUGAAGGUCCUUUCCCGCUUGUUUUUAUCUGUAGCUGAUGGAGAGGAAUUUCUUCGAGUUGACGCAUUGUCUUCACGGACUCCCUACCUUGAUAGACUUGAAUUGGUCGGCAAACUGGAAAAGGUACCACAUUGGUUUUGUUCACUCCACUCUCUCGCAUCUUUGAAUCUGUCUGGGUCCAGACUUGAAGAAGAUUUACUACCUCAUAUUGAAGCAUUGCCCUCUCUACGUUCUCUUUGGCUUCGUAAUGCCUCUGUUAGGAAGGAGUUAUGUUUCAACAGAGGCUUUGUGAAGCUUCGGCAUUUGUGGGUUUCGGAUCUCGCAUUAUUAAAUAAGAUAACUAUAGAAAAAGGGGCGAUGCCAAAUCUCGAGUUCAUAAGAAUUCAUGAUUGCUUGACAUUAGAAACAUUGCCACAAGGUAUUGAGGACCUUACUAAUCUACAAGUAUUCAGAUUUGAUAAUGUUUCAGAGAAGUUUAGAGAGUCCAUAAAAGAAGGAGGUGUGGAUCAUCCAAGGAUGCUACUCGUCGAUGAGAGAUGUAAGAAAUAUGCGUAAGUAUCUUAUAUCCUUUCCUAAACUUAAUGAUUUGGAAUAUUGCACUUGUGUUCAAGAAAUUGUUCUCGUUCACAUCUCUGUUAAUGGAUGUAAAGCCAUAUAGAUUUUUUGUUAAUUACAAUAUUGCUUUUGUCUUUUUAUAUAUUUUGCAGAAACAAGUCCUGGGAUUGAAGAUUUUACCCAUGAGUUUGGGGGUGGGAACUUGUUCGUCUUGUUUUGACCCCAAGACUGAUCUAGAUUGGCUUCUUAUUUGCUCUUUUGAAAAUCAAACAAUACCCAAGUUGAUGUUCUUAAAAUUGCAGUUGAUGUUUUUGUGUGUGUUUUAAUUUGCAUGUAAUAAAAUUCGAGUUUGCAUCUGUCACUUCAACAAUUGGCAGAUGUAUGUCGAUGAUUAGCUUUUAAGAUUUGGACCAUGGAUUCUUUUAUAUUCGGCGUGUUUGUACCUUCUUCUAUGUUAAUUGUGUUUGUAUUUUCAGGUUUUUUUCUUUGUACUUUCAGAUUGGCUAAUUAAAUAAUACAGAAUCUUAAUUGCUUUCCAUGAGAAGUUCUAUAGCACAGGAAUGUCAAUGUAGCGGUAUCUCACAUCAAUUACGCAUUAUUAUAUGAGGAUACUAAAACACAUUACAAUGCGUGAUUGAUUUGAAAUACCGCAAUAAUAACAUCCAUAACAUAGGUAAGUUUUUCAUCGCCCUUAUCAAUCCUAUUGAGUAACCUGUUAGAAUCUUCUCUCCAAAGCCGGCUCUUCUGCGUCAGUUGACCUCCCCCUCCCCCUCCCCUCUUUUCUCCCCCAACUGUGACAAGGACGAGCUCAAAUUUUUGAUCUUAUCUAUGGAAUGAAAUGUAGUUUUUAUUAUUUUUUAAAUCAAACAAAACUACAUACAUUUAAAACUUGUUUGACAAAGAAAAUAAAAAGACAUUCGUUUUAGGCACUAACCGCUUCCACGUGGAACCGUACGUGGGGGGCUAAUAACGGUUUUAACCGAAACUCCAAGGACUCCAAUUUUUCUCACACAAACACUCUGUUUUCCCUCUGAUCUCUCUGCCUCUCAGAGCCGUGAAUGAAGAAUACGACGUCAUAGUGCUCGGAACUGGCCUCAAAGAAUGCAUUCUCAGCGGCCUCCUCUUUGUGGAUGUUCUCAAGGUAAAGCUUAUGUAAAUGGAUAACAUAUAAAAUUGUAGCUUCCUUAUGGUAAGGUUAUUGUCUAACAAAUCUAACCUACUGCUACACAGUAUGACGUACUUUUUUUCUAUGAUGUUGAUAUGAUCCCCAAAGUAUCAAGAAUUAAUGAUGCAUAUAUUUCUUCCUAUUGUUCUUUGAUUUCUUCUUUGAUUCAUUUUCUCUUUUUGCUUAAGAUUGUAUAUGUUGAUAGGCUGUCAUGUUAAUUUGUUUGUCCGUAAAUAUGUGAUUAGGUUCAGUCACUCAUAUGGGCUAGCAAAGUGAAAAAAAAAAAAGCUCGAGGAAACCAUAUACAAAAGGUUGUGUAAAAUAGAACUAUUAAUAUUAUAUAGAUAUAAUAAUAAAAAAUUCAAAAAUAAAUAUAACAUACAAAAUCCAAAAAAAGAAAGGAAACACAUGCACUAGCACUACAAUUCAAACAUGCAUGAAUACUGUCUGGCUUUCUUGUUUUACUUUCUUUCUUUUUUCCUUCUACAUAUUUCAGCCCCAAUGAGUUUUACUCCUUUUGUGUGUGGUUGAGGCAAUUAUAUACAAUACGCUUUCUGUCUUUGGCUACCUAAAAAGUCAAGAAUGAGCCAUGCCUUUUGGUAUUACUGAAACUGAUACUGUGUUCAGGAUUUCAGAUUCUCCAUUCGAUUGGCUAUUCCUUAUAAUUAUGUACAUGUAUUUUGUUAUUUAGAGAGAGAGAGAGAGAGAGAGAGAGAGAGAGAGAGAGAGAGAGAGGGAGGGAGAGAGGCAAGUGUACAAACUAGAAUAAGUGAUAUCUCUCUAGCAAUCCAAGCCUUGAGUGUUGGUCAUUUGAGCUGCAAAUCUUGGUCUCUGGCUCUGGUCUUUUACAAAAUCCGGCUGUUUCCUUUUUGUGUAACUUCUCAGAAACAGAGAAGAUGAUCUUCUAAGAAUUAAGUAGGACUUUCAAAACCAAUUUUUCAAUUUGAUCUCUGCGCUACAUAAAAUAUAAAAAAUUAAUACCUCUGCUGCGAUGUUUCUUGUAUUUUUACUUGUAUGUGUAUGCAUUAUUCACAUUUGCAUUGUCACAUUAUGGAUUUAGUUUUGAAGUGAGAAUCUUACUUGGAUUUCUCGCAGACCACCUAUGUAAUUCAGCACAACCUACUACCAUCUAGUUUUCUACAAGCACAAGCUCUUGAGAUGAAAUCAAAUUUAUCAUAUGAGUUAUCCCCUAGGGUAAGUUUCAAUGUUACUUACUAUAUAUGAGAUCACUGUAGGUUAGUUGGUUGAGCUUUGAUUUUGUUUACUUCUCAUUUUGUAUCUCAAGGCUAAAAAGUUGGAAGAUUGGUUCAUCCUUUGCGUUAAAAAGACCUAAAGAAACCCAGCUACUUCUAUGUAAGGCAUCUUGGUUCUAAUUAUUUAUUUAUGUUUUUGUGAUUUUUUUGUAGUGUUUGUCAACUUUGUGAGAUUCUUUCGGGGUUAACUGCAAUUUUUGUGAUUCUUUUAACCACAGCAAGCUGCAAAAUUGUGAGUUGGAAUCACAAGGAAAGCUUGUAAAAAUUGAAAUGGUGUUGGAGCUCAUUUUGCUGUUAAGCCAUUUGUCUGUGUUAGAUGUGCGUGGGCUGCUGCAUGUUGGUGCUCUAGGCUAAUUAUUUUGGGACUUUGAUUCCAAGAAAAUAAUGAAGUUUCCCGAGAUCCUUCAUAGAAAAUAUAAGUUGCCUGAUCGCCGAAUCAAAUGAGAAAUUUGUUCUUGAUCAUUGCCAAUUAUAAGGAUGUCAUCGACAUAAAUGAGCAGAACCAAAUAGAUGCCUUGUUAAUUGUAAACAAAGAGUGUGUAGUCACAUUUGGACUCAUGAAAUCCAAGCUGCAAAAGAUAUUCAGAGAAUCAUUGAAACCAAGUUUGUGGAGCUUGUUUCAAUCCAUAUAGACUACGCUUCAAUUUACACACAUGAGAUCGAAAUUGUUGAUCCACAAAGCCAGUAGGUUGUUUCAUAAACACAUCUUCAUAGAGAUUUGCAUGUAGAAACGCAUUUUAUACAUCAAGUUUGUGAACCUGCCAUCUAUUGCUCACGGCCAGGCUAAGGACAAGACGAAUGGUGCUAUGUUUGACCACGAGAUUGCAGGUUUCACUGUAGUCGAUACCUUGUUGCUGAUGGAGACCAUUGGCAACAAGUCUGGCCUUGUAUCUCUCUAUUGAUCCAUCUGCUCUCUUCUUUACUUCGAACACCCACUUAUUUGGAAGCAAAUUCAUAUGAGGCUGAUAAAGAACUAGCUGCCAAGUACCAUUAUGUUGCAAAGCAUUAAAUUCCUGAGCCAUUGCAUGUCUCCAUUCCUCCUGUUUCGUUGACUGACUAAAACAAGUAGGUUCAAUGCAUUAGUAUCCAUAAUAACAUGUAGAGCAUAUCUGGGAUUGGGUUUUGGAACACCCAACUGAGACUUGGUCGCCAAAGGAUGAUGAGAAAUAGCUUGAGAAACCUGCGGGACAAUAUCUUCAUUUAUUGGCUCAUUAGGAGUUGGGAAAGGAGUAAGUGUUGGAGUGGGAGAAGGAGAUUGAUUUAAUUGCACAUCGUCAGGCGUGCAAUGAGGAAGUGGAGGUGAAGUAGGAUUGUUUCUUGUAGGCAACGAAACAUAACCUGAUGGCAAAUUGAAUUAGUUGUUUCUGGAAAAGUAAACAAAAUUGCAGAAUCAAAAUUGGCACCUGUGUGUUCGACGCUUCCCUUGGAAGAUGUGAGUUCCUAAAAUGGAAAAACGUCCUUAUCGAAUAGGACAUGGCGAGACAAAUAAAUGCGUCUUGUGGAUAAAUUCAAACACUUAUACCCUAAUGGUUAAGAGAAUAUCCUAAGAAUACACAAGUUUUUUUUAUUUUGGUUGUAAUGUAUAUUUAUUAUAUGGAGUGAGCUAGGGAAAACACCUACACCCAAAGACUCGAAGCAUGUCAUAUGAAGGAGUUUUAUGAAACAAUUUUUCAAAAGGAGACAUAUGGUUUAGCACACGUGUGGGAAGGCGAUUUAUGAGAUAAGUGGCAGUUUGGCAGGCUUCUAGCCAAUAAGAGGUAGGAAUGUGAGCAUGGUUAAGCAUGACAAUAGCAGUUUCAACGAGAUGAUGAUGUUUCCUUUCUACAAGGCCGUUUUGUUCUGGAUGUUUAGUAAUUCCAUGUUUUGCCAAAAAUUAUUGAAAGGCUAGUUUUGUGUACUGGCCUCCUUCUUCACAUUGAAGAGCUCUUAUUGAGGUGUUGAGCAUUUUUUCUAUUUGUUUUUUAAAUUUGAUAAAAAUAUCAAAUACUUCAUAUUUUUGUUUCAUGAGAAAUAUUCUAGUGUAUCGAGAGAAGUCAUCAACUAAAAGAAAAUAAUAAAGAAAGCCAUGAACUGAAACAAUUAGUGAACUCUAAACAUCGGAGUGUACAAGAGCCAAUGGAGAUAAAAACACAGAAUCUGAAAUUGGAAAUGGUAAUUUAGUGCUUUUACCUAAAGGACAUGAAGAACAAAAAGGUACAUGAGAGGAGCCACUAAUUGGCACUUUAUUAUUUGAAAUCAAAUUCUUUAUUAUUUCACUAGCUGGAUGGCCUUGGAGAGAAUGCCAUUUUUGAAUUGAGACACGAGUUCCUAUGAAAGCAGAAAAAGAUUGAUUGGAAAAUCCCCCGCUAUUUGUGAAUGGAUAUAAUCCAUUCUAACACCUUCCUUGGAAAAACGUCUUCUGUGUCUUGAGGUCCUUCACAAAAAAACAAUCAAGAAAGAUGAGAAUAUAGCAAUUAUUGUCGGAAGUGAAACGAUGAACGAAAAUCAAAUUUGUAGAAGCAAAAUGGCAAAAGCGUUUUUGGUAGAAAAUAAAAACAGAAAAUAGAAACGGGACCUAGAAAACGUUACCAAACGACUCAUAAGUUGUAAUUGACUUACCAAACGACUCAUAAGUUGGAAUAUGUAUGAAUAUUGAGCUGCACGUAAAGUAGAUGAGACACAGCAUUUAACGAGGUUCGGCUAUGCCUACGUCCUCGGAGAGCAGCAGCAGUAACUUUUUCACUAUAUAAAAUAAUAGGGCUACAACUUUAGAGUUUACAAUAUGUGAGGCUCACUGAAUUUUCUCUUUCUUUCUUCUUUUUCUCUUCUUUUCUUUCUUCUUUUCUCUUCUUCUUCUCUCUUCUUUUUCUCUUCUCCCCUUUCUUUCUUUUCUCCGUUGGUCACACUCCCCUUUACAAUUGGUAUGCCUAUUUAUAGGCUAAUGUUUAGGCAAAAUACAGGGAAGGGAAGGUUCCUGGAAGAUGCAAGGAAACUUUCUGAAUUGAUAAAUACAGGGAAGGAAAGUUCCUGGAAGAUGCAAGGAAACUUCCUGAAUUGAUAAAUACAGGGAAGGGAAAGUUCCUGGAAGAUGCAAGGAAACUUCCUCUGUGGGCUCCACCUUCAAACUUUUACAACACUCCCCCUUGGAGACCACAAAUGAUAUGGAAUAUGCCUCGUUAAAAACCUUGCCAGUAAAAACCCAGUGGGACAAAAACUGUUCGAAGGGAAAAAGAGUACAUAAUCACGUGUAACACAAAAUUCUGUGUAUAUUGACGCGCGUGCGACACUGCCUCGUUAAAACCUUGCCAGGAAAAACCCAGUGGGAUAAAAACCUGGACGAAGGAAAAAGAGUACAGUGUGUAAGGGUCUGUAUUGACAGCACGCUCCCCCUGAUGCUUGGCAAAAUAUCUUUAAGCCAUACUGUUGAUCAUCUGUCUGAAUAUCAUAGUUGACACUGCUGCUGUGAGUCAAUAGUGUAUGAAGGUCUUUAUUAAUACCAUGCUCCCCCUGAUGAAUAUCUCCCCCUGAAAACUUCAUGACUAGCUUUUUCCAGUAAGCGACCAUAGAGAUUUCCUGAGUCCGCAUAUCUUAGAACACUUGGGCUAUUUAUAAGUUCACUAAAAAAUAUGCCCGUAUAUGGUGUUAUGCUUAGAUAGCAUCAAAUAUACCUCACAUCAUCCCAAAAUGAUGGUGAUGGAGUUGAGCCCUAUUUGGAAAAUAUGAUGUCCGGUCCAAUAUACUUCCGCAAAAUCAUUAAAGUGUCCAACGGAUAAUCCUCAUAAAAAUACUUCAAUAUUUUCUUAGUAUAAGCAAGAAUCUCGUUGGCAUAAUGCUCGAUCCUUAAGUCGAGACAAAUAUUUCGUGAAUUCUGCAGAAGCUUUAAUGUGUUGCAAUCACAUUAUAAUCAAUGUACUCACUGAGGUAAUUUAUGCAUAUUAAUAUUGAGUACAAAUUUUGUGCUUCAAGCACAUGCCCUUUAGGGACUUGCUUUAUGCAAUGUCAAUCCUCUCAACGGAUUUUGUUUUAAAGGGAUUAAACUUUAUGACACAUUAUAUAGCUUUAACACAGCUAUUUAUACAUCUUUAGGGAAUCGCUUCUGGCGAUAUGCUCCGUGCAUUUAAUAACCCUUAAAGAUAAUAUGUUGGUCUCCGUAAUUGUGUAAUAAGGGGGGCACAAUUGAAUCUGUAAAUAUGGAGAAAACCCAACAUUCCUUGUUUCUGCCAGAAACAGUGUGUCAUACAAAGUAGAUAUAUUUCCUUUUAUUCCGAACAUCCAAGUAUAACUUUCAGUAUUAACAAAUUUUGGGGUUCGUAUUGUGGGUUUGUUCUUUCACGUUCAUUCUCAUUUAUAAUGGAAUUACCUCGUUCCAUUUUGGCCAAUGAUAUUGUCGACAUUUAAUAAUUGAACGUGGUUCCAAUCAACACAGCCCAUUGAUGAUUUGAGUAGCUACUCCAAAAUCAAAAAUUGUCAUUCAUCAAUUCAUGAUCUCACAAUUCUCAUGUGCAUGCGCAUGCAUCAAUUAUAAGCAUUCCUUUGCUUUUGGGUACCCAAGCCACUUCAUGGGGCUUUUAUUAUGUGAGAAUGUGGAUUAUAACCUCCAUUGGAGCGUUAUUUUACAUAGGGCGUGGAAAAUCUCCAUUUAGGGAGUUGGAACAUUUAGAACCCAUAUAUCUGUCAUGCUGCAGGCAUGCCACAGAUUAAUACAUACAUGUCAAUUAAUUUCUGGGACCUUAACCCAUAUUAUGGGACUUUAACCCAUAUAAUUUGCUACGCAUUAGGCGUGCAUAAUAUCAAUAUUGACAUGUCAAAGGAUUGUCCUUUCGGGACUUCAAUCCAUAUCAUUUGCUACGCAAUAGGCGUGCAUCAUAUUGAUCACUGCUAUACCCAUAUUCUGUUCUUAUGGGACUUUAAUCUGUGCAGUGUAUUAUCAAUGUAUCCAACUUGCAAUCUGUAAAAUUUGCGUUAAUAAUUCAUGGAUACAUACAAGUCAUUCUUUUGGAAUGGACUUAUCUCCCCAUUUGGUUACCUUUCAAGAUAAAAUAUCAAAUAGGUAUAUAAGCAUAAAAUAACACAAGUAUUGCUUACAUCCUUAGGUGGGAGAAACUUUUCUCAAGUAUCAUUCAAGCUCAUAUCAGCCCAGUAAAUAUAAUGUAGCGCUUGAUGAUCUAGUUAUAUCCUGCAAGAGCAAAAAUCACAACUCUUUUGCCUCUGUCAAAACAAAUAACCCUCAUAGUUAGGAUUACUUCAUGGAUUCAUUCUUCAGAUGUUCAUUCUAAAGAAAUAAAAUCUCUUAUGAACAGAGAGUUAUAAAAAGAGAAAAAAUGCAAAAAUAAUGUGAUAUUGAUUGCAAGAGAAGGUAAGCAAUCAGGGAAGGAAGCUGGUGGGAGCAGACAAUAAGCUUUCAUAUCUCCUAGUCUAGAAGGACUCCCGGAGAUUAGAGUAUAAGAUCGCCUUCACAGUUUCCUAAUGUAGUGGAAACGUGAUCAGGGAUAGUCUUGCUUCCUGAAUGGAUGAUCAGAGAUAGUCUUGCUUCUCAGGCAUAUUGAGUGCUCACUGAUAAGAAAAAUAAGUAGAUAUCGUAUCACUAAGUAUGGAGUAACCUGGAUGUCUUUUGCAAAGAAAAAUUUCGUUAGUAACACAUUUAUACACAAAUACAAUGAAUAGGUAGAACCGGUAAAUUUCAAAUUAACCAUAAGAAAAUUGCGAGAUUCUCGGGAUACUUUUGAAAAAGUAGCUCCGUGAAAUCCGUAAAGCAAGAUCAGCUUUGAAAAUAAUACUUUGAAAAACGCCGAAAGUGCCGACAGGCAUUAUUAGAGGCCACGUGAAGUUUUGGACUCUGGGAAAGAAAAAGAUAAUAUGGGGAUUCGAGAAGACAUUGGAGUCCUGAAAAGUUGCCACAUUUUCGUCUAUAGAUAUUGCCUUUGCAAACUGCGUUUCAACUCAAUUUCCUUCAUUUUCUGAACCUUUAGUUUUUUCUAAGACUUUCUUCGAAACCUUCUUAAAAAAAUGGCUUCCUCUUCUUCCUGCCCAAAUUAUUUCAAUUUAAAUGAUGCUCCCACAACAACCAGUGACGCCCAAGUUUGGCGUCCAUCCUUUGUAUCCAAAAAUCGUCAUCUCACAGUUAAUGAUUCUGUGAUGAUGAAUGAUGCUACUACUGUCAUAGUAGCUAGGAAUUUCAUUACUCCAAUGGAUGAAAUGUUGUUGACAGGGAGAUCAGAGGAAGAGGCUAUUGAUGACUCAAUGGCUUUUAGCAUUCAGAGUGCUGCUUCUGUUUCUAACAUGGCUGAUCGUUUGCGUGCUAGAGCAAACGAGGUUGAGAAGCUGACAACUGAAAAUUCGUCUCUUCAAAGAAUGCUUCAUGAGUCUCAACAGGAGGUUGAGAAACUUAAAGGAGAGAAUAAUUCCUUGUUGAAACUGGUGAGUUCGUACUCUGUUGAUACACUGAGAAGGCUAGACAUGCUGCAGGUCUCCAAUGAAAGAAUUUUGGGAGACCACGAGAAGCUCAUGGCUAAGCUUAAGAGGCGCCGUCAUCUUCCUGCAGAGGCUUCCAGAACAUAAUGUAAUUUUUUAUAGAUUUCACAGGGCCUGCACCUUUAUUGCAAGUGGAAAAAAUCUAUCUGUUGUAUGUUCCUGUAAUAAUAAUUGCGCACAUUCUUAAACUUGCACCUGUGGUUUUUACGUCUUUUCAAAAUGACGGUUUGGAACCUUGUGCCUUAUAGGUUCAAAUAACCACAUUGUCUCUCCCAAAUUGCAUGGUAGCCCGGAACUUUUGGCAUGGGCACAAACUCAGAAUUUAUUUGCCCUUUUCAAAUGGACAUGAAAUGUGAAUUGAGUAAAAGUCAUGAUAAUAUCGCAAUAUAGUAGUGAAGAGCAUUAACUACUAUAUACCCACAACUUCAAGUUUAGGAUCUCUCAUAUAUUUGGAUCCAUGGGCUUCCGGCUCAGAUAUAACAAAAUAUGUAGGGAGUCUCAAUUCAUUAUUUGAGGUUUAUAUUGAUAUUAUCCAUUUCGCGGUGUAUUCUUAACAACCGGAAUUCACAAAAUAUAUUUCUUCCUUGAGGUGUCGAUUAUAACAAAAUCGAACUUUAAAUUCAUCAUCUUCUUAUGCCAAAGAAAUAUGUGACAUACCACAAUUUGCAAUAAUACCUCAAGGGUUGUCCAUUUAAUUGUUGGAACUUCAGGUUCUCAACACUGUUAAAUUUUGAACUUCAGGCCAAAGCCACAUAUUCUCAUGGUAUGGACAUUUUUACAAUUUUCUGUACAUAUUUCGGGACUUCAAGCCCUUACAUAAUUGUCCAUAUUUUGAGGAACUUCUGGCAUCUCAUUUAAUUGCUCAUCCAUGAGUUUAAGGAAUUGCAGGUUCCCUUUUGUAUAUAAUGACGGUUUACCCAAAAUGGUUAAUAUUUAUGCAUACGUCACUAUUCAUGUGAAUAGUACUAUUCAUCAAGUCAUGAAUACGUAUCUAUUCAUCUGCCAAUACAGUUAUCAUCAAUGUGUACGGUACUAUGAACCAAUACGGUACUGUUACAUCAUUAAGGAACUCUAGGUCCUUAUUUACAUGUCAGGAAUCAAGGACCUUUAAGUCCAAUCACAUGUUUACAAAUACAGUACCGGUGAGACUGCCAGCUCUCAUUUUAAUAUCAUCAUCAAGGAUUUUCAAGUCCUGAUGUAAUUGUAUGAUGAGGAUCAAGGAACUUCUGGUCCUGAUCUGCAUACUGGAAAAACUCAUCAUACAGCACAAUUAAUCCAUAAAAUAAAUUGCUGAUAAAUAAAUUACUGGUAUGGACGAUAAACCCGCACCACACUUUAAAUAAAUGUAAAUGUGCGGUAAAUUAAAUUCAUAAAGUUAAGGUGCUUGUAUGGGCAUUAAUUCUGCUCCAUACAUUUAAAUAAAAGUAAAGGCGUGGACGAUAAACCCGCACCACCCUUUUAAAUAAAUGUAAAUGUGCGGUAAAUUAAAUUCAUAAAUUAAGUUGCUUGCUGUAUGGACGUUAAUCCCGCACCAUACUUUAAAUAAAAUUAAAUGUGCGGUAAAGUAAAUUGUGCUUGUAUGGGCACUAAUUCUGCUCCAUACAUUUAAAUAAAAGCAAAGGCGUGGACGAUAAACCCGCACCACCCUUUUAAAUAAAUACUGUUGUAUGGGUAAUAAACCUACACCAUACAGUAAAUAAAAUAAAUAUGCGGUAAAAUAAAUUUGCGAUAAAGUAAAGGUGCAUGUAUGGGUAAUAAACCUACACCAUACAGUAAAUAAAUGUGGGGUUAAAACCACCACCGAAUAAAAUAAGAAAAAGUUAGUAUUAGUAACGGUCUCCCACUGAUAAUAUGUUUAGUAUUACCAAGGGUCCAUUUUUGUUAGUGGUUAGUAGUAUAGAUAAUAGUGCAGCAAAAAAAUUAUACCUGAGAGCUUCUCGUGCUGAUAACGUGUUAUAAAAAUAACCUGGAAUAUGUAUGAAUAUUGAGCUGCACGUAAAGUAGAUGAGACACAGCAUUUAACGAGGUUCAGCUAUGCCUACGUCCUCGAAGAGCAGCAGCAGUAACUUUUUCACUAUAUAAAAUAAUAGGGCUACAACUUUAGAGUUUACAAUAUGUGAGGCUCACUGAAUUUUCUCUUUCUUUCUUCUUUUUCUCUUCUUUUCUUUCUUCUUUUCUCUUCUUCUUCUCUCUUCUUUUUCUCUUCUCCCCUUUCUUUCUUUUCUCCGUUGGUCACACUCCCCUUUACAAUUGGUAUGCCUAUUUAUAGGCUAAUGUUUAGGCAAAAUACAGGGAAGGGAAGGUUCCUGGAAGAUGCAAGGAAACUUCCUGAAUUGAUAAAUACAGGGAAGGAAAGUUCAUGGAAGAUGCAAGGAAACUUCCUCUGUGGGCUCCACCUUCAAACUUUUACAACACAUUGGAAUUUUUAGUUCUAUUUUGGAAUUCCCCAGGAUUCAUGUUACUUAGAAAAUAUUGUUGUCUUCUUUAGGUAUGAAUCCUACAGAUUUUUUUUUUAAAUUCUGUCAGUAACUACUUUAUUUUUCUCCUAAAUUUAACGAGUGCUGCUAUUUUCACUCACCUGUCUUAUUUUCCCACCUAUUAUAUCUUCAAAAUUUUAAAGACAAAUUUAUCCCUUUAUAAAAUGAUUUUUAAAGACUUAAGAAAAAAAACAUUAAAAUCAAUUUAAAAAAUGAGAAAAAGAUAGUAAAAAAAAUACUAAAAAGAUUAACCCCACCUCACCCCAUCAUCUGUUCCGCGCACCCUUCCUUCUUCUCUAUUUUCCCUCUUUGUUUCUUUAAUAGUCACCGCCCCACCACAAUCAAAAGAUACCAAGCAGAUCCACCCCCAAAUUUUCAGUAUUAAUAAUAUGAAGGGACUUUUAACUGAGAUUUGAAUCAGCCCAGCAAUUCUAGGCUCUCAAAGUCUGCACCUCUCAACUGAGAGAGAGAGAGAGAGAGAGAGAGAGAGAGAGAGAGAGAGAGAGAGAGAGAGAGAGAGAGAGAGAGAGAGAGAGUAGCAUCUGGGUUGAGUUGUGUGGCUAGGGUGCUGGGCUGUAGGAGGUAAGUUUGAUGGGUGGGGUGUGAUGAAAUUGGUGGGGAGGGGAUCGGGUAAAACCAUAGUAUGAAAUAUCGAUAAUAUCGAAGAAAUAUCGAUAAUAUCGAAGAAAUAUCGAGGAUAUUUCGGUUUUUUCGAAUCACGGAUAUUUCGGAACAUAUCUAUGUACAUAUCGUAUAAAUAUCGACAAUAUCGACGAUAAUAUCGAAAAAUAUCGAUGUCGAUAAUUUCGCUCACAUUUCAGCAAUAUUUUGUCAAAAUAUCAGUGUAAUAUAGCUAAAAUAUCGAAAAUAUCGAUGUAAAGGAAAAAAAGAAAAAAAAAAGGGAAAAAUGGGAGAAAAAAGCACAAUGAACCCCUCUCAUUUUACUCCUCCAACACCUUAACCACCAUAUCACUUAUGUUUUUGUGAUAAUAUGCUCAAAUAUUUAUAUUUAUAUGGGUGACAUGUUAACAAUUACAUGCAAAACUAUUUUGGGGAUUUAUCAUUUGAUGACUACUCUUCACAAUACACUUACUCUACACAUAGAGAUGAUGAAGUUAGUGAAAAAUUUGAACCUCAUAGGAACUCUAUGUGGUACUAAGUCACUCAUGUAUCUUACCAUACAAUGUAUAAAGUGUAAAAUAUUGUAGUAAAUCAUUAUAUAUAAAUGAUUAUGGUAUGUUUAAUCUUUUUUCAAUAAUUACUACAUAUUUUUUAUACUCAUAGUGUUUGCCCGCUUGCUGUAUAAUCAACUUAAAUCAGUUAAAUUCAUCAUGCAAUGCAUUUCCUUCUAAUUUUUUGUGAUAAACUAAUAGAUAAUUGACUAAAUAAACAUGCUCCAAAGUUUCAAUAAAAAUUUCCAAGUUUUUCUUACAAUUUCCCUAGUUUUUAUUCAAUUUUUAUCUAUAUCGAUAAUAUCCCGAUAUUUCUAUUGAAAUUUCCAUGUUUUUGGACUACCGAUAUUUCCGAUAUCAUCGAUAUUUUAGACUUUGGGUAAAACAGAGAGAAAUAGUUUUUUUUGGAGUACUUUAUAUUGUUUAUUAAUUAAUUAAUAAUAUAUUAUUAUUUACUUGGUAGGUGGAAAGAUAAUGGGUAUUUUAGGAAUAGUAAUGAGUGAAAAGAUGAGAUUGUGUUUUUUUAAAUUUAUAUGGUAAGUUAAAAAAUAAAAUAUAGGAGUGGAAAUAGCAGCACUCAUUUAAAAAUUUCUGAAUUCGUCACUGGUUACAGUAAUAAUAAAUAAAUGCACCGACCAACCUGUUUUGGACAAUAAACAACUAAUUAACCAUGAUGUCCUUUUUCCUUCUCAAAUGCACCUACCUUUCCAAAGUAUCUACCACCAUUACUUUAUGCCAGCCAUCAUUACGUUCGAUCCCAUUCCAACAUUAUUAUUUAAGAAUUAACAUUAAAUAAUUAUAUUUGACUCCAUCAUAUUUUCUAAUUAUAAUAUAGUAAUUACUCCUUUCGUGAUAGCCACUCUUCUAAGAUAUACGAAUUCCUGUCAGUUUUAUUUGGCUGCUUAUUUGUAAGAGCAUCUCAUGUUCAUAUAUUAAAAGACAAGACCCGUGAUGAUAGGAAAAAUGAGUUGAACUACUACCCCAAGAUAUAAUGACUAUCAUGAGGAUUAGGUAACGUGGUUAGCUAAUAUGAUUUAUCUAAUCGCUUCUAAUAAGGUUUUUCUGUGCAGGGAAGGUUAGAUUUUUUUUUUUUUUUCCAAAGUCAGAAGAUAGAAACGUGAAUUGGAUUGUUAGACGUUGAUUUCUCUUCUUUAGACAAUUGAUAAAUUUAGUCGUAGUGUCCUUCUGAAAUGCUUGUAAAUAGCUUGAUUUACUACAAAAACACCUGCUCCAUCAUUGAUCUUAAAUCAUUACAUAUAGAGUGCGAAUGGAGUUCUUGUGGAGGCUGGGUAGUUUUUUAAAAUAUUUUAUUUUUAUAAAUAAAAUUUUUAAUUAUUUCAUUUGUAAAUAUGUAAUAAAUUUUUAAAUUUAUUUAAAUAGAGUGUAUUGGAAGUAUUUCUGGUAAUCAAAUAUGAUGAAAUAGAACGAGUUGUAAAAAUAACAACACUCUUAUUUAUAUAUAUUUUUCAAAAAACCACCGACUUAUCUUAUUGUAAUUUGUUGUAAAGUUUUUGUGUGGAGCCCACUAACUAUUCAUUUGGAGACUUUUGGUAGAGUUUGUCGGCAACUUCUUCUUACUGCACACUCACGAGAGUUGCACCAAUCUGCCUAUAAAUAGGCAACCUGCAAAGUUAAAAAGAAGAGAAGAUAGAAAAGAAAGGGAGAAACGGAAAGAAAGAAAGAGAAAGGAGGAAAGAGAAGAGGAAAGAGAAAGGAGGAAAGAGAAGAGGAAAGGGAAAGGGGGAAAGGAGGAAAGAGAAGAGGAAAGAGAGUCAGGCAGAGAAGAGGAAGGGAAGGAAGAAAUAGGGUGAGUGAGCAGAGAGAAAAUUCAGUGAGCCUUACAUAUUGUAAACUCUAAAGUUGUAGUUCUAUUAUUUUAUUUAGUGAAAAAGUUACUGCUGCUGCUCUCCGAGGACGUAGGCAUAGCCGAACCUCGUUAAAUGCUGUGUCUCAUCUACUUUACGAGCAGCUCUGAAUUAUCGCACAUAUCCCAGGUUAUUUUUAUAACAUAAUUGACUUAUUGAGAGAGCACUCCCAUUGAUCGUGCUUAGAGCUCCACUCACUUGAAAUCUUAUUGUUUUUUUUUUUUUUUAAUAGUAAAGAUGAACUUUCAUUAAUAAAGACCAAAAAGAGGUCAAAGAAGCACCGAGACUACACAACCAGUCAAACGGCAUUAACAAGAAAAAGAAACCAAAGCGACAAGAAAAGGUAAAACUAAAGAAAAGCUACAAGGGAAAGUAAAAUAAAAGAGGAAAACACAGCACAGCCAACGAACAACAUCACAUAUUUUUUUUACUUGGUAACUGGUUCAGGUUGUGGGCUUCGAGGAAAUUGAUCUUAUAAUAUUCAAGAGUAGGCAAGUGGAUUCCAACAAAAAAAGAGACAAGGCAAGUGGAUUCCAAACAAACAAAAAAAGAGUAGGCAAGUGGAGCAUCUGGAAUUUGAUCUGAAAAAUCCGCGAGCAAUCCUUAUCAAAAAGACUUUUAUGAAAUGAAAGUAGUAUUAUUAAUAAUAUUUUCAGUAUUAUUGGUUAUGAAUAAAAUAAUUAACAAAAUAAUAUUAUCCCCUAUUGCAAGUUGCAAGUGGUCCGAAUGGAAAGUAAUAGUUAAAGAAACGGAUUCCAUUCUACCUCAAAUCAUUGGAAAUUCGUACCUAUUUGAGAUUUAAAAAUAAUUUUUUACUUAUUAAUAUAGCUGUCAACAUUUAAUUAGUUGAAUGGGAUCCAUUAGUGACUGGGAUCAUAGAAGAUUGUCUCACACCCCCAAUUUGGUACUAUUUAUCGCUUCCGCUAGAGCAAAAUAGAUAUACAUCUUUUCUUCCUGGCUUUGGGAUAUAUAGAUAGAGAAAUAAAUUUUUAUUGAUAAGUUGGGUUUAAUUCUCCGAUUUCUAUUUAACACGUUUGUCAUUGAAUAAAAAAGAAAAAUCUUGCAAACAUAUUUCAAAAACCAUGUUGUUACAAACAGUCAUUAAGGGCAAAUGUAAUUGCUACAAAUAUAUUACAUAAACCAUUAUUGGACAAAUACAUUUACUACAAAUGUAUUACAUGAAAGGACCAGCCCCGAAUUUUCUCAAAACUCGAGACGAACCCUUUGGAAUUCCUGACAUCACCCCGAUGCCAGGCCCACUUACUAAAAACCGAGACUUCCUGCCGAAAUUUCGGCAGAGUCUCCCCUAUAAAUUGGACAUUUCCCAAAAAUUUCAACCUGCAUAAAAACGCAUUUAAUAUUCCCAAUUGGCAGCAUGCACAAUAUAAUUUCAUGCAAUUCACACAAAUGGCCUUCGGCCUUCCAAUAAUUCUUAACUAACUACCAAACAAAUCAAAUACCAAUUAUGACUAGCAUUUAGUCUGCGGCUGCACCUAAUAACCUUAGGCUGCCUACGUACCCUCCUUGAGGGAUCAAGCCACACGUAGUUCUUCCCUAAAACUCAGUUCCACACUUGGGCGAUGCCUUAUUUCAUUUCUCGGUAUUUCAUGGAAUCUCCCCAUACGCCGGUACAACCAACGCCACGUAUGGGGCCUGUCAACACGCCGGAUAACCUACGCCACGUGCGACCAUGCCAUACUAUCAUAAUAUCUCCCCAUACGCCGGUACAACCAACGCCACGUAUGGGGUCUGUCUCAACGCCGGAUAACCUACGCCACGCGAGACCUGCACAUCAUAUCACAUAACUCCCCAUACACCGGUACAACCAACGCCACGUAUGGGGCCUGUCCCAACGCCGGAUAACCUACGCCACGCGGGACCUCAAUAUCAUAUCAUAAAGCUCCCCAUACGCCGGUACAACCAACUCCACGUAUGGGGUCUGUCGACACGCCGAAUAACCUACGCCACGUGCAACCUCAACAUAAUAUUACAUAGCUCCCCAUACGCCGGUACAACCAACGCCACGUAUAGGGCCUGUCCCAACGCCGGAUAACCUACGCCACGCGGGACCUAACUUUCACUUGGUGGUACUUGUAGUGGAUCCAACAUCCGAGGAGGUACCUAAAGUAGUGCGUAUAGCACUCCAAACUGACACUUUAGACUCUGUUGUACCCUUGUACAACCAUAUAUAAUUAUAGUUAUAUAAAUUAAUUCUAAUAUUGUGUAACCCUCCACAAUCAUCUAGCACCCGAUAAUCCCCCCUAGAAAGGUGAGAUUACUCCGGGAGACUCACGGUCAACCAAGGAUCAAACUACUCUAACCCUGGUCAACCGGACCUGCAAAACCCACGACCUCCAAUUUCCGAUCCGGAAGUCCCUAUGGGUUCUACCAGGUAUAGGACACUUGUCCUGCAAGUUUGGUUCAGAUCGGACGGUCGGAUUGCUCACGAUCGCACGAUCUGACGGUUAAUAUAAAAUAUAGACUUAAAAUUAUUAUUCGGAACAUCCGGGGCUCCGAUUCACGAUCCGUGAAUUCCUACACGAUCCUAGAAAUACCUAGAUUAACAUAUAUUAAAUUUGGGACCAUCCGACGGUCCCAACCUAUCAAACCCGGAUAACGCAUAAUAUGCGAUUAUCCGUUCGAUAGUCAAACGACGUCCGAAUUGAGAUCCGCGAAAUCCUACGCACUCGUGACAACCUAAGGAUCUCAUCGGAACACAUCGCUACUUUUCUACAGUGCCCACGCGCCGCCGCACGCUCCGGCAACGCGUGGGUGCCCAAAGCGAUAACGCUUCGCCGGAAAAUCUCAACAUCUCGGCUCCAAACUCCUACCCUAGGUAUAACACCCUAUUUGGAGCCACUUUUGUUCUUGGACCUAUCCCAAAAAGUGGCCGGAAAUGGCCGAUCACGGCGGCCGAAGUUUCGGCCGAUUUUCAAUUCGAAAAUUGAGUUGCUUAGCUAAGAAUCGAUCUAAUCCUACCCAACCAUCAGCUAGAGCAGCUCGAGAGGUUCAAAAUCCAUAUCUGGGUCGACGGAUUUGGUGGCCGGAGGAGGAAGAUCGACGGCGUUGAAGUUCCGGCGACAUCCGGGCGAAAAUCGCCAUUUUUCGGCGGCUGGAGCGGCGGCCGAUGGCGGGGAUGGGCUGGGUCGUGACGCCGAGGUCGAGCCGGUUCUUUUGACACCGGCCCCGUCCGCAGCCGCGGCCGGUGGCCGGAGUUACGAAGAGAGAGAGAGAAGAGGCCGACGGGAGAGAGAGAGGAGUCGCGAGAGAGAGAGAGAGAGAGAGAGAGAGAGAGAGAGAGAGAGAGAGAAAACCAGAUUUUUAUAAAAAAUCUCAUUUCGAAAUAUUUACGAUUGUGCCACUGGGCUUCUCUUGACCAUAUCUCUCUCGUUACAACUCCGAUUCGAGCCCACUACGUGUCUAUGAACUCGUCUCAGUACGACCUAUCCAAAAAUAUAAGUCGCGGUCCCAAACUCUCUCCGGUUAAAAAUAUGACUAAAAUACCCUUAAAUAAUUAAAUAAUUAAAUGAGGGUAAAAUUUGGGGAAAUUUGGGGUCGGGGUGUUACAUUACACAAACCAGUAUACUUGUUCUACUGAUAAUGUUUGUGAUACAAACCUGUUGUAUAGGUAUAGUUGGAUAUUCUACCUGUCCUACAGACUUAGGUUGGUUCAUAAUCUUUUUCACUACAACAGCAAGUAAUCUUGAAAAAUAAACCUUAUAAGCCUAAGGUUCAGGUACAUCAACCAAUACUAAUAAACGGGAAGAAAAAACGCAAUCAAAUUUUACCUACAAACGACAAAUAUGAAAAAUAAACCUUUCCUUACAUACCUUCACUGUAGUUAUGUGCCAAGUCAACUAUUUUCCACCCCAUAUUCAACACUCAAACUACCUCCAUGACACAUGAACCUAACGAAAAAAAAAAUAGAUAAGUUGAAUACUUCAUAGCAAACCUAACGGAAAAAAAAAAAAAAAAAAAUCUGACUGUAACACAAGUAAUUCAAUCCUAAUUUGGAAUUUGUGAAAAUCUUCAUUAAGGAAGUCAAAAAUCAGCAGAGACUGGGAUAGAACGACCAUGAUUGUAGGAGACAAGCAGAUUGUUGGGAGGGGUCGGUUUUAUUUGCCUUUUCUAUUUAAUGGCACUAGAAGUAAAUAUCUUAAAAAGGAUGGACAAAGGCAUUGCUUACGUGUCCAUUGGAUUGUUUGGUGGACUGCUAUUGAGGAGCCAAAAUUGACGUACUUCAUCCAUUGUAUCUUAAUGAAAAUGGAUACCCCUAAAGAUUAUUAAUAAAAGUACACUUAUUAAAAAAAAAUGAAAGAAAGAGAGGAGCUCGAUGAGGAGGAAGACGAGAGAGGCUCUAAAUUCUUCAACAAGAAGAGAAGUUUCUUUUAUGAAGUUGAAAGCAUUGCUCAAAAUGUAAUUGAGAGCUUGUGAAUAUGGUAUUUUGUAUAGGAUGUUGAAGGAUUAAGUGUGUAAUUGGUGGAUUUUGGGCUCUAGAUGGCUAUUGUUAAACUCCAUGGAUAUGUUAGUGUACUGCUUUUAAAUUUUUCAUGAAUAAUUUCCAGCAAUUUAUAGAUUUGUUGUAUUGUAGCUAUUAAGUAAUUCGUUUCUUUGGUAAAAUAUGUAGUUUCAUCUCUAAGUUCUUUUGAUUCCUAUUCAAUUAGGUAUAAUUGUAUCUUUGUGGAAUUUGACAACUUUUUUGUGUGUGUCCGAAAUCAAGUUUCAUUGUGAAUAUCCAAUUAAUGAUGAGUGAACAGCGUGCAUAUGUUAGCUGUUAAUUUGUUUUUUCUUUUGUGGCAUUACCUGUUCAACCAAUAUUAUAUGUGGAGUAAUCGAUUCGGGUAACUUAUUAUGUGUUAGAAAGUGGACUUACCCAUCACAGCACAUGGAGUACACAUCCUCACAGCAAUUGUUUAAUCAACGAUUGUCCCAACCAUGGUCAUGCGUAGCAUAGAUUUCUAAUUAUUAAUUGAUAAUGUCUCCCUCUCUCUAGGGCCGAGAACUCGGGGAUUUUUGCCAUCCCUAGGUAAUUCCUUUUAGAACUUUUUUUUUUUUUUUGAUGAUGUAAUUCCUUUGAGAACUUGUGAUCGACAAAAUGAUGAAAAGAGAUGGAAUCUACUUUUUCAGAGCAAUAAUAGAACCAUAGCAAGAUUUCUAAGCAAUAAUUGAUCAUCUCUCUCUUCUAGUACAUCUGAGCUGAGCUCCAACCACCACCACCACAAUCGAAUCUUAUCUUCUCACAUGUAUUUUUGAUUUUUUAAUUUUGUGUUUCAUCUGGUUGAUUGCUCCCCAGAAUUAAUUCUAGAUGUGUUGUUUUGAUUAAGCUAGCAUAUACCAAAAUAAGGCCAUUAUGGCGUCAGUUUCAGCAGACCUCUUCAUUGGCAAAUUUGUAGCAAUUCUCGAGAGUGAAGCAGCCUCCAUAGCGUGUGUUCGUGAUCAAGUUGAUGAGAUUAAGCAGGAGCUGGUAUUCAUGAAAUCCUUCUUAGAGGAUGCUGACGGCGGAGAGCAGGCACAUACACAAGUAGAGAAAGCGUGGGUCGCAAGCGUUCGAGACUUGGCCAAUGAUGUUGAAAACACCAUUGAUGAGUUCAUGUAUCACGUGUACGAGCAGCGAAAUGGCGGUCGAUUUGCCAGGUGGAUCCACAAAACCAUUCACUUUCCAAAGCACCUUUGGUAUAAGCGUCAAAUAGCCAACAAGUUACAGAAAUUCUUGGUGGCGAUUAGAGCUAUUCCAGAGAGAAAUCAGAGAUAUCGUGGUGCUGCAGCUGUAGAAGGAAAAAGCACUUCUGAGGAUAUUCGGAGAUGGGUGCAGAACCAAGCGGAGUCUUCUCUUUAUCAGAAGGAGGAUGAACUUGUCGGGAUUGAAGGCGAUAAGAACACGUUACUGGGAUGGCUGAUGGAUGAAGCGAAGCAGCAAACUGUUGUGUCCGUGGUCGGGAUGGGAGGAUCAGGGAAGACAACUCUAGUUGCAAGGACCUUCAAAGAUGACAUUGUAAAGAGACAUUUCGAAUGCUAUGCGUGGAUUACUGUUUCCCAGUCUUAUGUGAUUGAAGACUUACUUAGAAGAUUGAUCAAAGAAUUCCACAAAGCAAAGAAGGAAGAGGUCCCUGCAGACAUGAAUGCCAUGAGUUAUAACGAAUUGUUGGAGAUUUUGGUGAACUACUUGGAGACUAAAAGGUACCUAAUUGUAUUGGAUGACGUGUGGGAUGUCCACCUUUGGGACAAAAUAAGGUUUUCAUUUCCAGAUAAACAACUUGGAAGUCGAGUCAUGCUUACAACUCGAAGAGAAGACAUAGGAUCCUCUUCUUUUGGAGUUGAAAGCCAUGUUCACAAGAUUCGACCGCUGGAAAUGGGUGAUGCGUGGGAGCUCUUCAGCAUGAAAGCAUUCUCAAGUUAUCAGAACAAAUCUUGUUCACCUGAACUUCUGCCAUUAGCUCGGGAACUUGUGGAAAAGUGUGAAGGCCUACCACUCGCGAUCGUAGCCUUAAGUGGUCUCAUGUCUUCGAAGAAGUCACUUAAUGAUUGGAGCAAAGUCUACAAUAGCUUAAAUUGGCAUCUAACAAACAAUUCUUUGUUAGAACCUAUGAAGAGCAUCUUGUUGCUUAGUUUCAAUGAUUUGCCAUACAGAUUGAAGCAGUGCUUUCUAUAUUGUUCCCUUUUCCCAGAAGAUCAUGUGAUCAGGAAUAAUAGGCUCAUUAGAUUGUGGAUCGCUGAAGGAUUUGUUGAACAUGUCAAAGGGGUCACACCAGAAGAAGUUGCAAAGGGCUAUCUUAUGGAACUCAUUUUUCGUAACAUGCUACAGGAAAGGUUUGUAAUAGCCCACCCAGCAUGUAAGAUGCAUGAUCUUUUGCGAGAUAUUGCUCUGGCUAUAGCAAACAAAGAUAAGUUUUGCGCUGUACAUGAUGGAAGUGAAACAGUAGAAGAAACUGGGGCACUCCGUUUGUCAAUUCAAACAACUAAUGGAGAAAUUGGAUCAUGCACAGGUAUAUCACGGCUCCGUUCAUUUCUCGUCUUUACCACUGGCGUAUCCUCAUUCUCUUUCUCAAAUAAAUUACCUUUUGACCUUAAAUUGUUGAAGGUUCUAGAUUUGGAGGAUAUCCCAAUAGAUAAUCUGCCAGACGGAGUAACGAGCUUAUUCAAUUUAAAAUAUUUAAAUUUGAAUGGAACUCUAAUUAAGGAGCUUCCAGAAUCCAUUGGACAGCUCCGCAACCUUCAGACCUUGAACAUCACGGGGUCAAAAAUAGAGGCACUUCCAAGAGGGAUUUCCAAGUUGCUAAACUUACGCCAUUUACUUGUGGGUGGGUUCAUUUCCAGAAAGGUAAUUGGGGUAAGAAUACCAUCAAGUAUUAGUAAGAUGAAGAAAUUGCAAUCUUUGUUCUAUAUUGAAUCAGAAGGAAACAUUAUUAGACUUAUUGGAAGUAUGACCCAGCUUACUUUCCUUGGCAUUACAAAUGUGAAAGAAAGAGACGAGGAGGACCUAUGUGCCUCAAUUCAAGAGAUGGAGGUCCUUUCCUGCUUGUAUUUAUAUGUAGCUGAUGGAGAGGAAUUUCUUCGAGUUGACGCAUUGUCUUCACCGCCUCCCUACCUUGAUAGACUUAGAUUGGUCGGCAAACUGGAAAAGGUUCCACAUUGGUUUUGUUCGCUCCACUCUCUCACAUACAUGCAUCUGCAAGGGUCCAGACUUGAAGAAGAUAUACUACCUCAUAUUGAAGCAUUGCCCUCUCUACUUUAUCUUUCCCUUAUUAAUGCCUCUGUUAGGGAAGAGUUAUGUUUCAACAGAGGCUUUGCGAAGCUUCGGCAUUUGUGGUUUUAUGAUCUCGCAUUAUUAACUAAGAUAACUAUAGAAAAAGGGGCGAUGCCAAAUCUCGAGUUCUUAAAGAUUCAUAGUUGCUUGACAUUAGAAACAUUGCCACAGGGUAUUGAGCACCUUACUAAACUGCAACGAUACAGAUUUGAUAAUGUUUCAGAGAAGUUUAGAGAGUCCAUAAAAGAAGGAGGUGUGGAUCAUCCAAGGAUGCUACUCGUCGAUGAGAGAUGUAAGAAAUGUACGUAAGUAUCUUUUAUCCUUUCAUUGACUUUCCUAAACUUAAUGAUUUGGAAUAUUGCACUUGUGUUCAAGAAAUUGUUCUCGUUCACAUCUCUGUUAAUGGAUGUAAAGCCAUAUAAAUUGUUUGUUAAUUACAAUAUUGUUUUUGUCUUUUUAUAUAUUUUGCAGAAACAAGUCCUGGGAUUGAAGAUUUUACUCAUGAGUUUGGGGGUGGGAACUUGUUCGUCUUGUUUUGACCCCAAGAGUGAUCUAGAUUGGCUUCUUAUUUGCUCUUUUGAAAAUCAAACAAUACCCAAGUUGAUGUUCAUAAAAUUGCAGUUGAUGUUUUUGUGUGUGUUUUAAUUUGCAUGUAAUUAGCCCGUAUGUGGCGACUACAAUGUUGAUAUGAUUCAUUUUCUCUUUUUGCUUGAGAUUGUAAUACGUUGAUAGGCUGUCAUGUUAAUUGGUUUUUCCGUAAAUAAUGUGAUCUAGCUAGGUUCAGUCACUCAUGGGUUAGCAAAGUUAUAAAUAAAUAAAAAUUAAAAAAAACAAAAACAAAGCUCUAGGAAACCAUAUUUGGAGUAACAUACAAAAGCUCGUGUAAAAUAAACCAUUAAUAUUAUAUAGAUAUAAUUUAAAAAAUUCAAAAAUAAAUAUAACAUACAAAAUCCAAAAAAAUAAAAAUAAAAAGUAAAGGGAACACAUGCACUAGCACUACAAUUCAAACAUGCAUGAAUAUUGUCUGGCUUUCUUGUUUUACUUUCUUUCUUUUUUCCUUCUACAUAUUUCAGCCCCAAUGAGUUUUACUCCUUUUGUGUGUGGUUGAGGCAAUUAUAGACAAUAUGCUUUCUGUCUUUGGCUACCUAAAAAGUCAAGAAUGAGCCAUGCCUUUUGGUAUUACUUAAACUGAUACUGUGUCCAGGAUUUCAGAUUCUCCAUUCGAUUGGCUAUUCCUUACACAUGUAUGUUGUUAUUUAGAGAGAGAGGGAGGGAGAGAAAGGCAAAGUGUACAAACUAGAAUAAUUGAUAUCUCUCUAGCAAUCCAAGCAUUGAGUGUUGGUCAUUUGAGCUGGUUAUAUCUUGCUCUCUGGCUCUGGCCUUUUACUAAAUCAGGCUCUUUUCUUUUUGCGUAACUUCAGAAACAAUUCGUCGCGCAUUUUCCGUCGCGCGAAGAUCGUGAAGAAAGCCUUUGCGCGACGAGGUAUAACAAUUCGUCGCGCAAAACUGUGCGACGGGUAAACCAUCGUUGCACCAACGGUAUGGAGACGAAACAACUGUUCGUCGCAUAAAAUUUGCGCGACGAUCAAUUAUUCGUCGCACAUAUCUUUGCGCGACGACUGGAAUUGCGCGACGAAAACUAAUUCGUCGCGCAAAACGUGUUCAGGAGACGUAGAUGUUCGCCGCAGAACCAUUCGCGCGAUGAGAAAGCUUUCGUCGCUCAUAUAUUUGCGCAACGAAAAUCUCUGUUGUCGCGCCAGAUAAGAUGCGCGACGAAACAAUUCGUCGCGCAAAACGUGUUUGCGAGACGUAUGCAUUCGUCGCGCAAGAAUUAAAAGUAAUAAAAAAGUUGAUUUUUUUAAUUUUUUUUGUUACAUGCGGGUUUGCGCGACGAAAUAUUUGCCGUCGCGCAAACAUAAUAGUACAAUUUUUUUUAUUUUUUUAUAUUUUUUAUUUUUUAUUUUAAAUAAAAUUGGUUUUUUUAUUGAUUAAACAAUGAAAUUGCAAUAAAAAUAAAUUAGAAUAAAAUUUUGUUAUAAAAUAAAAUAAAUGUAUUACAAAUAAAAUAAAUACACUAAUCAAAUAAUGAAUCAAAAUCAACCGAGUCGUCGCCAGUAUGCGGCUCGGAGGUCGGGGCGUUCACCAGGGCAGUGGUCUGGUGGGGAUGCCCGGGAUGGACGGGCUCGGAGGUCGGCGCAUCAAAAUGCAGGACUGGAAUGCCGGACUGUGCGAGGGACUGCAGAAUGACCGACAUCUGGCUCUGAAGAGUUGCCACCUGUGCUGUCAAAGCAGUGACCUGACUGUUUGAUUGCGCCGAUGAACGAGGUCGAGGUUCCCUCCGCCGGGCAUUCCCCAUCCCUCGACAAUAUGUCCCCGGCCUCCUCCCGAGAGUCUGAUCCAACGUCUCUGUCAAGAUCUGAAAUCCAGCAUCCUGUGGAGGAGCCACAGACUCGAUCGGAGUCUCGGGAGGAAGCUGGGAGGCGGACUCCUGAAGAACCAACUGGCUCCUCUCCACCAUUAUCGUCUGUUGAACAUAACAUAAAAUAUAAAUUAAAACAUGCAUAUAAAUUGAAUGCGUAACAUAAGAAUUAAAAUUAAAUAAUACUUACAUGAAGGGACUCGGCCAACUCAUUCCCGGGUCGAACAUAAACGUCACCAAAGACGUCGAUCUCUGGGAACUUGGACCCCUCCUAAAUUGAACAAGAGAAGAAAAAUAUUAGUAUGAAAAAAAUAAAUUAAUAAAAAUGACAUUAAAAAUGAAAUAAAAAUUUUGUGAUUAUUACCCGACGCCGUGCAUCCAUCCUAUACGAAAAGGGUCUGGAGCCGGAAUGGUGGAGAAGGGUCUUCUUCUUCCUAUUACCCUUAUUCACAUGGGCUUUAUUCUGUUAUACAAAAAAUGAAACGUAUUAGUUCAAAUAUAAAAAAUUAAAUAAUAAUGAAAUAAAAAAAUAAAAUAAACAUUAAUAAGUAAUAAGUAAUAAUUAAAAAAAUACCGCAAAUUCGGGCACUUGAAAAUGAGCGCAGAGCCACUCCCAACUAUCCUCCCGCCCCUCAAGCUCCUUCGGGCAACCCUCCUGAAGAGCGACUUGCGGAUCAUCAUAGGCCUGAAAAUGGUGGUGCAAGUCGCUCUUCCACUGCUUGUACCUCUCAGUGAAGAGUCUGUUGACGUACGUCAACGACUCUUCGUCGAGAUCCUCCAAGUUAUAGUUCGUCUGCAAUCAAUUAAUUAGAUACGUUAAGUAAUAGAAAUAUACACAAUUUUAAAGAAAAAUAAUGAAAAUGUAAGGUACAUACCGACAACUGGCCGCGAACCUCCGCCUUGAUCUCGUCAGGCAUGACCCUCCAAGACUUCCAUUGCAUCGGGCAAUGGGUCCGCACGACGUGGCCAAUGUCGUGGGCCAAGGAGCUAUGCAACUCUGCCGUCGGUGUAGCCCGAUGGCGCUCGUCGUAUCCGAUGCUGAUACGACUGUUGGUCACCCGGGUGACCUUCGCCGUCUUCAGCUGACGACACGGUCCUCGGGUGUUCUUCUUCGCUGCAAAGAAAUAAGGUAUUAAUGUUAAAUAAAAAAACAUUGUCAAAUUUCAAUAUAAAAUUAACAAUACAAAAGUGUAGUUAUACCUGGCUGUGAUCCCGAGGCACCAGUACCGUCGGUCGAUGUCGUGUCGAUGGUGUCGGUGGGCCGGUGCCGCCGCCUAGCACUAGCUGGCUGCGCCACGGAUGACGCAGAUGACACAGGCGCCUGGGACGCCCCGGGACCAACCACCACGUGGUCCAGCAAAGCAGGAGCAGUGGCAGCAGAUGCCGACUGAGCCGGGGGAUCUGAACUCGAUGCAGUCGUCAUCGACCUACCACGUCUAAUCAAGUCUGACAUCUGCACAUAUAAUUUCAUUCAGAAUUUAAACUAAUUAAUUAAAAGCAUAGCCUGACCUAGGGUUUGGAAUUUCGGAGUAUCCGGGACUCCGAUCAACGAUCGGUCGAAUCCUAAACGAUCCUAGAAACACAAAGGUACAACUACGUGAGUUUCAGUUCGAUCCAACGGUCCGAACAUAUCAAACUUGGAAAUCGCACAAUAGGCGAAAUCCGAUCAAGACUCAAACGGCAACAAAAUUCAAAUCUGGGCAAACCUACGCGCUCGUGACAAACAGGGGAUUGCUCUGGGACCCAAUGCCCCACUGCCACAGUAUCCCACCCGCCACCACAUGCGCCGGCAGUGCGUGGGUGUCCAAAGCGAUAAAAUUUGCCGGAAAAUUCUAAAAACUAAGGGCCAAGGUUCCUACCCUAGGUUGAAAACAUUAAUUGGAGCCACUUUUGUUCUGGGACCGACCCCGAAAAAUGGCCGAAAGUGGCCGGAUUUGAUAGAGGCUUACAGUNNNNNNNNNNNNNNNNNNNNNNNNNNNNNNNNNNNNNNNNNNNNNNNNNNNNNNNNNNNNNNNNNNNNNNNNNNNNNNNNNNNNNNNNNNNNNNNNNNNNNNNNNNNNNNNNNNNNNNNNNNNNNNNNNNNNNNNNNNNNNNNNNNNNNNNNNNNNNNNNNNNNNNNNNNNNNNNNNNNNNNNNNNNNNNNNNNNNNNNNNNNNNNNNNNNNNNNNNNNNNNNNNNNNNNNNNNNNNNNNNNNNNNNNNNNNNNNNNNNNNNNNNNNNNNNNNNNNNNNNNNNNNNNNNNNNNNNNNNNNNNNNNNNNNNNNNNNNNNNNNNNNNNNNNNNNNNNNNNNNNNNNNNNNNNNNNNNNNNNNNNNNUGAAUGGCAUUAAUGAACCUGCGCGACGGAAACACUGAGUCGUCGCUCAAAACACUUCUGGCCGCCAAAAUUUGGGGUUAGGGUUUGGCUGAAACUGAAGGGUCUUUGCCUUUGCGCGACGAAGUAAGUACGCGUCGCGCAUAUCUGUCGCGCAAAAUGGCAUUAAUGAACCUUGCGCGAUGGAAACACCUGAGUUCGUCGCGCAAAACACUUCUGGCCGCCAAAAUUUUGGGGUUUAGGGUUUGGCUGAAACUGAAGGGUCUUUGCCUUUUGCGCGACGAAGUCAUGUAAUUCGUCGCGCGAGUUCGAGAUUGUGAUUCGGUUGAAGUUUUCGCUAAGUGUUCAGAGGGUCGAGGGAUUGCGAGACGAAUAGACUUGUAUUGCGCGACGUUUUUAUUCUGUUCGUCGCGCUAGUUCAGAAUUUCAUUCGGUUGAAAUUUUCACUAAGUGUUAAAAGGGGAUGGAGGGGUGAACUGUGUGUCCCAGAUUGCGCGACGAAUGAAAACAUAUCCGUCGCGCAAUCUUUAUGACUUUCACUUUGCGCGACGAAAGGAAUGUUAUUCGUCGCGCAAAACCUAAACCCUAAAAUGUAAACCCUAAGCCGUAAGCCCUAAGCCCUAAACCCUAAACCCUAAAAUAGUUUCAAUGAUCCAACCGGCAAACUUAUUUUUUUUAUACUUGGAGAUCAUAUACGCCAAAAAUCAAAACGACCAAACAUUCAGAUAUCAGAAAACGGGACAAAAUAUUUUGACGGUUAUAAAUGAAAAGUCAUGAUUUAACGGUUAUUUUAAUUCCGAUUUUGAUCAUUUUUUGCAGCAACAUUUGUUGACCCUAUAUGAAUACAAUGACUGAAUUUGAUCUUCAAUUUCAGAUUUUUACACUAGGGGAUACCACAUAAACGUUAAGUUACAUUUUGACAAAUGUAUGAACAAAUUUUUGAGUUUUUGGUGAAUAUACGAUUUUGAUAGCACAUGCAGUCUACGAAACUAGUUUCAGCCAUCCAGCCGUCAAACUUGUUUUUUUAUAAUUCGAGAUCAUAGACAGCAAAAUUCGGCCCAAAAAAACAUUCAGAGAUUAAGUAACGGGGUAAAACUUUUCGACGGUUCUAAAUAAAAAGUGAUGAUUGAACGGUUAUUUGAACUCCGAUGUUGAUGAUUUUUUGCACCAAUAGUCCUACACUCCAUAUGAAUACAAUGAACUACUUCGAUCGCCAAUUUGAAAUAUAUAUGUGUGUAUAUAUUAUACUAUAACGUAACCUAAUAUAUAUUUGCGCGACGAAGUUCUUCUUAUCGUCGCGCAAAAAACCCCAUACGCGACGCAUUCAUGUUCGUCGCGAAAACUAUUGCGACGAGGUUUGUUCGUCUCGCAAAAUUUACGCGACGCAUUUUUUUGCGUCGCGUAUGGUAUUUUUGCGCGACGAUAAUGUGUCUUCGUCGCGCAAGGAUUUGGCGCCAUAACUCCUCCUUUAAUUCAAAUUGUGUAUGCUUUGUAUUUUUGGGAAAGGUUUUGUAUUCAUCAUUUUUUAUGCUUUGUAUUUUUUGGAAAGGCUUUGUAUUUCUUCAUCAAAACCAAACUAAAUUGAUAAUUAAGAUUUGAAUCGACCGAAUUUAUCGGUUUGACUAGAUUGAUGCCACUAAUCAUGAACCAAAGUGAAGAAAAAUAAGUGGCACACAGCUAAUAUUGGAGAAAUAACUUAAAUUUUCUGUUUAAACAUGAAGAAAUAACUAUAUCUCAAAAGAAAAAAAUAAUAAUUGAAGAGGCCUUAAGGCAUGAAUAAAUAAAUAAAUAAAUAAAAACCAAUCAACAAGCAUGGGGUCGUAAUAAGUACUGACUAAAGUAUUGACAUUCCAAUGAAGUUUGUGAUGAAAUAUGGAGAAUGAAUACACAACUACAUAUGGACAACUACAUAUAUUCAAAGAUUUGUAUUACAAAAAAUGAAUACACUAACAUAAUAAAUUUACAAAUAAAUUCAUUAUUCAUCAUCUGAACUAUAAUAACUUUCGUUAUCGUCGCUAUCAUCACUCUCGGUCUCCCAAUCUUCUUCCUCCUCCUCCUCUAUAACCGCAUCAUCGGCGUUGCUAGGGCCCACUGCAACAUCGUAUCGAGGAAGAUCACCGAGGUCAAUUGUAAUUGACUGAAUCGGUAUUUCGACUGAAGACACUCCUUCUAUUUGAAACGGUUCUUGUAUAACAUUUGUAUCUCGAAGUGUUUCCGCAUCAUUUUCCAUUGAAGAUUCUAAACGUUGGUCAGCCACAUUGUCGACGUCGUUGUCACUUGGGUCUAGUUCUGGUAUAUCAUACACGUUCCUAUGAUCCAUCUUCUGCACAACUUUCCACCCGUUCCCGGCUUUAGGGUCAUCUAGAUAUACAAUUUGGGACGCCAUGUUUGCCAAAAUGUACGGGUCGUCAUCAUACCAAGUUCUGUUAAUGUUCACAGACAGUACUCCAUGGUCGAUUUUAACACUUGCCGCCCUAUUUGGGUUGGUAUCGAACCAUCGACACUUAAACAUGAUGACUUGGUAUCGAUCUUUGUAAAGCAAUUGCACGACAGUUGUCAGUUUGCCAUAGAAAUCAAUGUCCGUACUUUCGCCUCCACCUGGGACAUGGACACCGCUGUUUUGCGUACACAACUUGUCAUCUCGUGCGGCCCCCAAAAAUUUGACGCCGUUAACAUUACAACCCGAGAACAAUUCAGCGCGAAUUGGGCCGAACGCCAAGUUAUAUAACUCAUCACUGUAAGUGGGGGAAUUCGAUGAUUUCAAUUUAUUCACCUAAUAGUAUACAAAACCAUUUACAUGUUAGUCUGACAAAAUUAAAUACUACAAUUUAUAUUUGUCAAUUACAAAACACUUAUAACUUACAGAAUCCAAAAACCAUUGUGGAAAUAAUUCACGGUGUUUCCGGGCAGCCAAAUGUGAUGGAUGUUCUCGCUUCAUCAUCUGUUCAUGCUCAUCUAAGUAGGCCAUUAUCUCAUCACAAUUGUUCAGUACGAACCAAUGCGCUACCUCCAUGUCAUUUCUAGAAAACGACUCUCCUCGUCCAGGAUCUCCAAAUGGUCGUGCGCUUUGGGAAAAAACAGAAAGUUUUUCAUCUCUCAUACCUCCGUCAUUAUUGCGUUGAGGACGAUUGAAAACCGUCUCCACAUCUUUUAAAUACAUUCCACAGAAAGUAAGCGACUCAUAUUGAACCCAAGCCUCUAUAAUUGAUCCUUCGGGCUUUGCCCUGUUGCGUACACUUUUUUUCAGCUCUCCGAGAAGCCUGCCAAAAUAAAACGAUAUGAUACAAAUUAGCAAACUGUCGAUAAUGAUGCAUACACAAAUGAUAAAGAUUAUAUACCUUUCUAUUGGAUACAUCCAGCGAUAGUUGACAGGAUCAGCAAGCAAUGCCUCUUCUGGCAAGUGAACCAUCACGUGCUUCAUACUUGUAAAGAAAGCGGGCGGAAAUAUCAUCUCAAACUUGCAUAGGACUUGGACAAUGUCAUGGCGCAACUGAAACAUGUCUGUCCUUCGCAAUGUUUUUGCCGUCAGUUGGGAAAAAAAUCUGGAUAACAACAUGAUUGGCUUCACCACAUCUUCCGGCAGUAGGUGUCGAAUACCCACAGGAAGUAGACGUUGCAUAAACACAUGGCAGUCAUGGCUCUUAAGUCCAGUAAAUUUACCCCCAUCGACAUUCACGCAACGUGCGAUAUUAGAAGCAUACCCAUCGGGAAAUUUGACAGACGAUACAAACUUUAGAAACUCUUUUUUGUCAUUCGGUUUCAUAGAAAAGAAUGCAAGAUCCCUUCUAGCUUUAUCACUGUCCCUAUUCAUCCAUAAACCCCUUCGUAUGCCCAUUCUUUCCAAAUCAAGACGAGCUUUGAUCGUGUCCUUCGUCUUCCCCUCGUUAUCUAGAAUCGUGCCCACCAAUGUGUCGAAUACAUUUUUCUCAACACGCAUCACAUCUAGAUUGUGUCUCAAUUUCAGUUUCGACCAAUAUGGGAGCUCAAAAAACAUAGGCUUGUGCGUCCAGUUCAAAUGUGUAGAAGGUCUGGUCCGACUAACUGUUUUCCCGAACGGAGCAAAAUCCAAACGGUUCAGCUGUUCCAAGAUCUCAUCACCGGACCAUUCUCUAGGUCUGAGGCGACGCUCUGUGUUCCCGUCGAACUCUUUAUCUUUUUCCCGCCAUUCGUGGUCCCAUGGCAACCAUCUCCGAUGACCAAGGUAACAAACUUUUCCUGCGUGCCAACCAGAAGUUACAUCUUCCUUGCAUACAGGACAUGCCAUAUAACCCUUUGUGCUCCACCCAGAAAUCAUUGCAUAUGCUGGGAAAUCAUUCACAGUCCACAUAACUGCUGCCCGCAAAGUGAACAUCCUCCCAGUUGAUUUAUCGUACGUGCGAACACCGUUUGUCCAUAAAUCCUUCAGCUCAUCAACCAGAGGCCUUAAGUACACAUCAAUUGACCUGCCAGGAUCCUCAGUUAUCAAAACAGUCAUCAUCAUGUAUUCUUUUUUCAUGCAUUUCCAAGGCGGCAAAUUAUAUGGGAAUGCGAAAAUCGGCCAAGUGCUGUGGUGUUGGUUUAGAACCCCAUACGGAUUGAAUCCGUCAGUGGCAAGUCCCAAUCUAACAUUUCGGGGAUCAGCAGCAAACUCGGGGAACGUUCGAUCGAACUCUUUCCAUGCCUCCCCAUCUGCAGGAUGCCGCAUCACAUCAUCGUCUACCCGUUUUUCCUUAUGUCAUCUCAUGUCUGUGGCAGUAUGCGUCGACAUAUACAAUCUCUGCAACCUAGGUUUAAGGGGCAGAUAACGCAUCCUUUUUUGUGGUAUCUUAGUCGUUCUAUUCUGGGAUGUCAUUUUGAACCUCGACUCAUUGCAUAUAGGGCAUGUAUCCAACGUUUCAUGCUCUUUGUAGAAUAACAUGCAAUUGUUUUUGCAAGCGUGGAUUUUUUCAUAACCCAAUCCAAGACCAUGCAACACCUUCUGUGCAUGUUUAUGGUCUUUCGGCAAACAAUUGCCCGUCGGAAGCAUUCUCUUGAAAACCCCCAAAAAGUAAUCGAAAUACAAGUUCGACAUACGAUACUUUAUUUUUCUGUGCAUUAGCUCCACAAUGGCAGUGAGAACGGAAAAGCUCUCGCACCCCGGGUAUAACUCUUGGUUGGCAUUUUUUAACAGUUUUUCAUACUGUUCAAACUCCGCACUGUCUAUUGGUGUAGGCACGUCAUAUUCCCCUUCCUGAUUGAUGCUGGUCGAUGCGAAUGGAAAAGCAUCCUGUAUAAUACCCAUGACUUGAUCAUUAGGAUCCACAAUAGGUUCAACAUUGUCCACUCUUGGGGCAUUUGAAGACGAAGCAUGGUCUACUUGUUCGCCGUGAAGGUUCCAAAUGCUAUGUGUUUCAAUCAUUCCAUUCCUUACUAAAUGAAAUCCAACAUUUUCAAUUGUCUCAAACAACGUGUUGUUACACCUCCUACAAGGACAACGGAUUCUAGUUGCACCCGGGUUCUGUCUACGUGCAAACUCAAUAAAAUCCUCGAUUCCAUCCAAGUAUUCGUCUGCGCAUCUAUUCGGGUUAUGUAUCCACCUUCUGCUCAUAAUUCCUGAAACCACAAUCACGACACAACAAUCACAACAACUUCAUACGAAGUUAUAAUGUCACCUUAUGCCUCCGGUAAGGGCCCUAUCCCAUUCGGGAAUGCAUAGUCCUGUCACGUAACCUACGGCUACAUGAGAUUAGAUUUCGACGUGGAUUAAUUUCGGCAGCAUCUCGACACAGUUCUUAAAGUGGGCAUAGGUAUAAAUACCUACGUACCACCCGAAGAACGUACCGAGAUGACACCGAAAUCUCCACAAUCGAAACCUAAUCCUGUAGCCGAAGAUUAUGUGACAACACUAUGCAUUACCAAACUGUCCAAGUAAUGGGACAAUUCAAGAAUUAAUUGGACCGCAGUCAUGCCUUACGCAUCCAUGCACGAAAUCCAACUAAUCUCGAACGGGAAACUACGUGUUACUAAACAUAAAAAUAAAAGUACGAAGUUAAUUUCAAUUAACUUCGUACAUCACAACACAUUGUGCUACGUCACGCACAAUUUCACAACAUUAUACACAUAAAACUUGACAAAAAAAUUACAAACUUAACAAACAAACUUUUACAAUGACAUACCUUCUCAAUCGUUCUCCACCAAUCACUAAUCACAAAUAUCCCUAACGAGAACAAAAUUAAUAGCAUUAGUACGAAUUUACAUUAAUACAUUUAAACUAACGACAAAAAAUACAUACCUAAUAAACGUACAUAAUUCACAGCAGAGCAGCAGCAGGGAGGGAGAGUGAGAGAGAGGCAGAAUGCAAUUUUUGCAUUCUGCCUCUGCAAUGGCAGAUACAAAUAUGAAGAAGAAGGACUUUGCGCGACGAACAAGGCAAAUUCGUCGCGCGAAACGCCGUCGCGAAAACCCACUUUUCCGUCGCCCAAAACAACAUUUCCGUCGCGCAAUCACGUGUCGACAACUGAUUUUUUGCGCGACGAACAAAAUUAUUCGUUGCGCAAAAUUCCGUCGCGCGUUUACAAUCCGGCGUCGCGCAAAGUGCAACUUUCGUCGCGCAAAUAAAACUUUUUCGUCGCGCAAGAACGCACCGCGAUUAAACUUUACGCGACGACGGCACUUCCGUCGCGCAAAAACCCACCUGCAUAUUGGCGCCAAAAAUAAGUUUCCCUCGUUUUCUUACGCGACGGUUGAUUUUUUUCGUCGCGCUAAGUUGUCUUCUGAGACGAAAACUCUCGUCGCGCAAAAUUUUUUUACCGCCAUAAUCGGAGCCAAUAUUCUGUCCAUCUUUGCGCGACGAAUACCUGGAAUUAUCGCGCAAUAUAGUCAUGCGCGACGAUCUCUGUCGUCGCGCAAGAGUUUGGCGCAAUAACAUAGACUUUACAACCUUUGCGCGACGACAUUUAUUUACGUCGCGCAUAGACUCUUUCCGCGACGAAAUUAUUUGUCGCGCUAGUUGUCUGUUGUAUGCGCGACGGAAUCUUUUUUUCGACGCAAAAGUGCUCCUUGCGCGACGAAAUUGUCUUCGUCGCGCAAACUUCCAUCGCGCAAAUAGUAAAUCGUAGUAGUGAACAGCUUAAAGUGGCAUCUAACAAACAAUUCUUUGUUAGAACCUAUGAAGAUGCGCAUCUUGUUGUUUAGUUUUAAUGAUUUGCCAUACCGAUUGAAGCAAUGCUUUCUAUAUUGUUCCCUUUUCCCUGAAGAUCAUGUGAUCAUAAAUAUAAGGCUCAUUAGAUUGUGGAUCGCUGAAGGAUUUGUUGAACAUGUCGAAGGGCUCACGCCAGAAGAAGUUGCAAAUAGCUAUCUUACGGAACUCAUUUUUCGUAACAUGCUACAGGAAAGGUUUCUAGGAUCCAUCCCAGCAUGUAAGAUGCAUGAUCUUUUGAGGGAGUUUGCUCUGUCUAUAGCAAAAAAAGAAAAGUUUUGUGCUAUACAUGAUGGGAGUGAAACUGGGGCACUCUGUUUGUCAAUUCAAACAACUAAGGGGGAAAUUGGAUCAUGCACAGGUAUAUCACGGCUCCGUUCGUUUCUUGUCUUUGCCACUGGAGUAUCCUCAUUCUCUUUCUCAAAUAAAUUACCUUUUGACCUUAAAUUGUUGAAGGUUCUAGAUUUGGAGUAUGUCCCCACAACUACAAAAAAGCAAAAAGACGACGGUAAAUCACCGUCGUGUAUUGGGUUUUUCAAUGGUCGUGGAAUCCACCGUCAUCUUUUCCCUCAUAAACCACGACGCUAAAUAACCGUCGUUGUUAAAAUAUACAACGUCAUCAACAAAUACAAAACGACGUCUUUGUACUGCAAAAAGAUCUAAAAAAAGCAAUCGAGGAUGAUAAUAGACGACCAACUCUCUAAAAAAACCGUCGUUAAAAAGGAAAAAUAUGACACAUAUUAACAGAACAAGGCCGCAAGAUAGACAUACAACGACGAAAAUACAAAUACGACGACGUUAAAUAUAAUUUUCACGACAAUAAAAAAUAUGACGUCUUUAAAUACAUUAGAAGACGACGUUAUUGAUACCUACUACGUCGCAUAUAUAAAAACAACCGUCGUAAAAUUAAUUUUCCACUUCGAUUUUUCGAUAAAAGAUGACGUGGAAAUAGUUGUCAGUGUCAUUAUUUACGACGUAUAUGUUAAUAGAGUAGACGUUGAAAAACUAAACAACGUCGGUUACAAAUAUAUGAGAGUCGUAUUACAAAAUUUAUACGUCCUAUUUUCAGAAACAAACAACGACGAUAAAUAUUAGACGUUGUUAAAUAAAACAACGUCGGAAAAAAAUAAAAACAGACGUGUUUAGUCUGCUAAAGUUCUAGAAAAUAGUCGAGGAUGAGAAUAGACGACCAACUCAAAAAAAUCACCGUCGUUAAAAAGGAAAAAUAUGACACAUAUUAAAAGAACAAGGCCGCAAGAUAUACAUACAACGACGACAACUAAAAUACUACGCCGUUAAAUAUAAUUUACCCGACAAGAAAAAAUAUGACGUCUUUAAAUACAUGAGAAGACGACGUUAUUGAAAUCUACUACGUCUCUUAUUUAUAAAAAACCGUCGUGAAAUAAAUUUUCCACUUCGAUUUUUCUAAAAAAGAUGACGUGGAAAUAGUUGUCAGUGUCAUUAUUUACGACGUAUACAUUUAUAUAGUCGACGUUGUAUUUAUAUGUAUUCAUUACUCACGACGCACUUAAUAAUAUAGACGACGUUGAACUUCUAAACAACGUCGGUUCCAAAUAAAUGAGAGCCGUAUUACAGAACAUAUAGACGGCGUAGAUUAUGAUGAGAGCCGUAUUACAAAUAACGUCGUUUAAUUAUUAUUAGACGGCGGUUAUAAUGAAUUUCCGUCGGAAUUCAUUUCGUUCCUCUUCGUUUAUAAAAGAACUUGCGACGUGGAAAAUGUAUGAUGACGUCGUAUUUUUUAACGUUCAGAUUAUAUAUCUCGUUUUUUAGACGUCGUUAUUAUGGGAUUGGAGUCAUGUUAUUUUGAAUUACAUGGCGGUUCUUAAUCCUUCCCCGACGUGAUAUCCUGGAUAAUUGCUUCACAAUAGCGUCGUGGUUCUUCAUUGUUACGUUGCUUUAAGACGUCGGUAAAUAUGUUGAAUAAAUGGUUCACCAUAACGUCGUGUUUUAUUUGAACAGACGUUGUUUUUUAUGCAGAAUAUAAUGAUGUAAUCUGGAUCCAGUAUUUUUUGCACUGAUUGUUUUGUGGCCAAAACCUGUAUAAUGAAAGUGAAGAAAUCACAUUACAAUAUAUUAUAAAAUGAAUGUCAUACACUGCCAAUUACAUAAGCAUCAUUCAAUCCAUAUAUCUUCACACCCACCUCGAAUAUUUUGAGCACCUAACUCACCCACCAGUUCAUCAAAUGUGUCAACAUUUGGCAUCCCUCUAGUAAAUGGCUCACACUCAAUUAUCACAUCACCUAAGACUUCAUCACCAAUAACAUCAUUAUAUUCUCUAUUAGGCAUUGAUAACACUACCGACCAACCACGAUGCAUCGGGUCGUCAACAAAAAAUAUUUGUUUGACUUGAGAAGCCAAAACAAAUUGGUCAUUCCUAUGUCCAAUUUUACUCAAAUCUACAAGGGUAAAUCCAAGUUCGUCGACUACAAGACCAGAACUAUCUAUCCAAUCACACCUAAAGACUGGGAUUGUAAACUUUUGGUAGUCAAGGUCCCAAAUUUCUUGAAUGACACCAUAGAAACCCAUAUUUGAGAGAAUUGGAUUUUUAUCCUUGGCACUAGCAACUUGCAUGGUAUGUGCAAGUAAAUAAACUCCACUAUUUUGAGUUGUCCGCACAUCAUCUUGUGCCUUGAUAUUGAAUUUAAUACCUUUAAUAAGAUAGCUCCUAUAUAAUGGCACUGCCAUGUUUGGACCAGCUGCUAGCCAUCUUAAAUUUUCUGAUACGCCAUUAUUGUCUUCCUCAAGUUCACUUUGAACCUGCAAAUUAAUCAAAUCUUAAUUCAAUCUAACAUAGAAAUAAGAAGAAAAUUAAAAGAGAAAUAUGUUAUUCAACAACAUAUACCUUGAAGCGUAGCCAUUGAAUGAAAGUGCUAUUGUGCUUAUCCUGCAGCCACUUUGUUCUCUUUCUAAAUUUUGGAUAAGCAGUCUUGAUGACUUAUCCAUUCAUAUGCCUUCGAUCUUCUAUCCGAGUGCAUCCAUGACUUAUCCAUCUCCGACACUAUAACCUAUUAUCUAUAAUAAAGUGAAAAUACAGGCAAUGACCAUCACUAUAGCAGAUUAUACAAUGAUCUAAUCGCAAGUAAUACACAACAGAGACGACGGGUUUUAAACAAAAACAGACGUAUUUGGCAUAUAUAGACGACGGAUUUUCAACAGACGUCGUCUAUUAUAAGUAAUACAAACGACGGUUUAUGAAAAAACCGUCGUGUACAAGUAAUACAACGACGGUAGUGUAAAAAAACCGUCGUGUAAUCGUCGUCGUAUGCCUUAAAAUUCGUCGUGUCUCAGUUUAUUUUCAAGAACACAAAACCCAUUAAGAACACAAUAUAUAUAUGAAACCAAGCAAGAAACCAACAUAUACAUGAAACCAAGCAUGAAAACAAUAAAUCCAUUCCCAAUUCAACAUAACAUAGGGUGAUUAAAAGAUACGACAAAAUUAAAUCCAUUCCCAAUUCAACAUAACAGAUAAUGUAAUCCAUGAACCCAUUAAACAGAAAAUCCAUGAACCCAUACCUAUAAGCACAUUAUUAACAGAUCGCAAAGCAUACACAUAAAACCCUUUAACAAAACAACCUAAUAUCAUUCAAUGAAUUUACAAGGGGAAGAUAGGGUUUGUACUUAUAGGUUGGACGAGCUCACAGAUUCGACGGAGCCUGGAGAGUGCAACUUUUAAUUAGAGCAGAAGUGAGAGCGAAAUGUUAUGUCGCGCGAAAUCUGAAAAUUUUAGGUUUCAGGGUUCGAAGUAUAAGAAUAAGAGCCAAAUCUAAAAAAAUUUAGGUCGCGCGAAAAUUUUUAGAGCUCGCGCGUUUUAAAACGUCGAAAGAAAAACCAAGGCGAAAGUUCUACAAGUACCGACGUAAAUUUAAUAUUCCACGACGGAAACUUCAUUUUUCGGAUUAAGAACGUAAGGCCGUUCAUUUUGAAGCUUCAUUUUUCGGAUUAAUUUUAAAUUUAUUUUGAAUUUUUUAUAUAACGACGACUGAAAAACCACGUCGGUGUUAAGAAAUUAAAGACGUUGUAAAUUAUAUAAACUGACUUACAUAUUAAAAUGACGUCGUUUAAAGCGUAAACCAUGUCGUAUGUUUUACUGUACGACGUAAAAUAUGUAUUCCACGACGCAACCACCGUCGUUAAAAAUUAAUACCCUAAACCCAUAAAACUAAAUUAUACAAUUUAAAAAAUUAAGUUUAUAAAAGGUUUAUGGUUUUAAAGCCUAACAUAUACCCUAGACUACCCAAAAAUUAUACUUUAAAAAUAAACCCCAAUAAAUAACAACCCUAAUCUCUAAACCCUAGACUCUAAACCCUAAACCAUAAAACUAGAAGUGAUUUUAUGACUCAUCAAAACAAUUUUGUUUUGGAUGGUCAUUUUAAAUUUUUGUUAUUCAAAAUGAAUUUUUUCAAGGUUUAUGUGGAAGAAAAUAUAUCAAUGACUUCAUAGGAGUUGACUUUUCAAUUUUCUGAUUUAUUUUAAAUUUAUUUUGAAUAUUUUGAUAUAAAAAUAAUAAAAUAUUCUUACCACAACAACAAACCACGUCGGUGUUAAUAAAUUGUAGACGUUGUAAAUUGUAAUAAACUACUAAGUCGUUAAAAUGACGUCGUUAAAAUGAGAAACCAUGGCGGCUAUUUAACUAUACGACGUAAAAUAUAUAUUCCACGACUUAACCGCUGUCGUUACAUAAACGUCGUCGAUGAUACCCUGAACCCUUAAGAAAUUGAAGAUGUUGUAAACCAUAAACGACUCAAUUGUUCAAAGAACGUCGUCUAACUAUAUUUUUACGUCGUAUUUGUUUAAAACACGAAACAACAAAAUACGACGGUUUUUGACUUUAUUAGGUCGUUGGAAAAGUAUUACACGUCGGUUAAGCAAUUUGUAUGUUUGUUUUUUUUUUAAUUUAAGAAAACCUCAACAAAUUUUUACAUUACAUAUUAUAGAGAAAAUUUGUACAUUAUACAUAAAUAUCAAGUGUUCAAUAAUUGCCCUGUUUAAUAAUUUGGAAAACAAACUCUGCCCAUUCAUUCCGGACUUCAUCAAUGGCUUCUUGGGGGUAUGAAGCUUCCUGGUUUCCCUUGGCAUACUGCAUAAACAAUGACUAUUAGGGUUUAUAAAUAAAAAGAAAUUCAAUCACAAACGACGAUAUUUUUCAUAACCGACGUAGUAUAUCCAUUCAACGACGUUAAUUUUACAUGACCGUCGUUGAUAAUACAAAAAACGACGUGAAAUGUAUGAAGGUAAUUUCUUCUUACCUUAUACUCAAACCCCAAGGAAGGAUCCAUGAUGAUGUCCCUCAUGAAGCGCAUCACAUAAUACCCGCAUUCGACAUUGCUGGGUUGCUUUGGUGUGCCUGAGAGAGUUUUCCAAAUUACAUUUUUACGUCCUGCUCGGGCUAUGUGGGUAUUAUAUAUUUUUAAAGCAUUGUUCACGAUGUUUUUCGCCUCUUCGUCGACCACACAAUGACCUGGCAGAGGAUCCAGAAAAUAGACGGUCUCCUUCUUUGCUCUUACAAUCAGCAAGAUCCAAUGACGGCUGCACAAAAUUAAUAUAAAAACGACGGUUAUUUACAAAAACGACGUAUUAUAGUAUUUCACACGACGAAAUAAAGUAGAUAACGACGACAUUAUAUAUUUAUCACGACGAUAAAUAAAUACCGACGUGGUUAGUAGUUUCAAACGACUAAAUAAAAUAAAACACCGACGUGGUUAGUUUAUAAGCUGUCAUUUAUUGAAAAUCAUAAAAACAAAAUCCUAAGGAGACUAACCCUGGAUUGUAAGGCAUCAUGAAAAUCUGUUCACCGUCUGUCUUCUGAAGUCGAGCUGCUACCAGUCGUGAUCUUUCAGUUAUUGUGCCAGAGUUGGCACUAACUGUAGCAGGGUCGAUAAAGCCAACCAUGCUGCACAUAUUGGCUUGUUUCAAAACAUCGUGUAAGUACCUAAAUACAUAAAAUAAUAUAAACAAGUCAGCACAAAAAAACACGACGGUUAUGUAUAAAAAAACGACGUAUUAUAAUAUUUCACACGACGUACUGAAAUAGAUGAGGACGUUAUAAUAUAUUUAUCACGACGGUAGUUAGUUAAGACGACGUGGUUAGUUAGUUAAGACGACUCAAUAUAUAAACCAACGAGGUAUUAUUUUAGAAGUACAAACCUCAUAUAUACAGCCAAUACAGUAGCUCCAAUUUCUUCCGUGCCUGCAAAUUGUGUAAUAUCUUCAGGCAGGAGGAAGGUAUCGCGCUCACCACCAAACACCUCCUUAUCAAUUGUAAAUUGGAGUGUCUUAUCCUCAGGAAGGAGUGUCGUUUCCAAAAAACGACAAAGGGUUUUUAAAGAAGAUGGCGCCUCCAUAGUUGAAUAAUCACCAACUUCAAUAACCUGUUUAAAGAAAUAAAAAAAAUGACGUGGUAAUUCAAUAAAGACGACGGUUUAAGGAAUAAAACGUCGUCUUAAAAGUAUUUAAACGACGGUGAAAAAACUGUCGUGGUAAUUCAAUAAAGACGACGGUUUUAUGAAUAAAGCGUCGUCUGAAACCAUUUAAACGACGGUGCAAAAACCGUCGUUUAAAUAUUUUAUUACGUCUUAAAAAAAUUCCGCCGUCUAAGUUGUAAACAAACGACGGAUUAAAUAAAAAUAUCGACGUCUGAAAUUUUGAAAAACAAAUAAAAAAGGCAAAGUUAUGUGAACAUACCUUGUCGUCAUGCUUUUCUUCAUCUUCUUUCUCCUUUUCUUCUUCCUUCUCUUCAUCUUUUUUUUCUUCUUCCUUCUCUUCAUCUGGCUGAUGUUUCCCCAUUUUGGCAGUAUCAUCCUCCAAAUGUAGGGAUCUCACAUCACCUCCAGAGCAGCUAGCUUUGUCAGACAUUGGAUUUUUGGGGCUUUGGCUAAUUCUUGGUUUAAGCAUGCUUGGAUCAAAAUUGGGAAUUAAUUGGGAAAGCUGACUCAGGAAAUGCUCCCUCUCAGCCUCUACCAAUUGUUUUGUCCUAGCCUCCAUCCUUAAGGCCUCUUCCCUUGCCUUAGCCUCCAUCUUUUUAGUCUCUUCUUGAAGGAGAACUCUUAAACUGUCCUUCAAACGGUCGUCAAAGCUCACCCUCUGUGGUUUGGGCAAAUUGAAAUAUUGCCUUGGGGAAACACCAGCACCAACUCCCCUCACUCUGCCUGGAUGCUCGGGGCCCAAAGCCAUGGUCAGCACAUCAUUGCUGCCAUCUACUCUGACUUUGCCUUCCGAGACUUGUUUCUGCAAUUCAUCCUAAAACAAAGAUAAACAAAAAAAUACACGACGGUUAUUUAUGUACAAACGACGUAUUAUAUAAUUUCACACGACGCAAUAACGUAUAAACCGACGUUAUUAUAACUUAUCACGACGGUAGUUAUACCGACGUGGUUAUUUAUUUAAAACGACGAAAUGAAUAAACAACCGACGUCUUAUGCUAUAAUUAAAGAAAACAGAGUAGUGAUUCCUAUUUAGACCGUUAACGACGUUUUUAAAAAAGUUUCGACGUGGUAAUAUCAUUCACACGACGCGAAAAUGAACCACCGACGUCUUAUGCUAUAAUUACAGAAAACAUAGUAGUGAUUCCUAUUUAGACCUUUAACGACGUUUUUAAAAACUUGUCGACGUGGUAAUAUCAUUCACACGACGAAAAAUAUAACAUACGACGUAAUAAGAAUAUUUCACAGUUUAAUAAAAAUUUAAAACAGAGUGAUAGUAGGCUUACAAUUAAUUUUGCUUUCUCUGCCACCUUUGGAUCAGGGAUGUUACCAUGUUUGUCCUGUCUAGCUCUCUUCCAUAAGGUAGAUCGAUCAAUUUCUACCCCAGGCAUGGUUUCCUCCAAUUGAUCCUCCAAUCCAGCAUAUCCUUUUCGAGACAAUCGAUGAUUGUACUCGAGUUUCUCCCUAAUCUGUGCAUGUUGAGAAUGCACAGACUCAAAAUCUUUGGAUAGCCUCGAAGCUACAAAGGCAUCCCAUUGUGCUUUCUCUAUGAAUUUAUAUGUUUCAGGGGGUUGGCUUAAUUUCUCCCUGUCAUUGGUGUAUGGAAGGAUAUAAUGCCUCGUUAGUGUAGACUUGAAAUCCUUCCCUUUCUUGGCAGCAGAAGCUAAAACAGAGGUCUUACCCCCUUGGCCUACGACAAAAGCCAUGUCAACUGCUUCCCAAAUCUGCUCCUUUAUAUCCUUGGGGAUUUGGGACCAUUUCUUGUCCACAAGUGGGAUCCUGGAGCGUGCCAACACACCAAUAUACGACUGCAUCUCAAUAUGUGCUUGGCCAACACCUUUCCCCCUUUUAUUGUACUCAACAAUUGGCCUCAGUUUCUGAAGCUUUCUCUUCACAACACGAGGCAUUGUGCUCAUACCUCGACCAGUCUUUGAAUCAUCAGAGAUUGUUGUCUGGCUGGUUGGUUCUGUCUCAGCAGAUGAUGAAGCAAACUUCAUCUUCUUCGAAGACUUCAUCUCCUUCGAAGACUUGUCUUGAGGAGCUACCAUUCCAAGCUUCUUGGAGCCAGAAUCCUUAGUUUGUUGUUGAGAAACCAUUUUAACAGACAAAACUGCAAGUGAAAAUAUUUCAGGAAAACAUUAAGAACACAAACGACGGUAUUAAAAAAAUACGACGUAUGAUAUGAUUUUAGACGACGCAAUGAAAUAAUCUCAGACGUAAUAAAUGUUUAAAACCAUUAUUUAUAUAACGUCGUGGUAUAUAUGUUCACACGACGUCAAUAGUAAUACACCGUCGUGGUAAAACUAUUAUUUAUAUAACGUCGUGGUAUUUAUGUUCAUACGACGUCAAUAGUAAUACACCGUCGUGGUAUUAACAUUCACACGACGUAAAACAAUAAGAUAUUUUGUCGUCUACAUUAGAUACCAACCCUAGUUUCUUUUUCUUUAUAUUUUAUCAAAUAAGGGAAAAACAAAAACCAUUGUUCAGAGAAAUCAAACCUGCAAUUAAACAAGCAUAUAAAAAAAGACUAUUAUUUUAAAAACAACUUUGUCAAUUUUCAGACGACGCUAGAACAACUGACGAACCGUCGUGGUCUACCGUCGUCUUAUUUAGUUGAGGUAGUUGUCUUCAAAGUUGGAAACUUUCCCUCUUUGUCUGUAUAUUUUAUCAAACUUGGAAAGAAGUAAAAUGAUUUUGGCCAGAAAAAAGGUAAAAAGAUUUUUCAAACAAAAAACGUAUGAGCAUGCAAAACAGUAACCAAAAUAGUGAAAAUGAAAGCUUACCUUUUGCGUGCAAUGAAAGCAAGAGGAAGAUGAUCGAUGUUUAAGUUCAGAGACGACGAAGAAGACGAGAGGAAGACGAUGAGAAACUCUGACAAUGCUCUGACAAGGAAAAAAGACGAAAAGGUUUCUCUGGGAGAUUGAAAUUUUUAAUCGGGUUUGGAAACAGUGCAUGUGUAAGUCGAAAAGUUGCUUACAUAUAAAACCAUUUCAAAAAAAUAAUACGGCGGUUACAUUUAACUACGUCGUUUUUAACUAACACGACGCAAUAUUUUUCGUUCGACGUGGAAUCAUUUCAUUUAACGUCGUUAGGUUUAAUAUAACCGACGUGGAUUUUAAUUUUUAAAUUAUGAAUAGAAUUUUUUUUCCCGUGACCUUUCAGUUUAUUUUUCAAUUACAGUGCGUUAUAAAUAGAGUUUUUUUUCCUGAGGAAAUUUAAAACGAAGGAAAUUAAUAUUCUGCAAUAUGUAAAGUUUCUUUUUUGGAUGACAGAUUUAAAUAAAAUAAGAAUAUAAAAACAACGAAUGUGUAAGUCAAGUAGACGAAAAGUUGCUUACAUAUAAAACCAUUUCAAAAAAAAUAAUACGGCGGUUACAUAUAACUACGACGUAUAAAGUACAAAAUACGACGGUAAAUUUAACUUCGGACGUGGUAAAUAAAUACGACAGUAGUGUUGUAGGUACCGUCGUAGUAAACUCAAAAAUUAAAGUACAUAAGUAAUAACUCGCGUCAUGGUAGAUUAUUUAAGACGUCGUGAUUAUUAAUGUACCGACGUGGAGUUCUGUAAUAUACGUCAGUAAUACCGAUGUUGAUUUUACAAUUUAAACGGCGGUUUUUUGGUAAGGACCGCCGUUGGUUUUAAAAAUUUAUUCUAUAAAUUUGUCGCUUUCAUUCAUUUUCGCGGUUUACAUUUAGGGUUCCAAGUUCUUCCUCUCUCAGAGACACUGUCUCUCACAUCUCAAAGACAAUAAUUUGGAUGUCUUUCUCAAGAAGAAGCUUGUCAACUAGCCUUCUCACUUCCUUGAUCAAGCCUGAUAGGACACUUAGUGCUUCUGAAUACUCCUUGCUUUCCAUCAAAAGAGAUGCAAGCCUGGCCUCCACUCGCUGUCGAAGGAAAGUUCGCUUCUCAGGGAAAUCUGAAGAUCAGAUGUGCCUGAUCCUCUGCUUGAUUUUCUUGCCUAAGAAGAUUCGUCGGAUUUGUGAUAGCCUCUUCCUUUAUCCGUAGAGCUUCAGAAGAAGAAGAUGGGUUUCAAGAAUGCGAUAAAGAAUAGAAAUGGCUUCAGAUGGCCUCUAAAGCAUGAGCAAUUGAAUCAGUAGUUUCUGGGAGAUAUGAUGAAGACAUUGUCAAUGCUUUGAACUAUACAAGUCCUGCAGAAAGAUAAAGGACCAAACUGUUAAAGAAACUGAAACAACGGCGGUUUUCUGUUCUACCGUCGUCUUUUCUCGUCGUCUAUAUUAAGGUAAGAUGGCGGUAGAUUUAUAAUUACCGACGUAGAUUAUUUUGUUAAACGUCGUUAAGUGUACUACAACCGACGUGGAUUUUAUUUUUAAAUUAUAAAUAGAGUUUUUUUUCCCGUAUUCUUUCAGUUUUAGUUUUCAAUUACAAAGCGUGAUAAAUAGAUUUUUCUUUCCCGAGGAAAUUUAAAAUGAGGGAAAUUAAUGUUCUAGAAUUUGUAAACUAACACGACGCAAUAUUUGCAAAUCUGUGUCAUCUGUUAAGAUUAUGAUGUGGAACAGAGUUCCAUCUGGUAAGAUUUCGUAACCCUUGGGAUCUCAGACAAAUCUGAUUAUGUCGGCGGUGUUCUAUAUAAACCGUCGUGGUUAUUUCAAUUCUUGUCAUUAAGUAGAUCUACCGACGUAGGAUAAGAAAAUCAAAGAAAAAAAUUGUUAACAAAAAUUCUUAUUAAGACGACCGUUAAAAUUAAAGGUACGACGUAUAAAAUGAAUAAAUACGACGUUAAAUUUUAUUGUACGAUUUAAAGAUAACGUCGUAGAACUAUACGAGAAUGACGUCGAUAUAUUUAUAUUUUCCGUCGUUGUAAAUUAAUUUAAUACGGCGAUAUUUUGUAUUUUAAAGCCGUGGAUUUGUUUGUAAUUAUACGGCGUCUUAUACGAAAACCUCGUCGUGUUAUUUUAUGAGGAAAAACGGCAGUUUUUAUUGAAAUCGUCGUCUUUACUUUCUACGUCGGUCGAUUCAUAACUUCUGCCGUUCUUUGUUGGCAUUGAUUUUACACUGCGGAAAUCUGUUUCAAAUAGACGUCGGUUGUUUAAUUAUGUACGUCGUUGUUUUUGAACAACCAUUUGAAUCUCCAUUUUUUAGUUGUCUAAGGUUGUAUUACACGACGGUGUUUUUAGAACCGUCGUCUUUUUAUAAACCACGACGGUUUUCACUUAGACCGUCGUUGUUUUCUGGUCGUCUUUUUCACUUUUUGUAGUUGUGCCCACUUGAUUAUCUGCCAGACAAUCUAACGUCCUUAUUUAAUUUAAAAUAUUUAAAUUUGUUUGGAACUCCAAUUACGGAGCUUCCAGAAUCCAUUGGACAGCUCGGCAACCUUCAGACCUUGAACAUCACGGAGACAAAAAUAGAGGCACUUCCAAGAGUUCCAAGUUGCUAAACUUGCGCCAUUUACUUGUGGGGAGGUUCCAAGAGGGAUUUCCAGGAUAGAUUUCCAGAAAGGUAAUUGGGGUAAGAAUACCAUCAAGUAUUAGGAAGAUGAAGAAAUUGCAAUCUUUGUUACGUAUUGAAUCAGAAGGAAACAUUAUUAGACUUAUUGGAAGUAUGACCCAGCUUAAAUUCCUUGGCAUUACAAAUGUGAAAGAAAGAGACGAGGAGGACCUAUGUGCCUCAAUUCAAGAGAUGAAGGUCCUUUCCCGCUUGUUUUUAUUUGUAUCUCAUGGAGAGGAAUUUCUUCGAGUUGACGCAUUGUCUUCACCGUCUCCCUACCUUGAUAGACUUGAAUUGGUCGGCAAACUGGAAAAGGUUCCACAUUGGUUUUGUUCGCUCCACUCUCUCACAUAUAUGAACCUGCAAGGGUCCAGACUUGAAGAAGAUUUACUACCUCAUAUUGAAGCAUUGCCCUCUCUACUUUCUCUUUCCCUUAAUAAUGCCUCUGUUAGGAAAGAGUUAUGUUUCAACAGAGGCUUUGUGAAGCUUCGGCAUUUGUGGUUAUGGAAUCUCGCAUUAUUAAAUAAGAUAACUAUAGAAAAAGGGGCGAUGCCAAAUCUCGAGUUCUUAAGCAUUCGCCGUUGCUUGACAUUAGAAACAUUGCCACAGGGUAUUGAGCACCUUACUAAACUACAACGAUUCAGAUUUUAUAUUGUUUCAGAGAAGUUUAGAGAGUCCAUAAAAGAAGGAGGUGUGGAUCAUCCAAGGAUGCUACUCGUCGACGAGAGAUGUAAGAAAUAUACGUAAGUAUCUUUUAUCCUUUCAUUGACUUUCCUAAACUUAAUGAUUUGGAAUAUUGCACUUGUGUUCAAGAAAUUGUUCUCGUACACAUCUCUGUUAAUGGAUGUAAAGCCAUAUAAAUUGUCUGUUAAUUACAAUAUUGUUUUUGUCUUAUUAUAUAUUUUGCAGAAACAAGUCCUGGGAUUGAAGAUUUUACUCAUGAGUUUGGGGUUGGGAACUUGUUCGUCUUGUUUCGACCACAAGAGUGAUGUAGAUUGGCUUCUUAUUUGCUCUUUUGAAAAUCAAACAAUACCCAAGUUGAUGUUCAUAAAAUUGCAGUUGAUGUUUUUGUGUGUGUUUAAUUUGCAUGUAAUAAAAUUCGAGUUUGCAUCUUUCACUUCAGCAAUUGGCAGAUGUAUGUCGCUGAUUAGCUUUUAAGAUUUGGACCACAUGGAUUCUUUUAUAUUCGGCAUGUUUGUACUUUCUUCUAUGUUAAUUGUGUUUGUAUUUUCAGGUUUUUUUCUUUGUACUUUCAGAUUGGCUAAUUAAAUAAUACAGAAUCUUAAUUGCUUUCCAUGAGAAGUUCUAUAGCACAGGAAUGUCAAUGUAGCGGUAUCUCACGUCAAUUACGCAUUAUUAUAUGAGGAUACUAAAACACAUUACAAUGCGUGAUUGAUUUGAAAUACCGCAACAAUAACAUCCAUGACAUAGGUAAGUUUUUCAUCGCCCUUAUCAAUCCUAUUGAGUAACUGUUGUGAUAUUUAUUGCAAGCGCACAAUUCGCACAAGUAAUAUAGUGAUGAGUGAAGUGUCGUUCCCACGAAGAGUGAUUUAAUUUACCAAGUACCGAUUGUGAUUAACCCAAGACUUUAUUUGAACAAUUGAUGAUGAGAUUUGAUUGAUUAAUUAACUAAAACAAAGAAUAAAAACAAGCGUAGAAAAAUAAAGUAGUGAGAUUCAAGUUAUGAGAGCACUAGAGCUUCCGAUUUCACCAUAGCCAAUUCUACCCAAUUCCCUUAGCAUGUUAAUCCUAAUUAUUCUCUAUGUUGACAGUUGAUUUUCCCUACUUUAUUCGAUACUCCAUCCCUGGUUAUACCAAAAGUAUUCUUAUUACCAACCCACUCUAUCCCUAGUAAUGGAAUUAAGAUAAUAAGAACCCAUUAAAUUCAUUGGAAAACCUACAAAACAACCACAUAAGUCAUGACAAACAUCCCUGUCUAAUCAUGUAACUCAUGGUAUCUAUUACAAGAAGCAACCCCAAAUUGGAUAUUCCUAUCGUCAAUUUAGCAUCAAAACAAUUAAAUGUUGGCCAAACAUUCAAAGCAUUAAGCAUGGUAAUAGAUACUCAACAUGGAAAAAUACUUGGAAUUAACAUUGACUAAAGUAAUUGAGUAUUCAUGGCUAGGCUACAUCGUAGCCCUAGCAAGAAGAAAUUAGUUCAUGACAACUUUAAUAAAAACCAUGAUAAAUAAUAUCAUAGGAAAGAAGUAACCAAUUGAAGAUUUGAUCUCUGCACGACAGCAACUCUAGCUCCAGGUUGUCUUCUUUGUCUCUCUAAAACUCUCUCUCCUUUGAGUGUUUCGGUGAUGAGUAUGAAUGUGUAUGGAUUUUAGGGUAGAUGAUGGAGGAUGGAUGAUGGGUAAUGGUUUUUUUUCAACAAUGACCUAAACUCCUUAUUUAUAAAACUCCUAGAAAUCCUACCUAAGGAAUAAUUACAAUUGUUAUAAAAAUAGGAUUCCUUCUAAAAUAAGGUCUUUUUUAUUUCUCCUUGUUUGACUUGAUAAGACUUGCACCAUCUUGAACUAGGAAAUUUGACAACAUUCCUUGCAACAAAAGGAAUGACUUGGCUUCUUUUUAAUUGAUCUUCAUCUUCUUGCCUUUUUUAGCACACUUUCUCCUAUUUCACAAUUCCUUCACAAAUCUCACAAAACCAAUUAAAAACAACCAAUUUAAUCCAAGAAAUUAAUAAAUAAAUAAGCAAAGGAGGCAUAAAAUAUAUAUAAAAUAUAGACUUAUCAAAUACCCCCAAACCUAUCUUUUGCUAGUCCUCGAGCAAAACUGAAAAUCAAAAAUAAAUUAAAACAAACAAACUAAAUUAAACCACUUUCGUAGGUAAUCUCGAUGGCACUUAGCAUGUGCCACAAGCCUUUAAACCUCUAGGUGUCCUUAGUAGGAGGAGUUGUGUCUCCUGAGGGUUUACCAGUCACGACACCCACAAACACUUCUUGCAAAACAAAUUCGUUAAAGCAAUACUUCCAACAAACUAAUAAUAACCAUUGAAUGCCAAUCACAAUUCAAAAACUAAAGUUAUGCCACUACAAAUAAAAUGCACCAUAGUGUAAAGUGUAAAGCCAAAACUCCAAGCAUUCAAACAUAAAGAUAACCACAUUCGGCGUGUGUACAAAUUCGUCUCAACUCUAGGCCUCACAGGAUAACUCUCAAUUUUCUCACAGAACCUAGGGUUGCACUCUUACCCCACAUAUGUGAAUGAAGUUAGGUGAAGAAUUCAAAAUAUAAGACACAUAUGCAUCCAAAAAUGAAUAAAAGGAAAUUUCUAAAAAUAGAUCUCAUGGAAAGGAAAUCAAAUACUAAAAACCAUAGAUGAAGUACAUACCUCUACUUCUGAGUAAGAAGUCCCCAAAAAUCCGUUAGGUCUUUACUAUGGUUGUAAUGAAGGGCUAGGUUAUGGGUUAUGAAAGAAAGGGAAGGAAAUACUAGAACUUGAAACAUACCAAGGCAUUUGUCACGUUAUAAGGCUCGGCUCUUCAAAUUUACUUCACAGAGGCGUCCAGGAUUUUUGAUAUGCUUUACAUUUUUUUUUUCUUUAAUAGAUUUCUCUCUUUUUGUUUUUUGUUUUUUUUUCUUUUUAUUUAUUUAUUUAUUUUUAAGCACAUAUUUCCUCGGUACACGCCACCUCUUUUGUUGAUGUAGAGAUUAACCUUCAUCCUUGUCUUCAUGCCAUGGCAUAUCCCAAGUUAUAGGGUAUGGCUAAAAAUGGGGUGAAAAGGGUAAGGAAAUAUUGUGGGUGAUGAAAGAAAAGGCUAAGUGUUUGGCUUCAAAGGGUUGAUGGCACACACAAUGGGUAGGACAUGAGGUUUUAUUUAGUGGCUAGAACAUGCAUAGCCUAACAUCAUCUCUCAAGGUCCAUCCAACUCAAAAGUAAAAGCAUGAGAUGAUUCCAAAAUAGAGAUUAGUUCUUAGUAUUCAAUUCAAAAGCCUAAUUGAGAUCAAUUUAAAUAAGAAAGAAAGAAAAUAGUGAAUAAGACUAAUCCCAAAUACUCUCUCAAUGAAUGACAAUUUGGCUCAAGUAUCUCACAAUGUUAGUCUCCACUAUUUCUCCACAAUCAUCCAAGUAUAGCUAGCUUGUCUAUUAAAGUACUUGAAGCAUGGCCAUGUGAAGUGCUAUACUUAUGAUGCAUAAACUUUCAUGGCAACACUUUAGUUAAAGAAAUAUGAUCAAACAUCACAUAUACAUCACUAUUAGUAAGAGAAAGUAAAAGCUUUAACAAAAUUUUUAUUUUUUUUUAUUUUUAAAAGUUAAAGACAUUUUGUGAUAUUUUUUUUUUUUUUCAAACAAAUGUGAGUGAAUUUAUGGGCCAUAAUUGCUUAGGGAUAAAGAAAUUUCAUCAAAAGGAAGAGGACACACCUGGAAUAGCUCCUAGAAGCCUCUGAUCACAAAUGGAAUGGAUCAUAAUUGAUUUGGAAUGAAAUUAGAAAAUUCUGGAAAAUUGACCUUUAGCGACGAAAAAUCUGAUGAACACCGUCGCUAAAAGCCCUUUAGCAACGAAAAAUCCAAUUAACACCGUCGCUAAAAACCCUUUUGUGACGAAAAAGCUUCAUAUUUCUGGGUAGAUAGCAGCUAGUCUUUUUUGGGUUUUAGGCCACUUUUUUAGCUUCAAAUCUCCCUAAAACGUCAUGUAAAGCACUUGAGACCCCCAAAACAGUUUCAAAUCAUCAUAAUAACCAUUCUAAACAUGUUGGUGGCUUCAAAUUUGCCUGAAAAACAUCAAAAAGGAAAAUAGGCAAAAUUUUUGAUUUUGACCAAAAUAAGAACAUAAUAACCUAUUUUGCUAUUUUCUGGGUUUUAAAGUCAUCUAAUGGCCAAAACAACAUCUGUAACACAUCUGGAACAUGUUUGCAAUCAUCACGGGGCUAGAAAAAAUCGAGAAAUGUUCUUUGAAACACAAAAUCCUUUCUUUGGAACACAAAAUCUGUUUUUUUUAUUUUUUUAUUUUUUUAUUUUUUAUGACUCAAAACUCAAACAAAAAAACAUCUAAACUCCACACCCCCAAACCUAAACUAAGCAUUGUCCUCAAUGUUUAAAGUAAAUGCAUGUAACAAUUAGUAAAGGCAUAGAAGGAUGGAAAAUAAAGGGAAAACAAAACAAAAUAAAAUAAAAAGGAACGAAGGUACCUAGUUGGGUUGCCUCCCAACAAGCGCUUGGUUUAUAGUCCCCAGCCCGACUUGCAAGGUCAUCACUUUGGAUCAUGCAGAGGAAUGGAAGUCCGCUGUUGAUCAAAAUUGACUUCCAAGUAUGGCUUCACUCGUUGGCCGUUUACUUUGAAAAUAGUACCUUGUUCGUCAUGCCUAACCUCAAUAACUCCAGAAGGAAAUACUUGCACUAUUGUAAAUGGUCCAGACCAACGUGAUUUCAGCUUCCCAGGAAAGAGUCGGAGGCGGGAAUUAAAUAGGAGAACUUUCUGACCAGCGAAGAAAUCCUUCCUUAGAAUAUGCUUAUCAUGCCAUUUCUUUGUACGCUCCUUGUAUAUCUUGGAAGUCUCAUAAGCUUCAUUACGAAACUCAUCCAUAUCAUUCAAUUGAAUUGCCCGUUUUUCUCCUGCUACAAUCAUGUCAAAAUUGAGUUUUUGGAGUGCCCAAUGUGCCUUAUGUUCGAGCUCAACCGGUAAGUGACAAGCUUUCCCAAAAACUAGACGAUAAGGAGACAUGCCAAUUGGUGUUUUGAACGCCGUUUGAUAGGCCCAUAAGGCAUCAUCCAAUUUCAGUGACCAAUCCUUUCUUGAAGCACUCACCGUCUUUUCUAAAAUUCGUUUUAAUUCUCUAUUGGAAACUUCAACUUGUCCACUAGUUUGUGGAUGAUAGGGAGUAGUAACCUUGUGGGUAAUACCAUAUUUAGCUAAAAGAGAAUUAAAUUGACGAUUGCAAAAGUGUGUACCUCCGUCACUGAUGAUUCCACGCGGAGUCCCGAAUCUAGUGAAAAUAUUUUUUUCGGACAAAUUUGACAACACCCUUGGAGUCAUUGGUAGGGAGAACGACGGCUUCAACCCAUUUCGACACAUAAUCAACAGCCACCAAUAUGUACUUGUUCUUCCAAGAUUCAGGGAAAGGUCCCAUGAAAUCUAUGCCCCAGACAUCGAACAAUUCAACCUCUAGAAUAUUAUUCAAUGGCAUCUGAUUUCUGCUAGAAAUAUUUCCAGUGCGUUGGCAGCGAUCACAGGCAGCUACAAAUGCAUAGGCAUCCUUGAACAAAGUUGGCCAAAAAAAUCCAGAUUGUAAUACCUUGGCUGCUGUUUUGGAGGCACCAAAAUGCCCCCCACACGCCAAUGUGUGGCAAUGUCGCAAUAUGUCUUCCAUCUCCUCCUCAGGCACACAUCUCCGUAUAACUUGGUCAGGGCAAUGUUUCCACAAAUAUGGGUCGUCCCAAUAAUAAUGUUUAACCAAGGAGAAAAACUUCUUCUUCUGAUGAAACGAUAAAUCAGCUGGAAUGAUAUAAUUCACAAAGUCAGCGUACCAGGGAGCUUCGGAUGAUAGAAUGGCAUACAAUUGUUCAUCCGGGAACAUCUCCAUAAUGGGUGCAGCAUCAUCACUCAUCUUUACCUCACUGACCAGCCGCGAAAGAUGGUCAGCUACCACGUUUUCGGACCCCUUUUUGUCUCGAAUUUCAAGAUCAAAUUCUUGGAGCAGUAGUACCCAUCGAAUUAAUCGUGGUUUUGCAUCCUUCUUCGAAAGUAAAUACUUUAAAGCUGAGUGAUCGGUAUACACUAUCACCUUUGCUCCAAUCAAGUAGGAUCGAAAUUUAUCCAAGGAGAAGAUUACUGCUAACAAUUCUUUCUCCGUGGUGGUAUAAUUCCGCUGGGCGUCAUUCAAAGUACGACUGGCAUAAUAAAUUACAUGAAGUAAUUUAUUUCUUCUUUGACCCAAAACUGCCCCUACCGCAUAGUCACUAGCAUCACACAUAAUCUCAAAAGGCAAGUCCCAAUCCGGUGCGACAAUGACAGGUGCAGAAGCAAGCUUCUCUUUCAAGAUAUUAAAUGCUUCCAAACACCUUGAAUCAAAAUUAAAUUCUACAUCUUUAAGAAGGAGAUUGCAUAAGGUCUUCGUGAUUUUGGAAAAAUCUUGGAUAAACGGACGAUAAAAUCCAGCAUGACCCAGAAAGCUUCGAAUCCUCUUUACUGUAGUGGGCGGUGGCAAUUUUUCUACGGUAUCAAUUUUUGCCUUAUCAACCUCUAUGCCUUUAGCUGAAAUUUUAUGCCCCAGGACUAUCCCUUCUUGCACCAUAAAAUGACAUUUCUCUCAAUUCAAAACCAAAUUGGUUUCUUCACAUCUUUUCAAAACUAAUGCCAAAUUAUGUAAACAAGAAUCAAAUGAUGAGCCAAAAACAGAAAAGUCAUCCAUAAAAACCUCAAUGAAGCGCUCCACCAUGUCCGAAAAGAUGCUCAUCAUGCAACGUUGAAAGGUGGCAGGGGCGUUACACAACCCGAAGGGCAUGCUGCAUGCGCCUGUAUGCAAAAGUGCCGAAUGGGCAUGUGAACGUCGUCUUUUCCUGAUCUUCAGGUGCAAUUGGAAUCUGAUUAUACCCAGAAUAUCCAUCUAAAAAACAAUAAUAUGAAUGCCCAGCAAGUCUUUCCAACAUCUGAUCAAUGAAAGGCAAGGGAAAGUGAUCUUUCCUUGUCGCAGUGUUCAAUUUCCUGUAGUCUAUGCAGACACCCCAUCCUGUAGUUGUUCUUGUCGGGAUCAACUCAUUCUUAUCAUUUUUCACCACUGUAAUACCCCCUUUUUUCGGUACGACUUAAACUGGACUCACCCAACUACUAUCUGAAAUUGGGUAAAUUAUUCCAGCAUCUAAUAACUUUAAUACUUCAGCUCGCACAACUUCUGUCAUAUUCGGAUUUAAUCGGCGCUGAUGCUCAACUGAAGGUUUAAAAUUAUCUUCCAUCAGAAUACGGUGCAUACACAUGGAAGGGCUAAGUCCCUUAAUAUCUGCAAUAGUCCACCCUAUUGCCGUUUUAUGCUCCCUCAAAACUCGUAGUAAUUUCUCUUCUUCUAGUUUACUCAAAUUUGCAGCAAUAAUCACAGGAAGAGUUCCAAAAUUACCCAAGUAUGCAUAUCUUAAGUGGGAAGGUAGGGGCUUCAAUGUGAGGGUUGGUGCAGUAAUGACACUGGGUUGUGGCUUGGAGGUUGUGACUCCAAGCUCCUCAAAUGCGCGCCACCUUCCAGGAGGGCGCGGUUUCAUUGCUUCCAAAAAGUACACCAUCUCAGAAAUUUUAGGAUCCUCAUGCUCAGUAGUAACGGAAUGCACAAGGCAAGCCUCCAAUGGAUUACAUGGAUGUUCUUCUUUAAAUUUUUCAAAGACAACUUUUUCCACUAUAUCCACUCAGAAGCAAGAGUCUGAUUCCACUGGGUACUUUGUUGCUUUAAAGACAUUGAAGGUCACCUGCUCAUCAGCCACUCACAAAAUUAAUAAACCUUUGUCCACAUCAAUUAAUGUCUUCCCGGUUUUUAGAAAGGGGCGGCCUAAGAUAAUAGGGGUUUCGGCAUCUUCUUCCAUAUCUAAAAUCAAAAAAUCUGCUGGAAAAAUGAGCUUAUCAACUUUGACUAACACAUCCUCAAUUAUGCCUUUGGGAUAUGUUAUGGACCUGUCCGCCAUCUGCAAAGAAAUAGUGGUUGGGUUAAUUACCCCCAACCCAAUAUGUUUAGCAACAGAAGAAGGCAUUAGAUUAAUACUGGAUCCUAAAUCACAUAAAGCUUUUUCAAAGUAAGUGGUUCCAAUAGUGCAAGGUAUAGUAAAACUCCCUGGAUCCUUUAGCUUAGGUGGUAGCUUCCUCUGCAAAAUAGCACUGCAUUCUUCGAAUAAUUUCACUAUCUCAUGUUCGCCCAAUUUCCUCUUCUUUGAUAUAAUAUCCUUCAUGAAUUUGGCAUAACUCGGCAUUUGCUCCAAAGCAUCGGCAAAAGGAAUAUUGAUUUGUAAUUUCUUGAAAAUAUCAAGAAAUUUCGAAAAUUGGACAUCCACUUUGUUUUUUCGAAGAUGUUGAGGGAACGGAAUUGGCGGUACAUAUGGCUUUACAAGGGCAGCAGGUUGAGAUAAUUUCUCUACAGUAGCAGGUUUAAUUUCUUGACAAAUUUCAUCAAGUUGUGCAGCAGUGAUAGACGACGACGACGGCACGUUAGUAAUUUCUGAUGUCUCUGCAGUUUGUUGCUGGAUAUUCUUGUCUUCAUCCAAGUCUACUGCUGUUUUUAUUGGCCUCCCAUUCCGAAGAGUUAUCGCCUUCGCAUGUUCUUGGUUUUCCGGAUUAAUCUCUGUUUGGCUUGGCAAAGCUCCAUUUACUCUUCCUGUCAAUAUAUUAGCUAGCUGGCCCAUCUGAACCUCCAAGUUUCGAAUAGAGGCAGCUUGGUUUUGAAGGGUCGUCUCGGUUUUGCUCAUAAAUUGAUUUGUAUUGACAGAGAGGGUGUUGACAUUUCCAGCAAGUUGAGUAAUUAUAUCCUCCAAUCCAUGCUUCUUUUCUUGAGGUGUGAAACCAGGUGGAGGUCCCUGUACAUUUUGGUUAUUACUCCAUGAAAAAUUCGGAUGGGUCUUCCAUCCUGGGUUAUAAGUGUUGGAGUAAGGAUUAUUCCGUUGUUGAUGAAAAUCAGAGACUUGGUUCACUUGUUCAGAUGGUGAUGUGAAUGGACUAGCUCCACACUCAUUGCCAUGAUGAGGUCCUGCACAAAAUUCACAACUUAGAUUAGUAGACUGAAUAGCAUUAACAUUUAAAGUACCAAGUUGUUUAGACAUAGUAGAAAUUUGCGCAGUUAACGUAGAUAUGGCGUCAAUCUCAUGAAUUCUAGCUUUCUUUGGUGUUGAUCUCUCACUAAGCCAUUGAUAGUUAUUUGACGCCAUCUCUUCCAGCAAGUUAUAUGCUUCAGUUUCUGUUUUUCCCAUCAAAGCUCCUCCGGCUGCAGCAUCAAUUGUUGUUUUGCUUGUAUUGUUCAAACCAUUGUAGAACGCUUGAACUUGCAUCCAAGUAGGUAGGGCAUGAUGUGGGCACUUCCUUAGCAUAUCCUUGUAUCUGUCCCAUGCUUCAUAAAAAGGUUCCAUGUCAUUCUGAGCAAAUGACAUGAUGUCAUUCCUGAGUUUCGCAGUCUUUGCAGGAGGAAAGAAUUUAGCUAAAAAUUUCUUGGCCAAGUCAUCCCAUGUAGUAAUCGAAUUAGGUGGUUGAGAAUUCAACCAUGACUUUGCCUUUUCCUUUAAUGAGAAAGGAAAAAGCCUUAAGCGAACAACAUCAUUGGUAGCUCCAUUGCACUUAAAUGUGUCACAUAUCUCCAAGAAAUUAGAGAUAUGGCUAUUAGGGUCUUCUUGAGGUAAACCACAAAAGAUGGAGGAUUGCUGAAUCAUUGAAAUUAUGGCUGGUCUGAUUUCAAAAUUAUUGGCAUCAAUGGUUGGACGACGAAUGCUCGAUGGUGAUGCCACCACAGAUGGGACAUCAUAGUCCCUUACUGGUUUUGCUUCCUCAGCCAUAGGUGAUGGCUUUUCCAAUAUUGCGUCCUUCCUCCUUUUGAGUUUGUUAAGCUUGUGAAGCGUUCGCUCAAUCUCUGGAUCUAAUGGUACAAGCACAAGACUCUGCGAACGUCUCCCAAAACUCAUGCACUAGGUGAAAUACCUAAAAAAACAAAAAAAAAACAAAAAAAAUUCAAAUUAAAAUCCAAAUCAAUCUAUAUCGAUAUUAAUAAAAUUUAAAACACUCCCCGGCAGCGGCGCCAAAAACUUGUUGUGAUAUUUAUUGCAAGCGCACAAUUCGCACAAGUAAUAUAGUGAUGAGUGAAGUGUCGUUCCCACGAAGAGUGAUUUAAUUUACCAAGUACCGAUUGUGAUUAACCCAAGACUUUAUUUGAACAAUUGAUGAUGAGAUUUGAUUGAUUAAUUAACUAAAACAAUGAAUAAAAACAAGCGUAGAAAAAUAAAAUAGUGAGAUUCAAGUUAUGAGAGCACUAGAGCUUCCGAUUUCACCAUAGCCAAUUCUACCCAAUUCCCUUAGCAUGUUAAUCCUAAUUAUUCUCUAUGUUGACAGUUGAUUUUCCCUACUUUAUUCGAUACUCCAUCCCUGGUUAUACCAAAAGUAUUCUUAUUACCAACCCACUCUAUCCCUAGUAAUGGAAUUAAGAUAAUAAGAACCCAUUAAAGUCAUUGGAAAACCUACAAAACAACCACAUAAGUCAUGACAAACAUCCCUGUCUAAUCAUGUAACUCAUGGUAUCUAUUACAAGAAGCAACCCCAAAUUGGAUAUUCCUAUCGUCAAUUUAGCAUCAAAACAAUUAAAUGUUGGCCAAACAUUCAAAGCAUUAAGCAUGGUAAUAGAUACUCAACAUGGAAAAAUACUUGGAAUUAACAUUGACUAAAGUAAUUGAGUAUUCAUGGCUAGGCUACAUCGUAGCCCUAGCAAGAAGAAAUUAGUUCAUGACAACUUUAAUAAAAACCAUGAUAAAUAAUAUCAUAGGAAAGAAGUAACCAAUUGAAGAUUUGAUCUCUGCACAACAGCAACUCUAGCUCCAGAUUGUCUUCUUUUGUCUCUCUAAAACUCUCUCUCUCCUUUGAGUGUUUCGGUGAUGAGUAUGAAUGUGUAUGGAUUUUAGGGUAGAUGAUGGAGGAUGGAUGAUGGGUAAUGGUUUUUUUUUCAACAAUGACCUAAACUCCCUAUUUAUAAAACUCCUAGAAAUCCUACCUAAGGAAUAAUUACAAUUGUUAUAAAAAUAGGAUUCCUUCUAAAAUAAGGUCUUCUUUAUUUCUCCUUGUUUGACUUGAUAAGACUUGCACCAUCUUGAACUAGGAAAUUUGACAACAUUCCUUGCAACAAAAGGAAUGACUUGGCUUCUUUUUAAUUGAUCUUCAUCUCCUUGCCUUUUUUAGCACACUUUCUCCUAUUGCACAAUUCCUUCACAAAUCUCACAAAACCAAUUAAAAACAACCAAUUUAAUCCAAGAAAUUAAUAAAUAAAUAAGCAAAGGAGACAUAAAAUAUAUAUAAAAUAUAGACUUAUCAGUAACCUGUUAGAAUCUUCUCUCCAAAGCCGGCUCCUCUGCGUCAGUUGACCUCCCGCUCCCCCUCCCCUCUUUUCUCCCCCAACUGUGACAAGGACGAGCUCAAAUUUUUGAUCUUAUCUAUGGAAUGAAAUGUAGUUUUUAUUAAAACUUGUUUGACAAAGAAAAUAAAAAGACAUUCGUUUUAGGCACUAACCGCUUCCACGUGGAACCGUACGUGGGGGGCUAAUAACGGUUUUAACCGAAACUCCAAGGACUCCAAUUUUUCUCACACAAACACAAAACAAACACUCUGUUUUCCCUCUGAUCUCUCUGCCUCUCAGAGCCGUGAAUGAAGAAUACGACGUCAUAGUGCUCGGAACCGGGCUCAAAGAAUGCAUUCUCAGCGGCCUCCUCUUAGUGGAUGUUCUCAAGGUAAAGCUUAUCUAAAUGGUUUAUUUUGUUGGUCCUCUCUUAGAAUUUUUUUCUUGAUCGUGGAUAACAUAUAAAAUUGUAGCUUCCUUAUGGUAAGGUUAUUGUCUAACAAAUCUAACCUACUGUUACACAGUAUGACGUACUUUUCUUCUAUUCAUGCUUCUCUUUAAAUACGGCUUCGAUUUAUUUAUCUAUUUUUGGAUUUUAGCUUUGGAAGCGAUUUAGUAGAGACUACAAUGUUGAUAUGAUCCCCAAAGUAUCAAGAAUUAAUGAUGCAUAUAUUUCUUCCUAUUGUUCUUUGAUUUCUUCUUUGAUUCAUUUUCUCUUGUUGCUUAAGAUUGUAUAUGUUGAUAGGCUGUCAUGUUAACUUGUUUGUCCGUAAAUAAUGUGAUCUAGCUAGGUUCAGUCACUCAUAUGGGCUAGCAAAGUGAAAAAAAGAAGCUCGAGGAAACCAUAUUUGGAGUAACAUACAAAAGAUUGUGUAAAAUAGAACCAUUAAUAUUUUAUAGAUAUAAUAAUAAAAAAUUCAAAAAUAAAUAUAACAUACAAAAUCCAAAAAAAGAAAGGAAACACAUGCACUAGCACUACAAUUCAAACAUGCAUGAAUACUGUCUGGCUUUCUUGUUUUACUUUCUUUCUUUUUUCCUUCUACAUAUUUCAGCCCCAAUGAGUUUUACUCCUUUUGUGUGUGGUUGAGGCAAUUAUAUACAAUACGCUUUCUGUCUUUGGCUACCUAAAAAGUCAAGAAUGAGCCAUGCCUUUUGGUAUUACUGAAACUGAUACUGUCACUAUUACGAUUUACUAUUUGCGCGACGAAGAUAAUUUCGUCGCGCAAGGAGCACUUUUGCGACGAAAAAAAGAUUCCGUCGCGCAUACAACAGACAACUAGCGCGACAAAUAAUUUCGUCGCGGAAAGAGUCUAUGCGCGACGUAAAUAAAUGUCGUCGCGCAAAGGUUGUAAAGUCUAUGUUAUUGCGCCAAUCUCUUGCGCGACGACAGAGAUCGUCGCGCAUGACUAUAUUGCGUGACAAUUUCAGGUAUUCGUCGCACAAAGAUGGACAGAAUAUUGGCUCCGAUUAUGGCGGUAAAAAAAUUUUGCGCGACGAGAGUUUUCGUCUCAAAAGACAACUUAGCGCGACGAAAAAAUCAACCGUCGCGUAAGAAAACGAGGGAAACUUAUUUUUGGCGCCAAUAUGCAGGUGGGUUUUUGCGUGACGGAAGUGCCGUCGUCGCGUAAAGUUUAAUCGUGGUGCGUUCUUGCGCGACGAGAAAGUUUUAUUUGCGCGACGAAAGUUGCAUGCGCGACGCCGGAUUGUAAACGCGCGACGGAAUUUUGUGCGACGAAUAAUUUUGUUCGUCGCGCAAAAAAGCAGUUGUCGACACGUGAUUGCGCGACGGAAAUGUUGUUUUGGGCGACGGAAAAGUGGGUUUUCGCGACGGCGUUUCGCACGACGAAUUUGCCUUGUUCGUCGCGCAAAGUCCUUCUUCUUCAUAUUUGUAUCUGCCAUUGCAGAGGCAGAAUGCAAAAAUUGCAUUCUGCCUCUCUCUCACUCUCCCUCCCUGCUGCUGCUCUGCUGUGAAUUCUGUACGUUUAUUAUGUAUGUAUUUUUUGUCGUUAGUUUAAAUGUAUUAGUGUAAAUUCGUACUAAUGCUAUUAAUUUUGUUCUCGUUAGGGAUAUUUAUGAUUAGUGAUUGGUGGAGAACGAUUGAGAAGGUAUGUUAUUGUAAAAGUUUGUUUGUUAUGUUUAUACUUUUUUUGUGAAGUUAUAUGUUUAUAAUGUUGUGAAAUUGUGCGUGACGUAGCACAAUGUGUUGUGAUGUACGAAGUUAAUUGAAAUUAACUUCGUAAUUUUAUUUUUAUGUUUAGUAACACGUAGUUUCCCGUUCGAGAUUAGUUGGAUUUCGUGCAUGGAUGCGUAAGGCAUGACUGCGGUCCAAUUAUUUCUUGAAUUGUCCCAUUACUUGGACAGUUUGGUAAUGCAUAGUGUUGUCACAUAAUCUUCGGCUACAGGAUUAGGUUUCGAUUGUGGAAAUUUCGGUGUCAUCUCGGUAUGUUCUUCGGGUGGUACGUAGGUAUUUAUACCUAUGCCUACUUCAAGAACUGUGUCGAGAUGCUGCCGAAAUUAAUCCACGUCGAAAUCUAAUCUCAUGUAGCCGUAGGUUACGUGACAGGACUAUGCAUUCCAGAAUGGGAUAAGGCCCUUACCGGAGGCAUAAGGUGACAUUAUAACUUCGUAUGAAGUUGUUGUGAUUGUUGUGUCGUGAUUGUGGUUUCAGGAAUUAUGAGCAGAAGGUGGAUACAUAACCCGAAUAGAUGCGCAAACGAAUACUUAGAUGAAAUCGAGGAUUUUAUUGAGUUUGCACGUAGACAGAACCCGGGUGCAACUAGAAUCCGUUGUCCUUGUAGGAGGUGUAACAACACGUUGUUUGAGACAAUUGAAAAUGUUGGAUUUCAUUUAGUAAGGAAUGGAAUGAUUGAAACAUAUAGCAUUUGGAACCUUCACGGCGAACAAGUAGACCAUGCUUCGUCUUCAAAUGCCCCAAGAGUGGACAAUGUUGAACCUAUUGUGGAUCCUAAUGAUCAAGUCAUGGGUAUUAUACAAGAUGCUUUUCCAUUCGCAUCGACCAGCAUCAAUCAGGAAGGGGAAUAUGACGUGCCUACACCAAUAGACAGUGCGGAGUUUGAACAGUAUGAAAAACUGUUAAAAAAUGCCAACCAAGAGUUAUACCCGGGGUACGAGAGCUUUUCCGUUCUCACUGCCAUUGUGGAGCUAAUGCACGGAAAAAUAAAGUAUCGUAUGUCGAACUUGUGUUUCGAUUACUUUUUGGGGGUUUUCAAGAGAAUGCUUCCGACGGGCAAUUGUUUGCCGAAAGACCAUAAACAUGCACAGAAGGUGUUGCAUGGUCUUGGAUUGGGUUAUGAAAAAAUCCACACUUGCAAAAACAAUUGCAUGUUAUUCUACAAAGAGCAUGAAACGCUGGAUACAUGCACUAUAUGCAAUGAGUCGAGGUUCAAAAUGACAUCCCAGAAUAGAACGACUAAGAUACCACAAAAAAUGAUGCGUUAUCUGCCCCUUAAACCUAGGUUGCAGAGAUUGUAUAUGUCGACGCAUACUGCCACAGACAUGAGAUGGCAUAAGGAAAAACGGGUAGACGAUGAUGUGAUGCGGCAUCCUGCAGAUGGGGAGGCAUGGAAAGAGUUCGAUCGAACGUUCCCCGAGUUUGCUGCUGAUCCCCGAAAUGUUAGAUUGGGACUUGCCACUGACGGAUUCAAUCCGUAUGGGGUUCUAAACCAACACCACAGCACUUGGCCGAUUUUCGCAUUCCCAUAUAAUUUGCCACCUUGGAAAUGCAUGAAAAAAGAAUACAUGAUGAUGACUGUUUUGAUAACUGAGGAUCCUGGCAGGUCAAUUGAUGUGUACUUAAGGCCUCUGGUUGAUGAGCUGAAGGAUUUAUGGACAAACGGUGUUCGCACGUACGAUAAAUCAACUGGGAGGAUGUUCACUUUGCGGGCAGCAGUUAUGUGGACUGUGAAUGAUUUCCCAGCAUAUGCAAUGAUUUCUGGGUGGAGCACAAAGGGUUAUAUGGCAUGUCCUGUAUGCAAGGAAGAUGUAACUUCUGGUUGGCACGCAGGAAAAGUUUGUUAACUUGGUCAUCGGAGAUGGUUGCCAUGGGACCACAAAUGGCAUGGUCCGGUGAUGAGAUCUUGGAACAGCUGAACCGUUUGGAUUUUACUCCGUUCGGGAAAACAAUUAGUCGGACCAGACCUUCUACACAUUUGAACUGGACGCACAAGCCUAUGUUUUUUGAGCUCCCAUAUUGGUCGAAACUGAAAUUGAGGCACAAUCUAGAUGUGAUGCGUGUUGAGAAAAAUGUAUUCGACACAUUGGUGGGCACGAUUCUAGAUAUCGAGGGGAAGACGAAGGACACGAUCAAAGCUCGUCUUGAUUUGGAAAGAAUGGGCAUACGAAGGGGUUUAUGGAUGAAUAGGGACAGUGAUAAAGCUAGAAGGGAUCUUGCAUUCUUUUCUAUGAAACCGAAUGACAAAAAAGAGUUUCUAAAGUUUGUAUCGUCUGUCAAAUUUCCCGAUGGGUAUGCUUCUAAUAUCGCACGUUGCGUGAAUGUCGAUGGGGGUAAAUUUACUGGACUUAAGAGCCAUGACUGCCAUGUGUUUAUGCAACGUCUACUUCCUGUGGGUAUUCGACACCUACUGCCGGAAGAUGUGGUGAAGCCAAUCAUGUUGUUAUCCAGAUUAUUUUCCCAACUGACGGCAAAAACAUUGCGAAGGACAGACAUGUUUCAGUUGCGCCAUGACAUUGUCCAAGUCCUAUGCAAGUUUGAGAUGAUAUUUCCGCCCGCUUUCUUUACAAGUAUGAUGCACGUGAUGGUUCACUUGCCAGAAGAGGCAUUGCUUGUUGGUCCUGUCAACUAUCGCUGGAUGUAUCCAAUAGAAAGGUAUAUAAUCUUUAUCAUUUGUGUAUGCAUCAUUAUCGAUAGUUUGCUAAUUUGUAUCAUAUCGUUUUAUUUUGGCAGGCUUCUCGGAGAGCUGAAAAAAAGUGUACGCAACAGGGCAAAGCCCGAAGGAUCAAUUAUAGAGGCUUGGGUUCAAUAUGAGUCGCUUACUUUCUGUGGAAUGUAUUUAAAAGAUGUGGAGACGGUUUUCAAUCGUCCUCAACGCAAUAAUGACGGAGGUAUGAGAGAUGAAAAACUUUCUGUUUUUUCCCAAAGCGCACGACCAUUUGGAGAUCCUGGACGAGGAGAGUCGUUUUCUAGAAAUGACAUGGAGGUAGCGCAUUGGUUCGUACUGAACAAUUGUGAUGAGAUAAUGGCCUACUUAGAUGAGCAUGAACAGAUGAUGAAGCGAGAACAUCCAUCACAUUUGGUUGCCCGGAAACACCGUGAAUUAUUUCCACAAUGGUUUUUGGAUUCUGUAAGUUAUAAGUGUUUUGUAAUUGACAAAUAUAAAUUGUAGUAUUUAAUUUUGUCAGACUAACAUGUAAAUGGUUUUGUAUACUAUUAGGUGAAUAAAUUGAAAUCAUCGAAUUCCCCCACUUACAGUGAUGAGUUAUAUAACUUGGCGUUCGGCCCAAUUCGCGCUGAAUUGUUCUCGGGUUGUAAUGUUAACGGCGUCAAAUUUUUGGGGGCCGCACGAGAUGACAAGUUGUGUACGCAAAACAGCGGUGUCUAUGUCCCAUGUGGAGGCGAAAGUACGGACAUUGAUUUCUAUGGCAAACUGACAACUGUCGUGCAAUUGCUUUACAAAGAUCGAUACCAAGUCAUCAUGUUUAAGUGUCGAUGGUUCGAUACCAACCCAAAUAGGGCGGCAAGUGUUAAAAUCGACCAUAGAGUACUGUCUGUGAACAUUAACAGAACUUUUUAUGAUGACGACCCGUACAUUUUGGCAAACAUGGCGUCCCAAAUUGUGUAUCUAGAUGACCCUAAAGUCGGGAACGGGUGGAAAGUUGUGCAGAAGAUGGAUCAUAGGAACGUGUAUGAUAUACCAGAACUAGACCCAAGUGACAACGACGUCGACAAUGUGGCUGACCAACGUUUAGAAUCUUCAAUGGAAAAUGAUGCGGAAACACUUCGAGAUACAAAUGUUAUACAAGAACCGUUUCAAAUAGAAGGAGUGUCUUCAGUCGAAAUACCGAUUCAGUCAAUUACAAUUGACCUCGGUGAUCUUCCCUGAUACGAUGUUGCAGUGGGCCCUAGCAACGCCGAUGAUGCGAUUAUAGAGGAGGAGGAGGAAGAAGAUUGGGAGACCGAGAGUGAUGAUAGCGACGAUAACGAAAGUUAUUAUAGUUCAGAUGAUGAAUAAUGAAUUUAUUUGUAAAUUUAUUAUGUUAGUGUAUUCAUUUUUUCUAAUACAAAUCUUUGAAUAUAUGUAGUUGUCCAUAUGUAGUUGUGUAUUCAUUCUCCAUAUUUCAUCACAAACUUCAUUGGAAUGUCAAUACUUUAGUCAGUACUUAUUACGACCCCAUGCUUGUUGAUUGGUUUUUAUUUAUUUAUUUAUUUAUUCAUGCCUUAAGGCCUCUUCAAUUAUUAUUUUUUUCUUUUGAGAUAUAGUUAUUUCUUCAUGUUUAAACAGAAAAUUUAAGUUAUUUCUCCAAUAUUAGCUGUGUGCCACUUAUUUUUCUUCACUUUGGUUCAUGAUUAGUGGCAUCAAUCUAGUCAAACCGAUAAAUUUGGUCGAUUCAAAUUUUAAUUAUCAAUUUAGUUUGGUUUUGAUGAAGAAAUACAAAGCCUUUCCAAAAAAUACAAAGCAUAAAAAAUGAUGAAUACAAAACCUUUCCCAAAAAUACAAAGCAUACACAAUUUGAAUUAAAGGAGGAGUUAUGGCGCCAAAUCCUUGCGCGACGAAGACACAUUAUCGUCGCGCAAAAAUACCAUACGCGACGCAAAAAUACCAUACGCGACGCAAAAAAAUGCGUCGCGUAAAUUUUGCGCGACGAACAAACCUCGUCGCAAUAGUUUUCGCGACGAACAUGAAUGCGUCGCGUAUGGGGUUUUUUGCGCGACGAUAAGAAGAACUUCGUCGCGCAAAUAUAUAUUAGGUUACGUUAUAGUAUAAUAUAUACACACAUAUAUAUUUCAAAUUGGCGAUCGAAGUAGUUCAUUGUAUUCAUAUGGAGUGUAGGACUGUUGGUGCAAAAAACCAUCAACAUCGGAGUUCAAAUAACCGUUCAAUCAUCACUUUUUAUUUAGAACCGUCGAAAAGUUUUACCCCGUUACUUAAUCUCUGAAUGUUUUUUUGGGCCGAAUUUUGCUGUCUAUGAUCUCGAAUUAUAAAAAAAACAAGUUUGACGGCUGGAUGGCUGAAACUAGUUUCGUAGACUACGUGUGCUAUCAAAAUCGUAUAUUCACCAAAAACUCAAAAAUUUGUUCAUACAUUUGUCAAAAUGUAACUUAACGUUUAUGUGGUAUCCCCUAGUGUAAAAAUCUGAUAUUGAAGAUCAAAUUCAGUCAUUGUAUUCAUAUAGGGUCAACAAAUGUUGCUGCAAAAAAUGAUCAAAAUCGGAAUUAAAAUAACCGUUAAAUCAUGACUUUUCAUUUAUAACCGUCGAAAUAUUUUGUCCCGUUUUCUGAUAUCUGAAUGUUUGGUCGUUUUGAUUUUUGGCGUAUACGAUCUCCAAGUAUAAAAAAAUAAGUUUGCCGGUUGGAUCAUUGAAACUAUUUUAGGGUUUAGGGUUUAGGGCUUAGGGCUUACGGCUUAGGGUUUACAUUUUAGGGUUUAGGUUUUGCGCGACGAAUAACAUUCCUUUCGUCGCGCAAAGUGAAAGUCAUAAAGAUUGCGCGACGGAUAUGUUUUCAUUCGUCGCGCAUUCUGGUACACACAGUUCACCCCUCUAUCCCCUUUGAACACUUAGUGAAAAUUUCAACCGAAUGAAAUUCUGAACUAGCGCGACGAACAGAAUAAAAACGUCGCGCAAUACAAGUCUAUUCGUCACGCAAUCCCUCGACCCUCUGAACACUUAGCGAAAACUUCAACCGAAUCACAAUCUCGAACUCGCGCGACGAAUUACAUGACUUCGUCGCGCAAAAGGCAAAGACCCUUCAGUUUCAGCCAAACCCUAAACCCCAAAAUUUUGGCGGCCAGAAGUGUUUUGCGCGACGAACUCAGGUGUUUCUGUCGCGCAAGGUUCAUUAAUGCCAUUUUGCGUGACAGAUAUUGCGCGACACGUACUUACUUCGUCGCGCAAAAGGCGCAGACCCUUCAGUUUCAGCCUCCCGCUAAACCCUAAAUCUCAAAAUUUUGGCGGCCAGAAAGUGUUUUGCGCGACGAACAGAGACAUUUGCGUCGCGCAAGGAUAAUAUUGCGCGACUCGUGCUUGCUUCGUCGCGCAAAAGGCACAGACCCUUCAGUUUCAGCCUCCCGCUAAACCCUAAAUCCCAAAAUUUUGGCGGCCAGAAUGUGUUUUGCGCGACAAAGCCAGUUGUUUCCGUCGCGCAAGGUUCAUUAAUACCAUUUUGCGCGACGAUAUUUCCGUCGCGCAAGAUUCAUUAAUGCGCGACGGAUUCAUGGUUCGUCGCGCAAAGUCGAAUAAAUCUGCAGAAACGACCCGAGCCUCCUUCUUCCCCAUUUCUGGUUUUCCUCCUCCGCAAUCCCAUCUCUCUCCGCCGUCGCCUUCGCCCUCUCUCUCCGUUCGUACCUCAGCCACCUCCCUGCCGUCACCUCAGCCGCCUCCCUGCCGUCGCGUUUCGUCAGUUUUUCCCGAAUCUUCGCCGCCGAUUUCUCUCUCCUCCGGCCACCAUUUCCGACGCCUGAGGUAUGAUUUCUCGACUAUUUUUUGUGCUCUAACUGAUGGUUGGUUAGGAUUUACUGAAAUUUUGCUGUAGGAAAUACGAAUUGAAACCUAGGUUUUGGCCAGUUUGAGAAUGUCAAAUCCGGCCACUUUCGGCCAUUUUUCGGGGUCGGUCCGAGAACAAAAGUGGCUCCAAUUAAUGUUUUCAACCUAGGGUAGGAACCUUGGCCCUUAGUUUUUGGAAUUUUCCGGCGAAUUUUAUCGCUUUGGACACCCACGCACUGCCGGCGGGUGUGGUGGCGGGUGGGAUACUGUGGCAGUGGGGCAUUGGGUCCCAGAGCAAUCCCCUGUUUGUCACGAGCGCGUAGGUUUGCUCGGAUUUGAAUUUGGUUGUCGUUUGAGUCUUGAUCGGAUUUCGCCUAUUGUGCGAUUUCCAGGUUUGAUAUAUUCGGACCGUUGGAUCGAACUGAAACUCACGUAGUUGUACCUUUGUGUUUCUAUGAUCGUUUAGGAUUCGACCGAUCGUUGAUCGGAGUCCCGGAUACUCUGAAAUUCCAAACCCUAGGUCAGGCUAUGCUUUUAAUUAAUUAGUUUAAAUUCUGAAUGAAAUUAUAUGUGCAAAUGUCAGACUUGAUUAGACGUGGUAGGUCGAUGACGACUGCACCGAGUUCGGAUCCCCCGGCUCAGUCGGCAUCUGCUGCCACUGCUCCUGCUUUGCUGGACCACGUGGUGGUUGGUCCCGGGGCGUCCCAGGCGCCUGUGUCAUCUGCGUCAUCCGUGGUGCAGCCAGCUAGUGCUAGGCGGCGGCACCGGCCCACCGACACCAUCGACACGACAUCGACCGACGGUACUGGUGCCUCGGGAUCACAGCCAGGUAUAACUACACCUUUGUAUUGUUAAUUUUAUAUUGAAAUUUGACAAUAUUUUUUUAUUUAACAUUAAUACCUUAUUUCUUUGCAGCGAAGAAGAACACCCGAGGACCGUGUCGUCAGCUGAAGACGGUGAAGGUCACCCGAGUGACCAACAGUCGUAUCAGCAUCUGAUACGACGAGCGCCAUCGGGCUGCACCGACGGCAGAGUUGCAUAGCUCCUUGGCCCACGACAUUGGCCACGUCGUGCGGACCCAUUGCCCGAUGCAAUGGAAGUCUUGGAGGGUCAUGCCUGACGAGAUCAAGGUAGAGGUUCGCGGCCAGUUGUCGGUAUGUACCUUACAUUUUCAUUAUUUUUCUUUAAAAUUGUGUAUAUUUCUAUUACUUAACGUAUCUAAUUAAUUGAUUGCAGACGAACUAUAACUUGGAGGAUCUCGACGAAGAGUCGUUGACGUACGUCAACAGACUCUUCGCUGAGAGGUACAAGCAAUGGAAGAGCGACUUGCACCACCAUUUUCAGGCCUAUGAUGAUCCGCAAGUCGCUCUUCAGGAGGGUUGCCCGAAGGAGCUUGAGGGGCGGGAGGAUAGUUGGGAGUGGCUCUGCGCUCAUUUUCAAGCGCCCGAAUUUGCGGUAUUUUUUUAAUUAUAUUUGUUUAAUUAUUACUUAUUACUUAUUAAUGUUUAUUUUAUUUUUUUAUUUCAUUAUUAUUUAAUUUUUUAUAUUUGAACUAAUACGUUUCAUUUUUUGUAUAACAGAAUAAAGCCCAUGUGAAUAAGGGUAAUAGGAAGAAGAAGACCCUUCUCCACCAUUCCGGCUCCAGACCCUUUUCGUAUAGGAUGGAUGCACGGCGUCGGGUAAUAAUCACAAAAUUUUUAUUUCAUUUUUAAUGUCAUUUUUAUUAAUUUAUUUUUUUCAUACUAAUAUUUUUCUUCUCUUGUUCAAUUUAGGAGGGGUCCAAGUUCCCAGAGAUCGACGUCUUUGGUGACGUUUAUGUUCGACCCGGGAAUCACUACUACAUUUUACACUUUGCGCGACGAAGAAAAAAACGUCGCGCAAAGUCUCAUUUAGUCGCCCCAAUUACAGCGCGACAACAAAGUCGUCGCGCACAUUCCGUCGCGCGAAGAUCGUGAAGAAAGCCUUUGCGCGACGAGGUAUAACCCUUCGUCGCGCAAAAGUGUGCGACGGGUAAACCAUCGUUGCACCAACGGUGUGGAGACGAAACAACUUUUCGUCGCAAAAGUAUUUGCGCGACGAUCAAGUAUGCGGCGCCGGUAUAUUUGCGCGACGACGGGAAUUGCGCGACGAAAUAUUAUUCGUCGCGCAAAAUAUGUUCGGGAGACGUAUAUGUUCGUCGCAGAACAAUUCGCGCGAUGAGAAAGUUUUCGUCGCACAUAUAAUUGCGCGACGAAGCGACGAAAUAUUUUCCGUCGCGCAAAAAUAUUAUUACAAUUUUUUUUUUAAAUAUUUUUUAUUUUAAAUAAAAUUAGUUUCUUUUUAUUGAUUAAACAAUGAAAAUAAAAUAAAUUAGAAUAAAAUAAAAUUGCAAUAAAAAUAAAUUAGAAUAAAAUUUUGUUCUAAAAUAAAAUAAAUGUAUUACAAAUAAAAUAAAUACACUAAUCAAAUAAUGAAUCAAAAUCAACCGAGUCGUCGCCAGUAUGCGGCUCGGAGGGCGGGGCGUUCACCGGGGCAGUGGUCUGGUGGGGAUGCCCGGGAUGGACGGGCUCAGAAGUAGGCGCAUCAAAACGCGGGACUGGAAUGCCGGACUGUGCGAGGGACUGCAGAAUGACCGACAUCUGGCUCUGAAGAGUGGCCACCUGUGCUGUCAAAGCAGUGACCUGACUGCUUGACUGCGCCGAUGAACGAGGUCGAGGUUCCCUCCGCCGGGCAUUCCCCAUCCCUCGACAAUAUGUCCCCGGCCUCCUCCCGAGAGUCUGAUCCAACGUCUCCGUCAAGAUCUGAAAUCCAGCAUCCUGUGGAGGAGCCACAGACUCGAUCGGAGUCUCGGGAGGAAGCUGGGAGGCGGACUCCUGAAGAACAAGCUGGCUCCUCUCCACCAUCGUCGUCUGUUGAACAUAACAUAAAAUAUAAAUUAAAACAUGCAUAUAAAUUGAAUGCGUAACAUAAGAAUUAAAAUUAAAUAAUACUUACAUGAAGGGACUCGGCCAACUCAUUCCCGGGUCGAACAUAAACGUCACCAAAGACGUCGAUCUCUGGGAACUUGGACCCCUCUUAAAUUGAACAAGAAAAGAAAAAUAUUAGUAUGGAAAAAAUAACUUAAUAAAAAUGACAUUAAAAAUGAAAUAAAAAUUUUGUGAUUAUUACCCGACGCCGUGCAUCCAUCCUAUACGAAAAGGGUCUGGAGCCGGAAUGGUGGAGAAGGGUCUUCUUCUUCCUAUUACCCUUAUUCACUUGGGCUUUAUUCUGUUAUACAAAAAAUGAAACGUAUUAGUUAAAAUAUAAAAAAUUAAAUAAUAAUGAAAUAAAAAAAUAAAAUAAACAUUAAUAAGUAAUAAGUAAUAAUUAAACAAAUAUAAUUAAAAAAAUACCGCAAAUUCGGGCGCUUGAAAAUGAGCGCAGAGCCACUCCCAACUAUCCUCCCGCCCCUCAAGCUCCUUCGGGCAACCCUCCUGAAGAGCGACUUGCGGAUCAUCAUAGGCCUGAAAAUGGUGGUGCAAGUCGCUCUUCCACUGCUUGUACCUCUCAGCGAAGAGUCUGUUGACGUACGUCAACGACUCUUCGUCGAGAUCCUCCAAGUUAUAGUUCGUCUGCAAUCAAUUAAUUAGAUACGUUAAGUAAUAGAAAUAUACACAAUUUUAAAGAAAAAUAAUGAAAAUGUAAGGUACAUACCGACAACUGGCCGCGAACCUCCGCCUGGAUCUCGUCAGGCAUGACCCUCCAAGACUUCCAUUGCAUCGGGCAAUGGGUCCGCACGACGUGGCCAAUGUCGUGGGCCAAGGAGCUAUGCAACUCCGCCGUCGGUGCAGCUCGAUGGCGCUCGUCGUAUCCGAUGCUGAUACGACUGUUGGUCACUCGGGUGACCUUCGCCGUCUUCAGCUGACGACACGGUCCUCGGGUGUUCCUCUUCGCUGCAAAGAAAAAAGGUAUUAAUGUUAAAUAAAAAAACAUUGUCAAAUUUCAAUAUAAAAUUAACAAUACAAAAGUGUAGUUAUACCUGGCUGUGAUCCCGAGGCACCAGUACCGUCGGUCGAUGUCGUGUCGAAGGUGUCGGUGGGCCGGUGCCGCCGCCUAGCACUAGCUGGCUGCGCCACGGAUGACGCAGAUGACACAGGCGCCUGGGGCGACCCGGGCGCCCCGGGACCAACCACCACGUGGUCCAGCAAAGCAGGAGCAGUGGCAGCAGAUGCCGACUGAGCCGGGGGAUCCGAACUCGGUGCAGUCGUCAUCGACCUACCACGUCUAAUCAAGUCUGACAUCUGCACAUAUAAUUUCAUUCAGAAUUUAAACUAAUUAAAUAAAAGCAUAGCCUGACCUGGGGUUUGGAAUUUCGGAGUAUCCGGGACUCCGAUCAACGAUCGGUCGAAUCCUAAACGAUCCUAGAAACACAAAGGUACAACUACGUGAGUUUCAGUUCGAUCCAACGGUCCGAACAUAUCAAACGUCGAAAUCGCACAAUAGGCGAAAUCCGAUCAAGACUCAAACGGUAACCAAAUUCAAAUCCGAGCAAACCUACGCGCUCGGGACAAACAGGGGAUUGCUCUGGGACACAAUGCCCCACUGCCACAGCAGCCCACGCGCCACCACACGCGCCGGCAGCGCGUGGGUGUCCUAAGCGAUAAAAGUCGCCGGAAAAUUCUAAAAACUAACGGCCAAGGUUCCUACCCUAGGUUGAAAACAUUAAUUGGAGCCACUUUUGUUCUCGGACCUACCCCGAAAAAUGGCCGGAAGUGGCCGGAUUUGAAAUUCCCAAACCGGCCAAAACCUAGGGUUUUAAUUCCUAUUUCCUAUAGCGAAAAUUCAAGAAAUCCUAACCAACCAUCAGUUAGAGCACAAAAAAUAGUCGAGAAAUCAUACCUCAGGCGUCGAAAAUGGUGGCCGGAGGAGAGAGAAAACGGUCGGCGACAAAUCGGGAAAAAUCGCCUAUGUGCGACGGCAGGCUCGACGGCGACGGCAGGGGCGGCUACGGAACGAGCGGAGGUGGCUGAGGUGACGGCGGAGACAGAGGGCUGAGGUGACGGCGGAGAGAGAGGGAGGAACGGAGAAAAACCAGAAAAUGGGGAAGAAGGAGGCAUCGGGCCGUUUCUGCAAAUUUGUACGACUUUGCGCGACGAAGAACAUCUUCCGUCGCGCAAAAUGCAAUUAAUGAAUCUUGCGCGACGAAAUAUCCGUCGCGCAAGUUCUCCCAGCACGACAAAUUUUGCAUUGGGAUUAGGUCUGUCACUUUUGCGCGACGAAAACGACAUAGUUCGUCGCGCAAAAGGCUGUCGUGCCGCCAAAAUUUUUGGGAUUUAGGGUUUAGCGGGAGGCUGGAACUCAAGAGUUUGAGGCUUUUGCGCGACGAACAAAGAUAACGUCGCGCAAUAUGUGCAUUGCGCGACGAAAACGACAUAAUUCGUCGCGCAAAAGGCUGUCGUUCCGCCAAAUUUUUGGGAUUUAGGGUUUAGCGGGAACUCAAGAGUUUGAGGCUUUUGCGCGACGAACAAAGCUAACGUCGCGCAAUAUGUACAUUGCGCGACGAAAACACAUAGUGCGUCGCGCAAAAGGCUGUCGUUCCGCCAAAUUUUUGGGAUUUAGGGUUUAGCGGGAGGCUAGAACUCAAGCGUUUGAGGCUUUUGCGCGACGAAUUGAAAUAAACGUCGCGCAAUGGGAAACAUGGUUCACUUUGCGCGACGCAUUACUCUCCGCCAAAUUUUUGGGAUUUAGGGUUUAGCGGGAGGCUAGAACUCAAGCGUUUGAGGCUUUUGCGCGACGAAUUGAAAUAAACGUCGCGCAAUGGGAAACAUGGUUCACUUUGCGCGACGCAUUACUCUCUUCGUCGCGCAAGUUCAAGAUUGUGAUUGAAAUUUUUACUAAGUGUUCAAAGGGGAUGGAUGUGUGAAGACGGUCGCCCUGAUUGCGCGACGAACAUACUAUGUGUGCGUCGCGCAAUCUAUUUCACUCUUUGCCCGACGGUUAUAUAUGUGCGUCGCGCAAAACCUACACCCUAAACCCUUGUAAACCCUAACCCCUAAACCCUAAACCCUAAAAUAGUUUCAAUGAUCCAACCGGCAAACUUAUUUUUUGAUACUUGGAGAUCAUAUACGCCAAAAAUCAAAAAGACCAAACAUUCAGAUAUCAGGGAACGGGACUAAAUAUUUCGACGGUUAUAAAUGAAAAGUCAUGAUUUAACGGUUAUUUUAACUCCGAUUUUGAUCAUUUUUUACAGCAACAUUUGUUGACCCUAUAUGAAUACAAUGACUGAAUUUGAUCUUCAAUUUCAUAUUUUUACACUAGGGGAUACCACAUAAACGUUUAAGUUACAUUUUGCAAAUGUAUGAACAAAUUUUUCGGUUUUUGGUGAAUAUAUGAUUUUGAUAGCACACGCAUUCUACGAAACAAGUUUCAGUCAUCCAGCCGUCAAAUUUGUUUUUUUAGACUUCGAGAUCAUAGACAGCAAAAAUCGGACAAAAAAAAUAUUCAGAGAUUAAGUAACGGGGCAAAACUUUUUGACGGUUGUAAAUAAAAAGUGAUGAUUGAACGGUUAUUUUAACUCCGAUGUUGAUGAUUUUUUGCAACUACAGUCCUACAGACCAUAUGAAUACAAUGAACUACUUCGAUCGCCAAUUUUAAAUAUAUAUGUGUGUAUAUAUAAUAUUAUAACGUUACCUAAUUUCAUUUUGCGCGACGAAUGGCUUCUGGUCGUCGCGCAAAAAUGUCAUACGCGACGCAUAUAUAUGCGUCGCGGAAACUAUGGGCGACGACGUGUAUUCGUCGCGCAAACGUUACGCGACGCAUAUGUAUGCGUCGCAUAUGGUAUUUUUGCGCGACGAUGAGGAGCCCUUCGUCGCGCAAGUAUUUGGCGCCAUAGAUCCUCAUUUAAUUCAAAUUGUGUAUGCUUUGUAUUUUUUGGAAAGGUUUUGUAUUCAUCAUUUUUGAUGCUUUGUAUUUUUUGGAAAGGCUUUGUAUUUCUUCAUCAAAACCAAACUAAAUUGAUAAUUAAGGUUUGACUAGAUUGAUGCCACUAAUCAUGAACCAAAGUGAAGAAAAAUAAGUUGCACACAGAUACUAUUGGAGAAAUAACUUAUAUUUUUUGUUUAAACAUUAAGAAAUAACUAUAUCUCAAAAUAACAAAAUAAUAAUUGAAGAGUUAAAGACAUGAAUAAAUAAAUAAAUAAAAACCAAUCCACAAGCACGGGGUCGUAAUAAGUACUGACUAAAGUAUUGACAUUCCAAUGAAGUUUGUGAUUAAAUAUGGAGAUGAAUACACAACUACAUAUGGACAACUACNNNNNNNNNNNNNNNNNNNNNNNNNNNNNNNNNNNNNNNNNNNNNNNNNNNNNNNNNNNNNNNNNNNNNNNNNNNNNNNNNNNNNNNNNNNNNNNNNNNNNNNNNNNNNNNNNNNNNNNNNNNNNNNNNNNNNNNNNNNNNNNNNNNNNNNNNNNNNNNNNNNNNNNNNNNNNNNNNNNNNNNNNNNNNNNNNNNNNNNNNNNNNNNNNNNNNNNNNNNNNNNNNNNNNNNNNNNNNNNNNNNNNNNNNNNNNNNNNNNNNNNNNNNNNNNNNNNNNNNNNNNNNNNNNNNNNNNNNNNNNNNNNNNNNNNNNNNNNNNNNNNNNNNNNNNNNNNNNNNNNNNNNNNNNNNNNNNNNNNNNNNNNNNNNNNNNNNNNNNNNNNNNNNNNNNNNNNNNNNNNNNNNNNNNNNNNNNNNNNNNNNNNNNNNNNNNNNNNNNNNNNNNNNNNNNNNNNNNNNNNNNNNNNNNNNNNNNNNNNNNNNNNNNNNNNNNNNNNNNNNNNNNNNNNNNNNNNNNNNNNNNNNNNNNNNNNNNNNNNNNNNNNNNNNNNNNNNNNNNNNNNNNNNNNNNNNNNNNNNNNNNNNNNNNNNNNNNNNNNNNNNNNNNNNNNNNNNNNNNNNNNNNNNNNNNNNNNNNNNNNNNNNNNNNNNNNNNNNNNNNNNNNNNNNNNNNNNNNNNNNNNNNNNNNNNNNNNNNNNNNNNNNNNNNNNNNNNNNNNNNNNNNNNNNNNNNNNNNNNNNNNNNNNNNNNNNNNNNNNNNNNNNNNNNNNNNNNNNNNNNNNNNNNNNNNNNNNNNNNNNNNNNNNNNNNNNNNNNNNNNNNNNNNNNNNNNNNNNNNNNNNNNNNNNNNNNNNNNNNNNNNNNNNNNNNNNNNNNNNNNNNNNNNNNNNNNNNNNNNNNNNNNNNNNNNNNNNNNNNNNNNNNNNNNNNNNNNNNNNNNNNNNNNNNNNNNNNNNNNNNNNNNNNNNNNNNNNNNNNNNNNNNNNNNNNNNNNNNNNNNNNNNNNNNNNNNNNNNNNNNNNNNNNNNNNNNNNNNNNNNNNNNNNNNNNNNNNNNNNNNNNNNNNNNNNNNNNNNNNNNNNNNNNNNNNNNNNNNNNNNNNNNNNNNNNNNNNNNNNNNNNNNNNNNNNNNNNNNNNNNNNNNNNNNNNNNNNNNNNNNNNNNNNNNNNNNNNNNNNNNNNNNNNNNNNNNNNNNNNNNNNNNNNNNNNNNNNNNNNNNNNNNNNNNNNNNNNNNNNNNNNNNNNNNNNNNNNNNNNNNNNNNNNNNNNNNNNNNNNNNNNNNNNNNNNNNNNNNNNNNNNNNNNNNNNNNNNNNNNNNNNNNNNNNNNNNNNNNNNNNNNNNNNNNNNNNNNNNNNNNNNNNNNNNNNNNNNNNNNNNNNNNNNNNNNNNNNNNNNNNNNNNNNNNNNNNNNNNNNNNNNNNNNNNNNNNNNNNNNNNNNNNNNNNNNNNNNNNNNNNNNNNNNNNNNNNNNNNNNNNNNNNNNNNNNNNNNNNNNNNNNNNNNNNNNNNNNNNNNNNNNNNNNNNNNNNNNNNNNNNNNNNNNNNNNNNNNNNNNNNNNNNNNNNNNNNNNNNNNNNNNNNNNNNNNNNNNNNNNNNNNNNNNNNNNNNNNNNNNNNNNNNNNNNNNNNNNNNNNNNNNNNNNNNNNNNNNNNNNNNNNNNNNNNNNNNNNNNNNNNNNNNNNNNNNNNNNNNNNNNNNNNNNNNNNNNNNNNNNNNNNNNNNNNNNNNNNNNNNNNNNNNNNNNNNNNNNNNNNNNNNNNNNNNNNNNNNNNNNNNNNNNNNNNNNNNNNNNNNNNNNNNNNNNNNNNNNNNNNNNNNNNNNNNNNNNNNNNNNNNNNNNNNNNNNNNNNNNNNNNNNNNNNNNNNNNNNNNNNNNNNNNNNNNNNNNNNNNNNNNNNNNNNNNNNNNNNNNNNNNNNNNNNNNNNNNNNNNNNNNNNNNNNNNNNNNNNNNNNNNNNNNNNNNNNNNNNNNNNNNNNNNNNNNNNNNNNNNNNNNNNNNNNNNNNNNNNNNNNNNNNNNNNNNNNNNNNNNNNNNNNNNNNNNNNNNNNNNNNNNNNNNNNNNNNNNNNNNNNNNNNNNNNNNNNNNNNNNNNNNNNNNNNNNNNNNNNNNNNNNNNNNNNNNNNNNNNNNNNNNNNNNNNNNNNNNNNNNNNNNNNNNNNNNNNNNNNNNNNNNNNNNNNNNNNNNNNNNNNNNNNNNNNNNNNNNNNNNNNNNNNNNNNNNNNNNNNNNNNNNNNNNNNNNNNNNNNNNNNNNNNNNNNNNNNNNNNNNNNNNNNNNNNNNNNNNNNNNNNNNNNNNNNNNNNNNNNNNNNNNNNNNNNNNNNNNNNNNNNNNNNNNNNNNNNNNNNNNNNNNNNNNNNNNNNNNNNNNNNNNNNNNNNNNNNNNNNNNNNNNNNNNNNNNNNNNNNNNNNNNNNNNNNNNNNNNNNNNNNNNNNNNNNNNNNNNNNNNNNNNNNNNNNNNNNNNNNNNNNNNNNNNNNNNNNNNNNNNNNNNNNNNNNNNNNNNNNNNNNNNNNNNNNNNNNNNNNNNNNNNNNNNNNNNNNNNNNNNNNNNNNNNNNNNNNNNNNNNNNNNNNNNNNNNNNNNNNNNNNNNNNNNNNNNNNNNNNNNNNNNNNNNNNNNNNNUACGGGAUUGAUCCGUCAGUGGCAAGUCCCAAUCUUACAUUUCGGGGAUCAGUAGCAAACUCGGGGAACGUUCGAUCGAACUCUUUCCAUGCCUCCCCAUCUGCAGGAUGCCGCAUCACAUCAUCGUCUACCCGUUUUUCCUUAUGCCAUCUCAUGUCUGUGGCAGUAUGCGUCGACAUAUACAAUCGCUGCAACCUAGGUUUAAGGGGUAGAUAACGCAUGACUUUUUGUGGUAUCUUAGUCGUUCUAUUCUGGGAUGUCAUUUUGAACCUCGACUCAUUGCAUAUAGGGCAUGUAUCCAACGUUUCAUGCUCUUUGUAGAAUAACAUGCAAUUGUUUUUGCAAGCGUGGAUUUUUUCAUAACCCAAUCCAAGACCGUGCAACACCUUCUGUGCAUGUUUAUGGUCUUUCGGCAAACAAUUGUCCGUCGGAAGCAUUCUCUUGAAAACCCCCAAAAAGUAAUCGAAACACAAGUUCGACAUACGAUACUUUAUUUUUCCGUGCAUUAGCUCCACAAUGACAGUGAGAACGGAAAAGCUCUCGCACCCCGGGUAUAACUCUUGGUUGGCAUUUUUUAACAGUUUUUCAUACUGUUCAAACUCCGCACUGUCUAUUGGUGUAGGCAUGUCAUCUUCCCCUUCCUGAUUGAUGUUGGUCGAUGCGAAUGGAAAAGCAUCCUGUAUAAUACCCAUGACUUGAUCAUUAGGAUCCACAUUAGGUUCAACAUUGUCCCCUCUUGGGGCAUUUGAAGACGAAGCAUGCUCUACUUGUUCGCCGUGAAGGUUCCAAAUGCAAUAUGUUUCAAUCAUUCCAUUCCUUACUAAAUGAAAUCCAACAUUUUCAAUUGUCUCCCACAACGUGUUGUUACACCUCCUACAAGGACAACGGAUUCUAGUUGCACCCGGGUUGUGUCUACGUGCAAACUCAAUAAAAUCCUCGAUUCCAUCCAAGUAUUCGUCUGCGCAUCUAUUCGGGUUCUGUAUCCACCUUCUGUCCAUAAUUCCUGAAACCACAAUCACGACACAACAAUCACAACAAUCACAACAACUUCAUACGAAGUUAUAAUGUCACCUUAUGCCUCCGGUAAGGGCCCUAUCCCAUUCGGGAAUGCAUAGUCCUGUCACGUAACCUACGGCUACAUGAGAUUAGAUUUCGACGUGGAUUAAUUUUGGCAGCAUCUCGACACAGUUCUUGAAGUGGGCAUAGGUAUAAAUACCUACGUACCACCCGAAGAACGUACCGAGAUGACACCGAAAUCUCCACAAUCGAAACCUAAUCCUGUAGCCGAAGAUUAUGUGACAACACUAUGCAUUACCAAACUGUCCAAAUAAUGGGACAAUUCAAGAAUUAAUUGGACCGCAGUCAUGCAUUACGCAUCCAUGCACGAAAUCCAACUAAUCUCGAACGGGAAACUACGUGUUACUAAACAUAAAAAUAAAAGUACGAAGUUAAUUUCAAUUAACUUCGUACAUCACAACACAUUGUGCUAUGUCACGCACAAUUUCACAACAUUAUACACAUAUGACUUCACAAAAAAAUUACAAACAAACUUUUACAAUAACAUACCUUCUCAAUCGUUCUCCACCAAUCACCAAUCACAAAUAUCCCUAACGAUAACAAAAUUAAUAGCGUUACUACGAAUUUACAUCAAUACAUUUAAACUAACGACAAAAAAUACAUACCCAAUGAACGUACUGAAUUCACAGCAGAGCAACGGCAGAGAGAAUGAGAGAGAGGCAAAAUGCAGUGGGAGAGUGAGAGAGAGGCAGAAUGCAGAAACUGCAUUCUGCCUCUGCAAUGGCAGAUAUUAAAAUGAAGAAUACGGACUUUGCGCGACGAACAAUCCAAUUCGUCGCGCAAAAUGCCGUCGCAAAAAAUCACUUUUCCGUCGCACAAAACAACAUUUCCGUCGCGCAAUUACCUGCCGACAUCUGGUUUUUUGCGCGACGAACUAAAUUAUCCGUCGCACAAACAUUCGUCGCGCAAAUAAGAUUAUUCGUCGCGCAAAUUAUUCAUUUCGUCGCGCAAGAAAGCACCGGCAUCACACUUUACGCGACGAAGGUGGUUCCGUCGCGCAAAAAAGUUUUAUCCACCCUGCAUUUUGCCGCCAAAAAUAAGUAAACCCUCGUUUUUUUUACGCGACGCUACAUAUUUCCGUCGCGCUAAGUUGUCUUUUGCGACGGAAACGUUCGUCGCGCAAAGUUUUUUACAGCAAAAAAAAUUAGCCAAUUUUCUGUCCAUCUUUACGCGACGAAAUAUAUGUAUUGUCGCGCAAUAUUGUCAUGCGCGACGUUUGUCGUCGUCGCGCAAGAUUCUGGCGCCAAAAAAAAAAACCAGGGUUUUUUCCCAGACCUUUGCUCGACGAAACUAGUUUUGGUCGCGCAUAGAUUGUUUGCGCGACGAAGAGUUUUCGUCGCGCUAGUGUUCUGCUGUUUGCGCUACUGUAUUUUUUUUUCGUCGCAAUAGUGAUUUUUGCGCGACGAAAAUAUGUUCGUCGCGCAAAUGUCCGUCGCGCAAACAGUAAAUCGUAGUAGUGAAUGAGUUGGCCGAGUCCCUUCAUGUAAGUAUUAUUUAAUUUUAAUUCUUAUGUUACGCAUUCAAUUUAUAUGCAUGUUUUAAUUUAUAUUUUAUGUUAUGUUCAACAGACGAUGAUGGUGGAGAGGAGCCAGUUGGUUCUUCAGGAGUCCGCCUCCCAGCUUCCUCCCGAGACUCCGAUCGAGUCUGUGGCUCCUCCACAGGAUGCUGGAUUUCAGAUCUUGACGGAGACGUUGGAUCAGACUCUCGGGAGGAGGCCGGGGACAUAUUGUCGAGGGAUGGGGAAUGCCCAGCGGAGGGAACCUCGACCUCGUUCAUCGGCGCAGUCAAACAGUCAGGUCACUGCUUUGACAGCACAGGUGGCCACUCUUCAGAGCCAGAUGUCGGUCAUUCUGCAGUCCCUCGCACAGUCCGGCAUUCCAGUCCCGCAUUUUGAUGCGCCGACCUCCGAGCCCGUCCAUCCCGGGCAUCCCCACCAGACCACUGCCCCAGUGAACGCCCCGACCUCCGAGCCGCAUACUGGCGACGACUCGGUUGAUUUUGAUUCAUUAUUUGAUUAGUGUAUUUAUUUUAUUUAUAAUACAUUUAUUUUAUUUUAUAACAAAAUUUUAUUCUAAUUUAUUUUUAUUGCAAUUUCAUUGUUUAAUCAAUAAAAAAAACCAAUUUUAUUUAAAAUAAAAAAUAUAAAAAAUAAAAAAAAAUUGUAAUAUUAUGUUUGCGCGACGGAAAAUAUUUCGUCGCGCAAACCCGCAUGUAACAAAAAAAAUUAAAAAAAUCAACUUUUUUAUUACUUUUAAUUCUUGCGCGACGAAUGCAUACGUCUCGCAAACACGUUUUGCGCGACGAAUUGUUUCGUCGCGCAUCUUCUCUGGCGCGACAACAGAGAUUUUCGUCGCGCAAAUAUAUGAGCAACGAAAGCUUUCUCAUCGCGCGAAUGGUUCUGCGGCGAACAUCUACGUCUCCUGAACACGUUUUGUGCGACGAAUUAGUUUUCGUCGCGCAAAGAUAUGUGCGACGAAUAAUUGAUCGUCGCGCAAAUUUUAUGCGACGAACAGUUGUUUCGUCUCCAUACCGUUGGUGCAACGAUAGUUUACCCGUCGCACAGUUUUGCGCGACGAAUUGUUAUACCUCGUCGCGCAAAGGAUUUCUUCACGAUCUUCGCGCGACGGAAAAUGCGCGACGAAUUGUUUGUCGCGCUGAAGUUAGUGCGACAAAAUGAGACUUUGCGCGACGUUUUUUUAUUCGUCGCGCAAAGAGUAAAAUGUAGUAGUGUGUGUUCAGGAUUUCAGAUUCUCCAUUCGAUUGGCUAUUCCUUAUAAUUAUGUACAUGUAUGUUGUUAUUUAGAGAGAGAGAGAGAGGGAGGGAGAGAGGUAAAGUGUACAAACUAGAAUAAGUGAUAUCUCUCUAGCAAUCCAAGCCUUGAGUGUUGGUCAUUUGAUCUGCAAAUCUUGCUCUCUGGCUCUGGUCUUUUACUAAAUCCGGCUCUUUCCUUUCUGUGUAACUUCUCAGAAACAGAGAAGAUGAUCUUCUAAGAAUUAAGUAGGACUUUCAAAGCCAAUUUUUCAAUUUGAUCCCUGCUCUACAUAAAAUAUAAAAAAUUAAUACCUCUGCUGCGAUGUUUCCUGUAUUUUUACUUGUAUGUGUAUGCAUUAUUCACGUUCGCAUUGUCACAUUAUGGAUUUAGUUUUGAAGUGAGAAUCUUACUUGGAUUUCUCGCAGACCACCUAUGUAAUUCGGCACAAACUACUACCCUCUAGUUUUCUACAAGCACAAGCUCUUGAGAUGAAAUCAAAUUUAUCAUAUGAGUUAUCCCCUAGGGUAAGUUUCAAUGUUACAUACAAUAAAUGUGAUCACUGUAGGUUAGUCGGUUGAGCUUUGAUUUUGUUUACUUCUCAUUUUGUAUCUCAAGGCUAAAAAGUUGGAAGAUUGGUUCAUCCUUUGCGUUAAAAAAAGACCUAAAGAAACCCAGCUGCUUCUAUGUAAGGCAUCCUGGUUCUAAUUAUUUAUUUAUCUUUUUGUGAUUUUUUUAAUACUGUUUGUCAACUUUGUGAGAUUCUUUCGGGGUUAACUGCAAUUUUUGUGAUUCUUUUAACCAGAGCAAGCUGAAAAAUUGUGAGUUGGAAGCACAAGGAAAGCUUGUAAAAAUUGAAAUGGUGUUGGAGCUCAUUUUGCUGUUAAGCCAUUUGUCUGUGUUAGAUGUGCGUGGGCUGCUGCAUGUUGGUGCUCUAGGCUAAAAAUUUUGGGACUUUGAUUCCAAGAAAAUAAUGAAGUUUCCCGAGAUCCUUCAUAGAAAAUAUAAGUUGCCUAAUCGCCGAAUCAAAUGAGAAAUUUGUUCUUGAUCAUUGCCAAUUAUAAGGAUGUCAUCGACAUAAAUGAGCAGAACCAAAUAGAUGCCUUGUUAAUUGUAAACAAAGAGUGUGUAGUCACAUUUGGACUCAUGAAAUCCAAGCUGCAAAAGAUAUUCAGAGAAUCAUUGAAACCAAGCUUGUGGAGCUUGUUUCAAUCCAUAUAGACUACGCUUCAAUUUACACACAUGAGAUCGAAAUUGUUGAUCCACAAAGCCAGUAGGUUGUUUCAUUAACACAUCUUCAUAGAGAUUUGCAUGUAGAAACGCAUUUUAUACAUCAAGUUUGUGAACCUGCCAUCUAUUGCUCACGGCCAGGCUAAGAACAAGACGAAUGGUGCUAUGUUUGACCACGAGAUUGAAGGUUUCACUGUAGUCGAUACCUUGUUGCUGAUGGAGACCAUUGGCAACAAGUCUGGCCUUGUAUCUCUCUAUUGAUCCAUCUGCUCUCUUCUUUACUUCGAACACCCACUUAUUUGGAAGCAAAUUCAUAUGAGGCUGAUAAAGAACUAGCUGCCAAGUACCAUUAUGUUGCAAAGCAUUAAAUUCCUGAGCCAUUGCAUGUCUCCAUUCCUCCUGUUUCGUUGACUGACUAAAACAAGUAGGUUCAAUGCAUUAGUAUCCAAAAUAACAUGUAGAGCAUAUCUGGGAUUGGGUUUUGGAAAACCCAACUGAGACUUGGUCGCCAUAGGAUGAUGAGAAAUAGCUUGAGAAACCUGCGGGACAAUAUCUUCAUUUAUUGGCUCAUUAGGAGUUGGGAAAGGAGUAAGUGUUGGAGUGGGAGAAGGAGAUUGAUUUAAUUGCACAUCGUCAGGCGUGCAAUGAGGAAGUGGAGGUGAAGUAGGAUUGUUUCUUGUAGGCAACGAAACAUAACCUGAAGGCAAAUUGAAUUAGUUGUUUCUGGAAAAGUAAACAACAUUGCAGAAUCAAAAUUGGUACCUGUGUGUUCGAGGCUCCCCUUGGAAGAUGUGAGUUCUUAAAAUGGAAAAACGUCCUUAUCGAAUAGGACAUGGCGAGAAAAAUAAAUGCGUCUCGUGGAUAAAUCCAAACACUUAUACCCUGAUGAUUAAGAGAAUAUCCUAAGAAUACACAAGUUCUUUAUUUUGGUUGUAAUGUAUGUUUAUUAUAUGGAGUGAGCUAGGGAAAACACCUACACCCAAAGAUUCGAAGCAUGUCAUAUGAAGGAGUUUUAUGAAACAAUUUUUCAAAAGGAGACAUAUGGUUUAGCACACGUGUGGGAAGGCGAUUUAUGAGAUAAGUGGCAGUUUGGCAGGCUUCUAGCCAAUAAGAGAUAGGAAUGUGAGCAUGGUUAAGCAUGACAAUAGCAGUUUCAAUGAGAUGAUGAUGUUUCCUUUCUACAAGGCCGUUAUGUUCUGGAUGUUUAGGACAGGUAAUGCGUUGAGUAAUUCCAUGUUUUGCCAAAAAUUAUUGAAAGGCUAGUUUUGUGUAUUGGCCUCCUUCUUCACUUUGAAGAGCUCUUGUUGAGGUGUUGAGCAUUUUUUCUAUUUGUUUUUUAAAUUUGAUAAAAAUAUCAAAUACUUCAUAUUUUUGUUUCAUGAGGAAUAUCCAAGUGUAUCGAGAGAAGUCAUCAACUAGAAGAAAAUAAUAACGAAAGCCAUGAAUUGAAGCAAUUGGUGAACUCUAAACAUCAGAGUGUACAAGAGCCAUUGGAGACAAAAACACAGAAUCUGAAAUUGAAAAUGGUAAUUUAGUGCUUUUACCUAAAGGACAUGAAGAACAAAAAGGUACAUGAGAAGAGCCACUAAUUGGCACUUUAUUAUUUGAAAUCAAAUUCUUUAUUAUUGCACUAGCUGGAUGGCCUAGGCGAGAAUGCCAUUUUUGAAUUGAGACACGAGUUCCUUCGAAAGCAGAAAAAGAUUGAUUGGAAAAUCCACCGCUAUUUGUGAAUGGAUAUAAUCCAUUCUCACACCUCCCUUGGAAAAAUGUCUUCUGUGUCUUGAGGUCCUUCACAAAAAAAAACCAAUCAGGACAGAUGAGAAUAUAGCAAUUAUUGUCAGAAGUGAAACGAUGAACGGGAAUCAAAUUUGUAGAAGCAAAAGGGCGAACGUGUUAUGAAAACAGAAAAUGAAAACAGGAUCUUGAAAAGUUAAAGUUACCGAAUGACCCCUAAGUUGUAAUUGACUUAGUGAGAGAGCACUCCCAUUGAUAUUUUUUAAGCAACGAUUUCUUAUUAAUAAUUGAUAAUUUCCCAUGCAUAGAGCUCAACCCACAUGGAAUCUUAUUGUUUUUCAACUUUUUCUCUUCUAUAGAUUUUGUUCAAUUUUCUUAUUUUGUAAGUGGACAAAAGAUGAGAGAAAAUGUCAAUCUCCCUUUUCCAGCUCCCUUAUUAAUUCACAUGUUAAAAUACGAGUGCAUUUUAUAUGUCAUGAACCUAGGUCAUAGUCAGUCAAUGGUUGAUCCACUUAAGGACUAGUAAAGGUUGUUGCCCCUACUCACCCUUCUUCCUAUCCAUGAAGUUCCUAGAAUCUUUAUUAAAGAUAUGCUUGAGUAUGUUGCAAUGGGGCAAGGUGUUUGAUAAAAGUCCUCUGAGAGAACAUGGAGGUGCAAAGUUGUGCGGGCAGCUAAACUUCAUAUGUUUUUUUGUUUAAAUUGACAUACCAAAACCAGGUCGUAUCUUGUUACUUGUAUAUAAUUCAUUCAUAUUUGAAGAAUAUUGAGCAUUGGAAUUUUUAGUUCUAUUUUGGAAUUCCCCAGGAUUCAUGUUACUCAGAAAAUAUUGUUGUCUUCUUUAGGUAUGAAUCUAAAAAUUCUGUUAGUGAUUUGAACUACUUUAUUUUGCCCCUCCUCAAUUUAAAAAAAUUCUGGAUUCGCCACCCAUGCAAUAUGGCACCCAACACAAACGGAAAUAUCAUCCUCCACCAACCUGUUUUGGACAAUAAACAACUAAUUAACCAUGAUGUCCUCUUUUUUCCUUCUCAAAUGCACCGACCUUUCCAAAUUAUCUACCACCAUUACUUUAUGCCAGCCAUCAUUACGUUCAAACCCAUUCCAACAUUAUUAUUUAAGAAUUAACAUUAAAUAAUUAUAUUUGACUCCAUCAUAUUUUCUAAUUAUAAUAUAGUAAUUACUCCUUUCAUGAUAACCACUCUUCUAAGAUAUACGAAUUCCUGUCAGUUUUACUUGGCUGCUUAUGUGUAAGAGCAUCUCAUUUUCAUAUAAAAUAUUGGUUAACUUAUGGUACACGUUACACCUACUUAUUAAAAGACAAGACUCGCGAUGAUAGGAACAAUGAGUCGAACCAAUACCCCAAUAUAUAAUGACUAUCAUGAGGAUUAGGUAACGUGGUUAGCUAAUAUGAUUAGAAAAUAUGAUUUAUCUAAUCGCUUCUUAUUAAGGUUUUUCUGUGUAGGGAAGGUUGGAUUUUUGUUUUUUGUUUUUCCAAAGUCGAAAGAUAACUUUAUUAAAAAUAGAUGAAAAUGUGAAUUGGAUUGUUAGACGUUGAUUUCUCUUCUUUAGACAAUUAAUAAAUUUGAUCGUAGUGCCCUUUUCGAAAGCUUGGAUAACUUGAUUUACUACAAAAACCCCUGCUCCAUCAUUAAUCUUAAAUCAUUACAUAUAGAGUGCUGAUGGAGUUCUUGUGGAGGCUGGGUAGGUCUUUUUAAAUAUUUUAUUUUUAUGAAUAAAUAUUUUAAUUAUUUCAUUUGUAAAUAUAUAAUAAGUUUUUAAAUUUAUUUAAAUAAAAUAUAUUAAAGAUAUUUUUAGUAAUUAAAUAUAAUAAAAUAGAACAAAUUAUGAAAAUAACAACACUCUUAUUUAUAUAUAUAUUUCGAAAAACCACCGACUUAUCUUAUUGCUAAUGUAAAUUGUAAUUGACUUAUUGAGAGAGCACUCCCAUUGGUCAUGCUUAGAGCUCCACUCACAUGAAAUCUUAUUGUUGUUCAAACUUUCACUUUACCGUAGAUUUUAUUGUGGCCUUCGAGGAAAUUGAUCUUAUAAUAUUCAAGAGUAGGCAAGUGGAUUCCAACAAAGAAAGAGGGAAAAUUCUGUGGUGCCUCAGUUGUACCGGUACAGUCAAUCAUCUAAAGGUUCAUAUUUUAUUUUAAAAAUUAAGGGUUGAGAUUGAAUGACCUGAUGACUUGUUCACUCCUUUCUUAUUAAAGAGUACGUGAAAUACACGUGACUGAGAAAACAAACGAAAAAGCUUUGACGAACGCGAGAAAUACGUCGCGUGCACUGAGAGCUGCUUCAUCUUUGCAAUAUCUCUCUCUCUCUCAAAUCCAAUCCUCAUCUUUGUCCUCAAGUCAGAAUCUGAGCAUCUCCUCUCUGCCGACGCCGCGAUGCGCAAGAACCAUCGGAGAGGAGACAGAGUAGGGUGAUUCAGUCGAGUUCGACGGGGGUGGUGUGAAAGGCCUUUAUUUGGGUAGAAAUUCAACGACUUAGUAUUGAAUCUGGAGUGAGGAUGUCUGUGUUGCAGAGCCUUUGAUGGGAGAAAAAAUUCAACGCCUUGGACUGAAUCUUGGUGAUUUUUUUAUGGGUAAUGAUUUCCCCACUCCAAUUUUAUCCACUUACACUCCUUUUUUAGUUAUAAAAUGGAGUGUAAGUGGAUAAAAUUGGAGUGGGGAAAUCACCACUCUUUUUUUUCCCUCUUUUAAUAAUUUUUAAUAAUUUAAUAAUUUAAUAUUUUCUCUUAAUUUCAUCACAACAUCAAACCCACUGUGAUCCUUUCUCCAUCAAACCCACUGUGAUCCUUUCUCCAUCAAACCCAUGUAAUUUUCGUUUUAUGGAGGAUUUGUUUUCUUCCAUGUAUGAGGUUAUGGAUUUGUGCUUCAAAAUAAGGUAUGAAAUUUUGAAUAAUCAGGUUGUUGAUUUUCUUUAAAGUCUUGGAUUCUUGAAUUUUCUUCCUACUUUUUUUUUUUUUUUUCAAUUUGAGAUUUGUUUUAUUACUCAAGAACUCUGGUCAUGAUGAAUCCAAUUGGAGUUUUCGGGCUUGUUAGUGGAGAACUGAGGUUGGCCUCAAAAGAGAAAGAUGAGUUCUUUAACUGAGAAACCUCAUAACUGGUUUUGAUUUUGGCUAUAUUAUUUCUUAUGUGCAAUUGCAUAUAUUUUUUUGCAAUUGCAUACAGUUUAUGCAAUUUUUGACCCCCUGUAUGCAAUUAGCGAUAGUGUGAUGUUUAAAGAAACGUUUGACUUGAAUGCUAUGUCAUUGAGUUAUUUACCCAUUAACAAUCUAGUAACAAUUGAGGUUUCGUUCGUUGAGUAUGUUGCGUUCAUUUGAUAAAUUUAAAUGUUGGUAUAUUCGGUAAGAAAAAAUAAGAGUUCACGAGAAAGAAGAAGACAUGAUAUUUUUUUUUUUUUUAGGUGAAGUGUCUUGGGUUGCCAUUACCAUUUCAAAGAUUGUAUUGCUAAAUCUAUAAGUGUAUGGUUUAAAUGUGAUGUUCAUGAUUGAUAUUGGUUGUUGUGAUUGCCGUAACUGCUAUAUAUUGGUUGCUCUGGCUAAGGAUUCAGGAAAAGAGCAGUUAAGACAAGUGCAUUUUUGUUACACUGAAAUAUGUGUUUUGAGAUACCAUCACAAUGUUUGAAUAAUCUCUCUCUACCUCCCUCUCAUUUGCAGAAAGGGGUAUGCUCACUUGGACUUUUCAUGCAUACUUGGUGAGAUUCUCACCUUCUUCUGAGAGCCUAAUAUUUAGGGGCUAACAUUUGUGUACUCUACAAGUUAUAAAUUGAGCUAAACGUAUUACAAAAUAUUUUAGGUGAAGUGUUUUCUUUGUUUAUGUUUCUUUUUUCAGAUCUUAUUUCUUAUUUAUGUGACAUGUAGUCUUGGUUAGAGAAAAUAGAUGAUAUCACAUAUAAUUUUCUAUAGCUUUUAGGUAGUAGUAGAUUAUCCGUAUUGUCAUGCAAAUGAACACACACAAAAAAGAGGCCCUCUAGCCAAAAAGAGGAAAUUUGGUGAUCUUUGCAUACGUUAUAAGAGUGUGAGCCAAUGAGCCUUCUAGUAAAAACGAAAGAAGUUAAAAACCAAAAGAAGGGCGGAAUGCAAUUGCAUAUUGUAAACUAAGAAUUGCAAACAGAUGUUACGAAAUUGCAUACAUAUAUAUGUAAUUGCUUAUUGUAAAAUGAGAAUUGCACAUAAAUGCUAUGAGAUUGCAUACAAGUAUAUGAACGAAAAAAGUUAAAAACCAAAAGAAGGGCAGAAUGCAAUUGCAUAUUGUAAGCUAAUAAUUGCAAACAGACGUUACGAAAUUGCGUAUAUAUAUACAAUUGCAUAUUGUAAAAUGAGAUUGCACAUAGAUGCUACGAGAUUGCAUACAGGCAUAUGCAUAUGGAUACUAUAAAUUGAGAAUUGCACACGUGCUAUCAAAUAUGCGAUAUAUGCCCACAAAAACCAUUAACAUGGUUAAAUUGUUGAUUUAGUCCUUGAACUUGUAUCCAAUUUUCAAUUUAUCGCAUGACAUUUUUUUUAUAAUAUUACGGAUAUGAAUUUUCUUUAUCGCCAAUGUCUCCCCUGCCGUUUAAUUCCCUAACAUUUCAUCCAAUCUGUCAUUAAAUAUGAGGGCACAUUGAUCAUUUCAUACGUUAAACAUAAUUGAAUUAUGUAAAAUAAAAUAAUAUAAAAAGAUAUUAAAUAUAUGCCUUAAAGCCAAACAUGUGAUAUUGCGUUCUUUUUUGGAUAUUUCACCAUCAUUUAUGGGCAAAAUCGUUGUUUUCAUCUAUGUUAUUUAGUCUACAAUCAUAACAGCACAACAAUCCUUGGAAUAUGAUUCGUAUGUGGGCUAAGCAAUGAGAUUGGAUAUAAGAAGACUUCUCAUAUUUCCACUUCACUUCGUGGUCAUAUAUUAUCAAUUGGGCAUUGAUCAUAAUCGAAAAAGUCCAAUUUUCUUUUUCGUCAAUUCAAUGUGACUCAAUCAAUCGACCAUUAAGUAAUAAUUUUUGUUGAAAGCUUUUAAAUUUAUAUUUGUACCAACAAUCAUAUGUUUGAUUUUAUUGAAUUUUUUUUAAUUAACAAUAUAGGAAUAAUUGGAGAUAAUCAACAAAGUUCAAUUUUAUUCUCAAUAUUUCAUUGGGUUAAAUUAUUAGUAAAUCAUGAAAGUUAUAUUCAAUAAUUUAUGCCCAACAAACCUACCUAAAGAACGCUAAGUGACUCGUUCGCCGGGUAUAUAAUGUUGUUCGUUGACCAAAUUACCCAAUGAACUCCUUGAUUUACUCAAUAAAAAAGGUAUUUUACUUCGAAGACGCAAGGGGAGCGCUCGGUGAGUAAAGCUCGUUGUUCCCCGAGAAAUUGGACUAACUAAAAUAUUUUAUCAAACAAAUGCGCUAUUUUUUCACUUGAACGCAGGGGGUGAGUUCGUUGAAUAAAGUUGGUCGUUUCCCGGGAAAUUGGACCCAACUAACUUACUUUUUCAAACAAAUGGACUAUUUGUUCAUGCGAACGCAGGGGUUGCGUUCAUUGAGUAAAGUUGAACAUUCCUCGUUCCUCAGAAAAAUGGGCCAAACUAACUUACUUUUUUAAACAAAUGGACUAUUUGUUCACGCAAACGCAGAUGUUGCGUUCAUUGAGUAAAGUUGCAUGUUCUCCGGAAAAAUAGACCCAACUAACUUACUUUUUCAAACAAACAGGCUAUUUGUUCAUACAAAUGCAAGGGUUGCGUUGGUUGAGUAAAGUUGCUCAUUCAUCGGAAAAAUGGGCCUAUUAUCGAAAUUACGUAGUAAUGGACAUUGUUAUGUAGUACAAAUAAUUUUCCAAAAGAUCCCGAAUUUCGUAAAACACAAUGUGAUUAACCUUAAUAUUGAAUAAUAGACAUAUGGUUAUAAUAAAGUAUUUGCUUGGUUUUCUUUGUCUUUGCGCUAUACAUUAAUUAGGUUUGCAUUUUUAAGGUGUGUUUAGUUUGCACACAGCCGGUUUGCAUUUGCAUUUUACACAUGCAAUUGCAUGACGAUGAUGCAAUGCAAGAGUGACUGUGCGCAAACCCCUAAUAAGGAAAAAUGGAUCAUAUUUUUUUGUACAUGCAUAAUUAGACCUAUUUUUUGAACUAUAAAUCGAAGGGCGAAAUGAACCGAAAUACAGAGCAUGAGAAACAGUAAGGGGCAAUAAGCCGAACAUAUUAAAAGAUCCUUGCAAAGUCCACGUGGACGCAAAUCAUGCGGAACAUGGUUAUAGAAGUUAGUCAUAACAUGAACUUUGGGAUCAUUUGGAUCCCAACCUUGCUGUUUUGGAUUUUUGACAACGUGAGGUUGGUUUGAAGAGGAAGCCAUGCAUUUGUAAUGGAUAGAGUCAAAGAAGCAGUCACUCAAAUGCCCCUUUAUAAUAGAAUGGAGGGUUUAAAAUGUUAACGCAAGGGUUACCCGGAAAAAUUAAUCCAGCCAACUAACGUUUUCAAACAAACGAGGGUUUUGUUCACACAAACGAAAUGAUUGCGUUCGUUGAGAAACGUUACCCGUUCGCCGAUAAAAUAUCCCCAACCACCUUACUUUUUCAAACAAACGCGGUGUUUGUUCUAGCGAACCUAAGGGUUGCGUUUGUUCAGUAAAGUUACCCGUUCCCCGAAAAAUGGGCCCAACCAACUUACUUUUGUAAACAAACGGGUAGUUUGUUCAAUCGAACGUAAAGGUUUGCUUUCGUUCAGAAAUACUCGACGUUCCGCCGAAAAAGAGGGCCAACAAUCUUACUUGUUCAAACCAACAUGGUAUUUAUUCACACGAACACAAUAUGUGCGUUACUUGAGAAAAGUAACCCGUUCGUCGAAAACAUGCCUCAACCACCUUACUUUUUCAAACAAACGGGGUAUUUUUUCACACCAACGCAACAGGUGCGUUCGUUGAGGAAAGUUUUCUAUUCGCCGAAAAAAUAUAUCCAACCAACUUACUUUUUCAAACAAACGGGGUGUUUGUUCUAGUGAACGCAAAUGGGCCCAACCAACUUACUUUUUCAAACAAAUGGGGAGUUUAUUCAAACAAACGUAAGGGUUUGCUUUCGUUCAAAAAUACUCGACGUUCCGUCGAAAAAGAAGGCCAACAUAGUUACUUUUUUAAACAAACAGGGUAUUUGUUCAAACGAACGCAAUAUGUGUGUUCCUGGAAAAAAGUUACCCGUUCGCCGAAAACAUGCCCCAACCACCUCACGUUUUUAAACAAACGGGGUAUUUUUUCACACCAACGCAACAGGUGCGUUCGUUGAGGAAAGUUUUAUGUUCGUCGAAAAAAUAUAUCCAACCAACUUACUUUUUCAAACAAACGGGCUAUUUGUUCACGUAGACGCAGGGGUUGCGUUCAUUUAGUAAAGUUGCUCGUUCUUCUAAAAAAUGGGCCAAACUAACUUACUUUUUCAAACAAACGGCCUAUUUGUUCACGUAAACGCAAGGGUUGAGUUUGUUGAGUAAAGUUGCUCGUUCCCCGAAAAAAUGGCCCAAACUAACUUACUUUUUCAAACAAACGGGCUAUUUGUUCAUGCGAACGCAGGGGUUGUGUUCGUUGCGUAAAGUUGUCCGUUCCCUAGAAAAAUGGGCCCAACUAACUUACUUUUUCAAACAAACGGGCUAUUUGUUCAUGCGAACACAGGGGUUGCGUUUGUUGAGUAAAGUUGCCCGUUCCCCGAAAAAAUGGGCCAAACUAACUUACUUUUUCAAACAAACGGGCUAUUUGUUCACAUAAACGCAGGGGUUACGUUCGUUGAGUAAAGUUGCUCGUUCCCCCGAAAAAUGGGCCAAACUAACUUACUUUUUCAAACAAAUGCGCUAUUUGUUCAUACGAACGCAAUGGGUUGCGUUCAUUGAGUAAAGUUGUCCGUUCUCCGGAAAAAUGGGCCCAACUAACCUACUUUUUCAAGAAAACAGGCUAUUUGUUCACGCGAAUGCGGGGGUUGCAUUCGUUGAGUUAAGUUCCCCGUUCCCUGAAAAAAUGGCCAAACUAACUUACUUUUUCAAACAAACAGGCUAUUUGUUCAUAUAAACGCAGGGAUUGCGUUCAUUGAGUAAAGUUGCUCGUUCUUCGGAAAAAUUGGCCCAACUAACUUACUUUUUCAAACAAACAGGCUUUUUGUUCACGCGAACGCAACGGGUUGCGUUCAUGGAGUAAAGUUGUCCGUUUCCUAAAAAAAUGGGCCCAACUAACUUACUUUUUCAAACAAAUGGGCUAUUGUUCACGCGAACGCAGCGGUUGCGUUUGUUAAGUAAAGUUUCCCGUUCCCCGGAAAAAUAGGCCAAACUAACUUAAUUUUUCAAACAAACGGGCUAUUUGUUCAUGUAAACGCAGAGGUUGCGUUUGUUGAGUAAAGUUGCCCAUUCCCCGGAAAAAUGGGUCCAACUAACUUACUUUUUCAAACAAACGGGCUAUUUGUUCACGCGAACGCUGGGGUUGCGUUCGUUGAGUAAAAUUGCCCUUUUCCCAGAAAAAUAGGCCAAAUAAACUUACUUUUUCAAACAAACGGGAUAUUUAUUCAUGCAAGGAGUGCGUUCGUAGAGUAAAGUUGCCCGUUCAUCAGGAAAAUGGACCCCACUAACUUUCUUUUUCAAACAAACGCACUAUUUUUUCACGCGAACGCAAGGGUUGCGUUCGUUGAGUAUGUUGCGUUCAUUUGAUAAAGUUAAAUGUUGGUAUGUUCGGUAAGAAAAAAUAAGAGUUCUUGAGAAAGAAGAAGACAUGAUUUUUUUAUUUUUUAUGUUGUUUUGUUUUGUUUUGAGUCAAAGAAAUUAUUAUUAUUAUUUUUUAAAGAAAAAACGUAUGGGUGUGAUAUAUACUAUUGUUAAUUUAAUUGGAUCUUUUCCCUUAUAUUUUUCACGUGCUUCUUUUUUAAAACUACUUAAAAUUUUGUUCUUAAAAUUUUUCACAUAAGCCUUGUACCAAGGGAUAUGCACUAGAAACCAACUCCACUAAAUAAAUUUUUGUGUCAAUUUGUUGCACAUUGGAGUAUAUAUACAGUUGUUAUAAUAUUAAUAUAAAUUAUGUAAAAUAAAAAAAUUUAGAGGGUCCUCAAAAAUCAGGGGCCCUGUGCAUCGGCGCCACUUGCACUAUUUCAGGGCCGCCCUUUCUUAUUAGUUGGGUUAAUCUUAACUAUCUCAUAUAUGGGAAGAUAGUAGGGAGCUCAAGAGAGACCUAUGUGCACUAUGUUCUAACAUGGCUUACAAACUGCUCGGGUUACGUGACUUCGUAUGACUAUUGUAUGAAUCUAGAUGGUUGUUCCUCAUUGUUUGAACCUCAUUGGAGCUCUUCAUUUAUGUAGAUGGACACUUAUCUAAAUUGUAAUCCAAUGUUAAAACAAACUAUGGAUUUAUGCAUAGUUUAUUCAUUCUAAUCAACAUUUUAUUUUCAAACUUUUCAUUAACACGCAUUACAUAUCACUUAUAUUUCAUCAUAUGUAUAUCUUAUUAUUAGUAAAUUUUGAGUUUUAUUUGUUCAAUACAUUCAUUGAUAAUGUACAUAACAUUUAUGAAAGUUUUAUACCAAAAUUAUGUGUUUCAAUGCCUAUAUCUGUCUUCUUCUUUUUUGAUACCUAAGACGAUAACAAUAUAUCCCCCAAAAUAUCCGUAAAUUGGAGGCCCGAUAUUAUUUACAUGGCUAACAUUUUAAUCAUUGGCCUUACCUCUGUGAGGUGAAGAAAUUGGAUUCAGGUAUCGAGUAAAUAGCUUAGAUUUACAGUAUGGCUCUCAAUUGCAAUUGGUUAUAUCCAUUUUAUUUUUUUGAUCUAAAUAUAAUAUAGAUAGUCUAAUUAUUCUUUUCUAUGGGUAUCUAUACAUUAUUGUAUAAUAUUUUAAUGAGUAUAUAGUAUAUGUAACAAUUAAAAAAGAUAACCAGUUUUUUUUGCCAAGAAAAAUGGAGAGCCAAUUAAUCGGUCACUUAUUUUGAGCUAUAAGAUUAUUAGUGAUACUUAUGGAUGGUAUGUUGAUAUUUAAUGGGGUUUUUUUAAUUAAUUUAAAUUAUAUGCUUAUUAGGCUAGAGGGUCUCCGUUAUGAAGUGUAAUAGCGAUUUCUUAUACUUAUUCGACUUUAGGAUGUAAGUUACAAAUUCAAUUACGAUAUGAGUAAUGUGUAAUGGAACGUUAUUUGUGUCGUUAGCAUUUGUAUUGACAACCAUGCAAUUUCCAAAUAGUGGAAGGAAUUUCAAAGAAACUACGCCUUUGUCGAUGUUUCAGUUGUUAAUGCAUGUCUUAGAAUUGUUGUGCAAUUGCACAUCCAUUGUAGAUAAUUGCAUAUAAAAUUUCAAAACAUACUAUGAACUUACAUGUAAUUACUCAUAAUAAUUGGAUAAUUGUAAAAAGACCAUGCAAUUGCACGUACCAUGACGGAAAAACGCAAAAAUAGCUAACCCAUCCCCUCCUUCCCUUCUCGACACCUCUCCCCCAUUCCCUCAGCUCCCUCUCUCUCUCUCUCUCUCUCUUCCCGUCUAAAAGAAACACAAACAUCAAAAAUCAAUCAAACCAAGACAUCAAGAAUCAAACACAGCUCCAUCAAACCCGAACAUGAAAAAUCAAUUAAACCCAAAAAUCAAUCAAACUCAUCCCAGCUUCUCCAUUUUUCACAUAUUUUGCAGGAGAAGGAAGUUUUCAUCAGUUCAUGACUGCAACUUUGUGUGCAUCUGCUCUAUUUGGAUUUAGGAGAAGGGCAGCAACUAGAGAUUUAGUACAAGUCAUAAUAAAUAAUAGUUGAAGUUUAAUGAAUCAAAGGUGAAUCAGAUUUGGGGAAAUAGAAGAAAUCAAAUAAAUUUGGGAUUUCUAAGAAGAGGAUCUCAAGAUUUAAGCAUGUGAAUAAGAGAAAUCAGUCAUGAUACUAUGUUAGAAUUGAGCUAAACAGAAAGAAAAUGAACUAGAGAGAAGGGUAGGUGAGGUAUUAGGAAGAAGAAGAAGGGGAAGGAGUGUCGCGAAGGAAGCGCGUCAAUUUUUCCCCUUGCUUUUACCUGUUAACCAACACAACCGUUUUCCUUUGUUUUAAAAACACCCCCAUGUGAGUGGCUGUACCGGUACAGCUGAUGUACCACAGAAGGACUUUGUUUGGAUUCCAAACAAACAAAAAAAGAGUAGGCAAGUGGUGCAUCUGGAAUUUGAUAAAAAUCCGCGGGCAAUCCUUAUCAGAAAAACUUUUAUGAAAUAAAAAUAGUAUUAUUUUAUUAUCGUGAUCAUUGUGACAUGCGUAAUAAUAUUUUCAGUAUUAUUGGUUUUGAAUAAAAUAAUUAACAAAAUAAUAUUAUCCCUUAUUGCAAGUUGCAACUGAUCCGAAUGGAAAGUAAUAGUUAAAGAAGCGGAUUCCAUUCUACCUCAAAUAAUUGGAAAUUCGUAUUGAAUUGAGAUUUAAAAAUAAUUUUUUACUUAUUAAUAUAGCUGUCAACAUUUAAUUAGUUGAAUGGAAUCCAUUGGUACUAUUGAUGGGAGUUUUAUAACUGUUAUCACUUCCACUAGAGCAAAAUAGAUACGUAGGGAUAAAGAUUAUUAAUAAAAGUAUCAUACAGAUUUUUUUCUUCCUGUUUAACCAAUAUUAUAUGUGGAGUAAUCGAUUCGGGUAACUUAUUAUAUGUUAGAAACUGGACUUACCCAUCACAGCACAUGGAGUACACAUCCUCACAUGCAUGGGAGAACGCCCAACAAUUGUUUAAUCAACGAUUGUCCCAACCAUGGUUAUGCUUAACAUCGCUUUCUAUUAUUAAUUGAUUCUCUCUCUCUCUCUCUCUCUCUCUCUCUCUCUCUCUCUCUCUCUCGUGCAUCAGAGCCCAACCAUGGCAGAAUGCUUUUUCGAAAAUGCAUAUACAAAUCAUUGCUCCCCAGAUUCAAUUUCAGAUAUGUUCUUUUGAUUAAGGUUAUACCAAAAUAAGGCCAUUAUGGCGUCUGCUGCAACAGACCUCUUCCUUGGCAAAUUUGUUGCCAUUCUAGAGAGUGAAGCAGCCUCCAUAGCGGGUGUUCGUGAUCAAGUUGAUGAAAUUAAGCAGGAGCUUGUAUUCAUGAAAUCCUUCUUAGAGGAUGCUGACGGCGGAGAGCAGGCACACACACAAGUAGAGAAAGCGUGGGUCGCAAGCGUUCGAGACUUGGCCAAUGAUGUUGAAAACACCAUUGAUGAGUUCAUGUAUCGCGUGUACGAGCAACGAAAUGGUGGUCGAUUUUCCAGGUGGUUCCACAAAACCAUUCACUUUCCAAAGCACCUUUGGUAUAAGCGUCGAAUAGCCAACAAGUUACAGAAAAUCGCGGUGGCGAUUAGAGCUAUUCCGGAGAGAAAUCAGAGAUAUCAUGGUGCUGCAGCUGUAGAAGUAAAAAGUACUUCUGAGGAUAUUCGAAGAUGGGUGCAGAACCAAGCGGAGUCUUCUCUUUAUCAGAAGGAGGAUGAACUUGUCGGGAUUGAAGGCGAUAAGAACAUGUUACUGGGAUGGCUGAUGGAUGAAGCGAAGCACCAAAUUGCUGUGUCCGUGGUCGGGAUGGGAGGAUCAGGGAAGACAACUCUAGUUGCAAGAACCUUCAAAGAUGACAUUGUAAAGAGAGAUUUCGAAUGCUAUGCAUGGAUUACUGUUUCCCAGUCUUAUGUGAUUGAAGACUUACUUAGAAGAUUGAUCAAAGAAUUCCACAAAGGAAAGAGGGAAGAGGUCCCUGCAGACAUAAAUGCCAUGAGUUAUAACGAAUUGCUGGAGAUUUUGGUGAACUACUUGGAGACUAAAAGGUACCUAAUUGUAUUGGAUGACGUGUGGGAUGUCCACCUUUGGGACAAAAUAAGGUUUUCAUUUCCAGAUAAACAACUUGGAAGUCGAGUCAUGCUUACAACUCGAAGAGAAGACAUAGCAUCCUCUUCUUUUGGAGUUGAAAGCCAUGUUCACAAGAUUCAACCGUUGGAAAGGGGUGAUGCGUGGGAGCUUUUCAGCAUGAAAGCAUUCUCAAGUUAUCAGAACAAAUCUUGUUCACCUGAACUUUUGCCUUUAGCUCGGGAACUUGUGGAAAAGUGUGAAGGCCUACCACUAGCGAUCGUAGCCUUAAGUGGUCUCAUGUCUUCUAAGAAGUCACUUACAGAGUGGAGCACAGUCUACAAUAGCUUAAAUUGGCAUCUAACAAAUAAUUCUUUGUUAGAACCUAUGAAGAUGCGCAUCUUGUUGUUUAGUUUUAAUGAUUUGCCAUACCGAUUGAAGCAAUGCUUUCUAUCUUGUUCACUUUUCCCUGAAGAUCAUGUGAUCGUAAAUAAUAGGCUCAUCACAUUGUGGAUCGCUGAAGGAUUUGUUGAACAUGUCGAAGGGCUCACGCCAGAAGAAGUUGCAAGGGGCUAUCUUAUGGAACUCAUUUUUCGUAACAUGCUACAGCAAAGGUUUCUAGGAUCCCUCCCAGCAUGUAAGAUGCACGAUCUUUUGCGGGAGAUUGCUCUGUCUAUAGCAAAAGAAGAAAAGUUUUGCGUUGUACAUGAUGGGGGUGAAACAGUAGAAGAAACUGGAGCACUCCGUUUGUCAAUUCAAACAACUAAUCGAGAAAUUGGAUCAUGCACAGGUAUAUCACGGCUUCGUUCAUUUCUCGUCUUUGCCACUGGCGUAUCCUCAUUCUCUUUCUCAAAUAAACUACCUUUUGACCUUAAAUUGUUGAAGGUUCUAGAUUUGGAGGAUGUCCCACUUGAUUAUCUGCCAGACAAUCUAACGUCCUUAUUUAAUUUAAAAUAUUUAAAUUUGAGGGGAACUCCAAUUACUGAGCUUCCAGAAUCCAUUGGACAGCUCCGCAACCUUCAGACCUUGAACAUCACGCUGACAAAAAUUGUGGCACUUCCAAGAGGGAUUUCCAAGUUGCUGAACUUACGCCAUUUACUUGUGGGCCGGUUCUUUUCCAGAAAGAUAAUUGGGGUAAGAAUACCAUCAAGUAUUAGUAAGAUGAAGAAAUUGCAACGUUUGGCAUUACAAAUGUGAAAGAAAGAGACGAGGAGGACCUAUGUGCCUCAAUUCAAGAGAUGAAGGUCCUUUCCUGCUUGCAUUUAUCUGUAGCAGAUGGAGAGGAAUUUCUUCGAGUUGACGCAUUGUCUUCACCGCCUCCCUACCUUGACAGACUUGAAUUGAGCGGAAAACUGGAAAAGGUACCACAUUGGUUUUGUUCACUCCACUCUCUCGCAUAUUUGAAUCUGUCUGGGUCCAGACUUGAAGAAGAUUUACUACCUCAUAUUGAAGCAUUGCCCUCUCUACGUUCUCUUUGGCUUGAUAAUGCCUCUGUUAGAAAGGAGUUAUGUUUCAACAGAGGCUUUGUGAAGCUUCGGCAUUUGUGGGUUUGGGAUCUCGCAUUAUUAAAUAUGAUAACUAUCGAAAAAGGGGCGAUGCCAAAUCUCGAGUUCAUAAGAAUUCAUGAUUGCUUGACAUUAGAAACAUUGCCACAGGGUAUUGAGGACCUUACUAAUCUACAAGGAUACAGAUUUGAUAAUGCUUCAGAGAAGUUUAAAGAGUCCAUAAAAGAAGGAGGUGUGGAUCAUCCAAGGAUGCUACUCGUCGACGAGAGAUGUAAGAAAUAUGCGUAAGUAUCUUUUAUCCUUUCCUAAACUUAAUGAUUUGGAAUAUUGCACUUGUGUUCAAGAAAUUGUUCUCGUUCACAUCUCUGUUAAUGGAUGUAAAGCCAUAUAGAUUUUUUGUUAAUUACAAUAUUGCUUUUGUCUUUUUAUAUAUUUUGCAGAAACAAGUCCUGGGAUUGAAGAUUUUACCCAUGAGUUUGGGGGUGGGAACUUGUUCGCCUUGUUUUGACCCCAAGAGUGAUCUAGAUUGGCUUCUUAUUUGCUCUUUUGAAAAUCAAACAAUACCCAAGUUGAUGUUCAUAAAAUUGCAGUUGAUGUUUUUGUGUGCGUUUUAAUUUGCAUGUAAUAAAAUUCGAGUUUGCAUCUGUCACUUCAGCAAUUGGCAGAUGUAUGUGGAUGAUUAGCUUUUAAGAUUUGGACCAUGGAUUCUUUUAUAUUCGGUGUGUUUGUACUUUCUUCUAUGUUAAUUGUAUUUGUACUUUCAGGUUUUUUUCUAUGGGGUCAGAUUUUGUACUUUCAGAUUGGCUAAAUAAAUAAUACAGAAUCUUAAUUGCUUUCCAUGAUAAGUUCUAUAAUACAGGAAUGUUAAUGUAGCGGUAUUUGAAGCUAAUUACGCACUAUUGUGUGAGGAAAUUAAAAUACAUUAUAUACAUGUAUGUUGUUAUUUAGAAAGAGAGAGGGAGGGAGAGAAAGGCAAAGUGUACAAGCAAUCCAAGCCUUGAGUGUUGGUCUUUUACUAAAUCCGGCUCUUUCCUUCUUCUUUUUUUGUCAAAAAAUUCGGCUCCUUCUGUUCUGUCUAUAAGGUAAAUUUUCUGUUUGUGUAACUUCAGAAACAGAGAAGAUGAUCUUCUAAGAAUUAAGUAGGAUUUUCAAGACCAAAUUUUCAAUUUGAUCCCUGCACUACAUAAAAUAUAAAAAAUUAAUACCUCUGCUGCGAUGUUUCUAAUUUUAUUUUUACUUGUAUGUGUAUGCAUUAUUCACGUUCGCAUUGUCACAUUAUGGAUUUAAUUUUGAAGUGAGAAUCUUACUUGGAUUUCUCGUAGACCACCUAUGUAAUUCAGCACUACCUAUGCUGUCCAGUUUUCUACAAGCACAAGCUCUUGAGAUGAAAUCAAAUUUAUCAUAUGAGUUAUCCCUUAUUAAUUCACAUGUUAAAAUAUGAGUGCAUUUUAUAUGUCAUGAACCUAGGUCAUAGUCAAUGGCUGAUCCACCUAAGGACUAGUAAAGGCUAUUGCCCCUGCUCACCCUUCUUCCCAUCCAUGAAGUUCCUAGAAUCUUUAUUAAAGAUAUGCUUGAGUAUGUUGCAAUGGGGCAAGUGUUUGAUAAAAGUCCUCUGAGAGAACAUGGAGGUGCAAAGUUGUGCGGGCAGCUAAACUUCAUAUGUUCUUUGUUUAAAUUGACAUACCAAAACAAGGUCGUAUCUUGUUACUUGUAUAUAAUUCAUUCAUAUUUGAAGAAUAUUGAGCAUUGGAAUUUUUAGUUCUAUUUUGGAAUUCCCCAGUAUUCAUGUUACUUAGAAAAUAUUUUGGACAAUAAACAACUAAUUAACCAUGAUGUCAUCCUUUUUCCUUCUCCAAUGCACCGACCUUUCCAAAUUAUCUACCACCAAUACUUUAUGCCGGCCAUCAUUACGUUCGGACCCAUUCCAACAUUAUUAUUAAGAAUUAACAUCAAAUAAUUAUAUUUGACUCCAUCAUAUUUUCUAAUUAUAAUAUAGUAAUUACUCCUUUCAUGAUAACCACUCUUCUAAGAUAUACGAAUUCCUGUCAGUUUUAUUUGGCUGCUUAUUUGCAAGAGUAUCUCAUGUUCAUGUAAAAUAUUGGUUAACUUAGGGUACACGUUACGCCUACCUAUUAAAAGACAAGACUCGUGAUGAUAGGAUAGGAACAAUGAGUUGAACCAAUACCCCAAUAUAUAAUGACUAUCACGAGGAUUAGGUAACGUGGUUAGCUAAUAUGAUUAGAAGAUAUGAUUUAUCUAAUCGCUUCUUAUAAAGUUUUUCUGUGUAGGGAAGGUUGGAAUUUUUUUAUUUUUUAUUCCAAAGUCGAAAGAUAACUUUAUUAAAAGUGGAUAGAAACUUGAAUUGGAUUGUUAGAUGUUGAUUUUGUUGGAAUUUUAAAAGGUUUUAAAAAUUUAACCAUUUUAUUUAUUUAAUUAUUUUGGCGGUUUUAUUUUAUUUAUUGUGGGGGUUAUAAAUAUUUAAUAUUCAGGUUUUAUUUCUAGUUGGUAAAAGCUUUAAUUUUUUGGUUGGUGAACUUUUAUGGUUGGUAAAGGUUACAUGUUUUUGGAUGCCUAUAAAAGGCCACUCCUCCUUCACAUUUGAGUAUACACAACACACACAAAAACACACAAUAACACAUGAUAUAUACAAUACCCUAUCAGAAUAUCACAUACACAUUCUAAUUCUCUCCUUUUCUACUUUUACAUAUAUUCUCUACUUUAUUAUUAUUAUUUUGGGCAAUGGUUAUGUGACUUGGAUACCUAUAUCUGUCUGUGAACGUGCUCAUAGCGGAUCUUGAGUUUGUGUACAAGGGGUCGUAUCUUGGAGUCUUGUAGACCGUCAGUACCUGCACGUAGGGAGGCUACAAAGGCUUUAGGACAGCGUCUUUGACGUGCUUCACCGUACCAAACUCACCUUCUUACUUAUUAUUUAUUUUCCUUUACUUACCUAUUAUUUUGUUUUCUUCAAUUUUAUUAUACCUUCAAAGCUUUCCAAUUUGUUUAUAUGUUAUAAAUGUUUUGUAUUUGGCUUUACGGAAAGAGGAAAACUAUUAUUUUUUAUAACAAUCUAAAGCCUUUGUAAGCUAAAGUUGUUUCCUUCCCGUAUUGCUAUUGCUUUAAUAUCUUUUAACUCUUUGACUGAAGCUUUUGCAUUUGUAUUGGAUUUUCAAAAUGAAAAUUAUGAUUUAUUUUGGGUAGAUGCAGUUUGAAGCUUUCAUAUUGUCUAUACAAUUUCAACUGCUUUAAAUAUUGUUGGUACAUUUAUAUGUUUAUAAUUUGUUGCUAACGUUUGGGAAAUUACUGUUAGUGUUUGACAAUAAAACCUACAGACUAAUUUAUGUGGUAUUAUUAUUAUAGCUCAACGUAUUAUUAUUUUAUGUGGUGUGUCCGUUUUCUACAGCACAAUUGUUUUUAAAAUACAUUUCAGAAUCUUAAAAUUGUUAAUAGCAUUCAAAAGCUAAUUAAUGACCAUUGAAAUAAUGAAAAAAUAUAUAUAUUGAAGUGAGCUAUGUUUUUCUAAACUACUGUUUGUUUUAAAUAGCUUGUAUUGUUUCAUUACCGAUUACUUAAUUAUUAUUCAUUAAUCAAUUUAUGGUGAAACAUCCAAUAUUGAAUGGUUGAAGUGUUUAAAACCGAAACAUUAAAGUGUUUCAAACCGAAACAUUGAAGUGUUUCAAAAUCUUUGGUCUGAUAAUUUCAAAGCAAGUACAUAUAUAUUUUUAGAACAAGUAUAUAUAUUUGAUUUUAUUGUUGGGCCUCUUUUACAUUUGCCUUCAUUCAUUUUGGUUGCCAUCAAUCUUCCUUUAUAUAAUGGUCCUUUCCUUUAUAUCUUUUUGGGUUGGACUUCAUAUCGUUUUAUUGUUCUUAUUUUUAGAAGUCUUUCAUACCAACGUGAGAAGCAAUUAUAAUAUAUUCUUGGCACUAAAGUUUAUUGUUUGAAAUUACUGUUUUAACGUUGGAUUUGUAUGCACUAUCUUUAUGUGGUUUAAUGAAUUAUGAAUUAAUAUUGAACAGAUAAUUUAGUUUUCCUUUUAUGAAGACAAAUAUGAUUUGAAUACUCAAUUGUUGCAUAUCUUCGCAAAUAUGUGUUGUACAAUAUUUACUUUGAUUUCAAAUCCUUGAAAGAAAAAACGGAAAAAGUGCAAACCGUUCUUUUGUAGUUUAAUUUUGAAUUCAAAAUCUAAUAUUGCGUCAGUUUUAGAUUUGGUCUAUAUGUGUAUUCAAUUUUAUAUUGAUUCUUAUUUUCAUUUAUAUCUAUUAAUUUUUGCAAAAACGUGCAAAGAAUUUAUGUGACAUUAUUGCAAGUUUUAUUGAGCUAAUUAUUCUUUAUUUUGAUGGCUGUCAUUGCUUUGAAUUUGGGAGAAAACCUACAGUUUUUUUGUAGUAUAAAUGCAUCACUUUAACACCUUGGACGUUAGCUCCUUUUGAUUCUAGAAUUAGUUAAUUGCUCUUAACUUCUUUUGGAAGCUUUUGCAUUUCACAUUCAAUUACGAGAUUUUAUUUAUUCCUUAAUUUAUGCAGCUUUAGUUUCAAAACUUUAAUGUCAAUUUCAUGACAUUUAGAGCUUUUAUUUUGGCAGUAAAAUUGUUGAUAUUGUUAGGUGAUUAUUGCAUUUAAUGUUCUGAACAUUUAUGCAAUUUAAUUACAUCUUUGUUUUAAUGCCUUGGAUUCCUUUUAAAGUUGCCAACGCCUAUAUAUUUCGAUUGUGCAAUCCUUCAUAUUAGUUUCUUGAGUUAAUCUAAUGUUCUUUUGAUUAUAAAGUCUUGACAGCUGCCACACUGAGUUAAUUGCCAUGAAAUGUACAUUGUGGAAUCCUCCUGAGAAAACUGAAAGGAAAUAAUAAAUUAUAUCACUGUAAGUGGCAUUAAUUUUGAGUUUUGGUGUAAGGCUUUCACACCCUAAAUUUUUGAGGCAUUUUUUUCUUUUGAGGCUUUCGAUGGUUUUGUUAUAUUUACAAUUACUAUCAAGAUCAUUGUGAGUACAUAUCUUAUGAAUUUAAAAUUAAAUAAAUUUUGGUACAGUCUUCAUAUAUUUUGAGAAUUCCCUAAUUUGUGGGGUUGAGUUUUUCCUUAACUAUGUGGGUAUUUGUUGGAAUUUUUGUGGGUAUUUCAAAUACAAAAUUAAUAUCAAUACUUAUUUUUUAAAAUUUAAUAUUCCAGUUUUUGAGUGAUUUGAUUACCUCUUUAAAACUGAAGUUAUUUUGUACAUUUAUUAUACAAGUUUUCAUAUCUCCUUUAUUCAGAUUUAUUCUAUUUUAAUUAACGCUCAAUGCUUAUGUUAUUUGUGUUUUGAUAAUUAUUAAUAUUUUUAUUUUAAAACGUGUGGACCAAUUUGUGGAAGUUGAAUUUUUCUAAAUGGGAACUUUAAUACUGUAAUUUAAUUUGUUAGUAACAUUAAGCAGUUUUUGCUUUUAUACUGAAAAAUAUUAUAUUCAUUUCCUUCUCUCUUUCCCAUAUUUUUGUGUGUUUUCAAUUUCCUUAUGCUCUCAUGGAAAAGAUUCAUUUAGUGACAUAAUACUUUUUAUAUUUUAUUGGCAAACAUACUGUGUCUGUAUGAAAUUUGUUUCAUUAUGCAAGUUUAUUAUGAGACUAAUUUAUCUUCAAUUUGAUAUGAAAAUAUUUGCAACUAAUGAUGAUUUUGGCAUAAAAUUUUGGUAGAGACUUCUUAUUGUCUUAUAGGUUCAUAUUGAGAAUCGACAAGAUACAAUUUCAACUUGGAUAUGUGAUCAUGAUUUCAGCCAUUUGGAGUGCACAAAAGGGAGUAAGGGUAUCCUGAAAUACUCAGUGUUUAUAGUUAAAUUUAUUUAAUGAAUUAAUUGUUAUAUUGUUGUUCAUAAGUGGUAGCAGGUGUACUCAAAGUUUCAUGGACUUGAGAGGUACUCUUGAUCAGAAGAUUUAAUGUAUGAUGUAUUUCCAUUAUACUUAACUGUAUACCAAUGCGUAUUUAAUUUCCAAUUAUACUGAGGUGAAAUCCAUUAAUUAUUUGUGUGCAAGAUUGUGUAGGAAAUAUUUUAAUAACAUGCAGGUUUAAAGCGCGCUAAAAUGGAGAACAAAGACAUGACCUACAUUAUAUAUGCCUUGUGAAGGCUAGUCUUGAUAUGCAUGCCUCGUGGAGGAGGCUAUUAAUGCAAAAUGUCGAGGGGGAUGUGCUUAAGCCCAUAAGGGAGUCACCUAGGGAGGUAACCCAACUUCUGUGAUUGGAGAUCCCAUGAAGGAAGUUCAAUGUGGUAGAAACAAUCCAUACUGCGUGACUCAUAUAGCACUCAUAAAACUAUGGAGAUAUCCUUGAGAUAUUCUUCUGCUCAUCCCUAAGGCAAAAGUGCUAUUUUAUGUGACGUUAGGAAGGGAUUUAUCCCUGAAUGAGUUUCGAGGCGGGCAAACUCCCGCAGGGUGCAGGUCACAUGUACUCUUGGAGAACUCACCUAAGUGGGAGACGUCGUGAGGCCGCGACUAUGAGAAUUGGGCUAUUCUCUAGUAACUCUCAUGAGAAUCAAGAUUAGCGCAUGGCCAUAAAUAGCGCUACCCCGCAUCCAAGUCUCAACUAAUACUAUGUGUGGGAUAUGUUGAAGUUUGGUCAAAGGUGCCGAGUUCAAUACUGUGUACACUCAGGUUCCUCAAAUGGAGACUAUCAUCACUAAGUGAAGGUUCAAGCCCGGAAGGCACCUACACCUAUUACAUAGUAUUAUAUUGCCCACACAUAUAUAUUAUAUAUUUUUCACUGUUUUUUUUUGUCACGGUAAAAUUUUGAGAACCUUGUGGGGGAUUGUUGGAAUUUUAAAAGGUUUUAAAAAUUUAACCGUUUUAUUUAUUUAAUUAUUUUAGCGGUUUUAUUUUAUUUAUUGUGGGGGUUAUAAAUAUUUAAUAUUCAGGUUUUAUUUCUAGUUGGUAAAAGCUUUAAUUUUUUGGUUGGUGAACUUUUAUGGUUGGUAAAGGUUACAUGUUUUUGGAUGCCUAUAAAAGGCCACUCCUCCUUUACAUUUGAGUAUACACAACACACACAAAAUAUUGGUCGCGCAAAGUAACUUUGCGCGACGAAAAAAUAUUGGUUGCGCAAAACUUUGCGUGACGAAACACAUUGGUCGUGCAAAGGUUUGCGCGACGAAACACAUUGGUUGCGCAAAGGUUUGCGCGACGAAAAACAUUUGUCGCGCAAAGUCUCAAAAAUUUUUAUAAAAAAUAAAAAAUUCCCGCGUCCCAUUUUUGGUACCCACCUACAUUUUUAGAGUUCUGCGCGACGAAUACUAACGUCGCUCAAAUAUUUGCGCGACGAAAUAUUUUUUGUGUUUUAAAUUUUUUUAAUUAAAAUAAACUAAUUUAAUAGUUUGCGCUACAAAAUAUUUUAUCGCGCAAGGUUUUUGACUUUUUGUUUUAUUAUUUCUUUAAUAUUAAUUUAUUCAAAUUUUUACUUUUUAAAUUUAAUUUAAUUGUAUGAUUUUAUUUUUUAAAUCACUUUAAUUUAAAGUGAUAUUAAUUUUUUCGAAUUUUUACUUUUUAAAUUUAAUUUAAUUGUAAGAUUUUUCUUAAUUACUUUAAUUUAAAUUGACAUAUUCAAAAUAAAAUUACAUAUGAAAAAUAGUGAUCAAAUUAUCCAAUAAAUAUAUAUAUAUAAUAUUCAAAAUAUACACAUAAAUUAACAAAAUACAAUAAUAAAAUUCUAAUAUAAGCGUAUUGUGGUGGUAGUGGCGGAUGAUAUGUUUUGAUAGCUUCCUAAUCCUCAACUUUAGCCAUCAAAGUCUCAAUGAUUGCCUACAAAAAAACAAAUAUGGUCAUAUAACAACAACAACAACAAAAAGAAUGCAUAAUCUCCCCUAAAAUUGUUAUACCACAAAUCCAACCCAAACUCCAAUAUCUCCCCUUUACUCAACCCCAAACCCCACACAAACUCAAAACUAACUCCAAAAACACAUAUUAAUGAAAAAAAUUUCAAAUUUGGAGAGAAUAUACCUUUUGGCAAGAUUGAGAGUGAGUGAGAAUGAGAGGGAGAAGUGAGUGUGAGAGAAUUAGAUAAGAUAGUGAUAGAGAGAUGAGAGAGUGAGAGAUAGUGAAAAGAUAGAUGAGAGAGUGAGUGAGAGUGAGAGAUAGUGAAGAGAGAUAUGAGAGAUUAAGUGAGAGGAGUGAGUGUGAGAGAAAGGGUGGAAUUUGGGGAGAGGGAAAGAGAGAGGAGAGGUAAGAGUAGAGAAAGGCAUUGAGAAAAUGGUCGAGGAGUUAUUUCGGUUUUAAAAAUCGUAUCACUUUGUUCGACGAAAAAUAUUGUUGGUCGCGCAAAGUUUUGCGCGGCGAAACAUAUUGGUCUCGCAAAGUUUUGCGCGACAAAUUAUUAUUAUUUUUUAAAAUUCCCGCAUCCCAUUUUUGGUACCCGCCAAAAUUUAACUUUGCGCGACGAAAAAUACAUAUUGGUCGCGCAAAGUCUAAAAAAAAUUAUUAUUUUUUAAAAAAAUUCCCACAUCCCAUUUUUGGUACCCGCCAAAAUUUAACUUCGCGCGACGAAUAUAGGAAAAUUGGUCGCGCGAAGUCUAAAAAAAAAAUUCCCGCAUCCCAUUUUUGGUACCCGCCAAAAUUUUUAAAUUUUUGCGCGACGAAAAGUACAUAUUGGUCACGCAAAGUCUAAAACAAUUAUAUAAAAAGUCCCGCGUCCCAUUUUUGGUACCCGCCCAAAGUUUUGAGCGACCAAAAAUAUUGGUCGCGCAAAGUCUAAAGUUUUUUUUUUUUAUUUUAAAAACCCGCGUCCCAUUUUUGGUACUCACCCAAAUUUUUUGAGUUUUGCACGACGAACUGUUGGUCGCGCAAACUUUUGAGAGACGAAAACGUAGCACAAUAUUUUUAUAAUAUAAUUGUUUUGAAUAAUAAAAAAUAAAAAAAAUUAUUUUAUGAUUUAAAAUAUAAUAAAGGUGAAAGCUAGUUAAUAAAUGUAUAUACUAUUCAAUUUCUUAAGUGUUAUACGUACAAAAUAAAUAAAUUUAAAGCUACUUAAUAAAUAUAUAUAUAUACACACACCAUUCAACGAUCCAACCGUAAGACUUGUUUGUAUAUACUUCAAGAUCGCAUACUCCAAAAAUCGCAAAAAAUAAAUAUUCAGAGAUCUAGUAACGGGAUAAAACUUUUCGAUAGUUAUAAACGAAAAAUCAUGAUUUAACGGUUAUUUUAACUUCGAUUUUGAUGAUUUUUAGAGCUACACUCCUUGACCCUAUAUGAAUACAAUGACUGAAUUUGAUCUUCAAUUUAAAACAUUUGCACUAGUGGAUACCACAAAAUCUUAUGUUAUAUUUAACGAAAGUAUAAAUAAACUCUUAAUUGUUAGUGAAUAUAUUGUUUUGAUGGCAUACACAUUCUACGAAACUAGUUUCAACGAUCCAACCGUCAAACUUGUUUGUUUAUACUUCGAGAUCAUAUACGCCAAAAAUCGGAAAAAAUAAACAUUCAUAGAUCAAGUAAAGGGACAAAACUUUUUAACAGUUAUAAAUGAAAAAUCAUGAUUUAACAGUUAUUUUAACUCCGAUUUUGAUGAUUUUUUACAACUACACUCCUUGACCCUAUAUGAAUACAAUGACUGAAUUUGAUCUUCAAUUUAAAAUAUUUACACUAGUGGAUACCACAAAAUCUUAUGUUAUAUUUAACGAAAAUAUAAAUAAACUCUUAAUUGUUAGUGAAUAUAUUGUUUUGAUGGCAUAUUCAUUCAAAAAAACUAGUUUCAACGAUCCAACCGUCAAACUUGUUUGUUUAUACUUCGAGAUCAUAUACGCCAAAAAUCAGAAAAAAUAAACAUUCAGAGAUCAAGUAAUGGGACAAAACUUUUCGACGGUUAUAAUGAAAAAUUACGAUUUGACGGUUAUUUUAACUCCGAUUUUGAUGAUUUUUUACAGCUACACUCCUUGACCCUAUAUGAAUACAAUGAACCAAUUCGAUUGUCAAUUUAAAAUGUAUAUUUUCUAACAAAAACCCAAUCCGAACAACAAUAAUAUAUUUUUCUAAUAAAAAUCUGAUCCGAUCUAAAAUAAUAAAUUUAAAGCUACUUAAUAAAUAUAUAUACCGUUUAAUUUCUUAAGUGUUAUGCAUACAAAAUAAAAAACAAAAAUAAAUUGGUUUAAGUGACAAAAUGUUUGGAUUACGUCAUGCAAAGAUUUUAAAAAAUAAUUUUUAUAUUAUUUAUUUUUAUAAGGACUUUGCGCGACGAAGUUUACUUUUCGUCGUGCAAAGUCACUUUGAGCAACGAAUUAUUUUUCGUCGUGCAAAGUUGGUCGCGCAAGACUUUGAGCGACGAUGUAUUGUCGUCGCGCAAAAGUUUGUCGCGCGAAGUGACUUUGCGCGACGAAUUAUUUUUCGUCGCGCAAGACUUUGAGUGACGAAGUUUCAAGUUUCGUCGCGCAAAAUGACUUUGAGCGACGAAUAGUUUUUCGUCGCGCAAAAUUUGGUCGCGCAAGGGGUUUUUUUUACUAGUGGUGGUUGUUUUAUGGAGGAGGCGACUUCAGCGCAGUGGAUAUGAAUAUGGUUUGCUCUAUGCAAUCAAGGGUGAGAUAUAUUUGAGGGUCGCUCUCAACGCAGUGGAUGUGAACAUGGUUUGCUCUAUGCAAUCAAGGGUGAGAUUUAUUUGAGGGUCGCUCUCUCGUUCACGCGUGGAAAGUCUUGAUGACUAGAGUUAGGGUUUCUUUAGUUUUCUUUACUCAUUCUCUGUGCUGGAGUAGUGGCAGCAGAUGACGGCUGAGCCGAGGGAGGCGAACUCUGUGCAGUCGUCACCGCCUUACGACUUCUAAUCAGGUUUGGCAUCUACACAAUUUCAUUAAUACACAUAAAAAUCAAUCCAAUUUAGCAAGAUACAAUUCUAAGCAUAGCUUGACCUAGGGUUUACGAUUUCGGAGUAUCCGGGACUCCGAUCCAUGAUCCGUCAAAUCCGAUACGAUUCUUGAAGUACAAGGUGCAACAUACGUGAGUUUGAGUUCAAUCCAACGGUCCGAACAUAUCAAACCCAGAAAUCACACGAUAGGCGAAAUCCGUUCAAGACUCAAACGGUAACCAAAUUCAAAUCCGAGCACACCUAUGUGCUCCAGACAACUAGGAGAUUGCACUGGGACCCAAUGCCCACUGCUACAGUACCCUCACGCUCCACCAUACGCGCCGGCAGCGCGUGGGUGCCCAAAGCAAUAACAUGUCACCGAAAAAUUUUAAAAAUUUAGGGCCAAGGUUCCUACCCUAGGUUCAAAACAUGAAUUGGAGCCACUUUUGUUCUCGGACUUACCCCGAAAAAUGAUCGGAAGUGGCCGGAAUUUAAAUUCAAAAAUCGGCCAAACUUAGGAUUUAAAUUCGAGAUACCAAAACUAACAAUUAAUCAAAUCCUACCCAACCAUCAGCUAGAGCAUGAAAAAUAGUCCAGAAACCAUACCUCAAGUGUCGAAAUUGGUGGCCGGAGGAGAGAGAACUAGGCCGGAGAAGAAUCUGCGAAAACAGGGCCAAUUCCGGCGGGAGGGGCGGCCCCGACGGUGGGAAAGGUUUGGGCUUCGAAGGUGGUGCCGGCCCGAUCCUUUUUCUGGUGGAGAAGUGGGCUGAGGUGAGGUGGUUCACGGCAAAGAGAGGGGGGAGGUUUAGGGAAAAAUCUGAAACUGAGGAAGAAGGAGGCAGUUGCGUUGUUUCUGAAAAUUUAUUCGAUCUUGCGCGACGAACGAAAAAAGCCGUCGUGCAAGAUAUUUUAAAUACACCUUGCGUGAAAAAAACGAAAUGAUGGCGUUGGGCAGGGUAAGUUUUGGGCCCAAAUUUUAAUUACAUUGCGCGACAAAGAAACUAAACCGUCACGCAAGGUUGUGAGUCCACCAAAAUUUAGGAUUUAGGGUUUAGUGUCUGACUUAUAUUGCGCGACGAAUAGAUAGAGGCGUCGAGCAAGGUUGUGUUUUGUAAACUUUGUGCGACGAAGAGACCACUCUUCCGUCGCGCAAGGUUGUGAUUCCGCCAAAAUUUGGGGUUUAGGGUUUAGGGGGGAGAGAGAGAAAGUGAAAAGCUCUGAUUGAUAUUGCGCGACGAAUAGAUAGAGGCAUUGUGGAAGUUGUGUUUCGUACACUUUGCUCGACGAAGAGACCACUCUUGCGUCUCGCAAGGUUGUGAUUCCACCAAAAUUUGGGGUUUAGGGUUUAGGGGGGAGAGAGAGAAAGUGAAAAGGUCUGACUGAUAUUGCGCGACGAAUAGAUAGAGGCGUUGCGCAAAGUUGUGUUUCAUACACUUUGCGCGACGAAGAGACCACUCUUGCAUCUCGCAAGGUUGUGAUUCCGCCAAAAUUUGGGGUUUAGGGUUUAGGGGGGAGAGAGAGAAAGUGAAAAGGUCUGACUGAUAUUGCGCGACGAAUAGAUAGAGGCGUCGUGCAAGGUUGUGUUUUGUACACUUUGCACGACGAAGAGACCACUCUUGCAUCUCGCAAGGUUGUGAUUCCGCCAAAAUUUGGGGUUUAGGGUUUACGGGGGAGAGAGAGAAAGUGAAAAGGUCUGACUAAUAUUGCUCGACAAAUAGAUAGAGAUGUCGCGCAAGGUUGUGUUUUGUACACUUUGCACGACAAAGAGACUACUCUUCCGUCUCACAAGUUUGUGAUUCCGCCAAAAUUUGGGGUUUAGGAUGUGGGGGGAGAGAGAGAAAAUGAAAAUGUCUGACUAAUAUUGCUCGACGAAUAGAUAAAGGCGUCGCGCAAGGCUGUGUUUUGUACACUUUGCCCGACGGCGAAACCACUCUUCCGUUGCGCAAGGUUGUGAUUCCGCCAAAAUUUGGGGUUUAAGAGGGAGAGAGAGAAAGUGAAAAGGUCUGAAUGAUAUUGUGCGACGCAUGAACCUCUUAUUCGUCGCGCAAACCCUCUCAACCUUAAACCCUGAGCCCUAAACCUUAAACCCUAAACCCUAAACUAGUUUCAAUGAUCCAACUGUCAAACUUGUCUGUUUAUACUUCGAGAUCAUAUAUGUAACGACCCGGUCCUAAAGAAAUGUUUAAUUAUUAAUUAAACAUGAUAAAAGACCAUUAUGCCCCUAGAAUAUUAUAUUAGUUUUAAAGUUGACUUUUUUAUCGGGAAGAAAUUUGGGAAUUUCGACUGUACCGUUGCGUAGAGCACGGCGAGAUGAGUUCAUAGACACAUGGUGGGCUUGAAUUGGAGUUGUAACGAGAGAGAUAUGAUCAAAAUACCAUCAGUGGCACAAUCGUAAAUAUUGCGAAAAGGAUCUGAUAAAUCUGAUUUUCUCUCUCUCUCUCUCUCUCUCUCUCUCUCUCUCUCUCUCUCUCUCUCUUUCUCUUUCUCUCCUCUGUGCGCCCUCUCUCUUCUCUCCUCGCGACGAUAGCCCCUCUUUCUUUUCGAAUCAUCGGCCACCGACCACGGCUGCGGAAUGGACCGGUGCCAAAAGGACUGGGUCAGCCCCGGCGUCACGACCCAGCCCUUGCCUGACAUCGGCGCUGCUCCAGCCGCAGGAAAAUGUGGUUUUUAGGCCGGUUUUGGCUCGAAACUUCGCCGGCUCCGAACUCUCUCCUCCGGCCUCCAUUUUUGGCGAUCAAGGUAUGGAAAUUCAUCCAUUCGUCAUAAUCUAGCUGAUGGUUGGGUAGGAUUUCAUUAAUUUUAAGUGUAGAUAGCUUGAUUUUCGAAUUGGAUUUCGGCCGGUUUCGGGAUCUUGAUUUCGGCCACUUCAGGUCAUUUUUCGGGGUAUGUCCAAGAACAAAAGUGACUCCAAAUGGGGUUUUACACCUAGGAUAGGAAGCUUGGCCGGCGGUUUGAAGUUUUUCCGGCCGCUGAAAAUUACUCAAGGCACCCACGUGCUGCCGGAGCGUGUGGUGACGCUUGGGCUAGGAAAAUGGAUUGGCUUUAGGUCCUAAUGUGAUCUCCUGGUCCUCACGAGUGCGUAGGUGUGCUCGGAUUUCAAUUUGGAUACCGUUUGAGUCUCGAACGGAUAUCACAUAUUGCGCGUUAUCCGCGUUCGCUAGGUUUAGACCGUUGGAUGGUCUUGAGUUUAUUAUAUGUUAACCUGGACAUCCUUAGGAUUGUGUAGGAUUUGACGGAUCGUAAAAUGGAGUCCUGAAUACUCCGAAAAUGCCAACCCUAGGGCUAGGGUUUCAGUAACCGUCCGAUCGUGCGAUCGUGAGCGAUCCAACCGUUCGAUCUAGAUGAAACUUGCAGGAUGUGCGUGUGUCUUAAGCCUUGUAGAAGCUAAAGGAACUUUCAGAUCAGAAUUUGGAGGUCGUGAGCCCCGUGAGCCAGUUUGACCAAAUUUAGGUAGUUUGACUUUUGGUUGACCGUGAGUCUUUCGGGGUAGUUUCACCUCCCUAAGAUGAUUAUAAUGACCCUAGUGACAGGUCCUGAUCAUUAGUUGAGUUAUGUUAAUUAGUGGGUUUAAGGUACUAGUUUAUUAUUUUAAACUAGGGGAAAUCCGGAAUAAAUAUUAUUAUUUAUUGUGGUUGAGGUUUAUGCAAUAUUGGAGAUAUAAAUAUAUAUGUGUUUGCCUUGUUUAAGGUAUUAAUUGACUUGAUAGCGUGCUUGGUGGUUUGCUUCGAGUUAUUUGAAGGCUGGAGGCCAUUUAUGUGAAUUGCAUGAAGUUAUAUUGUGCGUGCUACCUAUUGGGAUAUUCAAUUGUGAAUUUUGUGCAAGUAGAAAUUUGGGGAAUGUUCAAUUUACAAGGAAAACUCUGCCGAAAUUUCGGUAGAAAGUCUCGUGCCCUUAUUCCUUUUUGGAAAAAGGGAUAUAGUUUUAGUGACUGGGUCCUACAUCGGGAUGAUGUCGGAAUUUCCACAGAAUUCAUCUCGGGUUUGGUGAAAUUCGGGGCGGGUCCUGUCAAUAUACGCCAAAAAUCGAAAAAAACCAACAUUCCAAGACAAGUAACGGGACAAAACUUUUCGACGGUUAUAAAUGAAAGUUCACGAUUUAAUUGUUAUUUUAACUCCGAUUUUGAUGAUUUUUUUACAGCUACACUUCUUGACCCUAUAUGAAUACAAUGAUUGAAUUUGAUCUUCAAUUUAAAAUAUUUACACUAGUGGAUAUCACAUAAUCUUAUGUUAUAUUUAAUGAAAGUAUCAAAAGAGUUUGGAUAUAUUUAUUUACCAAUGUUUUAUAACUAAAUUUUUUUUCAUUUUUCAUUUUCUUGUAUAGCUCAAUUUAUUUAACAGUGUUUCAUUUCUCCACAUACAUUAGGUUUGGAUAUAACAAGUACAUAUAUUCAAACAAGCAUAUUUGUGAAAAUAUGUACACUAACAUAAUAAAAUUACAAAAAAAUUCAUUAUUCAUCAUCUAAACUAUAAUAACUUUCGUUAUCGUCGCUAUUAUCACUUUCCAUCUCCCAAUCCUCUUCCUCUAUAACUACAUCAUCAUCAUUGUUUGGGCCCACUGCAAUAUUGUAACGUGGAAGAUCACCGAGGUCAAUUGUAAUUGACUGAAUCGGUAUUUCGAUUGAAGACACCCCUUGUAUUUGAAACGGUUCUUGUAUAACAUUUGUAUUUCGAAGUGUUUCCACAUCAUUUUCCAUUGAAGAUUCUAAACGUUGGUCAGCCACGUUGUCGACGUCAUUGUCAGUUGGGUCUAGUUCUAGUAUAGCAUACACGUUCCUAUGAUCCAUCUUCUGAACAACUUUCCAACCGCUCCUGGCUUUAGGGUCAUCUAGAUACACAGUCUGUGUUGCCAUGUUUGUCAAAAUAUAAGGGUCGUCAUCAUACCAAGUUUUGUUAAUGUUUACAGAUAGUAAGCCAUGAUUGAUUUUAACACGUCCCGGUCUAUUUGGGUUGGUAUCAAACCAUUGACAUUUAAACAUGAUCACUUGGUAUCGGUCUUUGUAAAGCAAUUGCACGACAGUUGUGAGUUUGCCAUAGAAAUCAAUGUGCGUACUUUCGCCUCCACCUGGGACAUGGACACCGCUGUUUUGCGUACACAACUUGUCAUCUCGUGCAGUCCCCAAAUACUUGACGCCGUUAACAUGGCAACCCUAGAACAAUUCAGCGUGAAUCGGGCCGAACGCCAAGUUAUAUAACUCAUCACUGUAAGUGGGGAAAUUCGAUGAUUUCAACUUAGUCACCUAAUAUUAUACAAAACCAUUCACAUGUUAGUUUAACAAAAUUAAAUACUACAAUAUAUAUUUGUCAAAUACAAAACACUUAUAACUUACAUAAUCCAAAAACCAUUGUGGAAACAAUUCACGGUGUUUCUUGGCAUACAAAUGUGAUGGAUGUUCUCGCUUCAUCAUCUCUUCAUCCAGAAAGUUAUUAUUGCGCUGAGGACGAUUGUAAGCCGUCUCCACAUCUUUUAAAUACAUUCCACAGAAAGUAAGCGACUCAUAUUGAACCCAAGCCUCUAUAAUUGAUCAUUCGGGCUUCACCCUGUUGCGUACACUUUCUUUUAGCUCUCUGAGAAGCCUGCCAAAAUAAAAUGAUAUGAUACAAAUUAGCAAGCAUGUGAUAAUGAUGCAUACACAAAUGAUAAGGAUUAUAUACAUUUCUAUUGGAUACAUCCAGCGAUAGUUGACAGGACUAGCAAGCAAUGCCUCUUCUGGCAAGUUUACCACCACUUGGAUUAUACUUGUGAAGAAAGCUGAAGGGAAUAUCAUCUCAAACUUGCAUAAGACUUGGACAAUGUCAUGGCGCAAGUGAUUAAUGUCUAUCUUUCACAACAUUUUUGCCGUCAAUUGGGAAAAAAAUUUGGACAACAACAUGAUUGGCUUCACUACAUCUUCCAACAAGAGGUAUCGAAUACCCACAGGAAGUAGGCGUUGCAUAAACACAUGGCAGUCAUGGCACUUAAGUCCAGUAAAUUUACCCCCGUCAACAUGCAAGCAAUGUUCGAUAUUAGAAGCAUACCCAUCGAGAAACUUUACAGACGAUACAAACUAUAGAAACUCUUUUUUGUCAUUCGGUUUCAUAGAAAAAAAAUGCAAGAUCCCUUCUAGCUUUAUCACUGUCUCUAUUCAUCCAUAAACCCCUUCGUAUGCCCAUUUUUUUUUCCAAAUCAAGACGAGCUUUGAUCGUGUCCUUUGUCUUGCCCUCGAUAUCUAGAAUUGUGUCCACCAAUGUGUCAAAUACAUUUUUCUCAACAUGCAUCACGUCUAGAUUGUGCCUCAAUUUUAGUUUCGACCAAUAUGGGAGCUCAAAAAAUAUAGGCUUGUGCGUCCAGUUCAUAUGUGUAGAAGGUCUGGUCCGACUAACUAUUUUCCCGAACGGAGCAAAAUUCAAAUGGUUAAGCUAUUCAAAGAUCUCAUCACCGGACCAUUCUCUAGGUCUGAGGCGACGCUCUGUGUUCCCGUCGAACUCUUUAUCUUUUUCCCGCCACUCGUGGUUCCAUGGCAACCAUCUCCAAUGACCAAGGUAACAAACCUUUCCAGCGUGCCAACCAGAAGUUACAUUUUCUUUGCAUACACAUGUCAUAUAACCCUUUGUGCUCCACCCAGAAACCAUUGCAUAUGCGGGAAAAUCAUUCACAGUCCACAUAACUGCUGCCCGCAAAGUGAACAUCUUCCUAGUUGAUUUAUCAUACUUGCGCACACCGUUUGUCCAUAAAUCCUUCAACUCAUCAACCAGCAGCCUUAAGUAAACCUCGAUUGACCUGCCAGGAUCCUCAGUUAUCAAAAUAGUCAUCAUCAUGUAUUCUUUUUUCAUGCAUUUCCAAGGCGGCAAAUUAUAAGGGAAUACAAAAAUCGGCCAAGUGCUGUGGUGUUAGUUUAGAACCCCAUACGGAUUGAAUCUGUAAGUGGCAAGUCCCAAUCUAACAUUUCGGGGAUCAGCAGCAAACUCGGGGAACGUUCGAUCGAACUCUUUCCAUGCCUCCCCAUCUAUAAGAUGCCGCAUCACAUCGUUGUCUACCCGUUUUUCCUUAUGUCAUCUCAUGUAUGUGGCAGUAUGCGUCGACAUAUACAAUCGCUGCAACCUAGGUUUCAGGGGCAGAUAAUGCAUGACUUUUUGUAGGAUCUUAGUCGUUCUAUUCUGAGAUGUCAUUUUGAACCUCGACUCAUUGCAUAUAGGGCAUGUAUCCAACGUUUCAUACUCUUUGUAAAGUAACAUGCAAUUAUUUUUGCAAACGUGAAUUUUUUCUUAACUCAAUCCAAGACCAUUCAACACAUUUUGUGCGUGUUUAUGGUCUUUCGGCAAAUAAUUGUCUGUCACGCAAAACCCCUAAAAAGUAAUCGAAACACAGGUUCGACAUACGAUACUUUAUUUUUUCGUGCAUUAGCUCCACAAUGGCCUUGAGAACGGAAAAGCUCUCGCACCCCGAGUAUAACUUUUGGUUUGUAUUUUUUAACAGUUUUUCAUAUUGUUCGAACUCUGCACUGUCCAUUGGUGUAGGCACGUCAUCUUCCUCUUCCUAAUUGAUGUUGGUCGAUGCAAAUGGAAAAGCAUCGUGUAUAAUAUCCAUGACUUGAUCAUUAGGAUCCACAAUAGGUUCAACAUUGUCCACUCUUGUGGCAUUUGAAGACGAAGCAUGGUCUAAUUAUUUACCGUGAAGGUUCCAAAUGCUAUAUGUCUCAAUCAUUCCAUUCCUUACUAAAUGAAAUCCAACAUUUUCAAUUGUUUCCCACAACAGAUUCUAGUUGCACCUGGGUUGUGUGUACGUGCAAACUCAAUAAAAUCCUCGAUUCCAUCCAAAUAUUCGUUUGUGCAUCUAUUCGGGUUUUGUAUCCACCUCCUGCUUAUAAUUCCUAGAACCAUAAUCACAACACAACAAUCACAACAACUUUAUAUGAAGUCGUAAUUUCACCUUAUGCCUUCGGUAAGGGCCCUAUUCCAUUCGGGAAUGCAUAGUCAUGUCACGUAAUGUCGGCUAUAUGCAAUUAGAUUUCAAUGUGGAUGAAUUUUCGCAGCAUCUCGAUACAAUUCUUGAGGUGUACCGUAGGUAUAAAUACCUACGUACCACCCAAAGAACGUACAGAGAUAACACCGAAAUCUCCACAAUCGAAACCUAAUCUUGUAGCCGUACAUUACGUGACAUAACUAUGCAUUCCCAAACUGUCCAAAUAAUGGGACAAUUCAAGAAUUAAUUGGACUGAAGUCAUGCUUUACGCAUACAUGCACGAAAUCCAACUAAUCUCAAACGGAAAACUAAGUGUUACUAAAAAUAAAAAUAAAAGUACGAAGUUAAUUUCAAUUAACUUCAUACAUCACAACACAUUGUGCUACGUUACGCACAAUUUAACAACAUAAUAUAAAUAUAACUUCACAAAAAAAUAUAAACAGGGGAAAUUGUGAAAAUGGUCCUCAAACUUGUAUGCGAUGUACAUUUUGGUCCCUAAAUUAAAUUAUUAGUCGAAAUGAUACAUAAACUCUAUGUUAAUCGGCCAUUUGAUCCAACCGUUAGGUUCCGUCAAUGUUGUCGUGAAAUUUAAGGGUAAAACUGUCCAAACCAUGUAGAAUAGCUAAUUCUUGAAGCGACAGAGGCGUCAUUCGACGAAUCCAGCUUCUUCUUCAAUGAAGGCAGCGAUGUCUGAAAGCUCAACAAAUUCAACUCGAUCAAAUCGGUAUUGCUUUUGUGGGAUGAAGAUUAAACGGCGCAUUUCAUGGACAGAUCUGAACCCAGGAAGAAGGUUUGAGGCAUGCGACCAAAAUCGGGUUAGAUAGAGUAAGGGUUUUGUUUUGUUUAAGUGAAGAAUUGAAUGGUGUGCUGGGCUCUGAUUGAUUGUGUGUAACAAAUGAUGUGCAGAAUAGCCAAACAAGACAUCAUUUCUUUGAAUGGCUGGAUAAUGAAACAUGUCCAAGAGGAAAGGAAGUGUUUCCUGGAUUGCUUAGAAGACUCAGAGGUAUGGAGGAAGAAAUUAGAGCAAGAGAUGAGCAACUGAGAUUAGUGGAAGUAGAGAAGAAAAAAUUGGAAGAGAAAGUGUGUGUUGUUAUUGAAGGAAAAAAGGAAUUGGAAUGGAGUAGACAGAGACAAUUGAAAUUGGGGUUUGCUUUGAUCCUUUCAUGGUGUUUGUUUGUAAUUUUUGUGAUGAGUAGAAAGAUUUAGCUAUGAAUGUUAGGUCUGUAAUGGCCUUUUAGGUUUGUAAUGGGAUUAUAGGUAUGAAUGUAAUGUGGUGUUUGUUAGCUAUGAAUGUAAUGUGGUGUUUGUUAGCUAUGAAAUAGUUUGUGGAGUAACCAAAACCACACCAAUUCCAGAAAUGAAUACCAAUUCCAUAACCAAAACCACACCAAUUCCAUAAAUGAAUACCAAUUCCAUAACCAAAAACCAAUCCCAUAGCGAAAAACCAAUUUCAUAACCAAAUUGCACAGCAUAAACCAAUUCCAUUACCAAUAUGUAGAGUUAAUUCUAAUCCACAAGCUGUGAUUCCAUAAAAUUACAUCUCAAAUUACAGAACCUAAACCAAAAGGCAGAGUGUAAAUCCACAAAAUAACAUCCCUGAACAAAAAGGCAGAGUUUGUACUGUAAGCCAAAAUGCAGGGCCUUUACAUAACCACAAUGCAUAUCCUGAACAAAAUCCACAUCCCAAAUUACACAAAAUAUAUAUGAUUCCCCCUGCCUUGUGAAUGAUUAUGGUUGUGAUAGAACUUCUGUAGGCCUUUUGAAUGUUUCUCUUCUAAUAGCAGCCCUUUUGAAUGUUCCUCCUCUUGCCAAACCUCUGACCAUAGUUCUUGGCAAACCUCUUCCCACACCUCUUGCCAACUAAAAAAGAGGACCAAUAUAAGUUCUGAACUAUAUUGUAAAAAAAUAAGUGAGCAUAUUUGAAAAAUAAACCUCAAACAACAUACACUUUGUUGUGAAGAAGUAGCAACUUCAGUUGCAACAGCUGGAGCCUCGUUAGAUCUUCCUGUUCCUCUAUCCAACCUUUUUCCCAUAUCUCUUAGCAUACUUCUUGGCCAACCUCUUAUACUUCUUGCCACCUAAACAAAGAGGACCAAUAUAAGUUCACAACUAAAUUGCAGAUUUGUGAGACAACAUAUUUGAAGAAAAAUACCCCAAAAAACGUACACUUUGUGAAGAAGUAGCAACUUCUUUUGCAACAGCUAGAGCCUUAUUGGCUAUUCCUCUUCCUCGGCCUCUGCCCCUCACUCUAACUGCCCCUCCCUCAGUGUGGACCUCUUUUUGGGCAAAAGAUGCAUUUGCCUGCAAGAGCACAAAUAAUUAUUACUUCCAAAACAUGUAACAACUCUAAAUUUGCAUAUAAAUAAUUACCUGUUGCAUUUCUGAGCUAUGUCUGUCACAAGUUGCCCUAUUAUGGCCACUUUGACCACAUCUCCUACAUGUGAUCUUAAUAAAAAGUCUUCUAAGCUUGUCUCUUGGUUGAACAUAAUCUGGAGGCAUUGGAUGUGGUGGGGGUGGUGGUGGUACCAGAAUUUCAGCAGGUUCUUUGGACCUAGUUUUUUUGGGCCUUCCUGGUUGUACCCUAACAGUUGGGGGAUGUAUUGGAGGAUGCCCAGAUUUAGCCCAUUGAUCCAUUGAAGGGAUGGGAUAAAUCAUUGGUCCAUAUGACUUCAUAUAAGUUGCAGGCUUGUAACAUUCAUCCACAUAAUCAAUGGGGCUUUCAUCCCUUUGAAAAAUUGCAGAAAUUGCAUGGCCACAUGGUAUCCCACAUAAAUCCCACCUCCGGCAAGAACAUGUCCUUGCCCUAAGAUCCACAACAAAUUCUCCACCAUACAUGUGGGUCACUUGAUAUGUUUGCAAGCCUGCCAGUCGAGGAAUGCAUGUGGAGGCAUCUAACUUGUUUUUCUCAAUUAUCUUGAAGAUUCUUGGCCCAACUAGAUGUUUCCACUUCGGACAUGCAACCCUUCUAUUUGCCAUCCUAAGCAUCACAAGAACUCUUAUCCUCUCCAAGCAAGUUAAAAUGGACUGAUCUCUUGCAUCUACUAUUGCUGAAUUGAAACUUUCACAAAGAUUGUUCAACAACAGAUCACACUUAAACCGUGUAUGAAAGUGAGAUCUACUCCAAUUCUUUGCAGGUCUCUUACUGAGCCAUUCCCACGCUUCCGCAUCCUCUUGUUUCAUAUUUUCCAUUUCUGCUUCCCACCAAGGCAUAGUUGUGGCUCUUGCUGCAGUCCACAAUAUGUGUUUUAGAGCAACACCAGAGUGUGAUGAUCUAAAGUUAUUAUAUAAGUGUCUAACACACAUCAUGUGCUCUACAGUUGGAAGUAGAGUAUCAAUUGCAGGUAUGAGUCCCUUUUGCUUGUCGCUAAUGAACACAUAUGACAAACCAUUUGUAAUCUUUAGAUCUUCAAUCAGCAGCCUAAGAAACCAGAUCCACGAUUGUUUACUUUCGAUCUCAACAACUGCAUAAGCAAUUGGGAAACUGCCAUUGUUGCCAUCCACCCCAACUGCUGUCAAAAUCUGGCCAGGAUAAGGACCUUUUACAUGGCACCUAUCAAGACCAAUAACUGGUCUGCAUCCAUCUAAAAAUCCUUGCCUGCAACCAGCCAAGCAAACAUACAUCCUUAGAAAGAUAGCUUGGGCCCCCACUUGUUCAGUUUGAAUUACAACUGUACUUCCUUUGUUUGCCUUCUUCAAUUCCUCUGCAUAAUCCCUUAACCUAGCAUAUUGUUCUAUGUAACUCCCUUCAAUCAUUAGUUUGGCCCUCUUUUUGGCCCUAUACAUUUGAUGUCUUGUGACAUUCAUACAAUAAUCCUCCAAAACAUCCUCUUGCAAUGAUUUCACAUCCAAGUAUGUGUCUCUCUUCAAUUUCUUAGAAUACCUAUUGCAAAGCCACUUGGAUGAGGCAUACUUCAACUUGUCGACCCUCCCACAAGUGUGUUCCAGGCUCAUAGUCUUGAUUACAAAUGUAGAUUCACUCUUAUCUAUCUUUGAAGCAUAUAAAUAAAAUGGACAUUUCAGCCCUCCCAUACAUACUACCUGGAGCCUCACUUUGUCAUUUUUUUUGAAUUUUAUCAACUUACCAUGUAGAAUUGCAUAGUCCUCCACAGCUUCUUUCAAUACCUUUUUGUUUGCAAAUCGCAUUCCCAUCCUAAACUCUGGAUUCCUUAAAUCCACCUCUCUCCUGUACUCCUUCAACUUUGGCAAUUUCUUUUUCUUUCUUUUGCCCUUUUCCUCACCAUUACCCUGAUCCUGAUCCUCUUCAUCACUUCCUGUGUCCAAAUCCGAUGUGUUAGCACCAUCUGAUGAAACCUCUCUUGGAGCAUUAUAAGUAGGCCCAACUGUCUCAUGUCCAUAGGGCUGAACAGUAGGCUCAACAUUCUCACCUGCAUUGGCCUGAACACUAGGCCUAAUGUUCUCACCUGCAUUGGGCUCACCACUUGCGCCCCCAACUACCACAUUCUCAGCUACAAGCACCUCAUCUUCUUGUUCACUGAAUUCAUAAUCACUAUCCACAACUUGUGCAUCAUUUUCCUCAUUUUCCCCUUCAUUUCCAACCUCUCCAUUCUCAGUUGCUGCAGCCUUAUUUUCCUCUCCAUUCUCAGUUGCUGCAACCUCAUUUUCCUCUUCAUUUCCAACUUCUACAUAUGCAUCUGCAUCCCCUAGUUCAUUGAAUGCGUGCCAUGUGACACCCUUCCCAUCAUUUUCUACAUCUGCAUCAUAGUUAUAUUCUGCACUAUCCAAACUAGGCCAUGCAGCAGAUGCUUGAGUCCCAAGCCCAUUACCAUUUGAAUUUUCCAUAUCUGUAUAGUACAACACAAGAACCCUAUUACAUGGCAUGCAUCCAACCAUUUCAACUACUUUAUUAUCAGAGGUAAUAAGCUCCAAUAUGUUACCAUCCUUUUCUUCAGCCUUUCUAUACCUAAUCUCCAUAGUUUGCUCAAUUUUCGAAACAUCUAUUGUAUACCCCAACUCUUUCCCUAUCUUCCUUAAAUCCAGCAAUGAUAGAAAGUCAUCAACAACAUUAUCUAAAUAACAGACCUUACCACCUUUAUAAACCCCAUUUUCAAACAUACCCCCAUGGUGUAGUUCAAGAGUGACUCUGUCACAGAUAUUUGCAAACAUUACAUAUCAAAUUUCAGAGUUAGCUGCACACACAUCUCCUUUAUCUAAUGCUACAGGUUUAGGGUUUUAAUUUUUUUUUACCAUUUCAGUCAAUGCUAAUAGUGAAUUAAGUGUGAAGUAGACAACAAAGGGACCACACCAAAAAUAAAAACCUAUACUUUGCAGUCAAUCCCAGCAUAAAGGAAAUAAAAUGCCACGGUAUCUUUUCAACAUAAAGAAACUGACCUUGGACCACACACUUGCAAACAAAAAACAUCGAUUUGCAAAACAAGAUGAAUAUAAAAUACAGACAGAGAAUCCCUUACCGUAUUUGGGAUUCUCUCCACCCCAACGGAACUCAAACUCCAUCAGUGAUGAGCAUCCACAAUGAUCGAAAUCCAGAAAUUCCGCAAAACCCCCAAAUAGGAACCCCAACACUCUGGUUCUCUGUUGUUGCCUUCGCACCUCGAUUUCGGAUAGUCACGAACAAAAUGCGACGUUUUGGCUAAUCGGAGAAGAAGACAUUGAGGUUGAAAAAGACGCAUAUACCCUUUCAGAUUUAAAAAGACGCAUAUACCCAUCCUAGACCCCAUCACUGGCGUUGACUUGUUAAAAACUCACAGAAAAUGUAACGGUUGGAUCAAAUGGCCGACUAAUAAUUUAAUUUAGGGACCAAAAUGUACAUCGCAUACAACUUUGAGGACCAUUUUCGCAAUUUUUAUAACAAACUAAGUUUAACAUAAUGUAAUUAAUUUAACAUUUUUAAUAUAUAAAACGAAUAAAAUACAUUCUCAAUCGUUCUCCACCAAUCUCUAAUUAUAAAUAUCUCUAACGAGAAUGAAAUUAAUAGCGUUAGUACGAAUUUACAUUAAUACUUUUAAACUAACGACAAAAAAUACUUACCCAGUGAACAUACUGAAUUUCUAGCGGCAGAGAGGUGCAGAGAGAGGCAGAAUGCUUUUUUUUUUUUUUUUUUUUGCAUUCUGCCUCUGCAAUGGCAGAAUCCAGAUAUGAAGAAGAAGGACUUUGCGCGACGACCCAUAUUUUUGUCUUGCAAAAUGCCGUCGUGAAAAAAAAAUUCCGUCGCGCAAAACCACUUUUUCGUCGCAAAAGUCGUUCAUUUCGUCACACAAAAUAACUUUUUUAUCGCUCAAGCAUGUAUCGACAUCAUACUUUUGCGCAACACAAGUUUUGAUUUGUCGCACAAACUUUCGUCGCGCAAAUUCUAAAUGUUGUCAUGCAAAAGCAAGCUUCUGUCGCGCGAAAAAGAACUUCCGUCGCGCAAGAUUGUGGCGACAUCAAACUUUACGCGCUGAACUAUAUUUCAGUCACUCAAGGCUUUGGCGCGAAAAAAAAAAUAUCCCACGCACUAUUUUGGUGCCAAAAAAAUUAUUCCACGAUUUUCUUACGCAAUGAUAAAUCUUGUCGUCGCGCUAAGUUGUCUUUUGCGCAAGUUUCUGCUCCAAAUAACAAAACCCACUGUUUUCUGUCCACCUUUACGUGACGAAACUUCCAACCGUCGCGCUAGGUUUUCUUUCACGACACAAGUGUUGGGCGCAAAAAAAAAAAACCCACGUUUUUCUUCCUCACUUUGCGCGACGAAUAAGUUUGCUGUCGCGCUAAGACUUUUUGCGCGACGAAAAUUUUGGUCGCUUCAGUUUUCGGUGGUUUGCGCAAGGAAUAAUUUUUUCUAUCACUGUAAUGCAUUUUGCGCAACGAAUUCUCGUUCAUCGCGCAAAUUGUAAAACUUAAUAGUGCAAAUGGGCACUCAUUUUGGAGUUAUUAAUCAUUUUCUCACUCUAUAUUCCGGCAUUUUAUUUGUUUACAAUAAAAGGAUGCAAAAAGAUCCUUUCAAAAUUCAAAUCUGAAAAUCUAGUGGCAAAAUCAUCCAAGUAAGCAAAAAUUUCUCUAUCUAAAAGAAAUUUUGGAAAAGUUGAUAGAGGUAUAAAAAUCCAACCAAUAAUUGGGUCUAGUCCUCGAAUUAUUGUUUGUUGAUACAAGUCCUUUGGUUAGUUUGCUAUGUAGAUUACAUUCUAUUUUUGACAUGCUGACUCAAUCUUUUUUGUUUAACUGAUUUAUUUAAAUUUUUUGUUCCUAUUAUAUCCCUAUUGUCUAAAAUGGGUAUGAUGAGAAUUUAUAGGCCAUUAAUGAUUAGAUUUGAUCAUGUAAUUAAAGGAAAAAUUACAUUUUGAAUGUAAAUGCCGGACCUUCACUUUUUUCCUUGUGCUUGAUUUGUGCAAAUUCCUAUGCUCCAGGUACAAUACUCUACAAACCAUUGAACUUGAUAUACCUAUCUAAUAGGUAUAGUACAUAUUUGAUGCACCUCAGUACUAGGUAAAACACAUAUUGGAUGCAACUCAAUGCCAGGUAAAACAAAUAUGUUUUUUUUUUUUAAAAAAAAAAGUUAUACCUCCAUACUAGGUAUAUUAAAAAAAAUUAACAUUAUGACAAAAAAAAUUUCAUCAAAUAAUUUUGAAAAACUCAAUAUAUAAAUUUUAUAGGUAAAACGUAUGUAUAUGCUACCAAUUUAAUAAAGCUACGAAUAUAGAAUUCUAAAAAAUAUAGUUUCCAUAUGUAUAUAGCUGAAAUUUGAAUUAAAUAGGUUUUUAUUGUAACGACCCGGUCCUAAACUAAUAAUUAAAUAUGAAAUUAUUAAGGAAAAAGACAAUGUUAUCCCGGAAUAUUUUAAUAGGUUUACAUGUUGACCGGGAAGACUUCGGUGAAAUUGUUACCUCCUGGUUCCAAAAGGUGUUAAAAUAAUUAAAUUAAGAGAGAAUAAAUUUAAAUGAGGAAAUAAACUGAAAUAAACAUUAAAAUAAAAUGAUUUGAAUUAAUUAAGGUUUUUGAGAAAUUAAAAUAUUAUUUAAUAUUAAAAGGGGCAAAAAGGUCAUUUUAAGUUUGGGAAGGAAUUUGGAAAUUCUGAUUAGACGAUUGUGUAAAGCACGUCGAAACGAGUCCAUAGACAUGUAGUGGACUCUAAUCGGAGUUGUAACGAAGAAAUGACAAUCAAAAGAAGUUCAGUGGCAUAACCGUAAAUAUUUCAAAGUUCAGUUUUUUUUAAACCCAGAAUUUCUGCAUUUUAGGGAGCUCGACCAGCCGAAUUCAAGAGGUGAUUUCUCUCAACUCCGACCACGAAUUCAAGCAAGACCUGUCCCUUAGAACCACCACACUUCCCUCUUCCAGCCCCAGCCCUUCGCCGCCUCGAUCCGCCUUCUAGUCGCCAGAAACAGCCAAGAAAUAGGCGGUUUUGGAUAAUUUUUUUCGUAAACUUUCAACGGCUCGUUCUCCCUCCUCCGGCCACCGUUUCAUGCGAGUGAGGUAUGUUUUCUCACCUAAUUUUCAUAAUCUAGCGGAUGGUUGGAUAUGAAUUUAUCAAUUUUGAGCCUAGAUAGUUCGAUUUUCGAAUUGGAUUUCAGCCGGUUUUGGGAUCACGAUUCCGGCCACUUUUUGGGGCAGGUCCAAGAACAAAAGUCGUUCUAAAUAAGGUGUUUUACCUAGGGAAUGGCGGGAGGAAGAAGAAAGAAGAAAAAGAUGGAGAUAGAAGAGAAGAAAGAAGGAAUGACGGCUGGGAGAAAAGAAAAAGAAAAGGAGAGUUUGUGGGGCGGGAGGAACCCUAACUUUUUAAAAUAUAUAUAUUUUUAAUUCUUUAUAGUAAUAAAUAUUACAAAUAUACACACAAUUGUCCAUCAGAGUACAUAGUUUGAUUACGCAUCAGCACACCUACUCUCAAUUUUUAGGCAAUUUCUGGUUUGGCCUGUUCAAUCAGGUUUUCAAUAUAACUGACCAGCCCUAGUUCUUCUAGCGCUCGUAUCUCACUAGAAGAGUUCUUCGGAGUUCUUGGUCGCUUUCUAUAAAUUUCAUGCGAAAGGGUAAAACCAGAAUCCAAAUUUGUAUAAAAGGAAAACUGUCCAUUUUUGGGUUUUUUUUUUUUUUUUUUUGUUUAUAAAAAAUUAUUUCGUUUUGAGUUUCUUUUUGAUACACUAGGGAUGGGUAUUGUUAUAAAUUUGUGAUAAAUAUAUAUAUAGUUUGGGCUUAUAUUACCAAUUCUUCUUCAGUGUACAAAACUAUGAGAGUCCAAAUAAAAUUAAAUCAAAUUCUUAAGCGUCCAAGGAUGUUUGAUUUUUUUUUUUUUAAUUUUGUUGGCCUUUUUGUUAUUGUUUUGUUUGCCUUUUGUGGCUUUUGCGGCUGCCUCAUGUAGCUUUAUUGAGAAAAAAAAAAGGGCAUGUACAACCUUCUAUGUGUUGUAAAUAUGAUGGAGCCCAACCAAUGCCUAUAAAUAGGCUUCUUCAUUCUUGUAAUAAACAUACAAUUAGAGGAGAACAAAACAUUCAACAAGAAUUCUGUUUCUACUCUCUCUCUCUCCAUUCCAAUUAUCUCUACAAUUUCCCAUUGAUUUAUAACACGUUAUCAGCACCAUUGAUUUAUAACACGUUAUCAGCACGAUUAUCUCUAAGGGAAUUUUGAUCAAAACACUCACGCCUUCUUCCAAAACUUUCCGUGAACCAGUAGCCUUUGACUCUCUGUCUGCCUUUCUUCUUCAUCUGCAUCAAAAACACACUUUGAUGUCUAUGCCACUGGAGCAUGAUUACAUAGGCUUAACAGAGACUUCUUCAAUGGAAAGAAGCUCUGAAAAAGACCAGAUCGAUCAGGACGCUCUAUUGUCCUUGGCUCUCCAGGCACCAUUGAAUUUUGAAUUGGUCUUCUCCCACUGACUGUUGCCUUUGGGAAGGAAUAACCUGCGGCCCAGAUGAUCAACUCCAAGAUCUUGAAAAGAGCACCAAUUCCUUCACUGUCAUUCCUCUUCCCGCCCCAAUCUGAGAAAAGGGCCAGGUUGCUAUGGAUCCACAAGGGCAUAACCAACCCCAAUCUAUGGGGAUGGUAGGCAGUGGAGCUCAAUUGACAUAUGGUACUAACCCAUAUCAGCAUAAUCAAAUCCGGAACAGUCGGAGCUAUUCAAUCAACUCUCAUAUAGCAGAAUAGCAAUUAGCCAACAAAUCAAACACUUUUUCACUCACAAAUUCAGAGUGCCUCUAAUUCCAAAUUUCUUCGGCGGCCGAAGGACUAAUGUCUUCGACCCAUUCUCUCUCGACAUCUGGGAUCCAUUCCAGGACUUACCCUUGAUCAGCGGCGGUGGCGAACACGCGGAUCAACUGGAAGGAGACGCCGGAGGCGCACGUGUUCAUGGCAGACCUUCCGGGGCUGGAGGAGAAGGAGAGACGGUUCCAGAUCUUCAAGGACAACCUCAGCUACAAGCUCGGUCUGAACCGGUUCGCCGAUCUGUCCAACGACGAGUACAGGUCAACUUUCCUGGGCACCAAGACCCGCUCUCAGAAGAGGAAGCACAAGGCCGCCACGGAUGGCAGCAGCAUCAGAGUCGACUGGACCAACCUUCCACCCCAACUCUCCUCGUCGUCCUCGUCGCCCUCAUCACCUUAUGAAUCCGAUGACCAACUGGAGGGUCAGCUCUGUCAAGGACGACGUUGCAAGAAAUCCAAAACGGUGUGUCGUCGAACUUCUUCGACCCGGCGGUGCUCAAGCACGCCCUGUCCAAGGCCCUCGUCCCUCUUGCUGGUCGCUCCUCACUAUUCUGCUUCUGAUCCUCCAUCAUUCACACACCCUCAAUUGCAAAUUGUUUGGUUUUGGGUUUCAGAGAAAACACAGAGCAUCAAAGCCUCUCGCUCCCUCUCUGUCAAGGACCACUUGUGUUGCAAGCCCGUCUUGCUUCAGGUUGCCAUCACUUGGCAAAUUGUUGUUGGAGCCAUAACUGGAGUUACACCUUUUGUGGUGGCUAGGACUGAAUUCAGCAAAAGAAUAAUCCUGUGCUUUCAAAGGGCUGAAAAAAAAAAAAAAAAAUCGUUGUGAGGGAUUGGUAUGGGCUUGCGCUUGCUGUAAAAUGUCGAGCUGGAAUUGCAGAAUCCGCUUCUGCCAUCCACCUUUGCAGAGCCCAUCACCGCCGACAUCAUCACAAUUUGGGUUGAAACCACAGGUAAAUAUUUUUAUUCUUAAUUAUGGUGGGGCUGUGGAUCGUGAGCACAGUGGUCGGGGUCUGAGGCACAACUUGGGUGCUGAGAUUAUUAGCCACUGACUCAAGGAAAGUGCUGAAACAUCUUUUGAUGAGAAUAGUAAAACCCACCGAUAAAGAAAAGCAAACUCAGCAAGGGUACUGACCUUAAAAUAGCGAUAAGAUCUCUGCUCCCUGAUCUUCCCUAUUAUUUCAUAUUAUAUUUAUCUGCUUUUCUAUUACUAACUAUUAACAAAAAUGGACCCUCGGUAAUACUAAACAUAUUAUCAGUGGGAGACCGUUACUAAUACUAACAAUUUAAAUUAUGAAUUUACUUUACCGCACAUUUAUUUUAUUUACUGUAUGGUGUAGGUUUAUUACCCAUACAACAGUAUUUAUUUAAAAGGGUGGUGCGGGUUUAUCGUCCACGCCUUUACUUUCAUUUAAAUGUAUGGUGCAGAAUUAGUGCCCAUACAAGCACGUUUAAUUUACUGCAAAUUUACUUUACCGCACAUUUAUUUUAUUUACUGUAUGGUGUAGGUUUAUUACCCAUACAACAGUAUUUAUUUAAAAGGGUGGUGCGGGUUUAUCGCCCACGCCUUUAAUUUUAUUUAAAUGUAUGGAGCAGAAUUAGUGCCCAUACAAGCACGUUUAAUUUACUGGAAAUUUACUGUACCGCACAUUUAUUUUAUUUACUGUAUGGUGUAAGAUUAUUACCCAUACGACAGUAUUUAUUUAAAAGGGUGGUGCAGGUUUAUCGUCCACGCCUUUACUUUCAUUUAAAAGUAUGGAGCAGAAUUAGUGCCCAUACACGCACGUUUAAUUUAUGAAUUUAAAUUAUCGCACAUUUACAUUUAUUUAAAAGGGUUGUGCGGGUUUAUCGUCCACGCCUUUACUUUUAUUUAAAUGUAUGGUGCGGGUUUAUCGUCCAUACCAGUAAUUUAUUUACCAGCAAUUUAUUAUAUGGAUUAAAUGUGCUGUAUGAUGAGUUUUUACAGUAUGCAGAUCAUGACCAGAAGUUCCUUGAUCCUCAUCAUACAAUUACAUCAGGACUUGAAGAUCCUUGAUGAUGAUGUUAACAUGUGAUCGGACUUGAGGGUCCUUAAUCCCUGACAUGUAAAUAAGGACCUGGGGUUCCUUAAUGAUGUAACAGUACCGUGUUGGUUCAUAAUGCUGUACACAUGGAUGAUAACUGUACUGGCAAAUGUACUGUACACAUGAAUAGUGCCGUAUACAUGAAUAGUGAUGUAUGCAUAAAUAUUUACCAUUCUGGGUAAACUAUCACCAUUCAAAAGAGAACCUGCAGUUCCUUAAACUCAUGGAUGAGCAAUUAAAUGAGAUGCCAGAAGUUCCUUAAAAUAUGGACAAUUAUGUAAGGCUUGAAGUCUAGAAAUAUGUACAGAAAAUUGUAAACAUGUCCAUACCAUGAGAAUAUGUGAUUUUGGCCCGAAGUUCAAAAUCUAAGGGGAUUGAAUGUCCAUACCAUGAGAAUAUGUGAUUUUGGCCUGAAGUUCAAAAUCUAACAGUGUUGAGAACCUGAAGUUCCAACAAUUAAAUGGACAACCCUUGAGGUAUUAUUGCAAAUUGUGGUACGCCACAUAUCUCUUUGGCAUAAGAGAAUGAUGAAUUGAGGCUCCCCACAUAUUUUGUUAUAUCUGGGCCGGAAACUCAUGAACCCAAAUAUAUGAGAUAUUAGCGUGGCUUUUACUCAAUUCAUAUUUCAUGCCCAUUUUGAAAAGGGCAAAUAAAUUCUGAGUUUUGUGUUUAGCCCAUGCCUAAAGUUCCGGGCUCCCAUACGUUUAAAUAUGAAAUUUGGGAGAGUCGAUGUGGUUAUUUGAACCUAUAAGGCACAAGGUUCAAAACCGUCAUUUUGAAAAGACGUAAAAACCACAGGUGCGAAUUUUAAAUGUGCGCAAUUAUUAUAACAGGAAAGGAGCAAGUUGCAACGCAGUUGCUCCAAUCAAGUUUUGCGAAGGCCAUAUCUAUAGGAGGAAAUAUGGCUACAGUUUCCAGGAUCCCAAUAUUACCUCAGAUCCCUAUAUUAUCUUUUUCUUUCUCAGAUUCCAAAACUUCACGUGGCCUCCAUUAAAUGUUUGUCGGCACUCUCGGCGUUUUCAAUGUUUUAUUUUCAUCAAAAGCCGAUCUUGCUUUACGGAUUUCACGGAGCUACUUUUUCAAAAGUACCCCGAGAAUCUCGCAAUUUUCUUAUGGUUAAUUUGAAAUUCACCGGUUCUACCUAUUCAUCUUAUUUGUGUAUAAAUGUGUUACUAAUGAAAUUUUCUUUGCAGAAGACAUCCAGUUUUCUCCAUAACUAGUGAUGCGAUAUCUACUUGUUUUUCUUAUCAGUGAGCACUUAAUAUGCCCGAGAAGUAAGACUAUCUCUGAUCAUCCAUUCAGGAAGCGAGACUAUCCCUGAUCACGUUUCCGCUGCAUUAGGGAACUGUGAAGGCGAUCUUAUGCUCUAAUCUCCGGAAGUCCUUCUAGACUAGGAGAUAUGAGAGCUUAUUGUCUGCUCCCACCAACUUCCUUUCCUGAUUGCUUACCUUCUAUUUUUGCAUUUUCUCUCUUUCUGUAACUCUCUGAGGAUUAUUUGUUUUUGACAGAGAAAAGAGUUGUGAUUUUACUCUUGCAGAAUAUAACUAGAUCAUCAAGCGCUACAUUUACUGGGCCGAUACAAGCUUGAAUGAUACUUGAGAAAAGUUUCUCACACCUAAGGAUAUUGCAAGUUGGAUACAUUGAUAAUACACUGCCACAGAUUAAAGUCCCACAAGAACAGAAUAUGGGUAUAGCAGUGAUCAAUAUGAUGCACGCCUGUUGCGUAGCAAAUAAUAUGGAUUGAAGUCCCGAAAGGACAAUCCUUUAACAUGUCAAUAUUGAUAUUAUGCACGCCUAAUGCGUAGCAAAUUAUAUGGGUUAAAGUCCCAUAAUAUGGGUUAAUGUCCCAGAAAUUAAUUGACAUGUAUGUAUUAAUCUGUGGCAUACCUGCAGCAUGACAGAUAUAUGGGUGCACGCCUGUUGCGUAGCAAAUGAUAUGGAUUGAAGUCCCGAAAGGACAAUCCUUUGACAUGUCAAUAUUGAUAUUAUGCAUGCCUAAUGCGUAGCAAAUUAUAUGGGUUAAAGUCCCAUAAUAUGGGUUAAAGUCCCAGAAAUUAAUUGACAUGUAUGUAUUAAUCUGUGGCAUACCUGCAGCAUGACAGAUAUAUGGGUGCACGCCUGUUGCGUAGCAAAUGAUAUGGAUUGAAGUCCCGAAAGGACAAUCCUUUGACAUGUCAAUAUUGAUAUUAUGCACGCCUAAUGCGUAGCAAAUUAUAUGGGUUAAAGUCCCAUAAUAUGGGUUAAAGUCCCAGAAAUUAAUUGACAUGUAUGUAUUAAUCUGUGGCAUGUCUGCGGCAUGACAGAUAUAUGGGUUCUAAAUGUUCCAACUCCCUAAAUGGAGAUUUUCCACGCCCUAUGUAAAAUAACGCUCCAUUGGAGGUUAUAAUCCACAUUCUCACAUAAUAAAAGCCCCAUGAAGUGGCUUGGGUACCCAAAAGCAAAGAAAUGCUUAUAAUUGAUGCAUGCGCAUGCACAUGAGAAUGGUGGGAUCAUGAAUUGAUGAAUGACAAUUUUUGAUCAUGAAUUGAUGAAUGACAAUUUUUUGUUUUUGGAGUAGCUACUCAAAUCAUCAAUGGGCUGUGUUGAUUGGAACCACGUUCAAUUAUUAAAUGUCGACAAUAUUAUUGGCCAAAAUGGAACGAGGUAAUUCCAUUAUAAAUGAGAAUGAACGUGAAAGAACAAACCCACAAUACGAACCCCAAAAUUUGUUAAUACUGAAUUUAUACUUGGGUGUUCGGAAUAAAAGGGAAUAUACGUACUUGGUAUGACACACUGUUUCUGGCAGAAACAAGGAAUGUUGGGUUUUCUCCAUAUUUACAGAUUCAAUUGUGCCCCCCCUCCCCUUAUUACACAAUUACGGAGACCAACAUAUUAUCUUUAAGGGUUAUUAAAUGCACAGAGCAUAUCGCCAGAAGCGAUUCCCUAAAGAUGUAUAAAUAGCUGGGUUAAAGCUAUAUAAUGUGUCAUAAAGUUUAAUCCCUUUUAGACAAAAUCCGUUGAGAGGAUUGACAUUGCAUAAAGCAAGUCCCUAAAGGACAUGUGCUUGAAGCACAAAAUUUGUACUCAAUAUUAAUAUGCAUAAAUUACCUCAGUGAGUACAUUGAUGUGAUUGCAACACAUUAAAGAUUCUGCAGAAUUCACAAAAUAUUUGUCUCGACUUAAGGAUCGAGCAUUGUGCCAACGAGAUUCUUGCUUAUACUAAGAAAGUAUUGAAGCAUUUUUAUGAGGAUUAUCCGUUGGUCCUUAAAUGUUUUUCCGGAAGUAUACUAGACCAGAUAGAGCUCAGCUCCACACUGUACUCUUUUUCCUUCACCCAGGUUUUUAUCCCAUUGGGUUUUUCCUGGUAAGGUUUUAACGAGGCAGUGUUGCUCAAGGGUUUAGGGUAUACUAUGAAAAUUUUUAUGGUCGCUUACUGGACAAAAGCUAGUCCUAAAUUUUUCAGGGGGAGAUAUUCAUCAGGGGGAGCAUGGUUUUAAUAAAGACCUUCAUACACUGUACUCUUUUUCCUUCAUCCAGGUUUUUAUCCCAAUGAAUUUUUCCUGGUAAGAUUUUAACGAGGCAGUGUCGCUCAAGAUUGACUCACAGAAGCAGUGUCAACUACGAUAUUCAGAAAGCUGAUCAACAGUAUGACUUAAAGAUAUUUUGCCAAGUAUCAGGGGGAGCACACCAUCAAUAAAGAUCUUCAAACACCGUACUCUUUUUCCUUCGUCCGGGUUUUUAUCCCACUGGGUUUUUCCUGGCAAGGUUUUAACGAGGCAGUGUCGCACGCGCGUCAAUAUACUUAGAAUUUUAUGUUACACAUAGUUAUGUACUCUUUUUCCCUUCGACCAGUUUUUGUCCCACUGGGUUUUUACUGGUAAGGUUUUUAACGAGACAUAUUCUAUAUCAUUUGUGGUCUCCAAGGGGGAGUGUUGUAAAUAUGAUGGAGCCCAACCAAAUGCCUAUAAAUAGGCUUCUUCAUUCUUGUAAUAAACAUACAAUUAGAGGAGAACAAAACAUUCAACAAGAAUUCUGUUUCUACUCUCUCUCUCUCUCCAUUCCAAUUCUCUCUACAAUUUCCCAUUGAUUUAUAACACUAUGUUAUUAAUUGCAGCCAGGGUGUGAUCAAUAUAUGUAUAUUUGAAUUGCAUGUGACAGUGGCGAUUCCAAGAUUCGAAAUUUGUUAGGCAAAAUUUACAUACUAAACUUGAUUGUACAAGUGAAUUUCAUUAAUAAACAUAAAAAGAUACACAUAAUCAGAGGGACGUUUUGAGCCUUAAUCUCAAAUGUAUCUCUAUGAAUAAAAAACUAAAACUAGACGACAUGAUCAUAGAUCACACUUAAGAUAAUUGAUAUUAAAAUCUUGAUCAUCAUCGACUCUUUGAUUCUCAACUUGAUGCUUAACAAUGAAAGAUUCGGGAAGAUUUUGCCAAGAAGAGAAAUAAACAUCUCAACAAAAACAAUCCAAUUAACAACCUAAUAAAUACCUUAAAAGCGAAAAAUGUAUAUAUCAAAUAAUAAGAAAAGAAGAAAUAAUAAAUGGAGGAGUUGAUGAAGGAGGUGAUCACUUACCUACAUCUGAGAUGCUAUUGUGGCAGUAUACCAAAUCAAUCAAGCAUUGCAAUGUUUUAAUUUUUUCACGUGGUAAUGCGUAAUUAGCUUAAAAUACUGACACAGUGACAUUUCCGUUGUACGAAAGUUUUCUCAUAGGUGGGAGGUUUCUCAUUUUCUUUAAUAGAUGAUGGAAAGCAGUUAAUAAUACAUAGCCAACCUGAAAGUACAAACACAAUUAACAUAUAUAGGAGAAAGAACAAACACACCGAACAUAAAAGAUCCCAUUGCCCAAAUGUUAAAAGCUAAUUAUCCAUAUACAUCUGCCAAUUGCUGAAGUGACAGAUGCAAACUCGAAUAUUAUUACAUGUAAAUUAAAACACACGAAAAACAUCAACUUGGUAUUACUUGAUUUUCAAAACAGGCAAAUAAGAAGCCAAUCUAGAUCAGUCUUGGGGUCAAAACAAGGCGAACAAGUUCUUCCCACCAGCAAACUCAUGGGUAAAAUCUUCAGUCGCUGCAUAUGCUUCUGCAAAAUAUAUGAAAAGACAAAAGCAAUAUUGUAAUUAACAAACAAAACGUCAAUAUAUGUAUGGCUCAGGAAUCUGAGUUGGAAUGAUUAAUAUGGCUUUACAUACAUUAACAGAGCACAAGUACAAUAUUCCAAAUCAUUAAGUUUAGGAAAGUCACUAAAAGGAUAAAAGAUACUUACGUAUAUUUCUUACAUCUCUCGUCGACGAGUAGCAUCCUUGCAUGAUCCACACCUCCUUCUUUUAUGGACUCCAUAAACUCCUCUGAAGCAUUAUCAAAAGUGUAUCGUUGUAGUUUAGUAAGGUGCUCAAUACCCUGUGGCAAUGUUUCUAACGUCAUGCAACUAUGAAUCUCUAGGAACUCGAAAUUUGGCAUGGCCCCUUUUUCUAUAGUUAUCUUAUUUAAUAAUGCGAGAUUCCUAACAGAGGCAUUAUCUUCAAGUUUAGACCCAUAGCUUUUUCUAUAGUUAUCUUAUUUAAUAAUUCGAAAUUUGGCAUGGCCUCUGAAACAUAACUCUUUCCUAACAGAGGCAUUAUCUUCAAGGGAAAGAGAAUGUAGAGAGGGCAAUGCUUCAAUAUGACAUAGUAAAUCCUAUUCAAGUUUAGACCCACUCAGAUACAAAUUUCUGAGAGAGUGGAGUGAACAAAACCAAUGUGGUACCUUUUCCAGUUUUCCGGUCAAGUAAAUUCUAUCAAGGUAGGGAGGCGGUGAAGACAAUGCGUCAACUCGAAGAAAUUCCUCUCCAUCAGCUACAAAUAAAAACAAGCGGGAAAGGACCUUCAUCUCUUGAAUUAAGGCACAUAGGUCCUCCUCGUCUCUUUCUUUCACAUUUGUAAUGCCAAGGAACGUAAGCUGGGUCAUACUUCCAAUAAGUCUAAUAAUGUUUCCUUCUGAUUCAAUAAAUGCCAAAGAUUGCAAUUUCUUCAUCUUACCAAUACUUGAUGGUAUUUUUACCCAAAAACCAUCAUAGUAUGGACCCAUAAGUAAAUGGCGUAAGCUUAGCAACUUGGAAAUCCCUCUUGGAAGUGCCUUUAUUUUUGUUGCCAUGAUGUUCAAGGUCUGAAGAUUGCGGAGCUUUCCAAUGGAUUCUGGAAGCUCUGUAAUUGGAGUUCCACACAAAUUUAAAUAUUUUAAAUUAAAUAAGGAUGUUAGAUUGUCUGGCAGAUAAUCAAGUGGGACAUCCUCCAAAUCUAGAACCUUAACAAUUUAAGGUCAAAAGGUAAUUUAUUUGAGAAAGAAAAUGAGGAUACGCCAGUGGCAAAGAUGAGAAACGAACGAAGCCGUGAUAUACCUGUGCAUGAUCCAAUUUCUCUAUUAGUUGUUUGAAUUGACAAACGGAGUGCCCCAGUUUCUUCUACUGUUUCACUCCCAUCAAGUACAGCAAGAAACUUUUCUUUUUUUGCUAUAGACAGAGCAAUCUCCCUCAAAAGAUCAUGCAUCUUACAUGCUGGGAGGGAUCCAUAAAACCUUUCCUGUAGCAUGUUACGAAAAAUGAGUUCCAUAAGAUAGCUAUUUGCAACUUCUUCUGGCGUGAGCCCUUCGACAUGUUCAACAAAUCCUUCAGCGAUCCACAAUCUAAUGACCCUAUUAUUUAUGAUCACUGUAUCUUCGGGGAAAAGGGAACAAUAUAGAAAGCAUUGCUUCAGUCGGUAUGGCAAAUCAUUAAAACUAAACAACAAGAUGCUCUUCAUAGGUUCUAGCAAAGGAUUGUUAGUCAAAUGCCAAUUUAAGCUGUUGUAGGCUGUGCUCCACUCUGUAAGUGACUUCUUCGAAGACAUAAGACCACUCAAGGCUACGAUCGCAAGUGGUAGGCCUUCACACUUUUCCACAAGUUCCCGAGCUAAUGGCAGAAGUUCAGGUGAACAAGAUUUGUUAGGGUAACUUGAGAAUGCUUUCAUGCUGAAGAGCACCCAAGCAUCACUCCUUUCCAGCGGUCGAAUCUUGUGAACAUGGCUUUCAACUCCAAAAGAAGAGGAUGCUAUGUCUUCUCUUCGAGUUGUAAGCAUGACUCGACUUCCAAGUUGUUUAUCUGGAAAUGAAAACCUUAUUUUGUCCCAAAGAUGGACAUCCCACACGUCAUCCAAUACAAUUAGGUACCUUUUAGUCUCCAAGUAGUUCACCAACAUCUCCAGCAAUUCGUUAUAACUCAUGGCAUUCAUGGCUGCAGGGACCUCUUCCUUCUUCGCUUUGUGGAAUUCUUUGAUCAAUCUUCUAAAUAAGUCUUCAAUCACGUAAGACUGGGAAACAGUAAUCCACGCAUAGCAUUCGAAAUGUCUCUUUACAAUGUCAUCUUUGAAGGUCCUUACAACUAGAGUUGUCUUCCCUGAUCCUCCCAUCCCGACCACGGACACAACAGUUUGGUGCUUCGCUUCAUCCAUCAGCCAUCCCAGUAACAUGUUCUUAUCGCCUUCAAUCCCGACAAGUUCAUCCUCCUUCUGAUAAAGAGAAGACUCCGCUUGGUUCUGCACCCAUCUCCGAAUAUCCUCAGAAGUACUUUUUCCUUCUACAGCUGCAGCACCACGAUAUCUCUGAUUUCUCUCUGGAAUAGCUCGAAUCGCCACCGCGAUUUUCUGUAACUUGUUGGCUAUUUGACGCUUAUACCACAGGUGCUUUGGAAAGUGAAUGGUUUUGUGGAUCCACCUGGAAAAUCGACCACCAUUUCGCUGCUCGUACACGCGAUACAUGAACUCAUCAAUGGUGUUUUCAACAUGGGCGGCCCGGAGGGUGUGCAAGUGGUGCCACCGCACAGGGCCUCUGAUUUUUGAGGGCCCCCAAAUUUAAUAUAUAUAUAUAUAUAUUAAUAAAUGUUAUACAUAUACUGGGCAAGCAAAUUUUUGACACAAAGACAUUUCAAUUGUGUUGGUUUGCAGGACCUCAACUUCCAUUCAAGGCACAACUUCAAAGUCCGCUUGUGUAGAUCAUAGUUUUAGUUCUUUUUUUGUUUUUGUUUUUUUGUAACAACAAUUAAUAAUCAUAAUAAUUAAAAAGGCAAACACGUUAUAAUAUAAGGGAAGCUUGAAGAGCUUUCUUCGCAUGCUUGAGCGCAUCUUUCCCCUUUCUUUCUGUAAGUAAUAAUCAUCACCAAUAUCUCUCCUUGGCUCUCUUUUUUAAUCCUUUGACAAUUUAUUUUUUUCAAUUUCAAGGAUUUCAACACAAAAAAUCGAACAAAAAAAUUGAUAAAUGUCACUCAAAAGCAAAUGGUCAAAUUUAAAUCUGAAUUCAAAUUCAAGUAUGUAUCUAAAUUAUAUAUACUAAAUGACUUCAUUAUCAAUUUUUUUUUUUCCAGAUACUUCAUUAUCAUGUUGAUUGGUUAUAUAAUGAAAGAUGAUUUAAUUUGUAAUUUGCAUGCUAAUUAAUGAUGAGUUUUGCUUUAAGAAAAAAAAAGACAUUUAUUGUAUGGCAUUACGUAAUGGUGUAAGUUUGUAUUAGCUUAUUUGAAGCUCCAGUUUAAGGUUAGCACAGGGCCCCCAAAAUCUCAAGACCGGCUCUGGUUUUCAACAUCAUUGGCCAAGUCUCGAACGCUUGCGACCCACGCUUUCUCUACUUGUGUGUGUGCCUGCUCUCCACCGUCAGCAUCCUCUAAGAAGGAUUUCAUGAAUACCAGCUCCUGCUUAAUCUCAUCAACUUGAUCACGAACACCCGCUAUGGAGGCUGCUUCACUCUCUAGAAUGGCUACAAAUUUGCCAAUGAAGAGGUCUGUUGCAGCAGACGCCAUGAUGGCCUUAUUUUGGUAUAACCUUAAUCAAAAAAUCCUAUCUGAAAUUGAUUCUGGGGAGAAAUCAAUGGUAUAUGCAUUUUCGAAAAAGCAUUCUGCCAUGGUUGGGCUCAGAUGCACUAGAGAGAAAAAGAGAGAGAGAUUAUCAAUUAAUAAUUAGAAAUCGAUGUUACGCAUGACCAUGGCUGGGACAAUCGUUGAUUAAACAAUUGUUGGGAGUUCUCCCAUGCACGUGAGGAUGUGUACCCCAUGUGCUGUGAUGGGUAAGUCCACUUUCUAACAUAUAAUAAGUUACCCGAAUCGAUUACUACACAUAUAAUAUUGGUUAAACAGGUAAUGCCAACAAAAGAAAAAAACAAAUUAACAGCUAACAUAUGCUCACUAAUUAUUAAUGGGUUUUCAAUUGAAUGUUUAUUAAUAAUCUUUAGGCUUAAUUGCACCGAUAUUUCUUGAAAUUUCGGUCAAAUCUCAUUUUAUUUUCUCAAAUUUAAAAGGGAGAUUCACUAUUAUACUCAAUAUGGGAGCCUAAAUUAUAAAAAUAUCCCGUAUGAAAUGGAUUUUAGAAACAUACCCAAAGCCCAUUUACAACAUAACAAAAAAACUUUUAACUUCUUAUAAAUUACAAAACUGCCAUCAAUUUCUUAAAACAAGCCCAACUCCAAAAUCUCAUAAAAAUACACAAAACACUUAAUAGGGCAUCAAAGUAAUUUAAUAAUUAAUAUUAAAUUCAAUAAGGCAAAUUGUGUUGUAAAGUCAAGGAUGGAUCCCACAAUGGUAGUGCCCACUACCUAAUGGAUUGAAGGACAUCAUGAUGAAAGCACUAUGGGAAGGCAUCAUUACCCACCUCCAAUGGAAGAUGCUUGCCUACCACCCACCUCCAUUAAGAGAUGCUUGCCUAUAAAUAAAGCUUCCUUCUACUUGUAAUAUACAUACAUGAAUGUAGAACAAACAUUCAAUGAGAAGAUCAGAUUUCUAUUCUUUCUCUAUACCCCAAUUCUCUCUACAAUUUCAUCUAGAUUUAUAACACGUUAUCAGCACGAAUUCGCUUUAACAAUACCAGCUGAAUUCUCUGAUGAAACCCAACCAAACAAACACUUCUCUCUCUGUUUCUUCUUUGUUUUGUGACCCUCCUGGCAUAUCCGAACAAACUCCGGUGUAGUCCUUGUUUCUUCUUCUCUGCACUCUUCUCAGCCAUUUUAACAAGCAUCUGGUGUGCAUGGCUGUGCAUGAAAAAAAAAAUAAUAAUACCGUAACCAAACCAAGACACAACUGUCUGUCUGUCUGUCUGUCUCUGUACAAUGGAGCCGUGGCUCGACGACUUAGCCGACGACCUCCAGAGCCUGAGCUUCACCUCCACCACAACUGUGUUGGUAACAGGUAAGCCCGAAGGCUGUUCCCGUCCCUCGUCUCCAAGCUUCCACCACACCCUCUCGCCAACUCCUCGGACCCUCUCUGGUCCGCCAUCCACAAAACCCUCUAGCCUUCGCCUUCGCCUUCGCCAUCGCCAUCACCGUCGUCGACGGCGUCGGCACCAGCCUUGGUCCUGUCCAACUCCGGCAAGCGCAUGGACCAGGCGGGGAAAGAAGAAGCUUCCUCUGUGGUUGCCUCUGGUCAAGAACUCUGGCUUCUACUUCCAGGACAUAUCAGGCUUCGUGGUUAGCCCUCGCUUCGUGUUCGUAGUUGGAAAUAUAAUUGUCAUCAUUCUCCUUGUCAAGUCCGGCAAGUUUUCAGGUAAAGACUCCAGCACAGGAGCUGAUCUUUACGAUGAGUUUGUUCACAACAGCGAAAAGAACCAUGAAAUGGUCAUGACCCAUUUUCCGAUUCCACGACUCGGGCGAGUCGGUGGUCAUGAACUCGAUCUCAUCCCCUGAUGAUUCCUUGCCCAUGAAAACAAUAGCCGGGGGCAGUGUAGCAAAUACUAUCAAAGGGCUGUGUGCUGGGUUCGGAAUCUCCUGUGGAAUAAUUGGUGCUUGAGGGGAUGAUGAGCAAGGCCAGUUAUUUGUAGGUAACAUGAGCUCUCAUGCUGUGAGCCUCUCAAGAUUGAGGAUGAAUAAGGGACCCACAGCUCAGCAGAGAUGCCCAUGGAAAUGAUAACUUAGAUCUAAUGGCGGGCCACGCGAUAAAAACAGGUUGGCUGGACAGCACAUGUUGUCGAGUGCGCAUGAUUACAGCCCCACCCACGUAUUCUGCUGCACAUGUAAAACCACCCACCGAAAAAAAAAAAUUAUUAAAAAAUGCUAAAGUGCUGAAGCAUCUUUUAAUAAAAAACAGCAAAACCCAUCGACCCACCGAAAGACUAAGCGAUAAGAUCUCUGCUCCCUUAUCUUCUCUAUUAUUUCCUAUUAUAUUUACCUGCUUUUCUAUUACUAACCAUUAACAAAAAUGGACCCUUGGUAAUACUAAACAUAUUAUCAGUGGGAGACCGUUACUAAUACUAACACUUUCCUUAUCUUGUUCAGUGGUGGUUUUUAACCCCACAUUUAUUUUAUUUACUGUAUGGUGUAGGUUUAUUACCCAUACAACAGUAUUUAUUUAAAAGGGUGGUGCGGGUUUAUCGUCCACGCCUUUACUUUUAUUUAAAUGUAUGGAGCAGAAUUAGUGCCCAUACAAGCACAAUUUACUUUACCUCACAUUUAAUUUUAUUUAAAGUAUGGUGCGGGAUUAACGUCCAUACAGCAAGCAAUUUAAUUUAUGAAUUUAAUUUACCGCACAUUUACAUUUAUUUAAAGUGUGGUGCGGGUUUAUCGUCCAUACCGGUAAUUUAUUUACCAGCAAUUUAUUAUAUGGAUUAAAUGUGCUGUAUGAUGAGUUUUUACAGUAUGCAGAUCAGGACCAUAAGUUCCUUGAUCCUCAUCAUACAAUUACAUCAGGACUUGAAGAUCCUUGAUGAUGAUGUUAAUAUGAGAGCUGGCAGUCUCUCCGGUACUAUAUUUGUAAACAUGUGAUCGGACUUGAGGGUCCUUGAUCCCUGACAUGUAAAUAAGGACCUGGGGUUCCUUAAUGAUGUAACAGUACCGUAUUGGUUCAUAAUGCCGUACACAUGGAUGAUAACUGUACUGGCAAAUGUACUGUAUACAUGAAUAGUGCCGUAUACAUGAAUAGUGAUGUAUGCAUAAAUAUUUACCAUUUUGGGUAAACUAUCACCAUUCAAAAGGGAACCUGCAGUUCCUUAAACUCAUGGAUAAGCAAUUAAAUGAGAUGCUAGAAGUUCCUCAAAAUAUGGACAAUUAUGUAAGGACUUGAAGUCCAGAAAUAUGUACAGAAAAUUGUAAAAAUGUCCAUACCAUGAGAAUAUGUGAUUUUGGCCCGAAGUUCAAAAUCUAAGGGGAUUGAAUGUCCAUACCAUGAGAAUAUGUGAUUUUGGCCAAAAGUUCAAAAUCUAACAGUGUUGAGAACCUGAAGUUCCAACAAUUAAAUGGACAACCCUUGAGGUAUUAUUGCAAAUUGUGGUACGCCACAUAUCUCUUUGGCAUAAGAGAAUGAUGAAUUGAGGCUCCCCACAUAUUUUGUUAUAUAUGGGCCGGAAGCUCAUGAACCCAAAUAUAUGAGAUAUUAGCGUGACUUUUACUCAAUUCAUAUUUCAUGUCCAUUUUGAAAAUGGCAAAUAAAUUCUGAGUUUAUGUUUAGCCCAGGCCAAAAGUUCCGGGCUCCCAUACGUUGAAAUAUGAAAUUUGGGAGAGUCGAUGUGGUUAUUUGAACCUAUAAGGCACAAGGUUCCAAACCGUCAUUUUGAAAAGACGUAAAAACCACAGGUGCAAAUUUUAAGAAUGUGCGCAAUUAUUAUAACAGGAAAGGAGCAAGUUGAAACGCAGUUGCUCCAAUCAAGUUUUGCAAAGGCCAUAUCUAUAGGAGGAAAUAUGGCUACAGUUUGCAGGAUCCCAAUAUUAUCUCAGAUCCCCAUAUUAUCUUUUUCUUUCCCAGAUUCCAAAACUUCACGUGGCCUCCAUUAAAUGUUUGUCGACACUUUCGGCGUUUUCAAAGUAUUAUUUUCAUCAAAAGCCGAUCUUGCUUUGCGGAUUUCACGGAACUACUUUUUCAAAAGUAUCCCGAGAAUCUCGUAAUUUUCCUAUGGUUAAUUUGAAAUUCACCGGUUCUACCUAUUCAUUGUAUUUGUGUAUAAAUGUGUUACUAACGAAAUUUUCUUUGCAGAAGACAUCCAGUUUUCUCCAUACCUAGUGAUGCGAUAUCUACUUGUUUUUCUUAUCAGUGAGCACUUAAUAUGCCCGAGAAGCAAGACUAUCUCUGAUCAUCCAUUCAGGAAGCGAGACUAUCCCUGAUCACGUUUCCGCUACAUCAGGAAACUGUGAAGGCGAUCUUAUGCUCUAAUCUCCGGAAGUCCUUCUAGACUAGGAGAUAUGAGAGCUUAUUGUCUGCUCCCACCAGCUUCCUUCCCUGAUUGCUUACCUUCUCUUUUUGCAUUUUCUUCUCUUUCUGUAACUCUCUGAGGAUUAUUUGUUUUUGACAGAGAAAAGAGUUGUGAUUUUACUAUUGCAGGAUAUAACUAGAUCAUCAAGCGCAACAUUUACUGGGCCGAUACAAGCUUGACUGAUACUUGAGAAAAGUUUCUCCCACCUAAGGAUGUAAGCAAUACUUGUGUUAUUUUUUGCUUAUAUACUUAUUUGAUAUUUUAUCUUGAAAGGUAACCAAAUGGGAAGAUAAGUCCGUUCCAAAAGAAUGGCUUGUAUGUAUCCAUGAAUUAUUAAUGCAAAUUUUACAGAUUGCAAGUUGGAUACAUUGAUAAUACACUGCACAAAUUAAUGUACCAGAAGAACAUAAUAUGGGUAUAGCAGUGAUCAAUAUGGGUGCACGCCUGUUGCGUAGCAAAUGAUAUGGAUUGAAGUCCCGAAAAGACAAUCCUUUGACAUGUCAAUAUUGAUAUUAUGCACGCCUAAUGCUAGCAAAUUAUAUGGGUUAAAGUCCCAUAAUAUGGGUUAAAGUCCCAGAAAUUAAUUGACAUGUAUGUAUUAAUCUGUGGCAUGCCUGCAGCAUGACAGAUAUAUGGGUGCACGCAUGUUGCGUAGCAAAUGAUAUGGAUUGAAGUCCCGAAAGGACAAUCCUUUGACAUGUCAAUAUUGAUAUUAUGCACGCCUAAUGCGUAGCAAAUUAUAUGGGUUAAAGUCCCAUAAAUUAAUUGACAUGUAUGUAUUAAUCUGUGGCAUACCUGCAGCAUGACAGAUAUAUGGGUUCUAAAUGUUCAAACUCUCUAAAUAGAGAUUAUCCACGCCCUACUGUAAAAUAACGCUCCAUUGGAGGUUAUAAUCCACAUUCUCACAUAAUAAAAGCCCCAUGAAGUGGCUUGGGUACCCAAAAGUAAAGGAAUGCUUAUAAUUGAUGCAUGCGCAUGCACAUGAGAAUUGUGAGAUUAUGAAUUGAUGAAUGACAAUUUUUGGUUUUGGAGUAGCUACUCAAAUCAUCAAUGGGCUGUGUUGAUUGGAACCACGUUCAAUUAUUAAAUGUCGACAAUAUCAUUGGCCAAAAUGGAACGAGGUAAUUCCAUUAUAGAUGAGAAUGAACGUGAAAGAACAAACCCACAGUACGAACCCCAAAAUAUGUUAAUACUGAAAUUUAUACUUGGGUGUUCGGAAUAAAAGGGAAUAUACCUACUUUGUAUGAUACACUGUUUCUAGCAGAAACAAGGAAUGUUGGGUUUUCUCCAUAUUUACAGAUUCAAUUGUGCCCCCCCCUUAUUACACAAUUACGGAGACCAACAUAUUAUCUUUAAGGGUUAUUAAAUGCACGGAGCAUAUCGCCAGAAGCGAUUCCCUAAAGAUGUAUAAAUAGCUGGGUUAAAGCUAUAUAAUGUGUCAUAAAGCUUAAUCCCUUUUAGACAAAAUCCGUUGAGAGGAUUGAUAUUGCAUAAAGCAAGUCCCUAAAGGACAUGUGCUUGAAGUACAAAAUUUGUACUCAAUAUUAAUAUGCAUAAAUUACCUCAGUGAGUACAUUGAUUAUAAUGUGAUUGCAACACAUUAAAGCUUCUGCAGAAUUCAUGAAAUAUUUGUCUCGAUCGAGCAUUAUACCAACGAGAUUCUUGCUUAUACUAAGAGAGUCUUAUCCGUUGGUCCUUAAAUGUUUUUCCGGAAGUAUACUAGACCAGAUAGAGCUCAGCUCCACACUGUACUCUUUUUCCUUCAUCCAGGUUUUUAUCCCAUUGGGUUUUUCCUGGUAAGGUUUUAACGAGGCAGUGUCGCUCAAGGGUUUAGGAUAUACUAUGAAAAUUUUUAUGGUCGCUUACUGGACAAAAGCUAGUCCUAAAUUUUUCAGGGGGAGAUAUUCAUCAGGGGGAGCAUGGUUUUAAUAAAGACCUUCAUACAUUGUACUCUUUUUCCUUCAUCCAGAUUUUUUUUAUCCCACUGGGUUUUUCCUGGUAAGGUUUUAACGAGGCAGUGUCGCUCAAGAUUGACUCACAGAAGCAGUGUCAACUACGAUAUUCAGAAAGGUGAUCAACAGUAUGACUUAAAGAUAUUUUGCCAAGCAUCAGGGGGAGCGUGCUAUCAAUAAAGAUCUUCAAACACUGUACUCUUUUUCCUUCGUCCAGGUUUUUAUCCCACUGGGUUUUUCCUGGCAAGGUUUUAAAGAGGCAGUGUCGCACGCGCGUCAAUAUACACAGAAUUUUAUGUUACACAUAAUUAUGUACUCUUUUUCCCUUUGACCAGUUUUUGUCCCACUGGGUUUUUACUGGCAAGGUUUUUAACGAGGCAUAUUCCAUACUAUUUGUGGUCUUCAAGGGGGAGUGUUGUAAAGUCAAGGAUGGAUCCCACAAUGGUAGUGCCCACUACCUAAUGGAUUGAAGGACAUCAUGAUGAAAGCACUAUGGGAAGGCAUCAUUACCCACCUCCAAUGGAAGAUGCUUGCCUACCACCCACCUCCAUUAGGAUAUGCUUGCCUAUAAAUAAAGCUUCCUUCUACUUGUAAUAUACAUACAUGAAUGUAGAACAAACAUUCAAUGAGAAGAUCAGAUUUCUAUUCUUUCUCUAUACCCCAAUUCUCUCUACAAUUUCAUCUAGAUUUAUAACAAAUUGUUAUUUUUUGGAUUUUUUAUGGGUUUGUUUAUAGAAAUUCAAUUGUGUAGGGUUUAUUUAUAAUAUUAGUAUUAGAAAUGGGUAUAUCACUAAAUAUCUCAACUUAAAAUGAUCCAUUUUAAUCCCUUAACUGAGAUUUGAUUACCCACUUUGCCUCCCGCCGUCAACUCCAUCCAAAAUUGUAUUAACUUUAAUGAUGUGGUAUGGGUGUUUUUGUAAUUCUGUACAUGUGGAUCAUUACUCACCAAUUAAGUAAGUGACAUGGCAAGUGGAGCCCAUCUCCACAUAAAUUAAAAUAUUUAAAAAUAUUUAAAAAAAAAAAAAUCAUAAAAUCAUAAAAAUUAUCUUUAAAAAAAAAGGGAGACUUUGGAAAAGCCCAAAGGAGAGAGAAAAUUUUUAAAAGAAGCCAAAAUGGACAAAAUUGCCCUUAUUUAUUUUUUGAUUUCCUAAGGAAUCCUUUACAUUUGCAUGUCUUUUGUUUGAAAGUUGAGAGGUUUUUCUGUCUUUUUUUAAAAAGCUUUGGCUUUUUCCAAAAGUGAAAGUUUUUUUAUGGGUAAAACCUAAAUUUACUAAAAAAAAAAGAACUAAAUAUUCUAAUAAUUAAAAACACUACCCAGCAGCUCCAAUCCCUCCCACCCAGAUCCCACCCGAAAAAUCCUUAUUGCCGCCCAAAAAAUCCUUCACGAAUGGCUCCACAAUCACCGUCGGAUUCGCCAUCACCACCACCUUCCUCUUGAACUUGUCAUGGAAUUUGAGGCCGAGAAGGAGAUGAAGAUGAGGAUUUGGAUGACAAGGGCUUCGGAGAAGAGGAAGUAGGCGAUGAUGACGAGGGCGAGGGAGAGGAGGACGAGGUUGCCGGCUUCAAUGGCGACGAGCAUGAAGUAAGGGAAAGAGUUCAGGGAGAUGAGGAGCGUGUCGCCGAGGUCGGCAGCGAUCGACUCGUACGAUGCCGUUUCGCUCGCCCGUUUCGCUCGCGUUGCAGGACGUGAUCGACGGGAGGGUCUUGAUUUAGUUCGUUCUCUUUGAGGAUUUUUGUGCGCUUCUUAAUUUCAAAAGACAAAAACCAAAAUACAUUUUUGUAACCAUUUCAAUUUUUACUGCAACUUAUUUGAAGAAUAUAGAAAUGCAUUAAACAAUAAAUAAACAAACAGUUCCUAAUUGAUUGAUUAACGAGUUGCUUAUCUUGCAUUGUUGAAUUUGGUGAAUACCAAGUUGGAUCUCAGAUUGCAAAGCCGCCGCCACCGUGGCUAUGGAACUAGGAGAAAGUUAGUGAGAUUUUGAGGGGUUGGCUUGAUUCCGAAACAGAAACUGAUGGAGAGAGAGAAUGAUGGAGAGAGUUGGAGAGAAGGAGAGGUCGGGAUGGGGAUGGGGAUGGGGAUGGGGAUGGGGAUGGGACGGCUGGGGAUGAGCUCAGGGAAGGCUGCAAUGGGGUGGGGGUGUACGAUGCUCUGGAUUUGUUUGUUUUUUAAUUUUAUUUUGUUUAUAUGUAGUUUUUAAAUGUGGUUUUUUAUGUUUUUAUUUUUAUUUUUAAUUAUUAUAAUAUUUAAUUAUGUUUUUAUCUAUGUGGAGAUAGGCUCCACUUGCCACGUCACCCACUUAAUUGGUGAGUAAUGAUCCACAUAUACGAAAUUACAAAAACACCACUGCCACGUCAUCAAAGUUAACAGAGUUUUGAAUAGAGUUGACAACAGGGAGAAAUUAUAGAGUGAUACUGUAUCACCACAUCAGCUGGUGAUACUCCCAUUCAAAAUCUGCCACAUGUAUUUUUUUAAAAAAAUUAAAAUAUAUUUUACAACUCAACUUUGGCUUACAACUUUACCCUUCAACUUUAAUGACCCUAACCCUUCCCCACUCCGGCUUCCCUGUGCUAUGCCCCUGCUAUCGACGCUACACAACCCUCUUCCCUUCCCCCUCUCAGCCAACCACCCCGGCCUUCCCUACCCCUCCAAUAUUCCCACCUCCUCUCUCUUCCUCUCAUUUUCGGUUAAUAAAAAAAGCCAAAAAUCUUAAAAAUAUGUGUAUGUUAUAAAAUGAACUGGGAUAUGUGCGAAUAUUGAGCUGCACGUAAAGUAGAUGAGACACAGUAUUUAACGAGGUUCGGCUAUGCCUACGUCCUCGGAGAGCAGCAGCAGUAACUUUUCACUAUAUCAAAUAAUAGGGCUACAACUUUGUGUUUACAAUAUGUAUGACUCACUCAAUUUUCUCUCUUGGAGAAUUUCUCUCUUGCUCUCUUUCUUCUCAACUCACUCACCCUCAUUCUUCCUUCUCUUCCUCUUCUAUAUGUGUAAACUUCUCUUGAUGGAGGUAUCUAUUUAUAUGCCUAAGACAUUGGUUGUUCACCUCACAAUAUAAUUGGUAGACAACAUCAUUAAUAUUCUUCAAUCAACAACAUCAUUAAUAUUCUUCAAUCAACAACAUCAUUAAUAUUCUUCAAUCAACAACAUCAUUAAUAUUCUUCAAUCAACAACAUCAUUAAUAUUCUUCAAUCAAUUGGGUAGUGGUUUGGUUUGGUGGGUGUGUGGUUAGGUUUAGUGGAUGUUAGUUGGCUAUGUGGGCUUCACCUAUUCUUCUUUACUUAUUCUUCUUUACAACACUCCCCCUUGGAGACCACAUGUCCCUAGAUUGGUUGCCUCAUUAAAACCUUGCUUGGAGAAAAACCCAGUGAGGUAGAAAACUGAUGGAAAGAAGAAAAAAAGAGUACAGCAAUCUGUAUAGCAUACUUCUGGAUGCUCCCCCUGAUUAAUAUCUCCCCCUGAUGUCUUCAUGACUAUCUUUUGGAGUGAGAAUCUUUCGGAGUGAGUGGAGGAUAUAGCCAUUAAUAAUUCUCGUAGUUGAGUAAGUAAAUAUAUUUCCAGUGAGCUAUCUCUAUGUAAAUCAUAGAAAUUUUCAGAGUCCGCGUUUCUAACAAAACUUGGGCUAUUUGUAAGUUCACUUGAAAGAAUAUGCCUGUACAUGGUGUUAUGCGGAGAUAGCAUCAAAUAUACCUCACAUCAUCCCAAAAUGAUGGUGAUGGAGUUGAGCCCUAUCUCAAAAAUAUGAUGUCCGGUCCAAUAUACUUCCGGAAAAUCAUUAAAGUGUCCAACAGAUAAUCCUCAUAAAAAUGCUUCAAUACUUUCUUAGUAUAAGCAAGAAUCUCGUUGGCAUAAUGCUCGAUCCUUAAGUCGAGACAAAUAUUUCGUGAAUUCUGCAGAAGCUUUAAUGUGUUGCAAUCACAUUAUAAUCAAUGUACUCACUGAGGUAAUUUAUGCAUAUUAAUAUUGAGUACAAAUUUUGUGCUUCAAGCACAUGUCCUUUAGGGACUUGUUUUAUGCAAUGUCAAUCCUCUCAACGGAUUUUGUUUAAAAGGGAUUAAACUUUAUGACACAUUAUAUAGCUUUAACCCAGCUAUUUAUACAUCUUUAGGGAAUCGCUUCUGGCGAUAUGCUCUGUGCAUUUAAUAACCCUUAAAGAUAAUAUGUUGGUCUCCGUAAUUGUGUAAUAAGGGGGGGCACAAUUGAAUCUGUAAAUAUGGAGAAAACCCAACAUUCCUUGUUUCUGCCAGAAACAGUGUGUCAUACAAAGUAGGUAUAUUCCCUUUUAUUCCGAACACCCAAGUAUAAAUUCAGUAUUAACAAAUUUUGGGGUUCGUAUUGUGGGUUUGUUCUUUCACGUUCAUUCUCAUCUAUAAUGGAAUUACCUCAUUCCAUUUUGGCCAAUAAUAUUGUCGACAUUUAAUAAUUGAACGUGGUUCCAAUCAACACAGCCCAUUGAUGAUUUGAGUAGCUACUCCAAAACUAAAAAUUGUCAUUCAUCAAUUCAUGAUCCCACCAUUCUCAUUUGCAUGCGCAUGCAUCAAUUAUAAGCAUUUCUUUGCUUUUGGAUACCCAAGCCACUUCAUGGGGCUUUUAUUAUGUGAGAAUGUGGAUUAUAACCUCCAUUGGAGCGUUAUUUAGCAGUAGGGCGUGGAUAAUCUCCAUUUAGGGAGUUGGAACAUUUAGAACCCAUAUAUCUGUCAUGCUGAAGGCAUGCCACAGAUUAAUACAUUCAUGUCAAUUAAUUGCUGGGACCUUAACCCAUAUUAUGGGACUUUAACCCAUAUAAUUUGCUACGCAUUAGGCGUGCACAAUAUCAAUAUUGAUAUGUCAAAGGAUUGUCCUUUCGGGACUUCAAUCCACAUCAUUUGCUACGCAACAGGCGUGCAUCAUAUUGAUCACUGCUAUACCCAUAUUCUGUUCUUAUGGGACUUUAAUCUGUGCAGUGUAUUAUCAAUGUAUCCAACUUGCAAUCUGAAAAAUUUGCAUUAAUAAUUCAUGGAUACAUACAAGCCAUUCUUUUGGAACAGACUUAUCUCCCCAUUUGGUUACCUUUGAAGAUAAAAUAUCAAAUAAGUAUAUAAGCAUAAAAUAACACAAGUAUUGCUUACAUCCUUAGGUGGGAGAAACUUUUCUAAAGUAUCAUUCAAGCUCGUAUCGGCCCAGUAAAUAUAAUGUAGCGCUUGAUGAUCUAGUUAUAUCCUGCAAGAGCAAAAAUCACAACUCUUUUGCCUCUGUUAAAACAAAUAAACCUCAUAGUUAGGAUCACUUCAUGGAUUCAUUCUUCAGAUGUUCAUUCUAAAGAAAUAAAAUCUCUUAUGAACAGAGAGUUAUAAAAAAGAGAAAAAAUCCAAAAAUAAUGUGAUAUUGAUUGCAUGAGAAUGUAAGCAAUCAAGGAAGGAAGCUGGUGGGAGCAGACAACAAGCUCAGCAAUCAAGGAAGGAAGCUGGUGGGAGCAAACGACAAGCUCUCAUUUCUUCUAGUUUAGAAGAACUUCCGGAGAUUAGAGCAUAAGGUUGCCUUCACAGUUCCCUGAUGUGGUGGAAACGUGAUCAGGGAUAGUCUCGCUUCCUGAAUGGAUGAUCAGAGAUAGUCUUGCUUCUCGGGCAUAUUGAGUGCUCACUGAUAAGAAAAAUAAGUAGAUAUCGCAUCACUAGGUAUGGAGUAAACUGGAUGUCUUCUGCAAAGAAAAUUUCGUUAGUAACACAUUUAUACACAAAUACAAUGAAUAGGUAGAACCGGUGAAUUUCAAAUUAACCAUAGGAAAAUUGCGAGAUUCUAGGGAUACUUUUGAAAAAGUAGCUCCGUGAAAUCCGUAAAGCAAGAUCGGCUUUUAAAGAAAAUAAUACUUUGAAAACGCCGAAAGUGCCGACAAACAUUAAUGGAGGCCACGUGAAGUUUUGGAAUCUGGGAAAGAAAAAGAUAAUAUGGGGAUCUGAGAUAAUAUUGGGAUCCUGCAAACUGUUGCCAUAUUUCCUCCUAUAGAUAUGGCCUUUGCAAAACUUGAUUGGAGCAACUGCGUUUCAACUUGCUCCUUUCCUGUUAUAAUAAUUGCGCACAUUCUUAAAAUUUGCACCUGUGGUUUUUUUUUACGUCUUUUCAAAAUGACGGUUUGGAACCUUGUGCCUUAUAGGUUCAAAUAACCACAUCGACUCUCCCAAAUUUCAUAUUUCAACGUAUGGGAGCCCGGAACUUUUGGCCUGGGAUAAACACAAAACUUAGAAUUUAUUUGCCCUUUUCAAAAUGGACAUGAAAUAUGAAUUGAGUAAAAGCCACGCUAAUAUCUCAUAUAUUUGAAUCCAUGUGCUUCCGGCCCAGAUAUAACAAAAUAUGUGGGAAGCCUCAAUUCAUCGUUUUCUUAUGCCAAAGAAAUAUGUGGUGUACCACAAUUUGCAAUAAUACCUCAAGGAUUGUCCAUUUAACUGUUGGAACUUUAGGUUCUCAACACUGUUAGAUUUUGAACUUCAGGCCAAAAUCACAUAUUCUCAUGGUAUGGACAUUCAAUCCCCUUAGAUUUUGAACUUCGGGCCAAAAUCACAUAUUCUCAUGGUAAGGACAUUUUUACAAUUUUCUGUAUAUAUUUAUGGACUUCAAGUCCUUACAUAAUUGUCCAUAUUUUGAGGAACUUAUGGCAUCUCAUUUAAUUGCUCAUCCAUGAGUUUAAGGAACUGCAGGUUCCCUUUUGAAUGGUGAUAGUUUACCCAAAAUGGUAAAUAUUUAUGCAUACAUCACUAUUCAUGUAUACGGCACUAUUCAUGUGUACAGUACAUUUGCCAGUACAGUUAUCGUCCAUGUGUACGGCAUUAUGAACCAAUACGGUACUGUUACAUCAUUAAGGAACCCCAGGUCCUUAUUUACAUGUCAGGGAUCAAGGACCCUCAAGUCCAAUCACAUGUUUACAAAAAUAGUACCGGAGAGACUGCCAGCUCUCAUAUUAAUAUCAUCAUCAAGGAUCUUCAAGUCCUGAUGUAAUUGUAUGGUGAGGAUCAAGGAACUUCUGGUCCUGAUCUGCAUACUGUAAAAACUCAUCAUACAACACAUUUAAUCCAUAUAAUAAAUUGCUGGUAAAUAAAUUACUGGUAUGGACGAUAAACCCGCACCAUACAUUUAAAUAAAAGUAAAGACGUGGACGAUAAACCCGCACCACCCUUUUAAAUAAAUGUAAAUGUGCGGUAAAUUAAUUUCAUAAAUUAAAUUGCUUGCUGUAUGGACGUUAAUCCCGCACCAUACCUUAAAUAAAAUUAAAUGUGCGGUAAAUUAAAUUCAUAAAGUAAACGUGCGUGUAUGGGCACUAAUUCUGCUCCAUACUUUUAAAUGAAAGUAAAUGCGUGGAUGAUAAACCCGCACCACCCUUUAAAUAAAUGUAACUGUGCGGUAAAUUAAAUUCAUAAAUUAAAUUUCUUGCUGUAUGGACGUUAAUCCCGCACCAUACUUUAAAUUAAAUUAAAUGUGCGGUAAAGUAAAUUGUGCUUGUAUGGGCACUAAUUCUGCUCCAUACAUUUAAAUAAAAGUAAAGGCGUGGACGAUAAACCCGCACCACCCUUUUAAAUAAAUACUGUUGUAUGGGUAAUAAACCUACACCAUACAGUAAAUAUAAUAUAUUAUAUUACUUUAAGUAAAAGUAAAUUUGCGGUAAAGUAAAGGUAAUUAUUGGUGGGUUCUUAUCAACACCACGAUCAAAUAACAUAGUAGAUAAUAUUAUUAUCGUUUGUGGAAGGCAUCAUGCUUGUCUCUCAAAUCAAAUGCUUUCCACCUGUAAUCUGCACACAGUUGGUUUGCUCGUAUAUCUCUCUUGCAGACCACAGCUCCUCCACUACUUUUCUUCCUUACAUCAACAUAAGGGUUAGUAGUAUAGAUAAUAGUGCAACACAAAAAUUAUACCUGAGAGCUUCUCGUGCUGAUAACGUGUUGUAAAAUAACUGAGAUAUGUGCGAAUAUUGAGCUGCAUGUAAAGUAGAUGAGACACAGUAUUUAACGAGGUUCGGCUAUGCCUACGUCCUCGGAGAGCAGCAGCAGUAACUUUUCACUAUAUGAAAUAAUAGGGCUACAACUUUGUGUUUACAAUAUGUAUGACUCACUCAAUUUUCUCUCUUGGAGAAUUUCUCUCUUGCUCUCUUUCUUCUCAACUCACUCACCCUCAUUCUUCCUUCUCUUCCUCUUCUAUAUGUGUAAACUUCUCUUGAUGGAGGUAUCUAUUUAUAGGCCUAAGACAUUGAUUGUUCACCUCACAAUAUAAUUGGUAGACAACAUCAUUAAUAUUCUUCAAUCAACAACAUCAUUAAUAUUCUUCAAUCAACAACAUCAUUAAUAUUCUUCAAUCAACAACAUCAUUAAUAUUCUUCAAUCAAUUGAGUAGUGGUUUGGUUUGGUGGGUGUGUGGUUAGGUUUAGUGGAUGUUAGUUGGCUAUGUGGGCUUCACCUAUUCUUCUUUACUUAUUCUUCUUUACAACAGUGCAAACCCAUUAAACAUGAAACCAUAAAUCUUAUAUAAAUAAAAACCACUAGUGAAAGAAGGGAAGAUUGACGUUAUUGGCAACCAAGAAUUAAUUGUGUUAUAGAGCAAGUCAUUGGGGCGGGGCUUGAUGAAGGAAAUCCGCCAAAAAUCUCCCCAUUCUACAUCAGAUUCUUCUUCUUCCUCACCAUCUUCAUUAUCAGCUUUCAUUCAAGGUCUUUUUAAACGAGUAAGAAGUGAAAUUUUCAGAGAUUACCCAUCUUCUUUAGCUUGAAGGGUAUCUCCAAAGAUAAAAUGGUAGAGUUUGACUAGAUUUUGUUUAUGGGUUUUGAGUCAUUUGACAAUAGAAGUUCUCUAGAUUCAUUAACUAUGAAGACAGUGAAGGCUGGGGUAGGUGGUGAGAGAGAAGGGAAGACGUGUGGUGUUGCAGAUAGCAAGCAUAGCGUAGGGAAGAAGACGGUGGAUAGGGAAGACGGUGGGGAGGGGUUUGGGUGAUUAAAGUUGAAGGGUAAAGUUGGAAGUCAAAGUCCAGUUGUAAAAUAUAUUUUAUUUAUUUUUAAAAAAAUACGCGUGGCAGAUUUUGAGUGGGAGUAUCACCAGCUGACGUGGUGAUACAGUAUCACUCUAUAAUUUCUCGACAACAGGGGGUAAAAUGGAUCACCAACCCCAGGUUAAGAAAUGAAAGUGAGUCUUUUUAAGUUUUAGGGGGCAUUAAUGUAAUUAAGCCUAAUCUUUAUCCCUAUUUAUAUCCCCAUCUGUAUACCCCAAAGCCAGGAAGAAAAAAAUAUAUAUAUCUAUUUUGCUCUAGUGGAAGUGAUAACAAAUAUCAAGCUCCCAGCAAUAGAACCAAAUUAGGGGUGUGAGACAAUCUUCUAUGAUACAGUCACUAAUGGAUCCCAUUCAACUAAUUAAACGUUGACAUGUAUAUUAAUAAGUAAAAAAUUAUUUUUAAAUCUCAAUUCGGUACAAAUUUCUAAUGAUUUGAGGUAGAAUAGAAUCCGUUUCUUUAAUAGGGAAUAAAAUUAUUUUGUUAAUUAUUUUAUUCAUAUCCAAUAAUAUUGAAAAUAUUAUUAUGCAUGUCACAAUGAUCAUGAUAAUAAAAUAAUGGGUAAUUUUAUUGGCACUCCAUUAUUUGCUCUUUACACUUCAUACUAAUUUUAAACAUGAAUAACCUAUUUUACCUUUAUACAUAAUACCGUUAAGGACAAAAAAAUUUAAAAUUAAAAUUAAAAUGGCUCACUACACUCCACAUAUAUAUUCCUGCAACCCUAGUUUAACUUUUUUCUCAAACUAUCAUGUUCCUAAACCCUAAACCCUAGAUUUAUACGUUUAUAUUGGUGAAAAAAUAUCUUGUAUUUAUUCAUGAAGGGUGAGAUUGAAGUUAGAGAGGCUUUGAAUGAGGUACGAGUUUAUUUUUUGGCGUUUUGCAAGUUUAAUAUUUCAUAAUGGUCGCUGGUUGCGUCCAGCACUUCAGUCCCGAAUGUGAUAGGUAAAUUCGGUGGAUGCCACCGAAAUGUUGCACAUUUUUCGAUUGGGUUUGACCGGUCAUGAACUUAAUAUUCGGUGGAGAUCCACUGUAACAUGGAACGUAGUUCAGUGGUUCACUACCAAACGUUUACCAGCGUUUCAGUGGCAUCGAACCAAAAUUUAUUUAUUUUUCAGUAAUUUAUUGCCGGCCACAAAUUUAAUGCAAGCUAUUUUGAUCUUACUCCCAUUGAAGGAACAAAAACAAGGUGACGCCCCUAUUGAAGGCAACAAUGUUGGAACAGAAUGUGUAAUGGACUAUAGUGAUCAAUUCACAACUUAUUCGGUAAUUAUUUGUCUGAAAUCCCUUUUAGUAUCAUUAAUGUGGCAUUAAUGUUUCAAAGUUUAUCUUUAAAUAAUAUAAGUUUUAUGUGUAAAUAUUCAAUGGUAGAUGUGCAUGACUUAGAUGGGCUCGUGCACAAGGAAAAAUGAAUAAUAUUGUCAUUGUAAUUAAAAGGUCUAAUUAUGGAGGUGUGGGAAAGAGGAGACCUCGUGUAAUACUUGCUUGUGAGAGGUAAAUUCAGUGUAAUUGUGUGCGAGUCAGAAAGGUAAAUUCAGUUUACUUAUUGCAUGUACAUAUAUGGUUUACAUAGUUAACAUUGUAAUUUUUUUGCAAACAGGUUAGAGACAGAUGGGGUGGAUGCUUUAUUAUGUGGUUGUGCCAUUCGUCGAACCCACCAAUUACCAUGUGCACAUGAAAUUGCGGAGUAUAGAGAUCGUGGUAUACCAAUACCAUUUGAUGCCUUGCAUUCACAUUGGAGGAAAUUAGAUCUCAUCAAUUAGGAAACAGUAGUCAUGGCACAACUUCACCAGGAAGGUCACAAUUACAAAGAUUCAAUAUGUGGUAUGAACAACAAUAUGAUUAAAAGAAGAGGCAAGUACUGGUAGAGCUAAUGAACCCUGGUUCUACUGCGCUUACUGAACCAAAAGAAAAGUUGAAGACCAAAGGGAGACCGCGAAAAGUCGACACUUCUACUCGUCAUUUGCCAUAUGCAUUUGACAUUGCUGAGGCCUCCAUUGCUCCACCUAAAAAUAAACCAAAGCAAAGCCUCACUGCCUCGCUAAAAAUAAAACCGAAGAAAAGUACCACUGCAGUGCCAAAAGAAAAGAAACCUGGUUGCUUCUAAUUCCAUGUUGUCUAAUCCAAAAAACAUUAAGGUAAGUACUACAAAUGUUGUAUUUUACAAUGUGUUAUUACCAUAUAACUAACAUAUUGUUUUAUUUUCAGCUCUAUAAGCCUCACUAAAACCAUUCAGCGUUCGAUACAUAUAUGCAUAUAGAUAAAUUUCUUGAGGGUAUUAGGAAAUGUAUUACUCACCAGAUUGAAGUUCUUUCGAAUGGUAACUGUGGAUAUAGAACCAUAGCUAUGGCAAUGAGAUUUGGUCAUAAUAAAUGGCAUAGAGUAUGCAAGGAUUUGUUGUAGCAACUACAUGAUAUGUCUUAUGUUUUUAAGAAAGCAUUCCGAUAAGAACACCUAAUAAGUUGCUCUAAUCCAGACCUCUGAAUGUACCUUUUGAAUAUACUAUUAUUUGGAUUACCCCACCAAUUCCACUCACGAAGAGUAGAUGUCUUCGAUAUGCACCUAAGGGGCUCACGUUCCUAGUUAAAAAUAAAAAUACAAAUUAAGGUUAAUUAUUAUGAACUAGACUUAUAUUUUACCUUUUAUUGUCAUAGCAAAAUGAAUUACUUGGUUAUUCCAAAUUGCAGCUGCUAUGUGAGUUUUAAAACUCGUAAGUAAAGAUGGAUCAAUGGGACCUACUCGAGAUAGCGAAGUAGGCUCGGCAUGUACCUCAACAUUACUAUCCUGAGUAGUAGCUACAUCUUCAACCUCUGCGUCAACAUUACUAUCAUGAGCAGGAGCUACAUCUUCAACCCCUGUAGUAUCCUCAAAGUGAUCUUGGGGAGUCGCUCUCUGUCUCCUCAUUGAGGCCGUGGAACGCCGUCUAUUAGGUCGGGAUAAUGAAGCCUCAGUAAUACCUCUGUGAGUUCUCUUCAUAUAUAAAAACAAACAAUAUUAAGUACACACUCAGUAAUGUAUUCGGUAGAUGAUCACUGAAAAACGAAAAUAAAUUCGAUGGAACGUCACUGAAAAAAUAACACAUAUUCGGUGGAGUACCACUGAAAAACACAUUUGGUGGGAAUCUCCUGAAACAUAGAAACAAAUUUGAUGGACUGCCACCGAAACAAGGUAACAAUUUUGGUGGUAACCUACCGAAAGUAAAAUCAAUUUUAGUACAACUCAGGUUCAAAUUCAGUGGACUGCCACUGAAGCAAUGUAACCAUUUUGGUGGUAAUCUACCGAAACUAAAAUCCAAUUUCAUAAAACCAGGGUCGAACCAUACACCCUCAACGUUGAAAUCAAAAAUCAAAAUCAGACUUUGGCUUUUCAAAAGUGAAAUCAAACGUAGGCUUAAUCAACACUUAUAAACAUAAAUAUUGAAAUCAAACUGUGGCUCUUCAAAGGAUUUGUGAAAACUUGAAGAUAUGGGUCCGGGUUUGCAGAGAUAGGAUGUGCGAUUGGGUUUGGUGGUUUGCAGAGAUGGGUUCGGUGGUGAGCAGAGAUGGGUGUGAUGGCUCUGUUUCAGAGAUGGGUUCAGGUUUGCAGAGAUGGGUUAUGCGAUGGGGGUCGGUGGUUUGCAGAGAUGGGGGUUUGGUGGUAUGGAAAAGGGAUGGGGUGUGUGGUGGAGGUUGUUGCAAAUCUGAUGGGGUGUGCAAUGGGGUGUGUCUACAAGAGGAGAGAAUUUUUGAUGGGAUGGGGCUUGAUAUCAAAUGGGGUGGGGUUUAAUAUCAGAGUUUCGUCGGCAAUCUCGGCUGGUUUGAACCGAUUUGUCACCGUCGUAGCGCUGCCGCCUCCCCCGCCCAAACCCGAUGAAACAGGUGAGGUUCCUUCCUCUUUUUACUUGCUCUAGCUGUCUAUGAGAUAUGAUUGAAUCAAUUUUGCAUCUAGGAAAUCGAUUUUGAAACCUAGGUUUUGGCCGGAUUUCAAAGUGAAAUUCCAGUAGGUUGCUGUCCGAAUUGGACCUCCCCGUAGUUGAAUAAAGUGAUCCUCACCUCAAGUAGUAGCUAAGGUAGGAAAGGUGAAUUGCGGUGUGGAGUUUUUCCGUUGCCAGAAAUUACUCUAUACACCUACUCGCUACCGGCGCGUGUGAUGGCACGUGGGCAAGGAUGGUGAAGCCACAUUUUGUUCUGUUGUAAUCCUCACGUUGUCACGAGUGUGUAGGCGUUCUCGGAUUUCAAUUCAGAUGUCGUCUGGCUAUCGAACGGAUUUGGCAUAUUGUGCGUUAUCCGGGUUCGAUAUGUUCGGACCGUUGGAUCGCUUCCAAAGUUUUAUGUGUUAAUCUAGGCACUCCUAGGAUCGUGUAGGAAUUCACGGAUUAUGAAUCAGAGUGCCUGGCAUGUCGGAUGGUGACCAUGCAAAUACGUCUUUGUUGUUCUGGAGGAAUGUUGCAAGCUCUACUUUUUCCUCCUGGAUUAGGCGCGAGCCAAUCUGCGCUUUUCUCUCUGGCUUGUCAAGAUCAAGGGGUACUAGCUCGACGUCUUCCUCGGGCUUCCAUCCUUCUUCAGGAGAGACCUCCGGACGGAUUCCCUCCACUUGGUUCUGACUCUUUGAUUGCUAUUAAAGAGUAGUUAUUCCAUUUCCUUCCUGGUCUGCUCUGCCAUUAGGAAUGAGAUCUCCUUUCUUCUUUGCUUGUUCUACUCCCUUUAGAUCUGCCUGAUUCAUAGGGAGGAAUUGUGUUUGCUUGCCUUUCUUAGCCCUUGAGCUGAGCAUUUCCUCGCUAUUGCCUGAUUGCUGUUGAUCUGGUCGAUAUCGCCCCCAAGGAUUGGGUAGCAGAUCUUUUGGUGUGUGGUAGAGGUGAUGGCGUUGAUUUUUCCGAUCCAUGGUCUGCCUAGAAUGCCAUUGUAGGGUGAGACUUCAUCAAUGACCAUGAAUGUUUGCGAGUUGAUUACAGGUGGGGAGUAAACAUUGAGAUCUGUUGUGCCCACGGUAACCGUUGUUGUGCCAUUGAAGCCAGUCAGCGACCUGGCUGAUUUAUUGAUCUUUGUCUCUAAGCCUAUCUGUUGGAUGACUGCUAAUUGUAGGAUGUUGGCUGCACUGCCCUCAUCUGCAUGGAUUCGGUCGACCAUGGCCUGAGCGAUUUGAAUGCUGAUGACAAGGGCGUCGUUGUGUGUAGAUCAAGGUCAAUUAAGUCUUUCUUUUAGAAUCCGAGCACGGGAUCGUCUUCUGCUAAUGAGAGGCUAGUUGAGACUUGGAAGAUCAUAGUAGCCUGUUUGAUCUUCCUCUUCUUUUCUUUAUUGGUCAAUCCAGACUCCUCGGAGUCGGCUAGAAUUGUGUUAAUCCUUAUGACCUUCUGGGGUGGCUCCUUGGCGGUAUCGCAGUCCUCAAUCUGCUGGAUGGCUUGCUUCGCAAUGAACUCCGUACAGUGACUUUCUCUCACGAGUUCUUUGAGAUACGCUUUCCAAGCAAAGCAAUUAUUCGUAUUGUGCCCAUGUGCCGCAUGAAAGGCACAAUAUUUUCUGGUAUCCCUCUUGUCCGGAUCUCCUUUCAAGGGUGGCGGUCUUUUUACCCAAGGUUAUCCUUCACUUGGGCUAAAAUUUGAUGUAUGAGGAUGGAGAACUUGGUGUAGUUCUCUUUCGAUGUGGCAUCUCUUUGUAGGUGUGACCUGCGUUUGUCUUUGUCCAUGUUGCCAAGCCUGUCGCCUCUUUGUUUUGCUCGCUUGGUCGGCUGAUCUUCCUGCUCAGUGGACUUCUUCGUGGCGAUUCGAUCGUCAUCCCAGAGUGUGUAGCGUUCUGCGGUAGCGAAGACCUCUGCCAGAUUCUAGCUAGGAAUGAUAGUCAGCUCGCAGUAUAAGUCAUGUUCUGUUGGAAGACCUUUCUUGAAUGCAAAGGAUGCGAUUUGGUCAUCGCACCCUAUAAUGUUAGCCUUUUCUGCUUUGAACCUCUUGCUGUAAUCUUGAAUGGAUUUAUCGGGCUUCUUGCAUAGGUUGAACAGAUGGUCAGAGUUCUUCUUGAUCGUCUGAUAAGAAGUGUAUUUUUUAGUGAAGACGUAAGUAAGCUCCUUGAAACUGUUGAUUGACCCGGAUGACAGGGUAUGUAACCAAUCCUGAGCUGCUCCUUGUAAAGUCAUUGCAAACAACUUGCACAUUAGCGCGUCUUCGGCUUCGUUGAGGAUCAUAAGGCUCUUGAAAUGCUUCAGAUGGCUUUCGGGGUCGGAAUCGCCUUUGAAGCAUGUGAAAGAGGGCGUUGAGAAUCGUUUCGGGGAAGCAGCCUGCUCGAUUUUGGCGGUAAAAGGUGAGGAGUUUGCUCGGUCUACCUCAAUGCAUAGUGCAUCUUCGAAAUUUCAGCCAAUCUUUAAGUCUCGAAGUCGAUUAUUCACAUGCUUUUCAACGUCUUCUGCACACAUGGCUCGUCAGUCACGUUGAUGACCUUCGCGAUUUAGACUAUGCUGAUUCACUUCCUCAUUGGUUUGCGAGGGUCGACCUUCUUGGUUGCACUGCCUAGGCGGCGUGUUGGUGGACUGCACUUGCGAGGGAUUUUCUGUAACUUGGCGACGAGAGUUGGUUCUUCGAGAGCGAGUAGCGGAGCGCCUUUCUUCACGGUCCUCAUUAUGAUGAUUGUCGAGUUGACCUCCCUGGGGGCCUAGCCUUUCGUGAAUAUUUCUGUGAGCGGGCAGCGGAGCGCCUUUUUUCCCAAUCCUCGUCUCGAUGGCCGUCAAGUUGACCUCCUUAGAAGCCUAGCCUUUCAUGAACGUCUUCGUGCGGGCCUAGGCUAGCGUGGAUGUCAGGUCUUAGGCCUAGCCUCUCGCGCACAUUAGUCCUUAAAUUCAAUCUAGACGGGAGACUUCGUCUGGUCUGAGUGUGGCUUGCGGAUGCUUGCGACAUGUCGGCGAGCUGAUCGUGUUGUUGUGCAUUUUCUUGUCUGCUUACUCUUGCUCGACCUGCUUGAUUCCCGCUGAACUGCCUAUUGGCGCGUUCAUUCAUCCUUCUCUCUUCGCCCUGUUGUCCAAGGCCAAGGUUUUGAGCCAAGUUUAUUUGGUUGAGGAGCUGUCUCAUCAAAUUGUUUUGGUCUUCCAUUCUCUGAGUUAGCUGGUCAACUCUCAGAUUAAGGUCUACUUGACUUCGUGGAUCGGGAGGAUAGAAAUGUGUGGAGUCCAAUUGCACACGGGCUAGGGUUUCAUUGGAUGUGUACGUGGGAGUGUGCUUCGAGCAUGGAGGCAAUAGAGGGAAUGCUUGAAGUUGCUCCAAGAUUGGGCCAAAGUCAGUGAUGAUAGUGAGCCCACCUUGAUGCGAGGUUCCACCAUGCUCAAUGGCGGUGCUAUGAAGGUGGCUAGAUCCGACCACGGGGCCUUGAGAUGGUACGAAGGCAACAAAGGCCGUUGCGGUGGUCCUCGUUGCGAGUCCGGCAUGUGGCACAGUGGUUCCAGUCACACGGAGUGGCUGCUGAGGGUUCAUGGUGGCGAGAGGUGGUGGAGCCGCCAUGUCGAUCGUGGGAUCGUGGGAGGAGUAGCUUUGGGCCGUCACUGCUCCUCGUGUGCUUGCUUCCAACCAUGGUUGUUUGGAAGGCUUCGGUGGAUUGGAAAAUAGGAGGAACAGAUUCCUUGAGUACGCAUUUUCCAAGCGCAUGUUUGUGCAAAUGUUUGUGCAAAUAAUCUCGUGGGAGAAUAUUCGCUUCUAGAUCCCUCAACCUUCGACCUUCCUUCUCUCUCUUUCUCGUUUCAUGUAAAAAAAGAUUAGAGUAAAUAGACCACACUCGGGGGGUGUUGGCCAAAGGCCCUCCGAUGCCUAAGUUAGUUUGAGUGUUUGUGGGAAAACAAUAGCUAAGCAAAGGGUACGGAGUUGUAUAUAUGGUGUGAACCGGGCGGCCAGAGCCGUUUGGAGAAAAUAUGGAGAGUGGAGAGGAAAAGAGAGCUUCAGGUAUUUUUCUUGAGUAUUAGGAGUAGGUUUAGACGUGGGUUUUUUUGAAGUACCUUGAAUGAUGAAUGAAGUCGUCUAUUUAUAAGAGCCUCUGGGCUAAGGUUUCGUAGAGAAUAUGCUGAAUUUAUUCUCUACCCAAGUUCGUAAGGAUUGAGUCGGACUUGAUAAUAUAUGAAUUAAUGAUAUUAUUUCUUUUCAAGAAGAUAAUAUCUGAAUUAAAUGAUAUUAUCUUCUCUUUAUUAUGAUAAAUCUGAAUUAAUGAUAUUAUCUUAUUAAAUAAAGAUAAUAUCAUAUUAAUUAAGAUAUUUAUUCUAAUUAAUUAAUUAGCCAGAUAAACUGGUUUAAUUAAUUAAUUUAAGAGAUAAUCUUCUUUUCCACGUGGCGUGCUGUGAUUGGAGACGAAAAUAUUUUCUCCCACAAGUGUUAUGCAGGUUGAAUUUUGUUGGGAUUGUUCAAUUUACAGGGGAGACUCUGUCAAAUUUUGAUAGAAAGUCUCACUUUCUAGUAAGUGAGCCCGGCAUCGGGGUGAUGUCAGUAAAUAGACGAGAUUCGUCCCGAUUUUCGAGGAAUUUCGGGGCGGGUCCUGUCAUUGGAAGUCGAGUCAUGCUUACAACUCGAAGAGAAGACAUAGAAUCCUUUUCUUUUGGAGUUCAAAGCCAUGUUCACAAGAUUCAACCGUUGGAAGGGGGUGAUGCAUGGGAGCUUUUCAGCAUGAAAGCAUUCUCAAGUGAUCUGAAAAAAUCUUGUUCACCUGAACUUCUGCCUUCAGCUCGGGAACUUGUGGAAAAGUGUGAAGGCCUACCACUCGCGAUCGUAGCCUUAAGUGGUCUCAUGUCUUCUAAGAAGUCACUUAAAGAGUGGAGCAUAGUCUACAACAGCUUAAAUUGGCAUCUAACAAACAAUUCUUUGUUACAACCUAUGAAGAUGCACAUCUUGUUGUUUAGUUUUAAUGAUUUUCCAUACCGAUUGAGGCAAUGCUUUCUGUAUUGUUCCCUUUUUCCAGAAGGUCAUGUGAUCAUAAUGUCAAACAAAGUAGGGUAAAUAUUCAGUUAUACUAAGAUACGCUCAUAUUAUUAUUCUUCCUCAAUAUGGAGGUAUUUAUACAAGUACAAAGAUGUGUUAACCCUAAAUAAAAUAUGAAAUAUAUCUAAAUUAUAAUAGGAAGUAAAUCUCUAUUACAAUAGGACUAAAUAAUAAUUGGUAAGUAACCAAAAUCCUAACUAAGUAAGGACUAGCCAACACUUCCCCUCAAGUUGGGCAAACAUAUUUCGCACACCCAACUUGACAAGCGAGUCAUAGAACACCAUACUUGAGAAGCAACAAUUGUAGACAAGGUCUUUUCAUCAACCACAAGAGCAAACCCUAAAAAAUUAGGGCACAUAGCAGAACAUAGAAACCCUGUGAGCACGGCAAUAGGUAAGGCAAAACACAGAAACCUUGUAAGCACAGCAAUAGAUAAGGCAGAACACAUAAACCCUGUGAGCACGACAGUAGAUAAGGCAGAAUACAGAAAUUCUGUGAGCACGGCAAUAGGUAAGGCAGAACACAGAAACCCUAUGAGCACGGUAGCAGAUAAGGCAGAACACAGAAACCCUGUGAGCACGGCAGUAGAUAAGGCAGAACACAGAAGCCCUGUGAGCACGACAAUAGAUAAGGCAGAACACAGAAGCCCUGUGAGCACGGUAGUAGAUAAGGCAGAACACGGGCAAGGCCACAGCAACAACAACGACAAUGACCACAUCAACGGAAAACGAAGCAAGCAAUGGCAACAUCAACGGUGACAACAUCGACCACAAAAAAAAACACACCAGCAAAGGCAUGAGCAACAAUACUGGCACCAUAACAGGCAGAAGCAACAAUACUGGUAACUAACAACAGUAGUACAAGGCACUGGCACCAGCAAUAGCAAUAAGGCAGAGACAUAACAGGCAUCAUCAACAAUAAUCAACACUAUUCCCAGCAAGAGUCAUAAUAGGCAAGAGCAAUAACAUUGUCCCUAACAAGAGACAUAAUAGAGAUGAGCAACGGUACUGGCACCAGCAAAGAACAUUGUAGUUAGUAACAAUAACAAUGACAAAUACUUCCAUUAUUACACAGACAACUUAUCUUCACUCCCCCUCUUCCCCUGAAGAGAAUGGGCCGUUGGAACCAUAAGAAAAGUGGCACUUAAGAAACAGAAGCUGACUGACGCUCAGAUGUAGAAGAAUCAGCCAUGGCAAAUAGGUAGCUGAAUUGCAGCGGAAUAGAUGAGCAGCGGUGUCACUCCCCCUCAAAUCCGACGAUGUAUGAGAGUUGAGAUUUGGAGAAAGCAACACCAAAAAAUAAAGUUACAGCACCCAAAUAAAGUUGCAUCUAUUCCCCAUCAAAUCCGACACUGGUAAAGGGUCGAGAUUUGAAAGAAGAGAAAUUGAAAUAAUAGUAAAGAUACUCAAACAUGCCAGUCUCGUGGCAGAAACAAAUGCAAGAGGGGAAGGUGGUAGCGUACGGUUGUCCCAUGAAGAAAAAACUUCAAAAAAGGAGAAUAGUAAGGGAGGAAACCCAGCAAAUCAUGAACAGAGACAAAGACAAAGAUAAGGUGCUCAAACUGAGAAGCGGAAAGGCAACUCAAGAGAGCAGUCGAAGAAGACAAAGAUCGGCAGAACAGUCAAAGGAAAGGCUCGAUGAGCAGUGACGAGGCUCGCGGAGGAAAACAAUGGCUUGGUGAGUGGUGACGAGGCUCAUGGAGUAAAGAGACUUGUUAUGAAGUUUCAAAGAUAAAAAAGCUGAGACAUGAAGAAAGACAAUCUGGCACAUAAAGAUGAAAAAAUAAAAAUUGUGGAACAAUAGCAAAGAAGCAUGUGAAGGCUAAGUGCGGUGAAAACACAUAUGAGAGGAUGAACAAAAUAUGGGGACUAUACAACAUGAAGACCCAUGAUGGGUUAGGAAUGAGAAGUGCCAACGACUCUCAAUUUGGCAGAGGUUAUCACAGGUUAGGAACCUGGCUCUGAUACCAUGUCAAACAAAGUAGGGUACAUAUUCAGUUAUGCUAAGAUACGCUCAUAUUAUUAUUCUUCUCCAAUAUGGAGGUAUUUAUACAAGUACAAAGAUGAGUUAACCCUAAAUAAAAUAUGAAAUAUAUCUAAAUUAUAAUAGGAAGUAAAUCUCUAUUACAAUAGGACUAAAUAAUAAUUGGUAAGUAACCAAAAUCCUAAGUAAGUAAGGACUCGCCAACACAUAAAUAAUAGGCUUAUCGCAUUGUGGAUCGCUGAAGGAUUUGUUGAACAUGUCGAAGGGCUCACGCCAGAAGAAGUUGCAAAUAGCUAUCUUAUGGAACUCAUUUUUCAUAACAUGCUACAAGAAAGGUUUCGAGGAUCCCUCCCAGCAUGUAAGAAGAAAAGUUUUGCGGGAGAUUGCUCUGUCUAUAGCAAAAGAAGAAAAGUUUUGCGUUGUACAUGAUGGGGGUGAAACAGUAGAAGAAACUGGGGCACUCCGUUUGUCAAUUCAAACAACUAAUGGAGAAAUUGGAACAUCACGCUGACAAAAAUAGAGGCACUUCCAAGAGGGAUUUCCAAGUUGCUAAACUUACGCCAUCUACUUGUGCAGGGGUUAAUUUCCAGAAAGGCAAUUGGGGUAAGAAUACCAUCAAGUAUUAGUAAGAUGAAGAAAUUGCAAACUUUGGCAUAUAUUGAAUCAGAAGGAAACAUUAUUAGACUUAUUGGAAAUAUGACCCAGCUUACGUUUCUUGGCAUUUUAAAUGUGAAAGAAAUAGACGAGGAGAACCUAUGUCCUUUCCCGCUUGUUUUUAUCUGUAGCUGAUGGAGAGGAAUUUCUUCGAGUUGACGCAUUGCCUACACCGCCUCCCUACCUUGAUAGAUUUGAAUUGAUCGGCAAAAUGGAAAAGGUACCACAUUGGUUUUGUUCUCUCCAGUCUCUCACAAAUUUGAAUCUGCACGAGUCCAGACUUGAAGAAGAUUUACUAAGUCAUAUUGAAGCAUUGCCCUCUCUACAUUCUCUUUGCCUCGAUAAUGCCUCGGUUAGGAAAGAGUUAUGUUUCAACAGAGGCUUUGUGAAGCUUCGGCAUUUGUGGUUUUGGGAUCUCGCAUUAUUAAAUAAGAUAACUAUAGAAAAAGGGGCGAUGCCAAAUCUCGAGUUCUUAGGCAUUCGUAGUUGCUUGACAUUAGAAACAUUGCCAUAGGGUAUUGAGAACCUUACUAAACUACAACUACGUAGAUUUCGUAAUGUUUCAGAGAGUCCAUAAAAGAAGGAGGUGUGGAUCAUCCAAGGAUGCUACUCGUCCACGAGAGAUGUAAGAAAUAUACGUAAGUAUCUUUUAUAUCCUUUCAUUGACUUUCCUAAACUUAAUGAUUUGGAAUAUUGCACUUGUGUUCAAGAAAUUGCUCUCGUUCACAUCUCUGUUAAUGGAUGUAAAGCCAUAUACAUUGUUAAUUACAAUAUUGCUUUUGUCUUUUUAUAUAUUUUGCAGAAACAACUACUGGGAUUGAAGAUUUUACCCAUGAGUUUGGGGGUGGGAACUUUGGAACUUGUUCGUCUUGUUGUGACCCCAAGAGUGAUCUAGAUUGGCUUCUUAUUUGCUCUUUUGAAAAUCAAAUAAUACCCAAGUUGAUGUUCAUAAAAUUGCAGUUGAUGUUUUUGUGUGUGUUUUAAUUUGCAUGCAAUAAAAUUCGAGUUUGCAUAUGUCACUUCAGCAAUUGGCAGAUGUAUGUCGAUGAUUAGCUUUUAAGAUUUGGACCAUGGAUUCUUUUAUAUUUGGCGUGUUUGUACUUUCUUCUAUGUUAAUUGUGUUUGUAUUUUCAGGUUUUUUCUUUGGGGUCAGAUUUUGUACUUUCAGAUUGGCUAAAUAAAUAAUACAGAAUCUUAAUUGCUUUUCAUGAGAAGUAUUAUAACACAUGAAUGUCAAUGUAGCGGUAUCUCAAGCCAAUUACGCAUUAUUAUAUAAGGGAAUUAAAACACAUUACAAUGCGUGAUUGAUUUGAAAUACAGCCAUAAUGACAUCCAUGGUGUAGGCAUAUUUUUCAUCACCCUUAUCAAUCCUAUUGAGUAACCUGUUAGAAUCUUCUCCCCAAAGCUGUGUCUUCUGCCGCGGUUGACCUCCCCUCCCCUCUUUCUCCCCCAAUUGUGACAAGGAUGCGCUCAAAUAUUUGAUCUUAUCUAAGGAAUGAAAUGUAGUUAUUAUUAUUAUUUUUAAUCAAAGAAAACUAUAUACAUUUAAAACAUGUUUGACAAAGAAAAUAAAAAGACAUUCGUUUUAGGCAGUAGAAGCUUCCACGUGGAACGUACGUGGGGGGCUGAUAACGGUUUUAACAGACAAAAACACAAACACAAAACAAACACUCUGUUCCCUUCUGAUCUCUCUGCCUCUCAGAGCCAUUGAUGAAGAAUACGAGGUCAUAGUGCUCGGAACGGGCCUCAAAGAACGCAUUCUCAGCUGCCUCCUGACCUCUCAGUGGAUGGUCUCAAGGUAAAGCUUAUGGAACUUUUUUCUUUUUCAAUCACAAUAAAAUUGGCUUUAGCUAGAUCAUUCAUUGAUAAGAAUGUUUAGGCUACUAGCUGAUGUUAAUAUGGUAUUUACCUGAAAUAGGUACUCUGCAUAUGGAUAGGAAUGACUACUAUGGAGGAGAGUCCACCUCUCUUAAUCUCAACCAGAUAUAAUUAUAUACAUGUAUGUUGUUAUUCAGAGAGAGAGGGAGGGAGAGAAAGGCAAAGUGUACAAACUAGAAGAAGUGAUAUCUCUCUAUCCAUCCAAGCCUUGAGUGUCGGUCAUUUAAGCUGCUUAUAUCUUGCUGUCUGGCUCUGGUCUUUUACUAAAUCCGGCUCUUUCCUUUUUGUGUAACUUCAGAAACAGAGAAGAUGAUCUUCUAAGAAUUAAGUAGGAUUUUCAAAACCAAUUUUUCAAUUUGAUCCCCGCGCUACAUAAAAUAUAAAAAAUUAAUACCUCUGCUGCGAUGUUUCUUGUAUUUUUACUUGUAUGUGUAUACGCAUGUCUGUGUACUUCAUCUUCGUAGUUAGAUAGCAGUCAAAAUUUGAUCAAAUUGGUAUAAUGCUUGUUUGUACCAUAACUGACCGAGCAACUAGCUAGGCUAGAUCAUUCGAGUGCCAUGCUUUGAGAGGUCAUCACCUUAGCCAAAGAAGCAUCACCACAAAUCACAACUCUAAGCAAAGCAAGAGGAGUCCCACAUCGGAAAACUACAAGAGAUGGAGACUCCCCCUCACCUAUAAAAGAAGACUGCUCUUUCCUUAGAAGAGGAUCCGAGUCUUGGAUCUAGACCCUUGGGCCUUGGACUCUCUCUUCUGGAUCCAUCUCUGGGCUGGGCUUCUCACUUGUUAUCUUUAUAUUUGGGUCUAAUCCCCUUGUACAAAGGAAAACAAACAUUAUCAUAAUGAGAACACCCUUCUCCGUGGACGUAGCCCAUCAUUCGGGUGAACCACGUAUAUCUUGUCUUCUAUAUGUUUAUCGUUUGCCCAAAUCCUCACACACUUGGUGAAGGUCCUCACCUUCAUCCAUCAUCCAUCACACCUCAUCACUAAGUUGGACUCAAUCUUGGCCUAACCAUUUUGAGCAUCAACAAUGCUCAUCUGAUUUCGUUGACUUAUGACAGGUCAGCUGCCACUUGUAGACAUUGUUUUUACUCUUUGUAGAUCGAUUGAAAUUCUAAGCGAGCAGUUGUUACGGGAAAUCUCAAGAGCCUUGAAUCCUCUGGUUCUUCCAGAGGGAAAAGGCAUAAGGUAAUUCAUUAUUCACGUUCGCAUUGUCACAUUAUGGAUUUAGUUUUGAUGUGAGAAUCUUACCUUGGAUUUCUGGCAGACCACCUAUGUAAUUCAGCACAACCUACUACUGUCUAGUUUUCUACAAGCACAAGCCCUUCAGAUGAAAUCAAAUUUUUCAUAUGAAUUGACCUUUAGGGUAAGUUUCAAUGUGACCGCUGUAGGUUAGUCGGUUGAGCUUUGAUUUUGUUUACUUCUCAUUUUGUAUGUCAAGGCUAAAAAGUUUGAAGAUUGGUUCAUCCUUUGCGUUAAAAAAGACCACGAGAAGUUUACCAAAAGUUCAGAUCAAUGAUGAUAUUUGGUUGAUGAAGAUAGUCUGUUGACACAGAAGAGGACCUAAAGAAACCCAGCUGCUUCUAUGUAAGGCAUCCUGGCUGGUUCUAAUUAUUUAUUUAGGUUUUUGUGACUUGUUUAUAGUGUUUGUCAACUUUGUGAGAUUCUUUAACCAUAAACUGAGCAAGCUGCAAAAUUGUGAGUUGGAAGCACAAGGAAAGCUUGUAAAAAUUGAAAUGGUGUUGGAGCUCAUGUUGCGGUAAAGCCUUUUGUAUGUGCUAGAUGUAUGUGUGCAGCAUGUUGAUCAUGUUGGUGCUCUGGCCUCUUUAUUUAUUUAUAAUUAUUUUCAGUAUUUUUUUAAGAUAGAGCUAAAUCAACUAAUCUAGGGUGGCGGUGCCAUGGGGUUUUGCAAAUAAACACCUCUACCACUGAGGUAAUCACACCCUGGCUGGCUGGUGCUCUGGCUUUUUUCUGUAACUCUUGCUCUGUUUUAGCUUUUAGUGUCGGAUGAUGAAAUAUUUACCACUUGUAGUUAUUAGGACUAUUUAUGAGGUUAGGACUCAUACUCAAGUGUUGUGUGAUGUUUUAUGACGUUAAUUCGUAUAUGACUACCGAGUUUAUUGCUUUCAGUUUGGAAUUUUGUAUGUACAGUGCAUAAAUAAGAUUGUUUUGUGUUAAAAUAGUUGGUUGUACGAGUGUCAAUAUUUUUUUUGGGAUUUUUUGUAGAAAUGUCACCUUAAUUUUUUUAAAUUCAUGAUUUAUCAUCUGACUUUAACAUUAUCGAAUUUUUCAUCAAUUUUUAAGGCUAUUUUAGUCUUUCUAUUUUUAAGGAUAUUUAAAAAAAUGGAAAAAUCAAUAUAAAAACAAUUGUAUAUCUUUUAAACAAUUACAAUUUAAAAAGAAAAAGAAAAUCUCACCUUCCCCCAUCCCAUGUGCGCAACUAACGGCUCCAACCAACCCAGCCCACUUUGAAAUUCAUUCCCCCUUCCCUCUUCCCCUUCCUCCUCCUCUCUCUACCAUGAAACACCUACCCUCCAUUCACAAAUUCCCUCAGCCCACCUUUUUCUUCUUAUUUUUUCUUUUUGGAAUUUUUCCACUUGGAUAUUGAAAAUUUGUGGAUGGACAACUACCAAACAAAUAAUUAGGUAGUCUAUGUAACAAAUGGUGACCAAGCAAACUUUAGAUCCUUCAACAUAAACAUAGUGGCUUAAAUGAAACUAGGAAGACAUGAAAGGAGUUGGAUAUUGGGUUAUACAUGCUCAAAGAGAGAGAGAAGAGAGGUGAGAGAAGGGGGAAGGGGGGUGGUGUUUGUUGUCCUGUGCAAUGUGUUUUGGGGGGUGGGUUGGGUGGGGUUGGGGUUGGGGAGAAAGGGAGGGAGAGGUCUCUUUUUUUUCUCUUUUUUUUUUCCUUGAAAAUGGAAAGACUCAAAUAUCCUUAAAAAUGGAUGGAAAAUUGGAUGGUGUUAAAGUUAAAUGACAAAUCAUGGAUUUUGAAAAAUUAAGAGUGACAUUUCUCUUAAAAUUUUCUUUAAGAUGACAAAUUGAAAGUGAAACUAGGGUAUAAGUUCACAUGACAUUCUGUACAUAACGUGGUAUAUAAAUGUGGUAUGACUAGUAUUUUUUAUUUAUAUAUAUGAUGAAUGACUCUUUUUUAUGAAUUAAAUUAUGAGAAGUAGUACGGAUGAUACUAGGUGUGUUGCAGGACUUUGAACAUGCUUUUUUUAGGGUUCUAAGGGAGCUGAAUCUCAGAAACAAAAACUACAUAAUCAAACUCCUGGUCUAGCAAAUCCACUCAAAUCUUCCAGUAGAGAAUGUCCGAAUCCUUCAGGCACACCCUCCCAAAUUAUACACCCCAAUUCUAAUUUUGAGCCCAAACAUGGCAAGUUAUUCGCAUGGCAAUUGCCUUCCUGACAUUUAUGAGUAAUACUGCAGUCUUUGUACAAAAGCAUCUUCUCGCAGUUAGUCACCAAAUUAUAAAAGGGACGCUCCUCCUCCAAAUCUGAAAAUAGCAUUUGCACAGCAAUUUGAGAAUCAUAUUCAAUAUCAAGUGGGAACCAUCCCUUCUAGCAUGCCAAAACAAUUACAUGGUUUCAGUAGGAUUUGAAUUUUUUGUUAAUAUCAACAAACUAAGAUUUGAUAACACUUAUAUUCAAGUUUUGGAUAACAUCAUGACAACGUUGAAAGCGUAUUGUCAAAACCUAGUCUACAAAGCUCAUAGUUGUCAAAGAAUAAGAGGGUGAUAAUUUCUACUGCAUCUUGGACCAUUGUCAAAUGAGUUUUCGAAGGUUGUCAAAUAAAUUUGAACAAAUUUACAUAUACGACAACAUCAAAGACACGCCAUUAAAUGUAUAAGACUUUUAACAACAUCAAGAUACACAACACCUGCAAUCGCAUUGUCAAAAGACAUACACAACGGUCAUGGCGCCGUUGUUGAAUACAUAUAUUGUUGUAGUGUCUAUAACCUUUUAUAAUAAUAAAAAAGAAUGAUACUUUAGUGUGAAAACCUAAUCUUCAAAGCUCAUAAUAAUUAAGGGAUUGUCAAAGAAUAAGAGAGUUAGUUUUGCAUUCCGUUUUCUUCAAGGCAAUACACAUUGGGUCUAUAUGUUAGGUUAGGAAGUGGACCUAUACAUCGCAUCAUAUGGAGUACUUCAUCAUUAAUAUUAUAUUAAUUCGAGAAAUUGUUUAAUCAGUGACUUGUCUUACUGCAAAAUGUGAUCCAAGAGGAGAAAUUAUAGAGUUAUACAGAUCUGGUAACUUCGCCACUCAAAAACUGCCACGUGCCCUGUCACUCUAUUUCUCGUCCUAUGGCAUUCAUUCACAUUGGUCAUGCUUAACAACAUUUUCUAAGCCCCAACCAACCACACAAUGGAACUUUAUUGUUGUUCAAUCUUCUCCUCAAACCAUGUAUUUUAAUCUUCACUCAAAUCAAUCAUUUAUCAGUAAAUCUUUCACUAAAUUUUGUGUUACUGAAAUGCUUUUUCGAAUAUGCAUAUGAUUGUGUUAGAUUUUGUGAAGGGGUUAAGAAGUGCUCGGAUUACUAUUUAGGCCAAGAGUUUAGAGUCAGAAGAACUGAGAGGGUUUUAAAAUAGAGACAAAGAGAUUUGAUUAGAAAAGAGAGAAUGAUUACGGGGCUUGGUUAUAUAUAUAGGACUGUAGGCUAUGUUGCCUUCUAGUGGUUUAGCUCUUGGCUUCACAAUUUGUGCUUGAUUUGAUUACGUGGUGGGAGAGAUCAAGUGUAUGUAUAGUAUAGAAUGUUGCCUGGUUCCCGUGUUGUCCCGGCAACUUGGGAUAUCUCCACCAUUCUUAGCCACGUACGUGUGUUUGUGGCUUGCAAUCUUCAUUUGUGUUUGUCAUUUGUAUUCUACCAAGUUAAUAUUUUGCUACUUGGGACAUCUCCACCACCAUUCUUAGCCACAUGUAGAGUGUAGCAGGUAGGGAUUAAUAUCUCCGAUAUUUGCUACUAAGCCGACCCGAAAGACAUCCGUCAUCAGUAUUUGACUUUUAAUUUUCCUGGAAUUAUGUAGAUUAUUAUAGACAAAUGAACAGUUUUUAACAGAGUGAUUGCUCCCUAGAUAUGUUCUUUUAAUCAUUUGUUGUAGUGUCGGCAACCGUUUAUACGUGAAGGUUAGGAAGUGGAGACUUUUAUAUACAUCACAUCAUAUGGAGUACUCAUCAUUAAUAUUACAUUAAUUGGACUGACUUGUCUUAUUGUGAAAUGUGAUUGACUAGUCGUUAUAGAGUGAUACAAUAUCACUACGUUGGCUAGUGAUACUGUCACUCUAUAAUUGUCACGUGUCCUAUGAUUAUAAUUUCUCUGUUAUAAAAUGAACUGAGAUAUGUGCGAAUAUUGAGCUGCACGUAAAGUAGAUGAGACACAGUAUUUAACGAGGUUCGGCUAUGCCUACGUCCUCGGAGAGCAGCAACAGUAACUUUUCACUAUGUAGAAUAAUAGGGCUACAACUUUAGUGUUUACAAUAUGUAUGGCUCACUCAAUUUUCUCUCUUGGAGAAUUUCUCUCUUGCUCUCUUUCUUCUCAACUCACUCACCCUCAUUCUUCCUUCUCUUCCUCUUCUAUAUGUGUGAACUUCUCUUGAUGGAGGUAUCUAUUUAUAGGCCUAAGACAUUGGUUGUUCACCUCACAAUAUAAUUGGUAGACAACAUCAUUAAUAUUCUUCUAUCAACAACAUCAUUAAUAUUCUUCAAUCAACAACAUCAUUAAUAUUCUUCAAUCAAUUGGGUAGUGGUUUGGUUUGGUGGGUGUGUGGUUAGGUUUAGUGGGUGUUAGUUGGCUAUGUGGGCUUCACCUAUUCUUCUUUACUUAUUCUUCUUUACAACACUCCCCCUUGGAGACCACAUGUCCCUAGAUUGGUUGCCUCAUUAAAACCUUGCUUGGAGAAAAACCCAGUGAGGUAGAAAACUGAUGGAAGGAAGAAAAAAGAGUACAGCAAUCUGUAUAGCAUACUUCUGGAUGCUCCCCCUGAUUAAUAUCUCCCCCUGAUGUCUUCAUGACUAUCUUUUAGAGUGAGAAUCUUUCGGAGUGAGUGGAGGAUAUAGCAAUUAAUAAUUCUCGUAGUUGAGUAAGUAAAUAUAUUUUCAGUGAGCUAUCUCUAUGUAAAUCAUAGAAAUUUUCAGAGUCCGCGUUUCUAACAAAACUUGGGCUAUUUGUAAGUUCACUUGAAAGAAUAGGCCCGUACAUGGUGUUAUGCGGAGAUAGCAUCAAAUAUACCUCACAUCAUCUCAAAAUGAUGGUGAUGGAGUUGAGCCCUAUCUGGAAAAUAUGAUGUCCGGUCCAAUAUACUUCCGGAAAAUCAUUAAAGUGUCCAACGGAUAAUCCUCAUAAAAAUGCUUCAAUAUUUUCUUAGUAUAAGCAAGAAUCUCGUUGGCAUAAUGCUCGAUCCUUAAGUCGAGACAAAUAUUUCGCGAAUUCUGCAGAAGCUUUAAUGUGUUGCAAUCACAUUAUAAUCAAUGUACUCACUGAGGUAAUUUAUGCAUAUUAAUAUUGAGUACAAAUUUUGUGCUUCAAGCACAUGUCCUUUAGGGACUUGUUUUAUGCAAUGUCAAUCCUCUCAACGGAUUUUGUUUAAAAGGGAUUAAACUUUAUGACACAUUAUAUAGCUUUAACCCAGCUAUUUAUACAUCUUUAGGGAAUCGCUUCUGGCGAUAUGCUCUGUGCAUUUAAUAACCCUUAAAGAUAAUAUGUUGGUCUCCGUAAUUGUGUAAUAAGGGGGGGCACAAUUGAAUCUGUAAAUAUGGAGAAAACCCAACAUUCCUUGUUUCUGCCAGAAACAGUGUGUCAUACAAAGUAGGUAUAUUCCCUUUUAUUCCGAACACCCAAGUAUAAAUUCAGUAUUAACAAAUUUUGGGGUUCGUAUUGUGGGUUUGUUCUUUCACGUUCAUUCUCAUUUAUAAUGGAAUUACCUCGUUCCAUUUUGGCCAAUGAUAUUGUCGACAUUUAAUAAUUGAACGUGGUUCCAAUCAACACAGCCCAUUGAUGAUUUGAGUAGCUACUCCAAAACCAAAAAUUGUCAUUCAUCAAUUCAUGAUCUCACAAUUCUCAUGUGCAUGCGCAUGCAUCAAUUAGAAGCAUUUCUUUUGCUUUUAGGUACCCAAGCCACUUCAUGGGGCUUUUAUUAUGUGAAAAUGUGGAUUAUAACCUCCAAUGGCGCGUUAUUUUACAGUAGGGCGUGGAUAAUCUCUAUUUAGAGAGUUGGAACAUUUAGAACCCAUAUAUCUGUCAUGCUGCAGGCAUGCCACAGAUUAAUACAUACAUGUCAAUUAAUUUCUGGGACUUUAACCCAUAUUAUGGGACUUUAACCCAUAUAAUUUGCUACGCAUUAGGCGUGCAUAAUAUCAAUAUUGACAUGUCAAAGGAUUGUCCUUUCGGGACUUCAAUCCAUAUCAUUUGCUACGCAACAGGCGUGCACCCAUAUAUCUGUCAUGCCGCAGGUAUGCGACAGAUUAAUACAUACAUGUCAAUUAAUUUCUGGGACUUUAACCCAUAUAAUUUGCUACGCAUUAGGCGUGCAUAAUAUCAAUAUUGACAUGUCAAAGGAUUGUCCUUUCGGGACUUCAAUCCAUAUCAUUUGCUACGCAACAGGCGUGCAUCAUAUUGAUCACUGCUAUACCCAUAUUCUGUUCUUAUGGUACAUUAAUCUGUGCAAUGUAUUAUCAAUGUAUCCAACUUGCAAUCUGUAAAAUUUGCAUUAAUAAUUCAUGGAUACAUACAAGCCAUUUUUUUGGAACGGACUUAUCUUCCCAUUUGGUUACCUUUCAAGAUAAAAUAUCAAAUAAGUAUAUAAGCAGAAAAUAACACAAGUAUUGCUUACAUCCUUAGGUGGGAGAAACUUUUCUCAAGUAUCAUUCAAGCUUGUAUCGGCCCAGUAAAUGUAGCGCUUGAUGAUCUAGUUAUAUCCUGCAAUAGUAAAAUCACAACUCUUUUCUCUGUCAAAAACAAAUAAUCCUCAGAGAGUUACAGAAAGAGAAAAAAUGCAAAAAGAGAAGGUAAGCAAUCAGGGAAGGAAGCUGGUGGGAGCAGACAAUAAGCUCUCAUAUCUCCUAGUCUAGAAGGACUUCCGGAGAUUAGAGCAUAAGAUUGCCUUCACAGUUUCUUGAUGAAGCGGAAACGUGAUCAGGGAUAGUCUCGCUUCCUGAAUGGAUGAUCAGAGAUAGUCUUGCUUCUCGGGCAUAUUAAGUGCCCACUGAUAAGAAAAACAAGUAGAUAUCGCAUCACUAGGUAUGGAGAAAACUGGAUGUCUUCUGCAAAGAAAAUUUCGUUAGUAACACAUUUAUACACAAAUACAAUGAAUAGGUAGAACCGGUGAAUUUCAAAUUAACCAUAGGAAAAUUGCGAGAUUCUCGGGGUACUUUUGAAAAAGUAGCUCCGUGACACUACUACAAAAAAGCAAAAAGACGACGGUAAAUCACCGUCGUGUAUUUGGUUUUUCAAUGGUCGUGGAAUCCACCGUCAUCUUUUCCCUCAUAAACCACGACGCUAAAUAACCGUCGUUGUUAAACAAUACAACGUCAUCAAAAAAUACAAAACGACGUCUUUGUACUGCAAAAAGAUCUAAAAAAAGCAAUCGAUGAUGAUAAUAGACGACCAAUUCUCUAAAAACACCGUCGUUAAAAAGGGAAAAUAUGACACAUAUUAAGAGAACAAAGCCGCAAGAUAGACAUACAACGACGACAAUAAAAAUACGCCGACGUUAAAUAUAAUUUUCACGACAAUAAAAAAUAUGACGUCUUUAAAUACAUUAGAAGACGACGUUAUUGAUACCUACUACGUCGCACAUAUAAACACAACCGUCGUACAAUUAAUUUUCCACUUCGAUUUUUCGAUAAAAGAUGACGUGGAAAUAGUUGUCAGUGUCAUUAUUUACGACGUAUGUGUUUCUAUAGUAGACGUUGAAAAACUAAACAACGUCAGUUACAAAUAUAUGAGAGUCGUAUUAAAAAAUUUAUACGUCCUAUUUUCAGAAACAAACAACGACCAUAAAUAUUAGACGUUGUUAAAUACAACAACGUCGGAAAACAAUAAAAACAGACGUGUUUAGUCUGCUAAAGUUCUACAACGUCUCUUAUUUACAAAAAACCGUCGUGAAAUAAAUUUUCCACUUCGAUUUUUCUAAAAAAGAUGACGUGGAAAUAGUUGUCAGUGUCAUUAUUUACGACGUAUACAUUUAUAUAGUCGACGUUGUAUUUAUAUGUAUUCAUUACUCACGACGCACUUAAUAAUAUAGACGACGUUGAACGUCUAAACAACGUCGGUUCCAAAUAAAUGAGAGCCGUAUUACAGAACAUAUAGACGGCGUAGAUUAUGAUGGGAGCCGUAUUACAAAUAACGUCGUUUAAUUGUUAUUAGACGGCGGUUAUAAUGAAUUUCCGUCGGAAUUAAUUUCGUUCCUCUUCGUUUAUAAAAGAACUUGCGACGUGGAAAAUGUAUGAUGACGUCGUAUUUUUUAACGUUCAGAUUACAUAUCUCGUUUUUUAGACGUCGGUAUUAUGGGAUUGGAGUCGUGUUAUUUUGAAUUACAUGGCGGUUCUUUAUCCUUCACCGACGUGAUAUCCUGAAUAAUUGCUUCACAAUAGCGUCGUGGUUCUUCAUUGUUACGUUGCUUUAAGACGUCGGUAAAUAUGCUGAAUAACUGAUUCACAAUAACGUCGUGUUUUAUUUGAACGUAGAAAGUGAAGAAAUCACAUUACAAUAUAUUACAAAAUUAAUGUCAUACACUGCCAAUUACAUAAGCAUCAUUCAAUCCAUAUAUCUUCACACCCAUCUCGAAUAUUUUGACCGCCUAACUCACCUACCAGUUCAUCAAAUGUGUCAACAUUUGGCAUCCCUCUAGUAAAUGGCUCACACUCAAUUAUCACAUCACCUAAUACUUCAUCACCAAUAACAUCAUUAUAUUCUCUACUAGGCAUUGAUAACACUACCGACCAACCACGAUGCAUCGGGUCGUCAACAAAAAAUAUUUGUUUGACUUGAGAAGCCAAAACAAAUUGGUCAUUCCUAUGUCCAAUUUUACUCAAAUCUACAAGGGUAAAUCCAAGUUCGUCGACUACAAGACCAGAACUAUCUAUCCAAUCACACCUAAAGACUGGGAUUGUAAACUUUUGGUAGUCAAGGUCCCAAAUUUCUUGAAUGACACCAUAGAAACCCAUAUUUGAGAGAAUUGGGUUUUUAUCCUUGGCACUAGCAACUUGCAUGGUAUGUGCAAGUAAAUAAACUCCACUAUUUUGAGUUGUCCGCACAUCAUCUUGUGCCUUGAUAUUGAAUUUAAUACCUUUAAUAAGAUAGCUCCUAUAUAAUGGCACUGACAUGUUUGGACCAGCUGCUAGCCACCUUAAAUUUUCUGAUACGCCAUGAUUGUCUUCCUCAAGUUCACUUUGAACCUGCAAAUUAAUCAUAUCUUAAUUCAUCCUAACAUAUAAAUAAGAAGAAAAUUAAAAGAGAAAUACGUUAUUCAACAACAUAUACCUUGAAGCGUAGCCAUUGAAUGAAAGUGCUAUUGUGCUUAUCCUGCAGCCACUUUGUUCUCUUUCUAAAUUUUGGAUAAGCAGUCUUGAUGUGGAUCAUAUGUUGCCUACAUGACACGAAAAAUUCAAGCAUUACGGUCCCAAAUAUAUAAGAUAAACAUAAGAAAUAAUUUUAAAUGGAAACUUAAAGAAUAAAACUCAUACGUACUCGAUAUAAGGUAGGACUUCCUUCGUAUUCUCCAAGACAUAUAGAUGUGCUUGAUUCAACAGGUCCUGAUCAACUACGCUCACUGUGCAACCUGAUAAUGGCUUUGAAACUCCCAUCUUUUGGCUUGAAGGCACUCCAACUGUACUAACAUCAGAUAAAUGCUGAGUACAAAACUCUACCGCUUCUUCAGCUAUAUACCGCUCAGCAAUGCAACCUUCGGGACGAGUACGAUUCUGAACAUACCCCUUCAGCACUUUCAUAUAUCUUUCAAACGGAUACAUCCACCUAAAAUAUACUGGCCCACAUAGACGAACUUCUCUGACAAGAUGUACUACUAGAUGAACCAUGAUAUCAAAGAAUGAAGGGGGAAAGUACUUCUCAAGCAAACACAGAGUAACUACUACAUCUUCUUCCAACUUAUCUAGCUUGGAAACAUCAACAGUCUUUGCACAUAUAGCAUUGAAGAAGAAGCACAAACGAGUUAUUGCAUACCUUGCAGGCUUCUCCAAAACAGAACGAAUUGCCACAGGGAGCAAUUGUUGCAUUAAGGUAUGACAAUCAUGUGAUUUAAGGCCAAGAAGUCUUGAAUCUUGUACAGAUACAAGAUUUUUAAUAUUUGAAGAAUAACCUUCAGGGACCUUCAUACCAUAGAAAGAAUUGCAAACCUCUCUCUUCUCUGCUCUUGACAAAUUCCAAGGCCCAGGAGGCAAACGAGUACGUCUUUCUCCAUACUCGGGUUGCAAAUCAGUUUUGACCCCCAUGUUCAAUAAAUCUAAUCGAGCAGCAAUCCCAUCUUUAUUUUUUCCAGGGAUCUCCAGCAAUGUACCAAUGAUACUAUCGCAAACAUUCUUCUCAAUGUGCAUAACAUCUAGGGCAUGCCUCACAGGAAGGUAUUUCCAAUACUCGAGAUCAAAGAAUAUUGAUUCUCUCCAACNNNNNNNNNNNNNNNNNNNNNNNNNNNNNNNNNNNNNNNNNNNNNNNNNNNNNNNNNNNNNNNNNNNNNNNNNNNNNNNNNNNNNNNNNNNNNNNNNNNNNNNNNNNNNNNNNNNNNNNNNNNNNNNNNNNNNNNNNNNNNNNNNNNNNNNNNNNNNNNNNNNNNNNNNNNNNNNNNNNNNNNNNNNNNNNNNNNNNNNNNNNNNNNNNNNNNNNNNNNNNNNNNNNNNNNNNNNNNNNNNNNNNNNNNNNNNNNNNNNNNNNNNNNNNNNNNNNNNNNNNNNNNNNNNNNNNNNNNNNNNNNNNNNNNNNNNNNNNNNNNNNNNNNNNNNNNNNNNNNNNNNNNNNNNNNNNNNNNNNNNNNNNNNNNNNNNNNNNNNNNNNNNNNNNNNNNNNNNNNNNNNNNNNNNNNNNNNNNNNNNNNNNNNNNNNNNNNNNNNNNNNNNNNNNNNNNNNNNNNNNNNNNNNNNNNNNNNNNNNNNNNNNNNNNNNNNNNNNNNNNNNNNNNNNNNNNNNNNNNNNNNNNNNNNNNNNNNNNNNNNNNNNNNNNNNNNNNNNNNNNNNNNNNNNNNNNNNNNNNNNNNNNNNNNNNNNNNNNNNNNNNNNNNNNNNNNNNNNNNNNNNNNNNNNNNNNNNNNNNNNNNNNNNNNNNNNNNNNNNNNNNNNNNNNNNNNNNNNNNNNNNNNNNNNNNNNNNNNNNNNNNNNNNNNNNNNNNNNNNNNNNNNNNNNNNNNNNNNNNNNNNNNNNNNNNNNNNNNNNNNNNNNNNNNNNNNNNNNNNNNNNNNNNNNNNNNNNNNNNNNNNNNNNNNNNNNNNNNNNNNNNNNNNNNNNNNNNNNNNNNNNNNNNNNNNNNNNNNNNNNNNNNNNNNNNNNNNNNNNNNNNNNNNNNNNNNNNNNNNNNNNNNNNNNNNNNNNNNNNNNNNNNNNNNNNNNNNNNNNNNNNNNNNNNNNNNNNNNNNNNNNNNNNNNNNNNNNNNNNNNNNNNNNNNNNNNNNNNNNNNNNNNNNNNNNNNNNNNNNNNNNNNNNNNNNNNNNNNNNNNNNNNNNNNNNNNNNNNNNNNNNNNNNNNNNNNNNNNNNNNNNNNNNNNNNNNNNNNNNNNNNNNNNNNNNNNNNNNNNNNNNNNNNNNNNNNNNNNNNNNNNNNNNNNNNNNNNNNNNNNNNNNNNNNNNNNNNNNNNNNNNNNNNNNNNNNNNNNNNNNNNNNNNNNNNNNNNNNNNNNNNNNNNNNNNNNNNNNNNNNNNNNNNNNNNNNNNNNNNNNNNNNNNNNNNNNNNNNNNNNNNNNNNNNNNNNNNNNNNNNNNNNNNNNNNNNNNNNNNNNNNNNNNNNNNNNNNNNNNNNNNNNNNNNNNNNNNNNNNNNNNNNNNNNNNNNNNNNNNNNNNNNNNNNNNNNNNNNNNNNNNNNNNNNNNNNNNNNNNNNNNNNNNNNNNNNNNNNNNNNNNNNNNNNNNNNNNNNNNNNNNNNNNNNNNNNNNNNNNNNNNNNNNNNNNNNNNNNNNNNNNNNNNNNNNNNNNNNNNNNNNNNNNNNNNNNNNNNNNNNNNNNNNNNNNNNNNNNNNNNNNNNNNNNNNNNNNNNNNNNNNNNNNNNNNNNNNNNNNNNNNNNNNNNNNNNNNNNNNNNNNNNNNNNNNNNNNNNNNNNNNNNNNNNNNNNNNNNNNNNNNNNNNNNNNNNNNNNNNNNNNNNNNNNNNNNNNNNNNNNNNNNNNNNNNNNNNNNNNNNNNNNNNNNNNNNNNNNNNNNNNNNNNNNNNNNNNNNNNNNNNNNNNNNNNNNNNNNNNNNNNNNNNNNNNNNNNNNNNNNNNNNNNNNNNNNNNNNNNNNNNNNNNNNNNNNNNNNNNNNNNNNNNNNNNNNNNNNNNNNNNNNNNNNNNNNNNNNNNNNNNNNNNNNNNNNNNNNNNNNNNNNNNNNNNNNNNNNNNNNNNNNNNNNNNNNNNNNNNNNNNNNNNNNNNNNNNNNNNNNNNNNNNNNNNNNNNNNNNNNNNNNNNNNNNNNNNNNNNNNNNNNNNNNNNNNNNNNNNNNNNNNNNNNNNNNNNNNNNNNNNNNNNNNNNNNNNNNNNNNNNNNNNNNNNNNNNNNNNNNNNNNNNNNNNNNNNNNNNNNNNNNNNNNNNNNNNNNNNNNNNNNNNNNNNNNNNNNNNNNNNNNNNNNNNNNNNNNNNNNNNNNNNNNNNNNNNNNNNNNNNNNNNNNNNNNNNNNNNNNNNNNNNNNNNNNNNNNNNNNNNNNNNNNNNNNNNNNNNNNNNNNNNNNNNNNNNNNNNNNNNNNNNNNNNNNNNNNNNNNNNNNNNNNNNNNNNNNNNNNNNNNNNNNNNNNNNNNNNNNNNNNNNNNNNNNNNNNNNNNNNNNNNNNNNNNNNNNNNNNNNNNNNNNNNNNNNNNNNNNNNNNNNNNNNNNNNNNNNNNNNNNNNNNNNNNNNNNNNNNNNNNNNNNNNNNNNNNNNNNNNNNNNNNNNNNNNNNNNNNNNNNNNNNNNNNNNNNNNNNNNNNNNNNNNNNNNNNNNNNNNNNNNNNNNNNNNNNNNNNNNNNNNNNNNNNNNNNNNNNNNNNNNNNNNNNNNNNNNNNNNNNNNNNNNNNNNNNNNNNNNNNNNNNNNNNNNNNNNNNNNNNNNNNNNNNNNNNNNNNNNNNNNNNNNNNNNNNNNNNNNNNNNNNNNNNNNNNNNNNNNNNNNNNNNNNNNNNNNNNNNNNNNNNNNNNNNNNNNNNNNNNNNNNNNNNNNNNNNNNNNNNNNNNNNNNNNNNNNNNNNNNNNNNNNNNNNNNNNNNNNNNNNNNNNNNNNNNNNNNNNNNNNNNNNNNNNNNNNNNNNNNNNNNNNNNNNNNNNNNNNNNNNNNNNNNNNNNNNNNNNNNNNNNNNNNNNNNNNNNNNNNNNNNNNNNNNNNNNNNNNNNNNNNNNNNNNNNNNNNNNNNNNNNNNNNNNNNNNNNNNNNNNNNNNNNNNNNNNNNNNNNNNNNNNNNNNNNNNNNNNNNNNNNNNNNNNNNNNNNNNNNNNNNNNNNNNNNNNNNNNNNNNNNNNNNNNNNNNNNNNNNNNNNNNNNNNNNNNNNNNNNNNNNNNNNNNNNNNNNNNNNNNNNNNNNNNNNNNNNNNNNNNNNNNNNNNNNNNNNNNNNNNNNNNNNNNNNNNNNNNNNNNNNNNNNNNNNNNNNNNNNNNNNNNNNNNNNNNNNNNNNNNNNNNNNNNNNNNNNNNNNNNNNNNNNNNNNNNNNNNNNNNNNNNNNNNNNNNNNNNNNNNNNNNNNNNNNNNNNNNNNNNNNNNNNNNNNNNNNNNNNNNNNNNNNNNNNNNNNNNNNNNNNNNNNNNNNNNNNNNNNNNNNNNNNNNNNNNNNNNNNNNNNNNNNNNNNNNNNNNNNNNNNNNNNNNNNNNNNNNNNNNNNNNNNNNNNNNNNNNNNNNNNNNNNNNNNNNNNNNNNNNNNNNNNNNNNNNNNNNNNNNNNNNNNNNNNNNNNNNNNNNNNNNNNNNNNNNNNNNNNNNNNNNNNNNNNNNNNNNNNNNNNNNNNNNNNNNNNNNNNNNNNNNNNNNNNNNNNNNNNNNNNNNNNNNNNNNNNNNNNNNNNNNNNNNNNNNNNNNNNNNNNNNNNNNNNNNNNNNNNNNNNNNNNNNNNNNNNNNNNNNNNNNNNNNNNNNNNNNNNNNNNNNNNNNNNNNNNNNNNNNNNNNNNNNNNNNNNNNNNNNNNNNNNNNNNNNNNNNNNNNNNNNNNNNNNNNNNNNNNNNNNNNNNNNNNNNNNNNNNNNNNNNNNNNNNNNNNNNNNNNNNNNNNNNNNNNNNNNNNNNNNNNNNNNNNNNNNNNNNNNNNNNNNNNNNNNNNNNNNNNNNNNNNNNNNNNNNNNNNNNNNNNNNNNNNNNNNNNNNNNNNNNNNNNNNNNNNNNNNNNNNNNNNNNNNNNNNNNNNNNNNNNNNNNNNNNNNNNNNNNNNNNNNNNNNNNNNNNNNNNNNNNNNNNNNNNNNNNNNNNNNNNNNNNNNNNNNNNNNNNNNNNNNNNNNNNNNNNNNNNNNNNNNNNNNNNNNNNNNNNNNNNNNNNNNNNNNNNNNNNNNNNNNNNNNNNNNNNNNNNNNNNNNNNNNNNNNNNNNNNNNNNNNNNNNNNNNNNNNNNNNNNNNNNNNNNNNNNNNNNNNNNNNNNNNNNNNNNNNNNNNNNNNNNNNNNNNNNNNNNNNNNNNNNNNNNNNNNNNNNNNNNNNNNNNNNNNNNNNNNNNNNNNNNNNNNNNNNNNNNNNNNNNNNNNNNNNNNNNNNNNNNNNNNNNNNNNNNNNNNNNNNNNNNNNNNNNNNNNNNNNNNNNNNNNNNNNNNNNNNNNNNNNNNNNNNNNNNNNNNNNNNNNNNNNNNNNNNNNNNNNNNNNNNNNNNNNNNNNNNNNNNNNNNNNNNNNNNNNNNNNNNNNNNNNNNNNNNNNNNNNNNNNNNNNNNNNNNNNNNNNNNNNNNNNNNNNNNNNNNNNNNNNNNNNNNNNNNNNNNNNNNNNNNNNNNNNNNNNNNNNNNNNNNNNNNNNNNNNNNNNNNNNNNNNNNNNNNNNNNNNNNNNNNNNNNNNNNNNNNNNNNNNNNNNNNNNNNNNNNNNNNNNNNNNNNNNNNNNNNNNNNNNNNNNNNNNNNNNNNNNNNNNNNNNNNNNNNNNNNNNNNNNNNNNNNNNNNNNNNNNNNNNNNNNNNNNNNNNNNNNNNNNNNNNNNNNNNNNNNNNNNNNNNNNNNNNNNNNNNNNNNNNNNNNNNNNNNNNNNNNNNNNNNNNNNNNNNNNNNNNNNNNNNNNNNNNNNNNNNNNNNNNNNNNNNNNNNNNNNNNNNNNNNNNNNNNNNNNNNNNNNNNNNNNNNNNNNNNNNNNNNNNNNNNNNNNNNNNNNNNNNNNNNNNNNNNNNNNNNNNNNNNNNNNNNNNNNNNNNNNNNNNNNNNNNNNNNNNNNNNNNNNNNNNNNNNNNNNNNNNNNNNNNNNNNNNNNNNNNNNNNNNNNNNNNNNNNNNNNNNNNNNNNNNNNNNNNNNNNNNNNNNNNNNNNNNNNNNNNNNNNNNNNNNNNNNNNNNNNNNNNNNNNNNNNNNNNNNNNNNNNNNNNNNNNNNNNNNNNNNNNNNNNNNNNNNNNNNNNNNNNNNNNNNNNNNNNNNNNNNNNNNNNNNNNNNNNNNNNNNNNNNNNNNNNNNNNNNNUUUCCCCCUUUUAUUGUACUCACAUGGCUCAGUUUCUGAAGCUUCUCUUCACAACACGAGGCAUGUGCUCAUACCUCGACAGUCUUUGAAUCAUCUGAGAUUGUUGUCUGGCUGGUUUGUUCUGUCUCAGCAGAUGAUGAAGCAAACUUCAUCUUCUUCGAAGACUUCAUCUCCUUCGAAGACUUAUCUUGAGGAGCUACCAUUCCAAGCUUCUUGGAGCCAGAAUCCUUAGUUUGUUGUUGAGAAACCAUUUUAACAGACAAAACUGCAAGUGAAAAUAUUUCAGGAAAACAUUAAGAACACAAACGACGGUAUUAAAAAAAUACGACGUAUGAUAUGAUUUUAGACGACGCAAUGAAAUAAUCUCAGACGUAAUAAAUGUUUAAAACCAUUAUUUAUAUAACGUCGUGGUAUAUAUGUUCACACGACGUCAAUAGUAAUACACCGUCGUGGUAAACUAUUAUUUAUAUAACGUCGUGGUAUUUAUGUUCAUACGACGUCAAUAGUAAUACACCGUCGUGGUAUUAACAUUCACACGACGUAAAACAAUAAGAUAUUUUGUCGUCUAUAUUAGAUACCAACCCUAGUUUCUUUUUCUUUAUAUUUUAUCAAAUAAGGGAAAAACAAAAACCAUUGUUCAGCGAAAUCAAACCUGCAAUUAAACAAGCAUAUAAAAAAAGACUAUUAUUUUAAAAACAACUUUGUCAAUUUUCAGACGACGCUAGAACAACUGACGAACCGUCGUGGUCUACCGUCGUCUUAUUUAGUUGAUGUAGUUGUCUUCAAAGUUGGAAACUUUCUCUCUUUGUCUGUAUAUUUUAUCAAACUUGGAAAGAAGUAAAAUGAUUUUGGCCAGAAAAAAGGUAAAAAGAUUUUUCAAACAAAAAACGUAUGAGCAUGCAAAACAGUAACCAAAAUAGUGAAAAUGAAAGCUUACCUUUUGCGUGCAAUGAAAGCAAGAGGAAGAUGAUCGAUGUUUAAGUUCAGAGACGACGAAGAAGACGAGAGGAAGACGAUGAGAAACUCUGACAAUGCUCUGACAAGGAAAAAAGACGAAAAGGUUUCUCUGGGAGAUUGAAAUUUUUAAUCGGGUUUGGAAACAGUGCAUGUGUAAGUCGAAAAGUUGCUUACAUAUAAAACCAUUUCAAAAAAAUAAUACGGCGGUUACAUUUAACUACGUCGUUUUUAACUAAAACGACGCAAUAUUUUUCAUUCGACGUGGAAUCAUUUCAUUUAACGUCGUUAUGUUUAAUAUAACCGACGUGGAUUUUAAUUUUUAAAUUAUGAAUAGAAUUUUUUUUCCCGUGACCUUUCAGUUUAUUUUUCAAUUACAGUGCGUUAUAAAUAGAGUUUUUUUUCCGGAGGAAAUUUAAAACGAAGGAAAUUAAUAUUCUGCAAUAUGUAAAGUUUCUUUUUUGGAUGACAGAUUUAAAUAAAAUAAGAAUAUAAAAACAACAAAUGUGUAAGUCAAGUAGACGAAAAGUUGCUUACAUAUAAAACCAUUUCAAAAAAAUAAUAUGGCGGUUACAUAUAACUACGACGUAUAAAUUACAAAAUACGACGGUACAUUUAACUUCGGACGUGGUAAAUAAAUACGACAGUAGUUUGUAGGUACCGUCGUAGUAAACUCAAAAAUUAAAGUACAUAAGUAAUAACUCGCGUCAUGGUAUAUUAUUUAACACGUCGUUUUUAUUAAUUUACCGACGUGGAUUUCUGUAAUAUACGUCGAUCAUACCGACGUUGAUUUUACAAUUUAAACGGCGGUUUGUUUGUAAGGACCGCCGUUGGUUUUAAAAAUUUAUUCUAUAAAUUUGUCGCUUUCAUUCAUUUUCGGUUUACAUUUAAGGUUCCAAGUUCUUCCUCUCUCAGUCUCUCAUGUCUCAAAGAUAAUAAUUUGGAUGUUUUCUCAAAGAGAAAUUGAGCUUACUCGCAUCAAAUAUAUGUCCACAAGAAGAAGCUUGUCAACUAGCCUUCUCACUUCCUUGAUCAAGCCUGAUAGGACACUUAGUGCUUCUGAAUACUCCUUGCUUUCCAUCAAAAGAGAUGCAAGCCUGGCCUCCACUCGCUGUCGAAGGAAAGUUCGCUUCUCAGGGAAAUCUGAAGAUCAGAUGUGCCUGAUCCUCUGCUUGAUUUUCUUGCCUAAGAAGAUCCGUCGGAUUUAUUGUGAUAGCCUCUUCCUUUAUCCGUAGAGCUUCAGAAGAAGAAGAUGGGUUUCAAGAAUGCGAUAAAGAAUAGAAAUGGCUUCAGAUGGCCUCUAAAGCAUGAGCAAUUGAAUCAGUAGUUUCUGGGAGAUAUGAUGAAGACAUUGUCAAUGCUUUGAACUACACAAGUCCUGCAGAAAGAUAUGUUAAAGAAACUGAAACAACGGCGGUUUUCUGUUCUACCGUCGUCUUUUCUCGUCGUCUAUAUUAAGUUACGAUGGCGGUAGAUUUAUAAUUACCGACGUAGAUUAUUUUGUUAAACGUCGUUAAGUGUACUACAACCGACGUGGAUUUUAAUUUUAAAUUAUAAAUGGAGUUUUUUUUCCCGUAUUCUUUCAGUUUUAGUUUUCAAUUCCAAAGCGUGAUAAAUAGAUUUUUCUUUCCCGAGGAAAUUUAAAAUGAGGGAAAUUAAUGUUCUAGAAUUUGUAAACUAACACGACGCAAUAUUUGCAAAUCUGUGUCAUCUGUUAAGAUUAUGAUGUGGAACAGAGUUCCAUCUGGUAAGAUUUCGUAACCCUUGGGAUCUCAGACAAAACUGAUUAUGUCGGCGGUGUUCUAUAUAAACCGUCGUGGUUAUUUCAAUUCUUGUCAUUAAGUAGAUCUACCGACGUAGGAUAAGAAAAUCAAAGAAAAAAAUUGUUAACAAAAAUUCUUAUUAAGACGACCGUUAAAAUUAAAGGUACGACGUAUAAAAUGAAUAAAUACGACGAUAAAUUUUAUUGUACGAUUUAAAGAUAACGUAGUAGAACUAUACGAGAAUGACGUCGAUAUAUUUAUAUUUUCCGUCGUUGUAAAUUAAUUUAAUACGGCGAUAUUUUGUAUUUUAAAGCCGUGGAUUUGUUUGUAAUUAUACGGCGUCUUAUACGAAAACCUCGUCGUCUUAUUUUAUGAGUAAAAACGGCAGUUUUUAUUGAAAUCGUCGUCUUUACUUUCUACGUCGGUCGAUUCAUAACUUCUGCCGUUCUUUGUUGGCAUUGAUUUUACACUGCGGAAAUCUGUUUCAAAUAGACGUCGGUUGUUUAAUUAUGUACGUCGUUGUUUUUGAACAGCCAUUUGAAACUCCAUUUUUUAGUUGUCUAAGGUUGUAUUACACGACGGUGUUUUUAGAACCGUCGUCUUUUUAUAAACCACGACGGUUUUCACUUAGACCGUCGUUGUUUUCUGGUCGUCUUUUUCACUUUUUGUAGUAGUGUGAAAUCCGUAAAGCAAGAUCGGCUUUUGAUGAAAAUAAUACUUUGAAAACGCCGAAAGUGCCGACAAACAUUUAAUGGAGGCCACGUGAAGUUUUGGAAUCUGGGAAAGAAAAAGAUAAUAUGGGGAUCUGAGAUAAUAUUGGGAUCCUGGAAACUGUAGCCAUAUUUCCUCCUAUAGAUAUGGCCUUUGCAAAACUUGAUUGGAGCAACUGCGUUUCAACUUGCUCCUUUCCUGUUAUAAUAAUUGCGCACAUUCUUAAAAUUUGCACCUGUGGUUUUUACGUCUUUUCAAAAUGAUGGUUUGGAACCUUGUGCCUUAUAGGUUCAAAUAACCACAUCGACUCUCCCAAAUUUCAUAUUUCAACGUAUGGGAGCCCGGAACUUUUGGCCUGGGCUAAACACAAACUCAGAAUUUAUUUGCCCCUUUUAAAUGGACAUGAAAUAUGAAUUGAGUAAAAGCUACGAUAAUAUCGUAAUAUAGUAGUGAAGAGCAUUAACUACUAUAUACCCACAAUCUCAAAUUCGGGAUUUCUCAUAGAUAUAUCAAAAUGUGUGGGGAGCCUCAAUUCAUCAUUUGAGGUUUAUAUUGAUAUUAUCCAUUUCACGGUGUAUUCUUAACAACCGGAAUUCACAAAAUAUAUUUCUUCCUUGAGGUGUCGAUUAUAACAGAAUCGAACUUUAUUAAAUUCAUCAUUCUCUUAUGCCAAAGAAAUAUGUGGCGUACCACAAUUUGCAAUAAUACCUCAAGAGUUGUCCAUUUAAUUUGUUGGAACUUCAGGUUCUCAACACUGUUAGAUUUUGAACUUCAGGCCAAAAUCACAUAUUCUCAUGGUAUGGACAUUCAAUCCCCUUAGAUUUUGAACUUUGGGCCAAAAUCACAUAUUCUCAUGGUAUGGACAUUUUUACAAUUUUCUGUACAUAUUUGUGGACUUCAAGCCCUUACAUAAUUGUCCAUAUUUUGAGGAACUUCUGGCAUCUCAUUUAAUUGCUCAUCCAUGAGUUUAAGGAACUACAGGUUCCCUUUUGAAUGGUGAUAGUUUACCCAAAAUGGUAAAUAUUUAUGCAUACAUCACUAUUCAUGUAUACGGCACUAUUCAUUUGUACAGUACAUUUGCCAGUACAGUUAUCAUCCAUGUGUACGGCAUUAUGAACCAAUACGGUACUGUUACAUCAUUAAGGAACCCCAGGUCCUUAUUUACAUGUCAAGGAUCAAGGACCCUCAAGUCCAAUCACAUGUUUACAAAUAUAGUACCGGAGAGACUGCCAGCUCUCAUAUUAACAUCAUCAUCAAGGAUCUUCAAGUCCUGAUGUAAUUGUGUGAUGAGAAUUAAGGAACUUCUGGUCCUGAUCUGCAUACUGUAAAAACUCAUCAUACAGCACAAUUAAUCCAUAAAAUAAAUUACUGGUAAAUAAAUUACUGGUAUGGACGAUAAACUCGCACCAUACUUUAAAUAAAUGUAAAUGUGCGGUAAAGUAAAUUCAUAAAUUAAAUUGCUUGUUGUAUGGACGUUAAUCCCGCACCAUACCUUAAAUAAAAUUAAAUGUGCGGUAAAGUAAAUUCAUAAAUUAAAUUGCUUGCUGUAUGGACGUUAAUCCCGCACCAUACUUUAAAUAAAAUUAAAUGUGCGGUAAAGUAAAUGGUGCUUGUAUGGGCACUAAUUCUGCUCCAUACAUUUAAAUAGAAGUAAAGGCGUGGACGAUAAACCCGCACCACCCUUUUAAAUAAAUACUGUUGUAUGGGUAAUAAACCUACACCAUACAGUAAAUAUAAUAUAUUAUAUUACUUUAAGUAAAAGUAAAUUUGCGGUAAAGUAAAGGCAAUUAUUGGUGGGUUCUCAUCAACACCACGAUCAAAUAGUAUAGCAGAUAAUAUUAUUAUCGUUUGUGGAAGGCAUCAUGCUUGUCUCUUAAAUCAAAUGCUUUCCACCUGUAAUCUGCACACAGUUGGUUUGCUCGUAUAUCUCUCUUGCAGACCACAGCUCCUCCACUACUUUUCUUCCUUACAUCAACAUAAGGGUUAGUAGUAUAGAUAAUAGUGCAACACAAAAAUUAUACCUGAGAGCUUUUCGUGCUGAUAACGUGUUAUAAAAUGAACUGAGAUAUGUGCGAAUAUUGAGCUGCACGUAAAGUAGAUGAGACACAGUAUUUAACGAGGUUCGGCUAUGCCUACGUCCUCGGAGAGCAGCAACAGUAACUUUUCACUAUGUAGAAUAAUAUGGCUACAACUUUAGUGUUUACAAUAUGUAUGGCUCACUCAAUUUUCUCUCUUGGAGAAUUUCUCUCUUGCUCUCUUUCUUCUCAACUCACUCACCCUCAUUCUUCCUUCUCUUCCUCUUCUAUAUGUGUGAACUUCUCUUGAUGGAGGUAUCUAUUUAUAGGCCUAAGACAUUGGUUGUUCACCUCACAAUAUAAUUGGUAGACAACAUCAUUAAUAUUCUUCUAUCAACAACAUCAUUAAUAUUCUUCAAUCAACAACAUCAUUAAUAUUCUUCAAUCAACAACAUCAUUAAUAUUCUUCAAUCAACAACAUCAUUAAUAUUCUUCAAUCAAUUGGGUAGUGGUUUGGUUUGGUGGGUGUGUGGUUAGGUUUAGUGGGUGUUAGUUGGCUAUGUGGGCUUCACCUAUUCUUCUUUACUUAUUCUUCUUUACAACAUUCUCUUCAUAUUUCAUAUUCGCAUUGGUCAUGCUUAACAACUUUCUAAGCAAUAAUUGAUAAUGUCUCUAUUUGGUUCAUCUGGGGUAAUUUUUGGCUAUUCCGAGUACACCACGUGGUUGGUGUACCAUCCAAUAGAUGUAGGACACAUCUUUGUACUUGUAUAAAUACCUUUUUAUUGAAGAAGAAUAAUAAUAUGAGCAUAAUUGAAUAUUUGCCGUAUUUUGUUCGACUUGGUGUCAGAGCCAGAUUUUUUUUGUGACAUGUGCUUGCAUUCUUGUUAAUGUAUGCAUUUUGAGUUUUUCUUUUGGCUUCCCUUGACAACUUUGUAAUAGGACUUCUGUUGUUAUUUAUCAAGCUCAAGUUUAGAUUGAGAAUAGCUUCUCUAGGUGUUCUUAACUAACAACUAUCCUAUGGAGGUUCAAGCAAAUUGGCAAAGGUAAAUUGUGCAUUGCAUAACAUUGCAUUAAACUGUUUUCAUAAAAUGAUGACUAGUCAUCUGUUUCUUGUAUGACUAGUCAUCCUUGCUCUGUAGGAUUUCCAGCUGAAUAACCAACUUUUUUGUCCUAUUCUGUUUUCUCUCUCUAUUGCCACAUGUGAUUCUGACCUAAGGGAAUUUUUGUUUGUAAAGACUAAGGAAUUCCUCUUUGGGAAGCCGUCUCUUUGGUGUGGAUUUUUAGGAAAGGUUGGCUUGCCAUCUUUCCGUUCUUCUUCCUUAAGAGAGAAUAAUAUUUUUCAUCUAUGAGUUUUUCCAAAUUGAUUUCUUUUUGAAAUACUAAUCUGCAUCUAGCUACUUGGUUUUGUCUGCGAUAGAUAUGAUAAAUGCAAUAGGAAUGCAUCUUCCAAAGCUUUGUAUUUCAGGUGGGUAACAAGAGAGUGACAGACACUUUGGUUUCUGUUUGAGUUAGAGCUUGCAAGCUGGUGCCAUGGGAUGAAUGAGCUGGAGAAGGAGCUGUCAUUGCCAUGAAGAACCGAGCUUCAAUCUUUGCUAAGUUGGAGAAGAAGAUUGCACAAAGGAGGUAUAGCUCAUCUUCCUAAAUAGAUCUAGGUUUUUCUUGAGUUUGCUUGUGUUCUUUUGUAAGAAUCUUUUUCUACUUAGUGGAUUGCCUGGUCAGUUGAUGACCCCCAGUUUUUCCCAAUGGUGGGUUUCUGGGUGAACAAUUUCUAUUUGCAUCUCUGUAAUUUUUCUGGGUUUGUGUUCUUGGCGGUUGACUAGUCAUCAUAUGAAUUCUGGGUUUGUGUUCUUGGUGGUUGACUAGUCAUCGUAUGAAUUGUGGUUGAGUAGUCAUCGUAUGAAUUCUGGGUUUGUAUCCUUGUAGUUGACUAGUCAUCAUUAUUUGGUGUUUGGUGUUUGCUUGAUUAUGUUGUCUUCACACACUUUCACCAUAGUUGUUGCUAGCACAGGGGAUGCCUAGAUUGACGGGUCCUUCUGAGUAUCUAGGUUGUCACUAGUAAUUCUCUAGGCUUGCAGGUAUAUCUUGGUAUGCUCUGUGAUGUUAUUAUUUGGUAUAAUUCAUAUCUGACAGUUGACUAGUCAUAAGAGUAUUUGGUUAAGGUCUAGAGUGUGUGAAGUUUGUUGCGUUCUUGGUUGAAUAUCUUUUAAGUUUACCCUUCGUCACCUAAGUACCCAUUUCAGUUCUCCUUGAAAUUAAAGUACUCUCCUCCCCUCCUCUUCAAGGGGGGGAGAGGUAGUGAAAAAGAUAUGUUUCUUUUUCUCAUGGAGAUAUUGCCUCUUUCUUGACUUCGGCAACCCAUUCUCUUCAAGGAGAGAGGAGGAUUGAAGAGAAUUUAUGUCUGUGUGAAUGAGCUAAAGUUGAUAUGGAAGAAUUUGUCGUUGUUAUUUUCUACUGUUGUUGCUAUUACAAUUGCCGCUACGCUUUCAGUUGAUGUGGUCAUUAUCGUUGCUAUUGAUGUGGUUGUGCCCUUUGCCUUUGCCUUGCCUUUAUUUGCCCUUACUUAAAGAGAAAGUGUCGUUGGUGGGAUUGCCUCAGCAGCAGUUCACGAUCUUCUAUUCCCUUCUCUCUUUUUGUCUUUCUUUUUUUCUUUUUCUUUUUCUGUUUAAUUUUUAUUUUAUUCAUUUUUACCUACACAAACCCUUUUAACAAGUUACGAACAUUCAAUGAUGUGGAUUUAACCCUCAUCUCCACUUACUCAUCCAAUAAUUGAUAUUUUGGGCGCAUGAAUACACCAUGCCCAUUGUAGAAUUUUCCUGAUUUGAUUACGUGGUGGGAGUCCCCCACUGGGAGAGAUCAAAUGUAUGUAUAGAAUGUUGCCUGGUUCUCGUGUUGUCCCAGCAACUUGGGAUAUAUCCACCAUUCUUAGCCACGUGUGUUUGUUGCUUGCACUAUCAUCUUCAUUUGUGUUUGUCGCUAUUCUACCACGUUAAUAUUUGGGAUAUUUUGUUACUUGGGACAUCUCCACCACCUUUCUUAGCCACGUGUAGUGUAGUAGGUAGGGAUUAAUAUCUCGGAUAUUCGCUACUCGAAGCCCAUCCGAAAGACAUUCCUCAUCAGUAUUUGACUUUUAAUUUUCCUAGAAUUUUGUAGAUUAUUAUAGGCAAAUGAACACUUUUUAACAGAGUGAUUGCUCCCUAGAUAUGUUCUUUUGAUCAUUAUUCUAGCAUAUACCAAGUUUAUUAACACUUAUGUGUCUGUCAGGUGGUGGUGAUUGACUGUCUAUAGUGUUUGGUGUGGGAGAGGCAUCAAGAGAUUGCAUAGGUAUCGGGUGAAGUGGUGAGCGAGUGGACUGGUUUGAAACAGUGGGCCGAAUAUGAGCAAGUCCAUUAGGUGUAGAAGUAGUGGGUGUGUUGGUAGUUUCCAGCAGUUCGACGAAAACUCUGUCAAACUUUGGAAAAGUUUACCAAAAGGGAAAAUGGGAAGAGAUUGAAGGAUGAGGCUCGAAAUUGCAGAGUUUCAAGGAUGAGAGAUGAAGCUUGCUCUCUAGAUGUGGGUUGUUUUAGCUAGUGAUGAAGUAAUGGGUGUGCUGGGUAGUUUCCGACAGCUUAACGAAAAAUCUAUCAAGCUCUGGAACUUUUUAACAUAAGAAAAAAGGGGAGGAGAUGGAGGAAUAGGGCAUGAAAUUGCAAAGGUUUCAGAUUAUGAGAGAUUAAGCUUGCUCUCCGAAUGUGUGUUGAGAUGAUGGGUAGGAAAUGCCUUUUUUAUAGGCGAUGGAAGCUAUCAUUUUCUAAGAAACCCUAAUGGUUUCUAUCCAAUUUAGCCAAGCUUUUUCCUUUCUUUUUCCUCUCUUUCUUUGACUUAUCUUACUCUGGUAAAAUUCUCUCUGCCCAAUCUCACAAAAUCAGGGCUUUUUGAGAGCUUAAUGCUCUUCCCACAGCUGCCUCGGUGGAGAACUCCUAUUCCCAGCCAUCUCCUUCCUUUCUUUUCCUCCUUUUUCCAUGGCCAAGUAUGAUGAGGGAAAGAAAUGGGUAUACAUGCUGGUUCGAAAGGUGACUCCCUUCCUAAUAGUCUGCGCGCCAAUAUCCCCCGGUCCUUUGGAUGUUUUUGCUUGAAACUUGUUCCCUCCCAUGUGUUGGAGCCUCCCAACAGCUCACACACAUGGAUAUUUUGGCUUUCAUCGUGGCUUUUGUUUUCAGCUAGGUGCUGGAGAUUUGCAGAUAUUUUCUUAGGUUGCUUGGGCCUUCUGGGACAAUAAGUUGGUUUAUCAAGUACAUAGGCUAACUUGAUCAAUUGUUGGGCUAUUUUGGUUGAAAUGAUGGCCUACUUUCUCUUUUAUACUCACCCACAUAUUUGGGCCUAAGAAAUGGGUUUCAGUUCCUGGGCUCCCAAGCAACCCUGGACUUCCAUUUCUUGACCCAUCAAUGGGUCUCAUGACAAUUCAUUACCAUUCAUACCACAACCCACUCAAGCAAGCCCCUGGCAUUUGAGUGGCUUGGGCCCACUUAGGCUUUUAGCAUGGUUGGGGUGGGAAAUAAUGAUUUCCCGCUUGGCAUGUCAUGCUUUUCUAUCAUGAUGCUUGACGGGAUAAUUAGCAUGGGCUCAUAGAGCUAGUGUAUUUUAUGAUAUUUAUCUCAAUCCUUAGCAUGAUGGAUUAUUUAUUUGGCAUGACACAUGGACUGUGACUUAUGCAUGGUGGACUUUCGUGUGCUCCAAAUUGAGUCUUUUCUUAAUAAUGUGUCGUAUUAGGCCGGGAAUUUAUUCGGACCCAACCGUGGAUUUUUUGAGCCUCAACACUAGGCUCAUCAACAUAACUAGGUGGGUUAGACGAAUUGGGCUCAACACCUUGGUGGUUGACGAGAGCCUUGAGUUCAUUAGCAGGUGGUGUUAAAUUGGGCUCAGUUUGUGUUGACGAUGGGCUUGGUGCAGGUAGUGGUGGAAAUUGAUUAAUGUGGUGGAUCCAACGGAGUUGGGCCGUGGACUGUGUUGGUCCUAGUAUGGAAAAUUAGUCUCAUCAAAGGUCACAUGGCGAGAAAUAAAGACCUGAUCUGAAAUCAAAUCUAAACAACACUAACCUUUGUAGUGAUUGUUAUAUCUAAUAAAUACACAUUUAAUUGAUUUAAAUGAUAAUUUGUUGGUGUUGUAAGGAACUAUAUGAGAGAAACAGACAUCCAAAACUUUUAAGAAAUCAAUAAUCAGGUGGACAUUGAAAAAGCUUCUCAUACGGUGAUAUGCGUCCAAGUGUAGAGGAGGGCAAGAAAAACUGCCAUAGAGAAAGCUUCUAACCAAAGAAGGAAGCUGGGCAAGAAGAUCACAGGAAUUUGUUCUUGAGUGUUGCAUUGUAUCCCUCCAUGAUAGACUGGAAAAAUAAGUUCAUUUCCUUCAUUAGUCUGAGUGUUCUCCUCAGGCCCAGAAAAACAAACCUUAAAAAAAAAAAAAAAUUAACCAAUCUAAAAAUUUGUCACAAAAAGAAACAUGAAUUGGUAACUGUUAAUUAAAAAGUUCUUCUUAACCUUUGGUCUUCACUCAAUUUGCAAAUAACACAAUAAUCCCUGCCUUUCAAACCCACAAGGGGCCUAAGCCUCUCAGUCAGAUUUUGCAUAAUGAUGACAUAUCUAUAGAGAAUUUAUUCAAUAAUGGAUAUUUCUUUAAAGAAUAAUCUAUCGAAUCUCAUAACAUGGAGAGAUAAUUAUUUUCCAAAAGCCACAAGAGACCUCAAUUUCUGAAAUUCUUGUUACAGUAAUUCCUCAAAAGCUCCUUCACCCAGCCAAUCAUGGCCAAAAGCUCCUCAAUAGCCAGUCAUCGCCAAAACCAAAAGUUCCAGCCAUCUGUAUAAAUAGAAACCAAAGGGCAUAAAAGUAAGACAAUUUGUAACAGAUAUAAGUGAAAACAAUAACCUAUUACAGCUAGCCAACAUGCUAAUCUAAUGCACAACAAGAAGAAAGACAGAUUCAGAUCAAACACUUUCCUCAAAUUACACCAAUCAGUAGUGACACCAAAAAAAAAAAAAAAAAAAAAAAAAAAAAAAAAAAAAACCAAGGUUAUAAUGCAACUGCAAGCCCAUUCCCAGAUCUUUAAUAUUGACUGACAUGAAAUCCACAGUAAUUAAGUGUCAAAAUGGUAGUCAUUAACGAUAUGGCAUGAAAAUUAGAAAACACUAUCAAGUAAAUGAGCCAAGUUUCGACCCCGCAUUCAUAAUAUUGUAGCAAAUUCACAAUCAGACCAUUCAAACCAACAGGAAGAGAAACUAAAAAGAAAAUCAUUCCAAUUAUGGUAGCAAUGUUAGUUCUAUUUCACAUGUAAUCUAUAAGCACUAACCUUGAGAAGCCAUUAGAGCAAGCACAGCAACAGCAGCAAAUACCACACGAACUGGCCUUGGUCUUCCUCUCUCUAUGCACUCUAAAUCUCUCCUAUAUGGGUAGGAAUAUGAGUCUGUUUUCUGUGUAUGAGAGUGGGGACCGAAGCCUUAGUUUUAUAGGUGAGAGCCUUGAGGUUCCUAGCCCAUAAAGGAAUCCUUAAAGCUUAUCCUUAUCACCUCCCGAAUACAUAGCCUAAUAUGAUAGAUAUUCCACAAGUGAGACAGAGCUUCAACUCUAUCAUACUUAUCCGUGUAUACCCAGUUUAUCUCUCCCUUGUAUCCCUGAUCAGAUUGGAUUCCUAAAUGGAUGUGAACUCAAAUAGAGUUCUUACAAGCAAAACUCACAAGACAGAAAAUAAUCCCCAAGUUGCUGAUCCUCUAGGCAAUCAUGUAGCUAACCAAUUCAAAUUGCAAUGCCAAACCCACAUCUAAUACUAGCAAAGCUACUUCUGCUUUGCAUUUCGUAACAAAAAUAAAAAUAACCAAAUCAACUUAAAUGUCUAAGCAUGCGUGCAUAACACAAUUAUUGGAUUAGUACAAGGUGAAUUUAGCAAAAUUAAAAAAACUCAAAUAAAUCAGGCAAAAAGAUUUGAGCUUUUCUCGUUCUUUUUCUCUUUUCAGAAAAUUUUCUCAAUAACCAAAUAAGGGAACUAGAUGAAAAAAAAAAAAAAAAAAGGGAUGCCAAAGGCCGUACCCCACUCAUCUUCUUCAUCAAGAGGUUGAGAGAUUGCACUGGAGAGGGGUCCAUGGGACGCAAAUGAUCAUGGAUUUGACCAGCCAUAGGACGUAAAAGCCCAGAUCAAGAUCAAUCUAAUAGCUCAAAUCCAAACACAGCAAGUGAAGGGCUAGGGGGCGAGAGGGCGAGAAAGAGAGAGGAAGAGGAGAAAGAGAUCUGUUACCUUGAACGAGUAGGUCAGAGAGAGCAACACAAAGAGGGAGACAGCGCUGAUGGAGGAAGAGAGAACUGCCAGAAAGCGUUGAGAGAGAGAGAGAGAGAGAGAGAGAGAGAGAGAGAGAGAGGGAGAGCGCAGAGGAAGCUGCGAGAGAGACAAGAAAAAGUGAGAAAAAGUGUUGGGGCAAUAAGUAUGUAUUUAUAGGUUGUAUUUAUAAAAUGUGCGGGUAAAGAUGGUAUUUGUAGAUGAAGUUUGGAUUACAGGGGCUUUGAGUGGUAUUUCCCAAUACUCAUCGCAUGCAUUGAUCCUAGGACUCCCAACAACUGACUUGUCUUUUAUUUAUGAAUGCUGCUAUUUUCACUUUUGAUUGUUGUAAAAGUUUGAAGGUGGAGUCCACAGUUUUGGUAUCACAUGCAUGGAGGAAGUUUCCUUGCAUCUUCCAGGAACUUUCUCUUCCCUGUAUUUAUCAAUUCAGGAAGUUUCCUUGCAUCUUCCAGGAACUUUCCUUCCCUGUAUUUAUCAAUUCAGGAAGUUUCCUUGCAUCUUCCAGGAACCUUCCCUUCCCUGUAUUUUGCCUAAACAUUAGCCUAUAAAUAGGCAUACCAAUUGUAAAGGGGAGGGUGACCAACGGAGAAAAGAAAGAAAGGGGAGAAGAGAAAAAGAAGAGAGAAGAAGAAGAGAAAAGAAGAAAGAAAAGAAGAGAAAAAGAAGAGAAAAGAAGAAGAGAAAAGAAGAAAGAAAAGAAGAGAAAAGAAGAAAGAAAAGAGAGAAGAAGAAAGAGAAAGAAAAUUCAGUGAGCCUCACAUAUUGUAAACUCUAAAGUUGUAGCCCUAUUAUUUUAUAUAGUGAAAAAGUUACUGCUGCUGCUCUUCGAGGACGUAGGCAUAGCCGAACCUCGUUAAAUGCUGUGUCUCAUCUACUUUACGUGCAGCUCAAUAUUCAUACAUAUUCCAGGUUAUUUUUAUAACACGUUAUCAGCACGAGAAGCUCUCAGGUAUAAUUUUUGUGCUGCACUAUUAUCUAUACUACUAACCACUAACAAAAAUGGACCCUUGGUAAUACUAAACAUAUUAUCAGUGGGAGACCGUUACUAAUACUAACUUUUUUCUUAUUUUAUUCGGUGGUGGUUUUAACCCCACAUUUAUUUACUAUAUGGUGUAGGUCUAUUACCCAUACAUGCACCUUUACUUUAUCGCAAAUUUAUUUUACCGCAUUUUUAUUUUAUUUACUGUAUGGUGUAGGUUUAUUACCCAUACAACAGUAUUUAUUUAAAAGGGUGGUGCGGGUUUAUCGUCCACGCCUUUACUUUUAUUUAAAUGUAUGGAGCAGAAUUAGUGCCCAUACAAGCACAAUUUACUUUACCGCACAUUUAAUUUUAUUUAAAGUAUGGUGCGGGAUUAACGUCCAUACAGCAAGCAAUUUAAUUUAUGAAUUUAAUUUACCGCACAUUUACAUUUAUUUAAAAGGGUGGUGCGGGUUUAUCGUCCAUACCAGUAAUUUAUUUACCAGCAAUUUAUUUUAUGGAUUAAAUGUGCUGUAUGAUGAGUUUUUACAGUAUGCAGAUCAGGACCAGAAGUUCCUUGAUCCUCAUCAUACAAUUACAUCAGGACUUGAAGAUCCUUGAUGAUGAUAUUAAUAUGAGAGCUGGCAGUCUCUCCGGUACUGUAUUUGUAAACAUGUGGACUUAAGGGUCCUUGAUCCCUGACAUGUAAAUAAGGACCUAGAGUUCCUUAAUGAUGUAACAGUACCAUAUUGGUUCAUGGUGCCGUACACAUUGAUGAUAACUGUACUGGCAGAUGAAUAGAUACGUAUUCAUGACUUGAUGAAUAGUACUAUUCACAUGAAUAGUGACGUAUGCAUAAAUAUUAACCAUUUUGGGUAAACCGUCACUAUAUACAAAAGGGAACCUGCAGUUUCAUGGUGCCGUACACAUGGAUGAUAACUGUACUGGCAGAUGAAUAGAUACGUAUUCAUGACUUGAUGAAUAGUACUAUUCGCAUGAAUAGUGACGUAUGCAUAAAUAUUAACCAUUUUGGGUAAACCGUCACUAUAUACAAAAGGGAACCUGCAGUUCCUUAAACUCAUGGAUGAGCAAUUAAAUGAGAUGCCAGAAGUUCCUCAAGAUAUGGACAAUUAUGUAAGGACUUGAAGUCCAGAAAUAUGUACAGAAAAUUGUAAAAAUGUCCAUACCAUGAGAAUAUGUGGCUUUGGCCUGAAGUUCAAAAUUUACAGUGUUGAGAACCUGAAGUUCCAACAAUUAAAUGGACAACCCUUGAGGUAUUAUUGCAAAUUGUGGUAUGCCACAUAUUUCUUUGGCAUAAGAAGAUGAUGAAUUUAAUAAAGUUCGAUUUUGUUAUAAUCGACACCUCAAGGAAGAAAUAUAUUUUGUGUGUUGAAAUAAAAAAUUCGUUGAUAGCAAAUUAAAUUUUGGCCCAAGUUUAAAGAAGUUGGGCCCAUAGCUAAAAUGGUUUUGUGGACUUGUUGCUAAAUUGGCUUAGGCCCAAAUGAAUUAAUAUUAAUAUUUUUACAAGAAAAUAUUAAGCAUUAACAGAACAUGUACGUUGAGUUGAGUAGUGACUGAAAAUGGGAAGUUACUCCCACCCACAUACGUGAGGCAACAACUGGCUCCACUAUGUCAGUUCCUCUUGGUCUAUAAAAAGGGACCAAAGGAUGCAAAAAAAGAGAGGAGAAAAAGCACCAAAUUGCUGCAGAAAUACACAGAAAGAAAAAAAAACUGCUACAGAAAUCCAAAGAAGAGAAGCAAGCAAAAGAGAUACGAAGCUCUGUCAUAAUACCAUUCAGAAGGUAUAAACAAAUUCAUUUGAGUAUCCUUUUAUGUACAACUGACUUGCAAGCAAAAAGAUAUGUAUGUGAGGCCAUCGUACAGAAGUUUGAACUUCCUCCAUGUUUGAUAUCAAGAAAUGUAUCAUAUCAACAGAGACUUCAGCAGUGGAAAAAAAUGCAAACAAAUCCUCCCAAAUUGGCAAUAGCUGUGCUACUUACACAAAGAGAGCUCUCACAAGGACCUCUCUGUUGUGAAUUACAGAUGGGCUUCUGCAAGAACUCCACUGUACAAGUGCUGUGAACACCUUGUGAGUGUCCAUAGGCACAUUGUGGUACUCAGAGAAGACCUUGCGAGUGUUCUUGAGUACCAAAAAAAAAUAGAAGACAUCAACAGACCAGACGCUUUGUUACUUGCCCAACCCACCUUCAGCAGAGCAAAAAUUCUGCAAACAGAAAUUAAUGAUUGCCAGAAAGCUUACAGAGACUGAUGAUUCACACCCACGAAGGUCACCAAAGCAGCAUUCCUCUGCAACAAGUUGCAGAAACCACAAAGGGUUCUCACUCUGUCACUGGCACUAUGAUAGCCCUUCCCAAAAGAUCUCAGUCUGCAAUCAAAUGAAGAAAAAAUGCACCGAAGCAUCAUACCAUUGUUACCAAGAGACCGGAAGGAAGCAGAGAACUCAAAAUUGUCUUUGGACCCAAAAAAAUGCAGUCAAGUCUUCAAGGAAAUGAUGAAAACGAAAUCACAAGCAAGAUUCAAAAAGAGAUGAUUUUUCUUUUCUCUCGACACCAAAGGCCAGACCCCAAAUUAGUGUCUCAGGCAAAAAGUAAAAGGAAAAUGGCUCACUAAUUUCAGGCUAAGAAGCCUCCUGUGUUGCGGCUGUUGAAGAACCCAAAAGCAAACUUAAGCCAAAAACAAAGAAGCUGAAAGAGAAACAAAAUUCAAAAGAGAAGAAGAAAGACUUGCCAAAGCUAAAUGGAUGCACAGCUUGCUGCCAGCAGUUUUUCUUCAGACCAAAAUUCGGUCUUUAGACCAAAAAAAUGAAGAAACUUGUUGCUCAAAGAAAGCCCUCCUGCCAUGCCCAAGAUUGAAGAAGAAAAGCAACCAAAAAAAAGAGAGUUUCGUAUUACUGAAAGAAACCAAAACAAAACAAGGAAGAAAAAGCCAAAAAGGGACAAAGCAAAGGAAAAGUACCUUUGUACUUUGACAAACUGACGUGUUGCCUUUAAACUCCCAUAUUUCCAAUGGGUUAUGUAGUCCAAGUCUGCCUUCAAGUUCCCAAGACCUCAUAUUAAUAUUUUAAUGAUUUAUGUAGUCUAAACAGAUAUGAGCAAAGCAAAGGUCUUGCUUUGGUUUUGGCGUCUAAGACUCUAGGCUCCAUAUUGAUUGUGGCAGAUGAGUGGCUGAAGAGAUAUAUAAUUGGGUCCAGUUUGAAUUGAUCCAGAUAAGGAUGGGAGUGGCUCAGUUUGGAUCGAUCUCUACUACUCCAAAUAGAUAUCGAUUUCAAAUGCAACUAGCUCUCAAAGUUUUUCUGACAUGGACCUUUUGUUUAUGGGCCAACUAAAAGACCCGAAAAACAAAUUGAUGGGUCGACAAAACAAAUUACCCAUUAACUCUCAAAAGCCCAAAAUAUUUUAUGGGUUGGUCCAAAUAAAUUAUGUGGUUAAUGGAUUAAUCCUUAAUGGGCUCAUUAAAAUGCCUUUUAAUUUUCUUUGGACAUUAACAAUAAAAAUGGUACAAAACCAUUCCAAAUUUUCCCAUGGGUCAUCUACCCUGCAAAUUUCAAUGGAUCAAAUUCAAAUUUCUCAAAUAUACAAAUUCUUUCAAGGGAUCAUUCAUUCUUUGAAAGUCCGAUCAAAUUAUCAAGGAACUACGUCCGGUUUGAUUCCGCCAAGGAUACGUAGGCAAUUUGGAAAUUCAACCCAGAUACAACCGCAAGUCCAAACAGAAUCCCUGGUGUACCUUAACCAAAUUCGCCCCAAACACUUUUCCAACCAUAAAAUCAAAUUGAAUCCCUGGUCCAACCACAUUCAUCCAAAUUCCAUAAAAUAUUUCUCAUACCAAAAAUUCUUUCAAGGGGUCAUUCAUUCCUUGAAAGUCCAAUCAAAUUCUCUUGAGAACUACAAAAGGCUUGAUCCCCAAAAUGGGGUAUGUAGGCAGUCUAGGGUUCCCUGGAUGCAGCUGUAACAUCAAAUCAAAUUCCAUUAUUUAUUUCAUUUUUCAUAUUGGAAUCAAAGGGUUUUCUCUUUAUAAAGAGAUUAUAAUUAAGAGAUAUUUUUUAUCUUGAGUGGGUCAUAUUCAAUUAAAAAUAAAAACUCCUAUUUGUAAAUAAGAGUGAGAUUAUGUUGGGUGAAUUUUUAAUUUCUUUAUUACACUUUUUAUCUAACAUUGUGAAUUCCGGUUGUUAAGAAUACACCGCAAAAUGGAUAAUAUUAAUAUAAACCUCAAAUAAUGAAUUGAGGCUCCCCACAUAUUUUGUUUUAUCUGGGCCGGAAGCCCAUGGAUCCAAAUAUAUGAGAGAUCCUGAACUUGAAGUUGUGGGUAUAUAGUAGUUAAUGCUCUUCACUACUAUAUUGCGAUAUUAUCAUGGCUUUUACUCAAUUCAUAUUUCAUGUCCAUUUGAAAAGGGCAAAUAAAUUCUGAGUUUGUGCCCAGGCCAAAAGUUCCGGGCUACUAUGCGAUAAAAUAUGAAAUUUGGGAGAGACAAUGUGGUUAUUUAAACCUAUAAGGCACAAGGUUCCAAAUCAUCAUUUUGAAAAGACGUAAAAACCACAGGUGCAAGUUUAAGAAUAUGCGCAAUUAUUAUAACAGAAAAGGGGCAUACAACAGAUAGAUUUUUUCCUGCAAUGAAGGUGCAGGCCCUGUAAAAUCUAUAAAAAUUACAUUAUGUCCUGGAAGCCUCUGAAGGAAGAUGAUGGCGCCUCUUAAGCUUAGCCAUGAGCUUCUCAUGGUCUCCCAAAAUUCUUUCAUUCGAGACCUGCAGCAUGUCUAGCCUUCUCAGUGUAUCAACAGAGUACGAACUCACCAGUUUCAACAAGGCAUUAUUCUCUCCUUUAAGUUUCUCAACCUCCUGUUGAGACUCAUGAAGCAUUCUUUGGAGAGACGAAUUUUCAGUUGUUAAAUUCUCAACCUCGUUUGCUCUGGCACGCAAACGAUCAGCCAUGUUAGAAACAGAAACAGCACUCUGAAUGCUAAAAGCCAUUGAGUCAUCAAUAGCCUCUUCCUCUGAUCUCCCCGUCAACAACAUUUCAUCCAUUGGAGUAAUGAAAUUCCUAGCUACUAUGACAGCAGUAGCAUCAUUCAUCAUCACAGAAUCAUUAACUGUGAGAUGACGAUUUUUGGAUACAAAGGAUGGACGCCAAACUUGGGCGUCACUGGUUGUUGUGGGAGCAUCAUUUAAAUUGAAAUAAUUUGGGCAGGAAGAAGAGGAAGCCAUUUUUUUUUUAAGAAGGUUUCGAAGAAAGUCUUAGGAAAACUAAAGUUUCAGAAAAUGAAGAAAUUUGAGUUGAAACGCAGUUGCUCCAAUCAAGUUUUGCAAAGACCAUAUCUAUAGGAGGAAAUAUGGCUACUGUUUUUCAGGACCCCAAUAUCUUCUCGAAUCCCCAUAUUAUCUUUUUCUUUCCCAGAGUCCAAAACUUCACGUGGCCUCUAAUAAUGCCUGUCGGCACUUUCGGCGUUUUUCAAAGUAUUAUUUUCAAAGCCGAUCUUGCUUUACGGAUUUCACGGAACUACUUUUUCAAAAGUAUCCCGAGAAUCUCGCAAUUUUCCUAUGGUUAAUUUGAAAUUCACCGGUUCUACCUAUUCAUUGUAUUUGUGUAUAAAUGUGUUACUAACGAAAUUUUCUUUGCAAAAGACAUCCAGUUUUCUCCAUACCUAGUGAUGCGAUAUCUACUUGUUUUUCUUAUCAGUGAGCACUUAAUAUGCCUGAGAAGCAAGACUAUCUCUGAUCAUCCAUUCAAGAAGCAAGACUAUCCCUGAUCACGUUUCUACUACAUCAGGAAACUGUGAAGGCGAUCUUAUGCUCUAAUCUCCGGAAGUCCUUCUAGACUAGGAGAUAUGAGAGCUUAUUGUCUGCUCCCACCAGCUUCCUUCCCUGAUUGCUUACCUUCUCUUGCAAUCAAUAUCACAUUAUUUUUGCAUUUUUUCUCUUUUUAUAACUCUCUGUUCAUAAGAGAUUUUAUUUCUUUAGAAUGAACAUCUGAAGAAUGAAUCCAUGAAGUAAUCCUAACUAUGAGGGUUAUCUGUUUUGACAGAGGCAAAAGAGUUGUGAUUUUUGCUCUUGCAGGAUAUAACUAGAUCAUCAAGCGCUACAUUAUAUUUACUGGGCUGAUAUGAGCUUGAAUGAUACUUGAGAAAAGUUUCUCCCACCUAAGGAUGUAAGCAAUACUUGUGUUAUUUUAUGCUUAUAUACCUAUUUGAUAUUUUAUCUUGAAAGGUAACCAAAUUGGGAGAUAAGUCCGUUCCAAAAGAAUGGCUUGUAUGUAUCCAUGAAUUAUUAAUGCAAAUUUUACAGAUUGUAAGAUGGAUACAUUGAUAAUACACUGCACAGAUUAAAGUCCCAUAAGAACAGAAUAUGGGUAUAACAGUGAUCAAUAUGGGUGCACGCCUGUUGCGUAGCAAAUGAUAUGGAUUGAAGUCCCGAAAGGACAAUCCUUUGACAUGUCAAUAUUGAUAUUAUGCACGCCUAAUGCGUAGCAAAUUAUAUGGGUUAAAGUCCCAUAAUAUGGGAUAAAGUCCCAGAAAUUAAUUGACAUGUAUGUAUUAAUCUGUGGCAUGCCUGCAGCAUGACAGAUAUAUGGGUUCUCAAUGUUCCAACUCCCUAAAUGAAGAUUAUCCACGCCCUACUACUAAAUAACGCUCCGAUGGAGGUUAUAAUCCACAUUCUCACAUAAUAAAAGCCCCCUGAAGUGGCUUGGGUACCCAAAAGCAAAGAAAUGCUUAUAAUUGAUGCAUGCGCAUGCACAUGAGAAUGGUGGGAUCAUGAAUUGAUGAAUGACAAUUUUUGGUUUUGGAGUAGCUACUCAAAUCAUCAAUGGGCUGUGUUGAUUGGAACCACGUUCAAUUAUUAAAUGUCGACAAUAUCACUGGCCAAAAUGGAACGAGGUAAUUCCAUUAUAAAUGAGAAUGAACGUGAAAGAACAAACCACAAUACGAACCCCAAAAUUUGUUAAUACUGAAAGUUAUACUUGGGUGUUCGGAAUAAAAGGGAAUAUACCUACUUUGUAUGACACACUGUUUCUGGCAGAAAUAAGGAAUGUUGGGUUUUCUCCAUAUUUACAGAUUCAAUUGUGCCCCCCCUUAUUACACAAUUACGGAGACCAACAUAUUAUCUUUAAGGGUUAUUGAAUGCACGGAGCAUAUCGCCAGAAGCGAUUUCCUAAAGAUGUAUAAAUAGCUGGGUAAAAACUAUAUAAUGUGUCAUAAAGCUUAAUCCCUUUUAGACAAAAUCCGUUGAGAGGAUUGAUAUUGCAUAAAGCAAGUCCCUAAAGGACAUGUGCUUGAAGCACACAAUUUGUACUCAAUAUUAAUAUGCAUAAAUUACCUCAAUGAGUACAUUGAUUAUAAUGUGAUUGCAACACAUUAAAGUUUCUGCAGAAUUCAUGAAAUAUUUGUCUCGAUCGAGCAUUAUGCCAACGAGAUUCUUGCUUAUACUAAGAAAGUAUUAAAGUAUUUUUAUGAGGAUUAUCCGUUGGACACUUUAAUGAUUUUCCGGAAGUAUAUUGGACCGAACAUCAUAUUUUCCAGAUAGGGCUCAACUCCAUCACCAUCAUUUUGGGAUGAUGUGAGGUAUAUUUGAUGCUAUCUAAGCAUAACACCAUAUACGGGCAUAUUUUUUUAGUGAACUUAUAAAUAGCCCAAGUGUUCUAAGAUAUGCGGACUCAGGAAAUCUCUAUGGUCGCUUACUGGAAAAAGCUAGUCAUGAAGUUUUCAGGGGGAGAUAUUCAUCAGGGGGAGCAUGGUAUUAAUAAAGACCUUCAUACACUAUUGACUCACAGCAGCAGUGUCAACUAUGAUAUUCAGACAGAUGAUCAACAGUAUGGCUUAAAGAUAUUUUGCCAAGCAUCAGGGGGAGCGUGCUGUCAAUACAGACUCUUACACACUGUACUCUUUUUCCUUCGUCCAGGUUUUUAUCCCACUGGAUUUUUCCUGGCAAGGUUUUAACGAGGCAGUGUCGCACGCGCGUCAAUAUACACAGAAUUUUAUGUUACACGUGAUUAUGUACUCUUUUUCCCUUCGACCAGUUUUUGUCCCACUGGGUUUUUACUGGCAAGGUUUUUAACGAGGCAUAUUCCAUACCAUUUGUGGUCUCCAAGGGGGAGUGUUGUAAAAGUUUGAAGGUGGAGUCCACAGCUUUGGUAUCACAUGCAUGGAGGAAGUUUCCUUGCAUCUUCUAGGAACUUUCCCUUCCCUGUAUUUAUCAAUUCAGGAAGUUCCUUGCAUCUUCCAGGAACUUUCCUUCCCUGUAUUUAUCAAUUCAGGAAGUUUCCUUGCAUCUUCCAGGAACCUUCCCUUUCCUGUAUUUUCCCUAAAAAUUAGCCUAUAAAUAGGCAUACCAAUUGUAAAGGGGAGGGUGACCAACGGAGAAAAGAAAGAAAGGGGAGAAGAGAAAAAGAAGAGAGAAGAAGAAGAGAAAAGAAGAAAGAAAAGAAGAGAAAAAGAAGAGAGAAGAAGAAGAGAAAAGAAGAAAGAAAAGAAGAGAAAAGAAGAAAGAAAAGAGAGAAGAAGAAAGAGAGAGAAAAUUCAGUGAGCCUCACAUAUUGUAAACUCUAAAGUUGUAGCCCUAUUAUUUUAUAUAGUGAAAAAGUUACUGCUGCUGCUCUCCGAGGACGUAGGCAUAGCCGAACCUCGUUAAAUGCUGUGUCUCAUCUACUUUACGUGCAGCUCAAUAUUCAUACAUAUUCCAGGUUAUUUUUAUAACAUUGAUCUAUUUUUCUACUUAUUUUAUUUUUAAAAUUUGAAAAAUAAAUUUAUUUCUUUGUAAAAUGACUUGAGGCUCUAGAUUCUUCAAUAGAAAAAGGAGCUUGUGAAUAUGGUAUUUUAUAUAGGAUGUUGAGAGAUUAAGGGCUAGUUUGGUAUUACUGUAAUGUAAAGAUAAUCAUUGUUAGAUUUGUUAUGAGAUAAAUCAGCUGUGAAAGAAAGCAGUUUGGUGUUUGUUAAACUUUUUGUCAAAAAUAAUGUUGGUAUAAUAAUCAGUUUCUGAGUGUUUGGUAAAUUUUUGUGUGUAAGUACUGUAAGCUUUGUAUAAUGAUUAAAAAGGAUUCGAUGUUGAAAUUAUUUUUGUUAUUUAAGUGUUUGGUGAUAUUAAAACAAAAAACAAAAAAAAGAACCUGCCUCACUUUUACUUUUGCCAAAACAUUCUCACUUUCAAUUAUACAAAUCUUUUAUUAAAUAUUUUUGUUGAGAGAUACCGUAAAACAAUAACAUUUUUUAAAAAAAAAAAGUAAAACAAGACCCUCUAUACACCCCUCUCCCUCCCCCAGCCCCACCCCGACCCACCUUCCCACAGAUCCACCUUGAUCUUAAUGAUCAACACCCUGAAAAGCUCCCACACAGUCUACAAUGUCAAAUCCAAGAUCCAAUAAAAGGAGAGUAUUCUGCCAGACCAACAGAGGUUGAUCUUUGCUUGCAAGACACUCCAGGAUGGAUGCACCUUGGCCGACUACAACAUCCAAAAAUAAUCCACUCUCCAUCAAGUGCUUUGACUUCGUGGCAGAUAAAGAGAGUUGUGCCUCUCUUUGGUUGAUUGAAGUUUAGGGACGAAAAACCCUCUAUUGCACUAUCAAAUCAUUCAAAGAUUUCAAUUUGUUGUGUGCAAUAAUGCUUUGUCAAUGAAAAUGGGAGGAGUUGGAAUGAGUUGCUUUAUCAAAAUGUUUUGGAGGAUUUAAGGAACUUAAGAAAGUAAGGUCUGAGAGGUUUUCACUUUUGAAAUGUUGUGAGAAGAAUGAGAUGGUCUCUGUGGAAAGAAGAUGAGGAAUAGUGGGAAUGUGCUGGUCUAGAAGAAGAUGAGGUAUAGAUUAUGUAAAUUAGAAAAGUUAUCAAGAAUAUUAUAGGCAUUUCAUUAGAAUUCAUUAAAGACCACCUGUUCUGUGUUUUUGCUUUCCGCAAAAGUUGAAAUAAAAUCAGCCCUUGAGGUGCUUUCCAAAAUCACGUUGAUCGGUAGCUAUUUUCUCCCAAAAGUGAUUAUUUCGUCUUUUAACAAACGGAAUAAACUUCAAAAACUUUAUCAGAAAUCACCUUUUAGCUAUUGCUUUUGGAUUUUUUAGGACCCGAGAGAACAAUUUCCAGCAAUUUAUAGGUUUGUUGUGUUGUAUCUAUUAAGUAAUUUGUUUCUUUCUUUGGUAAAAUAUAUAGUUUCAUUUUUGAGUUAUUUCAAUUCCUAUUCAAUUGAGUAUAUUUGUAUAUGGUGGAAUUUGACAAUUUUUUUUUUUUUGGUUGCCGAAAUCAAGUUUCAUUAAUAGAAAGGCAAUGCGAUUUACAUGAUAGUGGAACUCACAAAAAUGAGUCCAAACAAAUGCAACAGUAAAAGCCCGUUAGAAAUAAAACUCAAACUGUUAGCGAGUCCUUAUUUAGUUAGGAUUUUGAUUCCUUACUAUGUUAGGAUUUUAGUUACUUACCCAUUUAUCUAGUCUUGUUAUAAUUGAGAUUUAUUUCUUAUUAUAAUUUAUAUUUAUUUUAUAUUAUAAUUUAAAUUUAUUUAUUAUUUUAUUUAAAAUUCACACAUUUUUGUACUUAUAUAAAUACCUCCUUAUUGAGAGAGCACUCCCAUUGGUCAUGCUUAGAGCUCCACUCUCAUGGAAUCUUAUUGUUGUUCAAACUCUCUUUUCGGUAGAUUUUGUUAUUUGGUAACUGGUUCAGGUUGUGGCCUUCGAGGAAAUUGAUCUUAUAAUAUUCAAGAGUAGGCAAGCGGAUUCCAACAAAAAAAAGAGACUAGGCAGGUGGAUUCCAAACAAACAAAAAAAGAGUAGGCCAGUGGAGCAUCUGGAAUUUGAUCCGAAAAAUCCGCGGGCAAUCCUUGUCAGAAAGACUUUUAUGAAAUGGAAGUAGUGUUAUUUUAUUAUUGUGAUUAUUGUGACAUGCGUAAUAAUAUUUUAGAAGAAAAGUAUCAUACAGAUUUUGAACAUCUAAUUGAAAACCAAUUAAUAAUGAGUGAACAGCUCGGGAACUUGUGGCAUUACCUGUUUAACCAAUAUUAUAUGUUGGAAAGUUGACUUACCGAUCACAGCACAUGGAGUACACAUCCUCACAUGCAUGGGAGAAUGCCCAACAAUUGUUUAAUCAACGAUUGUCCCAACCAUGCUCAUGCGUAACAUCGAUUUCUAAUUAUUAGUUGAUAAUCUCUCUCUCUCUCUCUCUCUCUAGUGCAUCUGAGCCCAACCAUGGCAGAAUGCUUUUUCAUUUGAAAUGCAUAUACCAUUGAUUGCUCCCCAGAAUCAAUUUCAGAUAUGUUCUUUUGAUUAGGGAGACUUUGGAAAAACCCAAAGGAGAGAGAAAAUUUUUAAAAGAAGCAAAAAUGGACAAAAUUACCCUUAUUUAUUUUUUAAUUUCCUAAGAAAUCCUUUACAUUUGCAUGUCUUUGGUUUGAAAGUUGAGAGGUUAUUCUGUCUUUUUUGAAAAAGCUUUGGCUUUUUCUAAAAGUGAAAAAAAUUUUAUGGGUAAAACCUAAAUUUACUUUUUGAUUAAGGUUAUACCAAAAUAAGGCCAUUAUGGCGUCUGCUGCAACAGACCUCUUCAUUGGAAAAUUUGUAGCCAUUCUAGAGAGUGAAGCAGCCUCCAUAGCGGGUGUUCGUGAUCAAGUUGAUGAGAUUAAGCAGGAGCUGGUAUUCAUGAAAUCCUUCUUAGAUGAUGCUGACGGCGGAGAGCAGGCACACACACAAGUACAGAAAGCGUGGGUCGCAAGCGUUCGAGACUUGGCCAAUGAUGUUGAAAACACCAUUGAUGAGUUCAUGUAUCACGUGUACGAGCAGCGAAAUGGCGGUCGAUUUGCCAGGUGGAUCCACAAAACCAUUCACUUUCCAAAGCACCUUUGGUAUAAGCGUAAAAUAGCCAACAAGUUACAGAAAAUCGCGACUGCAAUUAGAGCUAUUACAGAGAGAAAUCAGAGAUAUGGUGGUGGUGCAGCUGUAGAAGGAAAAAGUACUUCUUCUGAGGAUAUUCGCAGAUGGGUGCAGAAUCAAGGGGAGUCUUCUAUUUAUCAUAAGGAGGAUGAACUCGUCGGGAUUGAAGGUGAUAAGAACUUGUUAAUGGGAUGGCUGAUGAACGAAGAGCAACGCCAAACUGUUGUGUCUGUGGUCGGGAUGGGAGGAUCGGGGAAGACAACUCUAGUUGCAAGGACUUUCAAAGAUGAAAUUGUACAGAGACAUUUCGAAUGCUAUGCGUGGAUUACUGUUUCCCAAUCUUAUGUGAUUGAAGACUUACUUAGAAGAUUGAUCAAAGAAUUCCACAAAGCAAAGAAGGAAGAGGUCCCUGCAGACAUGAAUGCCAUGAGUUAUAACGAAUUGCUGGAGAUUUUGAUGAACUGCUUGGGAACUAAAAGGUACCUAGUUGUAUUGGAUGACGUGUGGGAUGUCCACCUUUGGGAGAAAAUAAGGUUUUCAUUUCCAGAUAAACAACUUGAAAGUCGAGUCAUGCUUACAACUCGAAGAGAAGACAUAGCAUCCUCUUCUUUUGGAGUUGAAAGCCAUGUUCACAAGAUUCAACCGCUGGAAAGGAGUGAUGCUUGGGAGCUCUUCAGCAUGAAAGCAUUCUCAAGUUAUCAGAACAAAUCUUGUUCACCUGAACUUCUGCCUUUAGCUCGGGAACUUGUGGAAAAGUGUGAAGGCUUACCACUCGCGAUCGUAGCCUUGAGUGGUCUCAUGUCUUCUAAGAAGUCACUUGCAGAGUGGAGCACAGUCUACAACAGCUUAAAUUGGCAUCUAACAAACAAUUCUUUGUUAGAACCUAUGAAGAUGCGCAUCUUGUUGUUUAGUUUUAAUGAUUUGCCAUACCGACUGAAGCAAUGCUUUCUAUAUUGUUCCCUUUUCCCUGAAGAUCAUGUGAUCAUAAAU
rnacentral:lncRNA from 1 species